AGAGACAAAUGCCAGGCAGGCAACAGGUUGUUCCUCCACAGCAACAGCAGCAGUCCCAAAAUCCUCAGCAGUAUCUUUAUCAGCAGCAGAUACAACAACAGCUUUUAAAGCAGAAGCUUCAACAGGGAAAUCAUCCACACUCACAUGUGCAAUCUCACAUCCACCAGCAGCAGCAGCAGCAAAACUUGUUACAGCCAAAUCAGUUGCAAUCUGGUUUGCAAACAUCAACUGUUAUGCAGCCUUCAAUGAUGCAAACCGUCUCUGGUCUUCAACAGAACCAACCAUCUUCUGUUCAACAGUCAACACAACCAAUGCUCCAGCAACAUCCACAAUCAGUCCUCAGGCAGCAGCAACAACCUCAACAAUCUGCUGGUAUUCAUCAGCAGCAAACACCAAUGAUGCAGCAGCCACUAUUGCCUCCACAACAGCAGCUAAUGGGGCAACAAUCAAAUACCACUAACAUGUCGCAAAAUCAGUUAACUGGACAGCAAAACAUUGUUGGGGACUUGCAGCAGCAGCUAGGGCAGCAGAAUAACCUUCAAAAUCUGCAGCAGCAGCAGUUAAUGGCUCAACAAAAUAACCUCUCAAGCAUGCAUCAGCAACAGUUGGGCCCUCAAAGUAAUGUCACUGGUUUACAGCAACAGCAGUUGCUUGGAGCUCAGCCUGGUAACUCAAGCAUGCAAUCUAAUCAGCACUCUCUACACAUGCUGCAACAGCCCAAGGUUACGCUGCAGCAGCAAGCACAACAAAGUGGAAGUGCUUUGUUGCCGAAUCAAGGGCAGCAGUCACACUCACAGCUGCCACAGCAGCAAUUGACGGCACAGAUUCAAUCACAGCCUGGACAGCUGCAACAGCAAUCAAAUCCAUUACAACAUGAUCUGCAGCAAAGGCUUCAAGCAUCAGGCUCCUUGCUUCAACAGUCAAAUGUGAUUGAUCAGCAAAAGCAGUUGUAUCAACCUCAAAGAGCCCUUCCAGAAACGUCCUCAAGUGAGUUUUUCUCAUCAUUGCAGCUUUCUAACCUUGCUCCAACUUUAAUUUUGCAGCUUUGUGCUUUCAUGUUAGAUUAUAACAUAUUUAUUUAAAUUUCUUGAAAAUACAAUAAUGGUUCAAGUCAGCAAUGCUCUUUCUGGUAGCUUUAUGAGCUACGGCUGCCACUUAUGGCAUCAGAAAUGCCACUGCUAUUGGAACCAUUGUAAUCACACAUACAUUUGUUAUGACAUCAUGCCAUCCAGAGCAUUGCACCAACUGUUCACCUCUCAUAAUGGUUCAAGUCAGCAAUGCUCUUUUGGUAGCUUUAUGUGCUACUGAUGCCAUUGCUAUUGAAACCAUUGCAAUCAUACUCAUUUGUUACCACAUCAUGCCCUCCAGCUCAUCGCACCAACUGUUCACCUCUCAUUUUGAAUUUAACGGACGUGAGUUUUAAAAAUAUAUGUAUAACUGGACAAUGCAUUUGACGCUAGGGUAACUAAUCAUCAGCCAAUUGAUUUUUAUGGGAAGAAAGAAACUAGCAAGUGGAUUAACUCUGAGGCACUUAAGGUUUGGUGUGCUGAUAAAUCAUCACCUUGCUGGAAAAAUCUCAUGAUCACCUCCUCGAUGCUAAUUCUGUAAGGCAUGUGAAGUGUUUCUCUGUCUGUUUGAAUGAUUACAUAACGUUAAGAUGGAGUUCCGAGUACUCCCAAGUCCAGAAAGGACUUGUAUUCCUAUGUAGGAAAAUACUAAUGGUCCUAUCUAGGAUAGAGAAAACCUAAUAAAGCUCCUUAUUCUUUAGGAACAAUCAAAUACUAAAUAGAAAUAAAACCAAGACCUACAGCAUUGCAUUCCAUAAUUUUCAGCAAGUGUGAAAAUUACAGAAAGACCCUUGUGUGCGGAAAUCAUUAAAAAAAUACAUGAAUUCUAAUCUUUUUUUUGCCUGCAUCAAAAUUUUUGUAGCAUCCCUAGAUUCUACAGCAGAGAGUGGACAUGCAAAUGGUGCUGAUUGGCAAGAGGAGAUCUACCAAAAGGUAAUUUCUGUGGUUUACUGUUCAUUAGAUGAAGUUCAUGCAUGUCAUAGUCUUGCAAGAUUUCAAUGGAAAAGGUCUCCUGGAAUUUUGUACAAGGGAGUUUUAUUCAGCUAUGGUUGCGAUUAGUUAGGAAGCAUUGUAAGUUCCAUGAUUGCAGCAACUAACAAACGAUAAAUUACUGAUAAGAUGAUUAAAGGUAAAAUAUUCAGAUUUCUAGGUCAAGAGGGUUUUUUUCUUGGUACUGACACAACAAUUUUUUCUAUUGCAAAUCUCUCCCUUUCGAUUUUUUCCCAGUAUUUCCAUACAUUUAUUGUGUGGUGAGUUAUUAUUUUAUUAUUUCCAACAAGUCCAAUUGACAAUACUUCUUACUGUAAUAGACAGACUUGAAAACAAGAGUGAACUGUUUCUGAAUAGUCAUCGUUAUAUUUGGUUAAGUGAACAGUUAUUUUCAGGAUUACAAGCAAAUCUGUUCUGAAACAUGUGACCAUGGAAGAAAGGAAAAUAAGUGGACCUAAUCCAUUGAAUCAUGACCAUGUCCAGUAUUGUUGAAUUUUUUAGAAAAUGAGGUUGAAAUUCUGAAUCGUUUAAUGGCUGUAGUUGCAAUUCAUAACUGCAUAUUUGAUGAAGUCAAUUUUUUUGUGCCUGGGAGGGUACUAAAACAGGAAUAGGAGUGGUUGUUGAUAAUUAGGAUUUAAGGGUUAUAAAUCCAAAGUUAUAAAGCUAAGAAGUGUUUACCAAAGUCGUGACAUCCAUUGACUUGAGUUAGAACAAUAGAAAACAAUGGUGAUUGUAGUUUGCCGUGAGACAAAGUAACUGAACUUGACCAACCCCUGAAUCUUGUCUGAAGUGGUAACUACACAAUCCUUUGCAUCUUUGCAUGCAAUCAAUAACGAUAUUCUCUUUUGAGUUUUCAGCAUUGAUUCCACUCUGCUAUUUUUAUCUCAAACAAUAUAUGCUGUCCUCUGCCAUUUUAUUUAUUUAUUUAUUAUCAAUUCUCUCAAGUUCGCUUAUGUUUCUUUCUGACUCUGGCACGUGAAGAAAUCAAGCAUAUGAUUGAUAAUGUCUUGCUGUUUAUAUGUACUUCCUAGAUCAAAGUUAUGAAGGAAACGUAUUUGCCUGAAAUAAAUGAAAUGUACCAGAGAAUUGCUACCAAGUUACAGCAGGUAAAUUGUCUCUGUAAUUUUUUCCGAUUUAUUUGCCCACGCAUGAUUCAUAAACCCCCACAGUUGAGCUUUUGUAUUAAUUUGUUUUCCCCAUCAGCAUUGCUUGUCACUGUAUCAUCUGCACUAAUUACCUCCCCCAACCCAACCACCCCACAACCAUGCAUUGACACAGAAGAAUUGGAAUAGAAACAUUUUUUUCACUAAUGUUUUACUAGUUUUGCUAGAAAGGGUCAAUGCAAUUUUUAAUUCUCGUGUAUGUUAACUUUGCUUUCCAGCAUGACCCUCUUCCACAACAACCAAAGUCAGAACAGCUUGAAAAGCUGAAGGUAUUGAAGGUCAUGUUGGAGCGCUUGAUAACAUUCUUACAGGUCUCUAAAAACAACAUCACGCCUAAUUUCAAGGAGAAAUUGGGUUUCUAUGAGAAGCAGAUUGUAGGUUUUCUAAACCCAAGCAGAUACAGGAAGCCUAUUCCUAAUCUACAGCAAGGACAACCUCCCCAACCUCGUAUUCAACCUAUGCAGCAACCCCAAUCUCAAGUUCCUCAAUUGCAGUCCCAUGAAAAUCAACUGAUUCCCCAGUUGCAAUCAAUGAAUACGCAAGGUUCUGUACCACAGAUGCAGCAGAACAAUAUGUCAAGCUUGCUGCAUAAUUCCCUUUCAACUUUAUCUGGGGAUUCGACGUCACAAUCAAACAUGAUGAAUCCAAUACAACCAGGCUCCAAUUUAGAUUCUGGACAAGGAAAUGCACUGAGCUCAUUGCAGCAGACACCUGUAGGAUCUGUACAAAAGAAUCUCGUGAGCAUUUCCCAACCAACCAAAGUUAACACAUUGUCAACACAAAGUGGGGCGAGUAUGCUGCAGCCAAAUAUUCCCCUUCAGUCGAAUUCCAAUAUGAUUCAACACCAGCAUCUAAAACAGCAGCAGCAGCAGCAUGAACAACAGAUGCUACAAACACAACAGCUUAAACGAUUGCAGCAACACCAGAAUUUAAUGCAGAAUCAACAGAUGCAGCAGCAGCAAUUACACCAGCAAGCUCCGUCUCCUAUGCCAGGAGAUUCUGACAAACCAGUUUCUGGUAUUUCCUCACUCUUAAAUACUGGAAAUAUUGUACACCAACCAUCUGUUGCACAAGCACCGGCUCCAUCCCUUGCAAUUGGCACUCCUGGGAUAUCUGCAUCACCUUUGCUUGCAGAGUUUACCAGUCCUGAUGGUGCUCAUGGCGGUGCUUUGACAACUGUUUCUGGCAAGUCAAAUGUUACAGAGCAAUCACUUGAGUGCUUGAUUAAAGCGGUUAGUGAUGCUCUCCUUUUGGUUUUACUCCACCCCACCCUUAUUUUGGAGGUUUCUGAAAAAGAAAGAAACUUCUUUGUGAAUGAGAUGGUGAUGCUGUAAUUUUUUUUCCCAGGUGAAAUCUCUGUCUCCCAAAGCACUUAGUGCAUCUGUCGGUGACAUUGGCUCCGUUGUCAGUAUGAUUGACAGAAUUGCUGGUUCUGCAGCUGGUAAUGGAUCUAGAGCUGCAGCUGGUGAGGAUUUGGUAGCAAUGACAGGAUGUCAUCUUCUUUCGUUUUUGUCUUUUUUAUUUUUCACGUGUUUCUCACAACAUGGGAACUCGAGGGAAUAAAAAGUGCUGGGAAGUAAUUUUUGUUGGAACGUCUUGUGUAACAUCUUCUUUCGAUGAUGACCUCUUGGAUGUUUUGGUGAUAUCUCUACAUCCAAAAUCAUAUAGACCGCUACUGCUGGCACUUGCAGUAGCCAAUGAGCACUGAUAUAUAUUGCAGAGUGAGAUAAGGUUAACUCGUUGCAUUUUCAUAAAUAAAAGGGAUUUCUCUUCUUUUCUUUGUCAAUUACAGUGCAUGUGUAAAAGUUUUCUUACUCAGAGUAAAUGCUAUUGUAAUGUUUUCACAGAGACUCCCCUGUUUUGCAACUAAUUCACUUCUGAAUAUAUCUGGGAAACAGAAAGGCAAUCAACAAAGAGUAAGGCAUCUUCUGAAGAAACAAAGAAAUUUAAUACCCUAAACUAAGCAGCAGGUAGAAGGCAAAAACUGAGCACAAAUUUUCAGGAAGGGACAAAAAAAAUAAAAAAGAAAGCAGAGAAAAAUACAGACUCAAAUUCAACAACACCCAUUUUCUUUCCAUUGGAACACUUUAAAUAGUUUAUUAAAUAAAGCAUAUAAAAAAAUCAACUUAAUGAUCAAUUCUCUAUAAUUUCGGCAUUACUAAAAACAUCCAAACUAAUAAACUAUUAGUUAUUAUAGUCAUUUUAAUAAACAUUUUAGUUAUGAAUUCACCAAACAUUUUGAACAAUUCAUAUUGAUGAAUUAACAUGUCAAUUUUAGAUUUUUUGACUUACUAGUUCCUUCAUGAAUUACUUCUAAAGCAUGCUAUAUAUCUCUAAGCAUUUUUAUAGAAUAUAAUUCUAUCAAAUUCACUUUUACCCAAUGUAUAAUAUAAAAUAUUCAUGGCUUUAACAUCCAUAAAAAAUAAUUUUUUAUCAUUUUAUGUAUAUUCACUUCUAGUUUUAGAAAUCUCAAUACCAUUUUCAAUUUUGAUAGGUUUAGGAGAUCUAUUUUGUACGGAUAGCCACAAAUUAAAAUCAAUAGAUUGACAAUAAACUAUCAUACAACAAUUUAUUACUUGCUCUUUGGUGAUAGGAAUGUGAUUGUAAUAUUAUUUUUCAAGCUUACUCAAUCUCUUAUUCUUGAUAGCAUAACCAAUAAUAAAUGGCGAGCCAAAAUUUAUAUGUUACUCUCUGUAAGAAUUUUGACUGCAUAAAUGUAAAAGAAAAUAGUUUUAAAAAGACUAAAAGUUUUCUUCAUUAUAAAAACCAUGUCAGAAUUGUCUCUUUUUAUAGGCAAUUCUGACACUUAAUUUUAAAAUAACUUUUAAGACAAAAGGUUACAAUUUUCUAGUUUAAAACUACACAAUUAUAUUUCAAGUAGAGUUUUAACAAACACAACUUUUCAUUCACACCUUAACAAUCCCUCCACAUGAUAAAAAUUGUUUGAUCAUAAUAAAAUACAAAGUAGACAUGAAAAUAAAGAGUAGGAGCGAAAAGUCAUUGCAUCGAGCAAGAUAACUUUUGGCCUUGAACCUUUCAUAGUUAAAACUAUUGGAUUCACUCGGCUAAUCAGCAAACAUGAUAUUUUGAGUUGUUUAGCCUUUUGUGAGAAACCAGAUAAUAUAGAUUACACAUUUCAUUUUCUUACAAUUUUGGUUCUCACGGUUGUGUUCAUUUUGGCCUCGAAUACGUCUUGAUUUCAAAGAGCUUUAAAGAAUUUGCAUUUUCAAUCCUGAUAGAAGUGGCCUUAUUUCACACUCACAUAUGUGAUUCUUAUUAAGAGUAUCAUGUAAUACCUCACUUGAAUUUCUCAAGCUAUAAAAGUCAUUAAAAGCUUAGCUUAUCCUAUUUUCAUUGCAGAUAGCACUUUAUAUCAUAUGAAUGGGUAAGAGGGCUAUUAUUAAAUGACAUGUGAUUUGGUUGCUUCUUUGAAUCUAGAUCCUGGGAUCUCCAGUAAACUAGGUUGGGUCGCUAUCAUGACAAUUCAUUGAACUGUGUCUUAAUCUCAUUCCCCUCGAUGAUUAUUGACUUGCUCUAUUGUUAAGCAUUUUAUUAGUAAAUUAAUGAUAUUAUCAUUUAACUUUACAUGGUUAAUAAAGAUAAUCUCAUUUUAGAUCAACUAUCUUACAAUAUUAACAAUUGUGUCAAUACUUUAUGUGUGUGUGUGUGUGUAAGCAUGGUUAUAUUUCAUAUCAGCAUCAUAAUAAUAGCAAAUGUGAAGUAUGUAUUCAAGCAAAGAUGACAAAGAAGCCUUUUCCUAAAGUAGAAAGGAAUUCUCAAUUACUUGAGUUGAUCCAUUCUGAUAUAUGUGAAAUAAAUGGUAUGUUAACAAGGGGUGGGAAAAGAUAUUUCAUAACUUUCAUUGAUGAUUAUUCUCGUUUUACCUGUGUUUCCUUAUUAAAAACUAAAGAUGAAGCCUUUGGAAAAUUCAAAGAAUUCAAGAAAAUGGUAGAAAAUCAAAAGGAAAGGCAAAUUAAAGUUCUUAGAAGUGAUAGAGGUGGAUAAUAUUUUUCUAAGGAGUUUUCUACAUUUUGUGAGGAAAACAAAAUAAUCCAUCAAAUGACAGCACCUUAUACACAACAUAAUGGACUUGCUGAAAGGAAAAAUAGGACCUUAAUGAAUAUGGUCAAUGCCAUGCUUUUGAAUGAUAAAUUACCAAAUAAUUUAUGGGGUGCAGUCUUACUUACUACAUGUCACAUUCAUAAUAGAGUACUAUUUAAAAAAUCAAAUGUUUCUCCCUAUGAAGCAUGGAACGGUAGAAAAUCAAAUCUGAAUGAUUUUAAUGUGUGGGGGUGUGUAGCUUUUUGUAAAAGUUCUGAUCCUCAAAGAACAAAAUUAGGACCCAGAGGUCUUAAGAGUGUUUUUGUUAGUUAUGCACAAAAUUCAAAGGCUUAUAGACUUUUGGAUUUAGAAACUAAUGUGAUUAUUGAAUCUAUACAUGUUGAAUUUAUCAAAAAUAAAUUCAUAAGUGAUUCAAAUGUGUAAGAACCAAAUCUAAAAGUAAUGACUCCUAGCUCAACAUUAAGUGAAAAAUAUAAAAACCUAGAAGUAAUAGGUUCAACUGAACCUAGAAGAAGUCAAAGAGUUAGAAAGGAAAAACACAUAUAUACAGAUUUUAUUUCUACUUAUUCAAUUGUAUUUUUAGUGGAAGGUGAUAGAAAUACAAUAUUAAAAAAGACACCUAUGAUCUUAAAUAUGGAAGAUGAUCCAAAGACAUUUGGUCAAGCUAUGUCUUCUAGGGAUGUUGCUUUUUGGAAAGAAGCGGUAAAUGAUGAAAUGGAUUCAAUAUUGUCUAACAAUACUUGGGUCCUAGUAGAUUUACCUCCAGGUUCUAAGCUAAUAGGAUGUAAGUGGGUGUUUAGAAGAAAAUACAAUACCGAUGGUUCUAUACAAACCUUCAAGGCAAGAUUGGUUGCCAAAGGUUUUACUCAAAAGGAGGGUGUUGAUUAUUUUGACACUUAUUCUCUGGUGGCAAGAAUUACAUCAAUUAGAGUUUUAUUUGCAUUAGCAUCAAUUUAUAAAUUGUAUGUUCAUCAAAUGGAUGUAAAGACGGCUUUCCUAAAUGGAGAUUUAAAGGAGGAAGUGUAUAUGGAGCAACCUGAGGGUUUUAUACUUCCUGGAAAUGAAGAAAAAGUCUGUAAAUUGAUAAAGUCUUUAUAUGGUUUAAAACAAGCUCCGAAACAAUGGCAUGAAAAGUUUGACAAAGCAAUUUUGUUGAAUGGUUUUCAUCACAAUGGUGCUGAUAAGUGUAUGUAUUCCAAAUUUACAAAAUAUUUUGGUGUGAUUAUUUAUCUCUAUGUAGAUGACAUGUUAAUAUUUAGCACCAAUAUGAUUGGAAUUGUUGGAACCAAAAAGUAUCUCACUUAUAUCUUUAAAAUGAAAGAUCUUGGUGAAGUAGAUACAAUUUUAGGUAUCAAAGUUAAGAAACAUGGUAGUGACUAUGCACUUAAUCAGUCAGAUUAUAUUCAGAAAAUGCUCGAUAAGUUUAAGCAUCUCAAUAUAAAGAAGGCUAAUACCCCAUUUGACUAUAGUAUGAAGUUAAAUGAUUAUUAUGAUAAAGCUGUAUCACAACUAGAAUAUGCUAGUGCCAUUAGAAGUCUUAUGUAUGAUAUUCAUUGUACAAGACCAUAUAUAGCUUUUGCUAUAUGCAAGUUAUCAAGAUAUAUAAGCAAGCCGAAUACAGAUCAUUAGAAGGCUAUUGCAAGAGUCUUUGGUUACCUAAAAAGAACAAUCAAUUGAGGUCUAUUUUAUUCUGAUUUUCCAGCUGUGAUGGAAGGAUAUAGUGAUGCAAGUUGGAUGACUAGUUCAAAUGAUAAUAAGUCCACAUCAUGAUGGAUUUUCUCACUUGGAGGAGGUGCAAUAUCUUGGGCAUCUAAGAAACAAACAUGCAUCUCUCAUUCUACCAUGGAAUCAUAAUUUAUUGUUAUGGCUGCUGCAAGUAAAGAAGUAGAAUGACUAAGAAAUAUGUUGUUUGAUAUUAAGUUGUGGCCACAACCUAUGUCAGCUAUUUCUUUAUACUGCGAUAGUGAAGCAACUAUGUCUCGAGCUUAUAGUAACAUUUACAAUGGUAAGUCAAGACAUAUAAGCAUUUGACAUGGAUAUAUUCGAGAGUUGAUUACAAAUGGUGUAAUCACCAUUGUCUAUGUGAAAUCUAUGAAUAAUUUAGCGGAUCCGCUCAUAAAAGGACUAUCUAAAGACAUGGUACGAAAAAUAACUAAUGGAAUGGGGUUGAAACCUGUUUUUAAAGAUACCAGUAAUAGGAACCCAACUUCGGAUCAACAAGAAGCUUAUCUCUUAGUUUAAUGGGUAAUAAUAAGUUACUGUUUUGUAUAUGUUAGACACUGAUAAUUAAUUUGAGUCCCUAUUCUGAUAGUAUUCAGUGUAUUCUAUUACAUAAAGGAGGAUGAGCAUAGGCUCUUCAUGGAAUUUGAAGUUCGUGUCUAAUGUAAUAGAGACAUGUAUAAUUCCACCUAUAUGAAUAUAAAAGUGAUGCCGCUUUUGACAAGAGUUAGGGUUUUUUCUUGUAAAUAUUCAUAAAAAAAAUUAAAAUUAAGAUUUUAGCACAUGACCAUAAUAGUGCUAAACAGUUGUAAACCUCUUUAAGAGUUUGGAUAGUAUUAUGUGUGUAGUAUCUUUUAUUCUACAACAAAAGUUUUGGUUUAAUCUGCGGACACCAAUAACUUUAGUAGGAUUCAAGUUCUAACACUAAUUGAAGUUUUAAAAUGCAAAAUACCUUCUUGUAAGCAUAAUUCUAUAAAGUGAAAAGACCUUCAUUACAAACUAGUGGGGGAUUGUUGGUGUAGUUUGUAAAUGAAUAAAGAAAAGAUGUUUAUCUCACAUUGGAAAGAAACACUCCCUCCUAAUGUUUCUAUGUGUGGGUUUCUAUUGUGUAGUAAAUUAAGCCAUGGUGGACAAACUCUCCUAUUUGGCUUUCUAAUGUUAUUAUAUGGAUAUUUAUAAUAUCAAAAAAUAGCAUUUGGAACUUGAAACUUGGAUCUUAAUAUGAACAGUCAUAUUGUUUCAUCAAUAGUCAUAUUGUUUGAUGAACAGUCAUAUUGUUUCAUCAAUAGUCAUAUUGUUUGAUGAACAAUCAUACUGUUUCAUCGUUAUGUUUUAAGUCUAUAAAAGCAUGUUACUAUACAGAAAAGAGGCACAACAAAAAACAUACAUUCUUUUCUUGGUCUUAUCUUCUCAUUCUUUUAGAGGUUUAGAGGGCUUAGUUGUAUCCUGGAGGUAUUGUCUCUAUGUGGGACAAAUAAACACCUUAAAAAUAGUGUUUUCACGCCUCUAAGCCAACUCCAUAUUUGUUUCCAUCCUAAACAUUCAUAUCAAGAAACAUUGCGCCACGCCUGCUAAACGUCCACGAAAGAGUCGCCGACCGUUAUUCCCGCAUUAAAGUCCAUGCAUGGUCGCCUCAUUAUCUGGAGACGACCGCAUGGCAUUCUCUGGCUAUAAAAACCAGAGAAAGGCCAUGACAAAGAGGAGGGGGGGACAAAACAAAAGACAGGAGAAAAGAGGCAGGAGAGAGAGAGAGAGAGACCGAGAGAGAGGGGGCCGAAAACACAAACCAGAGAAAAAAAACCGGAGGAGUAACCCAGGGAAGAACACAGAAAAAACCAGGGGAACACUGGAGAACAAAUGAGACAGAAAUAGAGAGAAAUUGCUAGCCAACGCAUGAGCACCAACUAGCCUCGUCUCCGGUUGCACCACCCCCUGAAUAGACGGACGCGAAGGAGAACAGGGGAGUAAACGAAGAGAGGACAUAACACCGGGAAACCGAAAACUGAUAGAAAACCAGAAGAAAAGGAAGAACCACAGAGAGACGAACAACACAGGAGCUGAGAACGAACGAAAAAAAGAGAGAGAGAAGACAGAGAGAAAAAGCAGAGGCGUAAGGUGAAACAGAGAAGAACGACCAGAAAUAAACCAAAAGAAAACAGAAGUGAAGGGGAAGUUUUGGCCAGCCACCACACCUUCUUCGUCAUCCAGACCAGGUAAGUUCUCUCUUCUUCGUAAUUAUAAUUACAUAGGUAUUGUACAUAUGCAAAUUUAAUUCACUACUAUAAUUCACCGGUUUGUGCAUGCACGCGUGAAUCAGUUCACACAUGCCUGUUGUCCAGCUGGGUCACUGGCUUGGGUCAGUGACCAGGCUGGGCUGCUGGGUUUAGCCCAGCCUGACCGAGCUGAGCUGGAUCUAGCCCCCAAAAAAAAUUUAAAAAGGAAAAUAUAAAAAAAAACUAGGCAUGGGCCUCGGGCCUAGGUGGCCUAAUCCCCUUUAUUUAAGUCCCUUUUAUUUUGAUAUUCAACCAAAAUGACCAACUUUUCCCUCAUAUUGUUUUUAGGGUAUUUCACUGUAUAUUUGAUCUGUAGAUUUUUACUGCGAAAUUCGGUGUACGAUACUUUUUUUUUAAAAAAAUAUGCAUGCAUAUAUUUAAAUUCAUUUUAUUGGUUUAUUCACCAACGCUAGAGUCAGGAAUACAAUUUAUUUUGUUUUUGCUACGUAAUAUUUAUCAAUGCCAGAGUUGGAAGUAUCUGUAGUCGAAUAUUCACUGACGCUAGAGUCAGGAAUAUUACAAGCAAACCAUCAUAGCAUAAAUCAACAAACUCUUAAUAAUUUAAGACAAAACCAACAAUGCAGCUUAUCUCAGGUAGGGUGUGCUAGGGGUGUUAAUAUCUUCCCUACCCAUAACCAGUCUUGUACCAUAAAAUCUCUAUUGACUAGUUAGGGUUUCUAAUGACCAUAAUACUAGGUGGCGUCUCCUUAAACCAAACCUUUUUCCCAUAAAAGAACAAGAUGCCAGAAAUCUGUUCUUUUCAAGAAUUUUUAAGGUCAUCGCGAUGUCGGGUGCGACAAUACCCAAAACAAUUGCCUUGCUAAUGGGGAUAAAGUUGUCUUUCUUAAGGGAUCUAAAAGUUAUUUGUAUAUUGAUUGGGGAUAAUUUAGUAGGUUCACUCCUUUUUUCAUAUUAAAACUACAUCAUUGCCCUUGCAAUAAAAAAACAAGUGGCCUUUUGUUUUGGGUCUAUUUUGUCUUUUCUAUUUUAUUUGCACAAUAAAAUGACAUCAAUACCCUCGAGAGUUCAAAAAUAUUGACACUUGACGAGAGGUAUUUUUUAGUCUUUUUCAUGUUUUGUGUACUGUAAAAUGACAAAGUUAACCUUAGAAUAAAAUAAAUCUAAAGCUAGUGUGGGAUAACAUUUUCAUCUUUGCAAUAUAGCUUUUUGUAAUAUUUAGAUGCUUUUAGGGGCUAUUUAGUAAUUUAAAGUAUUGAAAUAUUAAUAAAUCAAUAAAAAAGCUGACAUAUGCGUAGCACGUGUCAGCGCGUGAUAAUCCACCACGUCAUUCAGGAGACUAAUAAACUAACCUAAACUCGUUCUUGCCCAACAGCGAGCCACAAACAAUACUCUUUUGAAUAUUAGAAGCAUGAACCACAUUGUUCAUAAUCGACUCUUUCAUAAAUGUCAUCCUUAACAUCACCUUUUUCUGGCCUAGGAUUUUGCACACUAAGAGCCUAUUUGACGUUGCAGUUGAAUCGUUGUUUUUCCAUUUUGAAAAAAAUUAUUCUUGCUUCAAUUGUUUUUGCGUUCUUGGAUUGUUAUGAUGUGUUAAUGUUAAAAAUGAAUUAAAAAAUAUAUUUUGAUACAUUUCCAAGUAAAAAACACUUUACAACGCAACCGCUACCACACUUUUAAACAAUCACUAAGAAGUUAUCCAGGAAUAAUUGUUCUCCAUUUGCAGUUGUUGCAUACUCAAAAAAAUAUUAUGUCAAAACAUACAUGACAGGUGGCUCCAAUAUCAAUCCACCACUUUUUAAGAUUGUGCACCAGGUUUGCUUCUGACAUAACUACAACAAGCUUUGCAGCUUUCUCAUCAACAUUCUCAAUGAUUUUGUUUUGUGCAUUUUUUCCUUACAGAUAUGCCUUUGCUUUUUACAAACAAAACAAGUUUCUUUGAACUUCUUUUUGCCGACACUAUUACCAUUAGAACUCUUGAGAGAACUUGCUUCAUAUUUAAGUUCACCAGGUUAAGAAUGUUUAGGAAUCGGGUUUGCCAUCGAGACCGCAAAGAUUACCAGGUUAAAUUAUUUUGGUUUUUUCCCCGCAUGAUAGAAUGUUUAGGAAUCGGGUUUGCCAUCGAGACCGCAAAGAUUACCAGGUUAAGAAGUACAUUGAAAUUAUUAACAAUAGAUUUAUCCAUUUAUUAUCUCAAUAACAAGAUUAACUUUAUAAUUAUAUAUCACACUUAUAUAAUCUGAAAUAAUAUUAAUUAAAAUGAAUCCCAAAAAUUUAACACACUAAUUCUGCAAAAAACAAAUUUAAUAAACAAUUUAACUUUGCAACUAUGUAUUUAUUUAUUUGUUUUUCUAUGAGACUCAAUUUUUUUUUUAAUAAUCAUCAAGAGUAUAUUGAAAAGGCCAUAAAGCCAAUAGACAGUGAAAUUUUUAACAGAAACUCAAUGUAAUUUUCAACAAAAACUAUAACAAUACAAAUAAUUACAAAUAUUUUUCUUUCAACAUCAACAUAAGAAAACAAUAUGCACUCUUCUAAAGUUAUGAUAAAAAAAAUCUGAUUGAUACUUAUGUUGUUUUAUGAUUAAAGUAACAAUAGCAUCUAAAGAGAAUGAAUUAGGUGUUGCACUAAUUAUGUCAAAAUAAUGCAAGUAAACACACUAAACACAUAUAACACAAAAACCAACAAUAUAAUUCAAGUGCUUAAAGUAAAUAUAUAAGAAAAAAGAGAUUGCAAACUCGAUUUUUAACGUGAUUCGGUAAGCUUACAUCCACAUCUCAAGUACUAAUCAUACUUAAGUAUUGUACUUUUUUACUAAUCCAAGUGAAAGAUACAUUGCCCUUGAUGAAUUCACACCAAGAAAUUACACCACUUGAUGAAUUUUUCUCUUUAAGAUUUUUCUCCUAGAAUUCCGGUUAAAUAGAAUUGCACUUAAUAUAUAUUAUUUCACCAUAAUUAUUAUCCAGAUAUGCAACUUUUUUUCUUUCCGAUCAUCUGUUUUCUUUUUUUCAUAUCAAUACAACAACAAAGGAAAAUACCAUGCAAUAUAAAAUGUAUUUCCCUGUAGAAUCAAUGCAACAAGUUUACAGACAACAGACGACAAGGAAUUUAACAUAGUCAUGGAAUUUAACUGAAGAUAUAUACACUUUACUUUCUCUAUUAAAAUUAAACUAUUUUUUUUAAUCUAUGUCAAUAUAUAAUCAAUUUGGUCUUGAAGAUAUAUAAAUAUACACAGAACAAAUAUGUUAGAAAAUAAAUUGUUUAAGAUUGUUAGAGCACCUUAAAUAGUUCAUAAAAUUAUUCUUCCCUUUUACUAUAAUGAUGAAGUACAAGGGUUGUUGAUGAUGACCUCUUGGAUGGCUACAUGAAGCUUGUUCCGUUUUAAAUUUCAAGGUUAAUCUAUUGCUAUGAGCAUACGUGUCUCAAUUUAAAACUCGAGUUGCAACUGAACUUAAAUGAAUGGUGUUGGAUUUGGGCCUUCUAUUUGUUUUAACUUCUACAGGGUUGAAAUGAUAGUGAUCUUAAAGUAGAAAAGCAGCAGACAAAAAUCAAUUAACCACAAUGGUGCAUGGUUUCCUAGUUUCUCAGCAUAAAGUUGAAUGUUUUGUUGACCUUUCUACAUCAAAAAUCAUAUAGACAGCUACUGCUGGCACUUGCAGUGGCCAAUGCAUACUGUAGAGUAUAUAUUGCAGUGUGAGAUAAGGUUAACUCGUUGCAUUUUCAUAUAUUGAAAGGAUUUCUCUUCUUUUCUUUGUCAAUUACAGCACAUGCAUAGAAGUGUUCUUCCUCAGAGUAAAUGCUAUAGUAAUGUUUUCACGGACUCCCCUGGUUUGCAACUGAUUCACUUAUAUAUCUUGGAACAUAGCCAUAAAUGAAAGGUUCUUCUAGUUCAAGAAAAUUAACCAUGAAGCUCGUAACUAGAAUUUUUAGACAGAAGGGUGGCCAAGCGAACUCCUAUACUCCGUACGUCUGGAAUAAUACAGGGAAAGGGUGUUUAUGUAUUUUGAUGUCUUAUAUUACUUGACCAACUCUUGCUUAUCUCAUUAUUUGUUUUAAUUUUUUGCUAAUAAUUCCACACAUUUCUGAUAUGGUGUGGUUUUUGAGUUCAGGGUUCUUGCUCAUUGCUGCUAACUUCUCUAUACUUGCCUGGUCAUUAAAAAUGAAACGUAAUGAUUUGCAUAUGCUGAAUGGAGACAUUAAAGAGGCAUCUUCUGUUUUCUGGUCAGGAGGGAUUACAAGAACUCAAGAAAUUUUCCAUAUGUUUUGAGGAAAAGAUUUAUACUACCACUACCAAUCAGGUAUUUGCCUAAUGUGAGGUUUAAUAAUUACGAUAUUAUCUAGACAUUAAUAUACACACGCAUUUAUGCUUGUACAAAUGUGUGUGUAGUGUGCCUACACUUCCUCACCGUUCAUUCUGUAUGCAAGGCUGAUUGGGAGUUCACAUUAUUUUGUUAAUUCUCUUGACAAGUGUUUUAUUUAGAGUGACCAAGUUCAAGUACAAGGGAAGAGUGCAAAAAGCAAAUAGCGAAUCAAUACAUAAAUAAUUAAAUAAAAAGAGAGGAAACAAAAGUAUAUCAUAGAGAAGAUGAAAUGAUAGAGCAUAUAUCCAUUUUCCUCCUCUUGUAACAUGGAUUGCUCUGAGAUCUGAUGUUUUGUUAUUAAUAUCUGAUUUCAGUCUGAUUAUAUAUCUACGAAAAAUAUCUCUGGAGAUGCUUUCGAUGGAGAUCAGGUCUCAAAAUGCCAUGCCCACUGUCCCCAUGGAUCCAGCAGGUAAUAAUGCACCCGAGCAUUGAAUUUCUAAACAUCUUACCUUUUGUUUUUCUUCUCACAUUGUUAUCAAACUCUUUUACAUUUUAUUGCUGUAUAUUGCUAUGUAUAUCGCCUUGCUAGAAAAAUCUCAUGAUCACCUCCACGAUGCUAAUUCUAUAAUGCAUGUGAAGUGUUUCAUCCUUAACUUGUUAAGAACAAGGACUAUGAUGCAUUGCUAUUUUAUAUUUUAUGAUUGAGAUGGUAGAUUUUAAAGAUUUUCCUGUUUAGGAGAUAAAAGUAAGAUGUCACUUUUUUGCUUUUCUUCCGAGAGAGUAUUUGAUCCUUUUUUCGUAUAAAAUAAUGCUGGCAUGCAUUGAAUUUCCAAACAGCUUAGCUUUUGUUUUGUUUGUCGCAUUGUUAUCAAACUCUUUUACAUUUUAUUGCGGUAUAUUGCUAUGUGUAGGGCAUGCUUUAAUCAAAAAGUUGAGUAAUUGAUGAAUGCUAGGCAUGAAAAUGACAUAUUAUUUUUGUUUUCUGUCUCCUCCUUUUCUUUCCCCCACCUCAAAAAUUGUCAUGUUAUUUUUGUUUUCAGCCGCCUCUUCUUCCCCAAACCUUUAAAAUUGUUUAUAUUUGCUUUGGAAGCAUGACAAACUUCAUUGCCUCUCAGCUUAAGGAGAUUGCAGCAGGUCUCGAAGCUUCUGGGCAUUAGUUUAUCUGGGUAGUUAGAAGAAACAAAAAGAGUCAAGAAGACAAGGAAGAUUGUUUACCUAAAGGAUUUGAGGAAAGAAUGGAAGGCAAAGGGCUAUUAUCAGAGGAUGGACACUCCAAGUUUUGAUUCUUGGUCAUGAAGCAAUAGGUGCAUUUGUGACUCAUUGAGGAUGGAACUCAACUCUUGAAGGCAUAAGGCAAAUAUUUGCUGAGCAAUUCUAUAAUGAGAAGUUGGUGACUGAUGUUUUAAAAAAUGGAGUUAAGGAAUGGCUUAGAGUGCAGAGAUCAUGUUAAAAGUGAAGCUGUAGAGAAGGCAAUCACUCAAAUUAUGAUGGGUGAAGAAGCAGAGGAAAUGAGAGAGAAGAAAGCUGAACAAGGGAACGCAGUAGAUGAAGAAUAUGAGUUUACUGCAUUUACUGUCAAGAAUACAAACGUGAGCACUAAAAACUAAUUUGUACAGGAUACUCUUUAUAUAUAGAGUAGUAAUUAACUUCAUCACUUAUUUCUUUCUAUGAAUACAAUAUUCCUUAUUUAUAUAUAUUGAUUUGUUUCUUAUAUGAGGUAGCUGUAGUUUCCUUCUAUGAAAGAUCUGCCAUGGCUGUAGUUUCCUUCUUUGAGAAGUAGCCGUUGGUUGAGGUAGCUGUUGAUUCCUGUGAUUUCCAUGUAUGGUUAAUUACCAUUCUGAAUAGUAGCCGUUGGAGGUGUUAAUUCAGAAUGGUUGCUGACGAGAGUGAGGAUCCUGUGGUGGUGCUGCUGCUGUCUCCUGCUGCUGCUGCAGAGGUGUGUUGUUGCUGUUAAUACCCUCCCUCAAACGUUGCCGAGGUUGGAGGCAAAGUUUGCGCUGAAAACGAAGAAGAGUAGCUUUGGACACCGGCUUAGUAAACAGAUCAGCAAUCUGAUGUGUAGUGGGAAUAUGAUGUGUAAUAAGUUUCCCAAGAGCUACGCGUUCGCGUAUAAAAUGAUAAUCAAGUUCAAUAUGCUUGCUGCGAGCAUGGAAAAUAGGAUUGACCGUCAUAUGGAGCGCACUGAGAUUAUCACAAUAGAGCACUGGUGGAGAUAGCAAGGGAAUGUGUAAAUCAUGAAGGAUGUAGGUCAACCAGGUAAGUUCUGCAGCCGUGUUGGCCAUAGCACGAUAUUCAGCUUCAGUGCUAGAGCGUGAAAUAGUAUGUUGUUUCUUGGCACACCAGGAGAUGAGAUUACAGCCAAGGAAGACACAGUAGCCAGUGGUAGAACGUCGUGUAGUAAGACAGCCAGCCCAAUCAGCAUCUGAAAAAGCAGAGAAAUUAAGAUUAGUAUUAGAAGUGAAGUGCAGACCAUUAUUAAUAGUACCUUGACAUAUCGUAAGAUACGGCGGACCAUUUUUAAGUUGACAGUUGUAGGAGCAUGCAUGAAUUGAGAGACAUAAUUAACACUAAAAGAGAGAUCUGGUCGAGUAAGGGUGAGAUACUGGAGGGAGCCAACAAGCCCCCGGAAGAAACUGACAUCCGCUAAAGGAGGAGCAUUGGAGGAGGCUUUAGUUCGUGCUUCAAGUGGUGUAGUCAUGGGUUUACAGUCAACCAUUUCAGCACGUUCUAGAAUUGUAAAGGCAUAAUGUGAUUGUGAUAAAUGAAGUCCAUUUGGCGUGGGCGAAAUUUCGAUGCCAAGAAAAUGAUGAGUAGGGCCUAAGUCCUUCAUGGCAAAUUCUUGACUGAGUAGAGUAAUGAAAUCUGCAACAAGUGUAUCUAUAGUUCCUGUAAGAAGUAUAUCAUCAACAUAAAGUAGGAGAAUAAGAGAACCAUGAUCAGAAUGAAAAGUAAAUAGAGAAGGAUCUGCCAAGCUGCAUAGGAAACCGUAUUUGAGGAGAAAGGAACUAAAACGAUCAAACCAAGCACGAGGUGCUUGUUUAAGGCCAUAGAGGGCACGUUGGAGCUUGCAGACAUGCUGUGGACGUUGAGGAUCUGAGAGUCCUGGUGGCUGUUCCAUGUAGAGAUUUUCAGAAAUCAAACCAUGUAGAAACACAUUUUUCACAUCAAGCUGCCGUAGGGGCCAAUGAUGAACAAGAGCUAUAGUGAUAAUUAGCCGAAUGGUGCCAGGCUUUACAACGGGAGAGAAUGUUUCAGUGUAGUCUAGGCCAUCAAUCUGGUGGUAUCCUUUGGCAACAACACGGGCUUUGAGACGCUCCAAGCUGCCAUCAGAUUUGAGUUUGGUUUUAAACACCCAUUUGGAACCUAUGAUAUGCAUAUCGGUGGUACGAGGUACCAAUUUCCAUGUCUGAUUUUGGUGUAAGGAUGUAAGUUCAUCCUCCAUUGCUGCUUUCCAUCCUGGAUGAGCUAGUGCAGCUCACACAGAUCGCGGUUCAUGCGGUAUUCCAGCAGAGAUGACAGAUGUUAAUGCAUACUUGGGAUUUGGUUUUAUGAUGCCAUGCUGGGACCGAGUGGUCAUGGUGCGAAGAGCUGAAGUAGAGGAAUUGGGAACAAACUCAUCUGCGGAGGCAUCACUACAAGGAGGUUGUGCAGCUUGGUGUAGCGCACGUUGUGAACGAGUAACCAUAGAGUGAGGAGCUGAAUUUGGGUGGUCUUGCUGCUGCAGAGUAGUUAAGUUCUCAGAGAGUGGUUGCUGGGAAAUAUCAGGGCAGAGAUUGUGGGCAAUCUCCUGCUGAGUGGGAGCUGCCACCUGCUGAAUAUCAUUCUCCGAACUAUGGUGUUGUAGUGAGGAAGAGGGUUCUAUAGAUGGAUCAGUGGGAGAACCAGAAUUAGAGAGAUCUGAUACGUGCAUGAAGAUACAUGCAAACCGCAACAAACCAGAAGGUGGCAGUAGCGCACGUGGUACGUGGAAGACACUUGGACGUGGAUCAUGCUUGGUCGCCAGAUUGUUAGUGGGGUUUGUUAUGGAAUUAGUCAUUCUCCAGUUAUUUUUAGUAUUAACAGUUAAUAAGGAUUCCUCGGAGGAUCCCUUGUUUGUUUCCCAUUUUCUAGAUAGUUUCCCAAAUUCUAGCAUUGUUUGUUAUUCAAUUCAUGUAUAAAAGGGCCUGGUGGCAUCCAAUAAAGGUAUCGAAAAUUAUCCAAUACUGUCUCCUCUCUUACUUCUCUGCUUCUCUUCUCACUCCCUAAAUUCAACCUAUCAGUGGUAUCAGAGCCAGGUUACACAGUUGUCAUGGAUACUCGCGGAAAAAGUAAUGCUGAAUUCCGGACUGAGGUCAAUGACGCCUUAGCUAGGCAUGAGUCUAGCUUUGAUCAGGUGAAUGCUGCCCUUCAAGCAGUAUUAACCGAACUACAAGCCAUCCGCACCCAAAAACACCCAAACACUAACCCUCCCGAAAUCAAUCCCUUUGCAUCAGAAUCAUCAUCCCAGUUACAUAGUUCUCGCAACCCAAACACCACUGGUCAAACACACUCCCACCUCAAACUCUCAUUCCCUCGUUUUGAUGGCAGUGAGCCCACAGGUUGGGUGUACAAAGCCGAACAGUACUUCGAAUUUCAGGACAUUGACUCGGCCCAGCAGGUCCAAUUGGCCUCCUUCCAUCUAGAUGGAAUUGCUCUCCAAUGGCACCGAUGGCUGACCAAGUUUCGGGGACCCCUUCUGUGGAACGAGUUCGUGCAAGCCCUUUUGCAACGAUUCGGACCCACAGACUACGAAGACCCAUCGGAAUCGCUCACUCGUCUCAGACAAACUACCUCUGUAGCAGCUUACCAAGAGGCUUUUGAGAGGCUCUCCCAUCAAGUUGAUGGACUACCGGAAGGUUUUUUAAUAGGAUGUUUUGUUGCAGGGCUGCGAGAUGAAAUUCGUAUUGAUGUCAAGAUUAAACAUCCCCACACACUGGCAGAAGCAAUUGGAGUUGCCCGACUGAUUGAGGAGCGCAAUCUACUGCAAAGGAAGACCCAUCUUCCAAUUCGGUCUUCUUCCAUGAAUUUACCCUCCAGGGCACCAGCAAAUUCAGUAGCUGGAGUGUUGGGACCACCCCCAUCACAAAGACCAAACCUAUCACCAACAUCAUUCCGGAGGAUCACCACUCAAGAAGCUCGGGAACGAAGGGAAAAAGGGGCUGUGUUUCUAUUGCGAUGAGAAAUUCAAGCCAGGCCAUCGCUGUGAACAACCACAAUUGUUUAUGAUCGAAGACAGCUCCAACACCAGCCUUGAUGAAGAAAUAACAGAUACUGAGGACAUCAUCAAUUCAGAGGACAUGCCCGAAAUCUCAUUCCAUGCUAUCGCAGGUGCUGAACACCCUCAAACCUUACGGGUGUUGGGUCAAUUGGGCAACAAAAAGGUGACCGUGCUCAUUGACGGAGGCAGCACGCAUAACUUCAUUGAUCAGGUGGUGGUAACCAAAUUUGGGAUACCCAUUAAUCGCAGCCAGCGAUUUCAGGUAAUGGUGGCUAAUAGAGAGAAAAUCACUUGUACUGGGCAAUGUCAGAGCCUCACAUUAAUCAUUCAGGGCAUAGCCAUCACUGCCAAUUACUGUGUUCUACCGGUCAUGGCUUGUCAAGUGGUACUGGGUGUGCAGUGGCUUGAGACACUGGGUCCGAUUGAAAUGGAUUUCAAAAAGCUCACUAUGAGCUACAAAACGCAUGGAGAGAAACACACCUUUUACGGGUUGAAGCACACGGGUCAUGCUGCCUUCACAGAGAAGGAGUUUCAUGGGUUACAAGGGAAUGGAUUCUUCCUUCAAAUCAUUCCCUCACAUCCCAUCAUUGACAGUAGCAGCCAUCCACCGGAGCUUAAGGCCCUUCUAUCCGAAUUCUCGCAGGUGUUUGAGGAGCCCACGGGUCUGGCUCCCCAGAGAGCCAAAGACCACCACAUACCUCUACAACCCAAUUCUGGCCCAGUAAGUGUGAGACCCUACCGCUACCCGUAUUACCAGAAAACCGAGAUAGAAAAAAUGGUGCAAGACUUGUUGAAGUCUGAAUUGAUACGCCCCAGUAAUAGCCCAUUCUCCUCUCCUGUUUUGCUAGUCAAAAAGGCGGAUGGGGCUUGGCGUUUUUGUGUGGAUUAUCGCGCUUUGAAUGAAAUCACCAUCAAAGACAAAUAUCCAAUUCCCGUAAUUGAUGAGCUCCUAGAUGAGCUGCAUGGGUCUCGUUACUAUUCCAAAUUGGACCUACGAUCCGGCUAUCACCAAAUCCGGGUACGAGACGACGACAUACCUAAAACAGCAUUCAGAACUCAUGAAGGCCAUUACGAGUUCGUUGUCAUGCCAUUUGGUCUAACCAAUGCUCCUGCAACCUUCCAAAGUCUUAUGAAUGAUCUUUUUCGUCCCCACCUCAGGAAGUUUAUUUUGGUUUUUUUUGACGAUAUUCUGGUUUAUUCCAAAUCGUGGGAAGACCAUUUAACCCAUUUGCACACUGUUUUGAAGAUUCUAGCAGAUAAUACACUCUUUGCAAAGGAGUCCAAGUGCAGAUUCGGGGUUACAUAGGUUGACUACCUAGGCCAUGCUAUUUCAAACCAAGGAGUAUCGGUGGAUCCUACCAAAAUUCAAGCAGUGGUUGAGUGGCCUACCCCUACGACAGCCAAGGGGGUCCGCGGAUUCUUGGGCCUGGCCGGCUAUUACAGAAAGUUCAUCCGCCAUUUUGGAGGAAUAGCCGCACCACUUACCCGAUUGCUGACCAAGGAUGGGUUUCAGUGGAGUGCAGAAGCUGAUUUGGCUUUUCAACGUCUGAAGGAAGCCUUAACCCAGUCCCCGGUCUUACGCAUGCCAGAUUUCUCUCAACGAUUUGUGGUCGAGUGUGAUGCCAGUGGGAUCGGAAUUGGUGCAAUACUUUCCCAACAGAAUCAACCCGUGGCAUACUUUAGUGAAGCACUAAAAGGGUCUUCUUUGACACUAUCCACUUAUGAGAAAGAAAUGUUGGCCAUCGUCAAGGCAAUUCGUAAGUGGCGACCAUAUCUGCUUGGUAAACCAUUCACAGUUCGCACGGACCAGAGGAGUCUCAAAUAUCUCCUGGAGCAGAGGAUUACUACCCCAGCACAGACACGUUGGCUUCCUAAAAUUCUCGGCUAUGACUAUGUAAUCGAGUACAAGAAAGGGAGCGAGAACCAAGGGGCAGACUCACUGUCCAGAGUAGUGGAAUUUCAGUUUUUGUCCAUCUCGUUCCCAAAGGCAGAGUGGUGGCCAACUCUGCAACAGGAGGUGCAACAGGAUCCAUUUUAUGCCAACUUCAAAUCAACGGACCCCUUCAUGGUUCAAAGAGACGGAGUGUGGUUCAAGAAGGGUAAGGUGUUUUUAAGCCCGAAUUCUACUCUUAUCCCUCUACUUUUGGCAGACUGUCAUGCCACGCCGAUUGGUGGACACUUUGGGUUCCAUAAAACACUCGCACGCAUUAAGCAAGACUUUACCUGGCCCAGAGUUCACGUCACAGUGAAGGAAUUCUUGCAGCAAUGUACCACAUGUCAACGCUUCAAAAAAGAUUGCAUGAAGCCAGCUGGGCUGCUGCAACCCCUACCUGUGCCUUCCAAAGUUUGGACUGAUAUCUUCAUGGACUUCAUCAAAGGAUUGCCUUCCUCCCAAGGGUAUACUUGUGUAAUGGUGGUAGUGGAUCGCCUGUCCAAAUAUGCCCAUCUCAUUUCGUUGAAGCAUCCCUACACAGCAAUCACGGUGGCCAAAGCCUUCAUCUCCUGCGUCGUCCGCCUGCAUGGUAUUCCAGCCUCUAUUGUGAGCGAUCGUGACAAGGUGUUUAUUAGCUCCUUCUGGCGCACCCUCUUUCAGUCCCAAGGCACUCAGCUGUGCAUGAGCUCAGCUUACCAUCCUCAGUCGGAUGGUCAGACUGAAGUUGUCAACCGCAUCCUCGAACAGUAUUUGCGGUGCUUUGCAGGUGACCAGCCACGUAAAUGGUUCGACUGGAUUCCAUGGGCAGAGUUCAGCUACAAUACCUCGCUCCACUCUGCCACUAAGAUGACGCCAUUUGAGGUGGUUUAUGGUGUUCCCCCUCCUAGUUUACUCACCUAUGUUCCCGGUACCUCAAAUGUUCAAGCCGUGGAUGAGCAUCUGCGCGAUAGAGACUGUCUCCUUCGUGAGCUGAGGAGGAAUCUGUUGAUUGCCCAGAACAGGAUGAAGAGCCAAGCUGAUCAACAUCGCAGGGAUGUCUCCUUUGACGUUGGAGAUUAUGUGUAUUUAAAGCUCCAACCUUACCGUCAAUCCUCAGUGGCAUUUCGUAGCUCAAUGAAGUUAGCCCCACGGUUCUUUGGGCCUUACCAGGUCCUAGCUAAAGUCGGAACAGUUUCCUACAAAUUAGCACUGCCACAGGAUUCCCAAAUCCAUAACGUGUUUCAUGUUAGCUUGCUACGGAAAUACUUUGGGCCCCUCCCUCCUACAUCAACAGUGGUGAGCCUUCCUCCUAUUUCAGAAUCAGCCAAUAUUCUUCCACAACCUGAGGCUGUCCUGGACCGACGAGUAGUUAACAAUGGGAAAUAUCAUCCAAAACAUGAAAUUUUGGUCAAAUGGGAUGGUGCACCAGUGGAAGAUGCUACUUGGGAGAAUGAAAGGCGUUUUAUCAAGACCUAUCCCACCUUCAUCCUUGCGGACAAGGAUUCUUAAGGGGGAAGGAUUGAUACGUGCAUGAAGAUACAUGCAAACCGCAACAAACCAGAAGGUGGCAGUAGCGCACGUGGUACGUGGAAGACACUUGGACGUGGAUCAUGCUUGGUCGCCAGAUUGUUAGUGGGGUUUGUUAUGGAAUUAGUCAUUCUCCAGUUAUUUUUAGUAUUAACAGUUAAUAAGGAUUCCUCGGAGGAUCCCUUGUUUGUUUCCCAUUUUCUAGAUAGUUUCCCAAAUUCUAGCAUUGUUUGUUAUUCAAUUCAUGUAUAAAAGGGCCUGGUGGCAUCCAAUAAAGGUAUCGAAAAUUAUCCAAUACUGUCUCCUCUCUUACUUCUCUGCUUCUCUUCUCACUCCCUAAAUUCAACCUAUCAAGAUCAUGAAGGGAUUGUACAGCCGCAGAGUUAGUGAUAUCAGGUGAAGAAGUGUGCACUGUCUCCUGCUGGAAUGUCUCCGGCUGAGUAAUUGAAGUGUCAGACUGCUGCUGAAGCUGUUGGCGGGCUGGAGUACUGUCACCAUGGAGUUGCAGAGCAACAUCAGCGGGAGAAAUAUCUGUAAAGCACACUGUCUCCUGCUGGAAUGUCUCCGGCUGAGUAAUUGAAGUGUCAUACUGCUGCUGAAGCUGUUGGCGGGCUGGAGUACUGUCACCAUGGAGUUGCAGAGCAACAUCAGCUGGAGAAAUAUCUGUAAAGCACGCUGGUGUAUCUGAGGUCAUAGUAGGAAGCAGGGGUAUGGGCAGUGAGCUGCUGCAUGGUGGCGUUGCUGGUGUUUCAGAGAUAUCUGUAGGAGAGCGUGAAGCAAGGAUAGUUAGCCAAGAAUCAAAUAUGCUAAGGACAUGAUUAGAAUGAUCAAUAUUUGUGGUGAUAUUAUUUUGUUUAUACGGAAGGAUAGAUUCACUAAAAACCACAUGUCGUGAGACAAAAAAAUUUUUGCUUGUUGGAUGAAAGCAUUUAUAUCCCUUAUGUUGAUCACUAUAUCCUACAAAAAUACAUGGAACACUUUUUGGAUCAAAUUUAUUUCGUCUUGUAUCCCAAGUGUAAGGGAAACAUCGGGAGCCAAAAAUACGAAGAGAUGAAUAAAUAGGGUGGUUACCAUGUAAGCGGAAGUAUGGAGUGUCAUAGUUAAGAGCAGAAGAGGGCAGUCUAUUAAUGAGAUAAACAGCAGUUGUGAAGGCUUCAACCCAUAAAAAUAAAGGAGUACCACUAUGGAAUAACAUUGUCAUACCUAGUUCUCUUAUAAUUCUGUGUCGCCUUUCAACCAUACCUGUUUGUUCAGGAGUGUAAGGACAAGAUACCUGGUGAACAAUUCCUGUGGAGCGAAAAUGACUUGAUAAUUUUGAGUUAAUAAAUUCUCCUCCUCCAUCUGAGUGAAAGACUUUGAUCUGUUUAUUGAAUUGCCUACUAACAUACUUUUCAAAUGCUAUAAACACUGUUAGAAAAUCAAAUUUGUUAUGAAGAGGAAUUAUCCAUGUAUAUUUAGAGAAAUCAUCUACUAGGCAAGCAUAAUAUUUGAAUUUUCCAAUAGAUAAAACAGGGGCAGGUCCCCAUAAAUCACAAUGUAUUUUUUCAAAAACAUCAGUACUUGAAUGUUCAGAAUGCGAAAAAGGUAAGUUGCUAAGUUUUCCUAAUUGACAACUAUCACAAAGGUGCUCAGUCUUCAUAGCUCCUGUGACGUCAAUCAAUCCUGUAUUUUUUAAUAGCUGCACUGCAGAAGCUUGAGGAUGUCCUAGGCGUUGAUGCCAAACUGCUGCUGAUCCAGUUUUAAAACGAUAAGAAAAAUGUAAUUCUGGCGAGUUGUGCAAGACAUAAAGAUCACCCUUACGUCUACCUGUGAUCAGAGGUUGUCCUGUUUUCCGUUCCUUAACACAAAAAUCAACGUCAGAAAACUCACAGUUCACAGGAAAUUGUUUGGUAAGCUGACUUACUGAAAGUAAAUUUUUAGUUAAUUCAGGAACAAGAAGAACAUCAUUAAUAUGUAAUUUAGUAUUGUUUUGUUUAAUAAAUGAAUCUCCAAUACCAAUAAUCGGUAGAGACGAUCCAUUUCCAAUAACCACAGAAUCAGUUCCAAAAUACUUACGAACAUCAGUUAACAUACCUGGCUUACUUGUCAUGUGAUUCGAUGCACCAGUGUCUGAUGUCCAUUCCGUGUCAACCACGGUGCUUCCCAAAUAGCGGUUGCUCUUUUGCAAUAUUAGAAGCAUGAACCACAAACAAUACUCUUUUGAAUAUUAGAAGCAUGAACCACAUUGUUCAUAAUCGACUCUUUCAUAAAUGUCAUCCUUAACAUCACCUUUUUCUAGCCUAGGAUUUUGCACACUAAGAGCCUAUUUGACGUUGCAGUUGAAUCGUUGUUUUUCCAUUUUGAAAAAAAUUAUUCUUGCUUCAAUUGUUUUUGCGUUCUUGGAUUGUUAUGAUGUGUUAAUGUUAAAAAUGAAUUAAAAAAUAUAUUUUGAUAUAUUUCCAAGUGAAAAACACUUUACAACGCAACCGCUACCACACUUUUAAACAAUCACUAAGAAGUUAUCCAGGAAUAAUUGUUCUCCAUUUGCAGUUGUUGCAUACUCAAAAAAAUAUUAUGUCAAAACAUACAUGACAGGUGGCUCCAAUAUCAAUCCACCACUUUUUAAGAUUGUGCACCAGGUUUGCUUCUGACAUAACUACAACAAGCUUUGCAGCUUUCUCAUCAACAUUCUCAAUGAUUUUGUUUUGUGCAUUUUUUCCUUACAGAUAUGCCUUUGCUUUUUACAAACAAAACAAGUUUCUUUGAACUUCUUUUUGCCGACACUAUUACCAUUAGAACUCUUGAGAGAACUUGCUUCAUAUUUAAGUUCACCAGGUUAAGAAUGUUUAGGAAUCGGGUUUGCCAUCGAGACCGCAAAGAUUACCAGGUUAAAUUAUUUUGGUUUUUUCCCCGCAUGAUAGAAUGUUUAGGAAUCGGGUUUGCCAUCGAGACCGCAAAGAUUACCAGGUUAAGAAGUACAUUGAAAUUAUUAACAAUAGAUUUAUCCAUUUAUUAUCUCAAUAACAAGAUUAACUUUAUAAUUAUAUAUCACACUUAUAUAAUCUGAAAUAAUAUUAAUUAAAAUGAAUCCCAAAAAUUUAACACACUAAUUCUGCAAAAAACAAAUUUAAUAAACAAUUUAACUUUGCAACUAUGUAUUUAUUUAUUUGUUUUUCUAUGAGACUCAAUUUUUUUUUUAAUAAUCAUCAAGAGUAUAUUGAAAAGGCCAUAAAGCCAAUAGACAGUGAAAUUUUUAACAGAAACUCAAUGUAAUUUUCAACAAAAACUAUAACAAUACAAAUAAUUACAAAUAUUUUUCUUUCAACAUCAACAUAAGAAAACAAUAUGCACUCUUCUAAAGUUAUGAUAAAAAAAAUCUGAUUGAUACUUAUGUUGUUUUAUGAUUAAAGUAACAAUAGCAUCUAAAGAGAAUGAAUUAGGUGUUGCACUAAUUAUGUCAAAAUAAUGCAAGUAAACACACUAAACACAUAUAACACAAAAACCAACAAUAUAAUUCAAGUGCUUAAAGUAAAUAUAUAAGAAAAAAGAGAUUGCAAACUCGAUUUUUAACGUGAUUCGGUAAGCUUACAUCCACAUCUCAAGUACUAAUCAUACUUAAGUAUUGUACUUUUUUACUAAUCCAAGUGAAAGAUACAUUGCCCUUGAUGAAUUCACACCAAGAAAUUACACCACUUGAUGAAUUUUUCUCUUUAAGAUUUUUCUCCUAGAAUUCCGGUUAAAUAGAAUUGCACUUAAUAUAUAUUAUUUCACCAUAAUUAUUAUCCAGAUAUGCAACUUUUUUUCUUUCCGAUCAUCUGUUUUCUUUUUUUCAUAUCAAUACAACAACAAAGGAAAAUACCAUGCAAUAUAAAAUGUAUUUCCCUGUAGAAUCAAUGCAACAAGUUUACAGACAACAGACGACAAGGAAUUUAACAUAGUCAUGGAAUUUAACUGAAGAUAUAUACACUUUACUUUCUCUAUUAAAAUUAAACUAUUUUUUUUAAUCUAUGUCAAUAUAUAAUCAAUUUGGUCUUGAAGAUAUAUAAAUAUACACAGAACAAAUAUGUUAGAAAAUAAAUUGUUUAAGAUUGUUAGAGCACCUUAAAUAGUUCAUAAAAUUAUUCUUCCCUUUUACUAUAAUGAUGAAGUACAAGGGUUGUUGAUGAUGACCUCUUGGAUGGCUACAUGAAGCUUGUUCCGUUUUAAAUUUCAAGGUUAAUCUAUUGCUAUGAGCAUACGUGUCUCAAUUUAAAACUCGAGUUGCAACUGAACUUAAAUGAAUGGUGUUGGAUUUGGGCCUUCUAUUUGUUUUAACUUCUACAGGGUUGAAAUGAUAGUGAUCUUAAAGUAGAAAAGCAGCAGACAAAAAUCAAUUAACCAUAAUGGUGCAUGGUUUCCUAGUUUCUCAGCAUAAAGUUGAAUGUUUUGUUGACCUUUCUACAUCAAAAAUCAUAUAGACAGCUACUGCUGGCACUUGCAGUGGCCAAUGCAUACUGUAGAGUAUAUAUUGCAGUGUGAGAUAAGGUUAACUCGUUGCAUUUUCAUAUAUUGAAAGGAUUUCUCUUCUUUUCUUUGUCAAUUACAGCACAUGCAUAUAAGUGUUCUUCCUCAGAGUAAAUGCUAUAGUAAUGUUUUCACGGACUCCCCUGGUUUGCAACUGAUUCACUUAUAUAUCUUGGAACAUAGCCAUAAAUGAAAGGUUCUUCUAGUUCAAGAAAAUUAACCAUGAAGCUCGUAACUAGAAUUUUUAGACAGAAGGGUGGCCAAGCGAACUCCUAUACUCCGUACGUCUGGAAUAAUACAGGGAAAGGGUGUUUAUGUAUUUUGAUGUCUUAUAUUACUUGACCAACUCUUGCUUAUCUCAUUAUUUGUUUUAAUUUUUUGCUAAUAAUUCCACACAUUUCUGAUAUGGUGUGGUUUUUGAGUUCAGGGUUCUUGCUCAUUGCUGCUAACUUCUCUAUACUUGCCUGGUCAUUAAAAAUGAAACGUAAUGAUUUGCAUAUGCUGAAUGGAGACAUUAAAGAGGCAUCUUCUGUUUUCUGGUCAGGAGGGAUUACAAGAACUCAAGAAAUUUUCCAUAUGUUUUGAGGAAAAGAUUUAUACUACCACUACCAAUCAGGUAUUUGCCUAAUGUGAGGUUUAAUAAUUACGAUAUUAUCUAGACAUUAAUAUACACACGCAUUUAUGCUUGUACAAAUGUGUGUGUAGUGUAGUGUGCCUACACUUCCUCACCGUUCAUUCUGUAUGCAAGGCUGAUUGGGAGUUCACAUUAUUUUGUUAAUUCUCUUGACAAGUGUUUUAUUUAGAGUGACCAAGUUCAAGUACAAGGGAAGAGUGCAAAAAGCAAAUAGCGAAUCAAUACAUAAAUAAUUAAAUAAAAAGAGAGGAAACAAAAGUAUAUCAUAGAGAAGAUGAAAUGAUAGAGCAUAUAUCCAUUUUCCUCCUCUUGUAACAUGGAUUGCUCUGAGAUCUGAUGUUUUGUUAUUAAUAUCUGAUUUCAGUCUGAUUAUAUAUCUACGAAAAAUAUCUCUGGAGAUGCUUUCGAUGGAGAUCAGGUCUCAAAAUGCCAUGCCCACUGUCCCCAUGGAUCCAGCAGGUAAUAAUGCACCCGAGCAUUGAAUUUCUAAACAUCUUACCUUUUGUUUUUCUUCUCACAUUGUUAUCAAACUCUUUUACAUUUUAUUGCUGUAUAUUGCUAUGUAUAUCGCCUUGCUAGAAAAAUCUCAUGAUCACCUCCACGAUGCUAAUUCUAUAAUGCAUGUGAAGUGUUUCAUCCUUAACUUGUUAAGAACAAGGACUAUGAUGCAUUGCUAUUUUAUAUUUUAUGAUUGAGAUGGUAGAUUUUAAAGAUUUUCCUGUUUAGGAGAUAAAAGUAAGAUGUCACUUUUUUGCUUUUCUUCCGAGAGAGUAUUUGAUCCUUUUUUCGUAUAAAAUAAUGCUGGCAUGCAUUGAAUUUCCAAACAGCUUAGCUUUUGUUUUGUUUGUCGCAUUGUUAUCAAACUCUUUUACAUUUUAUUGCGGUAUAUUGCUAUGUGUAGGGCAUGCUUUAAUCAAAAAGUUGAGUAAUUGAUGAAUGCUAGGCAUGAAAAUGACAUAUUAUUUUUGUUUUCUGUCUCCUCCUUUUCUUUCCCCCACCUCAAAAAUUGUCAUGUUAUUUUUGUUUUCAGCCGCCUCUUCUUCCCCAAACCUUUAAAAUUGUUUAUAUUUGCUUUGGAAGCAUGACAAACUUCAUUGCCUCUCAGCUUAAGGAGAUUGCAGCAGGUCUCGAAGCUUCUGGGCAUUAGUUUAUCUGGGUAGUUAGAAGAAACAAAAAGAGUCAAGAAGACAAGGAAGAUUGUUUACCUAAAGGAUUUGAGGAAAGAAUGGAAGGCAAAGGGCUAUUAUCAGAGGAUGGACACUCCAAGUUUUGAUUCUUGGUCAUGAAGCAAUAGGUGCAUUUGUGACUCAUUGAGGAUGGAACUCAACUCUUGAAGGCAUAAGGCAAAUAUUUGCUGAGCAAUUCUAUAAUGAGAAGUUGGUGACUGAUGUUUUAAAAAAUGGAGUUAAGGAAUGGCUUAGAGUGCAGAGAUCAUGUUAAAAGUGAAGCUGUAGAGAAGGCAAUCACUCAAAUUAUGAUGGGUGAAGAAGCAGAGGAAAUGAGAGAGAAGAAAGCUGAACAAGGGAACGCAGUAGAUGAAGAAUAUGAGUUUACUGCAUUUACUGUCAAGAAUACAAACGUGAGCACUAAAAACUAAUUUGUACAGGAUACUCUUUAUAUAUAGAGUAGUAAUUAACUUCAUCACUUAUUUCUUUCUAUGAAUACAAUAUUCCUUAUUUAUAUAUAUUGAUUUGUUUCUUAUAUGAGGUAGCUGUAGUUUCCUUCUAUGAAAGAUCUGCCAUGGCUGUAGUUUCCUUCUUUGAGAAGUAGCCGUUGGUUGAGGUAGCUGUUGAUUCCUGUGAUUUCCAUGUAUGGUUAAUUACCAUUCUGAAUAGUAGCCGUUGGAGGUGUUAAUUCAGAAUGGUUGCUGACGAGAGUGAGGAUCCUGUGGUGGUGCUGCUGCUGUCUCCUGCUGCUGCUGCAGAGGUGUGUUGUUGCUGUUAAUAAUGAGGACUAGAGCAAAGAAGCUUUCAGUGCUUUGAUUUAAUAACUGCCAAGAAUGGAAGGCUGUUGAAGAUGGUGGAUCUUCUUGCUCCAAUUUCAAUGCUUUGAUUGAAUAACUGAGGUGGGGUAGCCCUUGAAACAGAGGCAUAGAACAUUUUGUUACUACUUAGUAGUGGUUUUGGCAAUUUAUUUUCAGAUAAGUCUUGAGAGUUGAAAGAGUAAUCACAGACGAGUCAAUGACCAAUCCAAAUCAGUUCCCUUCCUAAUGGUUCAGGAAUGACAAGUCCAGCUUAUUUAUUGAGCCCAAAUAACUUUUCAAAUAAAAAGGUUGAACUUAGAGACAGUACACUACAAAUUAAGCACCUAAUAGCUAGACAUACAAGACAAACAAUCAUCACAAACUAGGAACAAUCGUCUUCCCAGUAACAAAUUCACCUUCUCAAGUUGGAGAACUUGCGAAAACUAGCCACUACAAAAUAGUAGCAAGUAUCUAUGCAGUCUUCGAUGAAGUACGACCACCUGCGUCGCCAAUAUGGAUCGAUGUAAAGAACUACUACAAUUAUCAUCACCACAACUGUGUAACAUACACCGAAAUUGAUGUAGAAAAACUCCAUGUCUAUGAAACCAUCAUCUCCUUGUUCAUCAUAAGGCACUGGCUGUGAUGGCACUGGUUGUGAUGGCACUGGCUGUGAUGGCACUGCUUCCUCACUACAAUUGUUUCGCAAUGGAGGUCCACACAAAAAAGGAUUUCCUUCGUAACAACUUUCAUCAAAGGUCCCAAACUGAUAUUUUCUCUCGGGUGUGUUACCUGACAAGUUAUUAUGCGCCACACUAAAAACUUCCAGUGUGGUAAUAUCAGUAAGUUGUGGAGGGAUGACACCAUUCAAGUUGUUGUAAGAAAGAUCCAAACUCUCAAUCUGCUUUAGGUUUGAGAAUGUUGCAGGGAUAGAUCCAGUGAGAUUGUUGUGUGAUAAGUUUAAUGACAGUAUCUUACUUAAGUCUCCAAAUUCUGGUGGGAUUGCUCCUACGAAGUUGUUAUUGGAGAGAUCAAUACCAGACAUGUAGCUGAGAGUCUUCCCCUUGUAACGAUAAUACAUAUUUUUAGUUGUAAAUUCUAUCACUUCUUCUGUAAAGUUAAGCAGAAAACCCUUUCUCAAGUUGUACAUACUCUCCACUAGUGGUGGACCCAUUGUUUCAUAAUAAGCUUUUUCUAUGGACCUUGAUAGAACAUCAGCUCCGAGAUCUGCGAGCGUUUUCUGGGAACUUUCCUUGAAAGUAAGAUUGCCCAAACAGGAGGGUAGUGGACCAGAGAGUUGGUUUUGUGAAACAUCCAAAAUGCUUAAUUGUUCUAACAAGCAUAAUUGAACAGGGAGCUCACCAUCAAAGUGAUUAGCCCUCAGAAGAAGAACACUCAAUGAUGAAAGAUUGCCAAUCCAAUUUGGAAAGGAGCCGGUGAAGUUGUUAUCUCGAAGAUCCAUCGUAACCAGGGAAGAGUUGUUAUAAAAUCCAUAUGUUAAUGGACCGCUCAAUCUAUUUUCAGAUAGAUGCACAUGGGUUAUUUGUGGUGGACUGAAACAAGAUGGUAUAUAUCCAGACAAGUUGUUCUCAGAAAGGUCCAAAUAUUCAAGCUGGUUAAGCUUACAAAAGUCUCUUAGGAUCGGACCCUUAAAAUAGUUUUUGGACAAAUCAAUUGCGAUAAGGCCUGUAGAAUUGACUAACCACCUUGGAAGCAUGCCUGAAAAUUGAUUGUCACUCAAAUCCAAUGUUGACCACAUUUUCCACCCAUAUAAUAGAAAAUCUGAUAUCUGACCCCAAAAGUUGUUACCGUGUAGGUAGAGAUAUUCUAAGGUAGAAGAAUUGAAUACUGAGGUUGGUAAUUGCCCACCCAAAUUAUUGUUUGACAGCUUGAGAAACCAUAUUGUUGUUAGUUGUUCUAGUUUUACUAUAGACAAUUGAUUGUUGGAUAAAUCUAAAAUUUUCAAAGAGCUAAUAUUUCCUAAACAAGAAGGAAUACAACCUGUGAAUCCAUUAUUGGCCAUCCUUAAGCUCCACAUAUUUGGAAAGAUCAAACAAAUAUCUUUAGGAAUUUGACCGUUCAUGUUGUUGUUGGAAAUAUCUAAUUCGGUCAUAUUCAGAUAUGGGUGAUCUUGCAACUGUAAAGUACCGACAAAGGAGUUGUUGCUUAGAUAUAGUUGCUCCAAUCGUGUAUUGUUCUUAAGCAACCAUGAUGGAAACAUUGCGGUGAUGUUGUUGUGGGAGAGAUCAAGGACUCUUAUGUCGUAUUGGUAAUAAAGGAAGUCGGGAAUUUUUACAUUUAGUGCUUCUGUUGUUUUUGACAAUCGGAAAAAUACUAGUUGGAACUUUGGAAUCAAAUUAUCAAAGGCAGCAGGUUCUGUUACUAGCUUGUUGUUCUCACUGGAGAAGAACUUGAGGCUUGAGUGGUUCAUAAAAGGCUUCAUUGAAAUGGGAACUUCAAAGAGGUUAUUUGAUAGUGAGAGGAAUUCAAGGGAUGUGAGGUUGGUAAGAGGACCGGAGGCAAUAUUUCCAGUAAACUGGUUUUCAGAAACAUCUAAUAGUUGUAGAGAUGACAAGUUCCCCAAACAAUCUGGGAGUGAACCUCCUAAAUUAUUUCCAGAGAGAUCUAACUGCCUCAGAUUCUUUAAUUCACACCAACCUGUACAAUUUAUCUUGAAACAGUCAAAACAGUGUUGAAAGAAUCUUUUAUUGAUGAUAGUUGUUAAUUUACCUUGAGCGGGUAGGGUGCCAUGGAGGUCACAUUCAGCAACAGACAAAACUUUAAGAUCAGGCAAUGCUCCAAUGUUCUGGAGAAAGUUUAUUGGGAGAGAAGUACGAUCUAGAUACAAUUCUUCAAGGGUGCUAGAAUUGAAGAAAGUCCCUGUGAAAAAGAAAGAAGAAGAGAUAUGAUGAAAAUUGUGGUCGUACAGAAUAGCCAUUCCAUUUAAUAUUAUUAAUUAAGAUUUUAAGAAACUAAACUAUGAUUAACCUUGACUUAAAUUAGUAUCCUUGAGAGAAAGGGUCUUCCUUAAACCUAUGAUGUGUAGAAUUGAAAGCAGGCAAUCAAGUAAGUAGUGAAAUUAAGUGUUAUCUUGAUCGAGUUUUUAAACCUAUGAUAAAGAACUGAUAUUGAAUAGUGAGAUGAUUUUUGGAUAGAAACAACAAAUUGCCUGAAAAAUCCAGAGAUAUUGCCUGAUAAAUUUAAAUUUAAAGACUUUACCAUUGACGGUCGUCGAUCCUAGCAACAUAUUGCCUGAUAAAUUUAAAGACUUGAGAUAAGAAAGCCCACGCAGAUGUGAUAAAAUGCUGUCGUUGAAUAUAUUAUAGCUCAGGUCCAGGUUAUCGAGUUUCUCCAAAUGUGAUGAUAUGAUCUCAAAACCUGCAAGAGAGUUGUUUCUAUAAGCAAGUCAUAAUUACAUAAUAACUUUAAUCAAACAUGAUGAAAUACUAUCGUUGAUUAUUAAAUGAAUAUAAAGUCCUCAAUUUUCAUAGAAGGAGAUAUGAGAAGGAGAAAAGAAAAUGUUUCGAAGCUAAAUAAUUAAAAGGUUACCAUAGAAGCUACCUGAUCCUGUCAAUCCAUUGCCUGAUAGAUCCAAAGACUUGAGAGUGGAAAGCCCAGUCAUGCAUGACAAAAUGCUUUUAUCAUUAUUAAAUCGGUUAUCACUUAGGUCAAGAUUCCUCAGAUUUGAUGAUAGGACUUCGAAGCCUGGAAGAGAAUCAUCAAAGCAAGAUAAUUGACAUUAAACACCAAUCAACCUUGAUUUAUUUUAUGAUUAUAAGUGCAGAAACAUUGAACUAACCUUCAUUCUCCAAGCAACCAACCAAUCCAUUAAAUCGCAAUUCGAGACUUUGCAAUUCUUUAAAAGGCAGAAACAAAGAUGCGUUGAGAACCCAAUCGCCAAAGCUCUGAUCCCUUGCUCCACUAAGAGAGAGUUCGAUCACUCGCCUUGUAGUGUUAUCACACUCGAUCCCAUCCCACUCACAACAAUUACUACUGUCCACCCAAUGUCUCAAGGAAAAGCCAUCUGGGUCGAUCAAAGAUUGGAUCUCCAAGAGACCAAUUCUCUCUUCCUCCAAACAUCCAUAACAACGACCAUACCAUUCGCCAACCAAAGUCAAUAAUAUUGCUAGCAACAUCCAAGCCCCCAUUCUUUUCAUCAUCAUCUUAGAUAAUUCUAUGUGACAUCAAGAACGUAGAAUAUUGUUGUUUGUUAUGUGCCUUUGGGCAACCAUAGAGGUCCUAUUUAUACUACACUGUGGCCAUUUCCGUGACUUUGAGAUGUUUUCUUUAUUUAAUUUCCAUGACUUUAUCUGCAUAUCUUGUGCAGGUUCGGUGUUUUGAGAUUUGAAUAUUAUUUUAUUUCUUUUUGGAAUAUUCUUGGAUUUGAAUAUUAUUUUAUUUUAUUGUUUAGCACUUAGUCUAUUUGCAUUUAAUUAUAUUUUGGUUACUAAUUAUUCAAUUUAUAAAAAAAUAAAAUAAAAAAAUUGUUGCAGUACUUCAACAUAACAUAUAUUUGUUUUUAUGGUGGGAAAGGUAUUCUUGACUUGUUUUUAUUACAUUUCAAUAUUAAAUAUAUUUUUUUCAAUCGAGUCAAAGAUAUACAAUUUAUAUUAGAAUGAGAAGACUAAUCAAUUUCUCUAGUUUUCUCCCUAAUUAUAAAAUACAUCUAAGAUAAAAGGAAUUUAUUUCUUGAAAUUAAUGCAUUAAAAAAUAUAAAAAUAUUUUUUAAAAAUUAAAAUAGUAGUAAAAGAAAAUUUAGUUUUUGAUUGAAGUGUAAACUAGUGGUCAAUGAACAAAAAGAAACUUUAUUGAUUAUCUAAUGAGUUACUUCUCCAAAAAGAAUAUAUAUAUUAUUGAAUAUCUAAAGGAAACGAUUCAUGAAACUCCGCCUAAUAUAUAUAUAUAUAACAGAGAAAUUGUCGAUAAUAGCAAUCAUUUUCUUAUCUCUUGUAUCAUUCAUAUCUUCCACAAAUCUUAAGUAAUUGAUGAGAAAGAUCGUGAACGCGGAUGCUUGACUUGUUGUGUGGCAUUUUGAUUUUUAAACACAACCAUGCAGUGAUUUCCUGGUGAUUUCCUUAUGCAUACUGGUGGUCCUUCAGAAUCUUGGAGGACCACCACAAGCCAAUCUAAAAAAAUGCUAAAAGUAAUCUUGAGGGUUGUAACUUAACUGGUCAGGUCCUGAGUUUGUUCCCCGAAGAUCACCAGUUCGAGUCCCACAAACCUCAGAGCCACUUGAGGCUUACAUGAUCAUUAACUUCAGGGCUCGUGGGAUUAGUCGAGAUGCACGCAAGCUGACCCGAACACCCACGUUAAUAAAAAAAAAUGCUAAAAGUCAAAACACACAAGCCAUAUAAAAAUCACACGACAGCCAAUUGCCUUAUCUUGUGAAAAAAAGAUCAAAAAAAAAAAAAACAUUCUCUUAGGUAUGCAAUGACUGCCUAUCUUCUCAUGGGGAGCAAAAAUCAGUAGCCUCCCAUGGAAUCCUAAUAAACCUUUCUCUGUGCUCUUCUAAGAUAUUAAAAAUGUCAAACAUACAUCAAUAAUCAAGAUUUGGGUCCUAGAUCAGACAAGUUAGCUUAUGUUGACUGGUGUUAAUCUAAAAUUGUAUCAUUUUAAGAAGAAAAAAAACUGUGUAGUUAAAAAAAAAAAACUAGUUUUUGACUGAGUUGAUUAGGUUCUUGGUUGAUUUAUCUGGUCGAUGAGGCUUGAUUGGGUCAACUCUCACUUGGUUUUUUCUAAACCUGAAUCCGGUCAGAUUCCAGAUUAAAAUGGUAGGCUUGAAUUAAAUUUAAUAACGCUGAUUAAAACCACAUUGUAGAAAAAAAAAUUGAAUUGCAUAAAAGUAAUUAACCGAAAACUUAUAUUCCUUCUUAUUGUCAAAGAACCAUCUCAACCCUUAAGCUAUUAGGUGAGGUCCCAAGAUAUGAUUUAUAUUAUUCUUUAACACACUCCCUCAAGUGAAAGCCCUUUGGGCUUGAAACUUGCAAAUGUCUACAUUACCUUGUGCUUGAUUUUUAUCAAAUUAAUGGGGGGUGAGAUUCGAACUCGUGACCGCUUGGUCAUCAAAGCUCUGAUAUUAUAUCAAAUAAUCACCUCAACCCAAAUUAAAACUUAAACUAUUAGAUGAGAUCCCAAGUUAUGAUUUAUAUUAUUCUCUAAGAACCCAUAUCAGUUUUUUUUAAGGAAAAGUAUGAAUCAAAGGUUAACGCUAGGCAGCUCACUUUGCAUGACAAUGACGGAUAUAGAAGACUUGCUACUUUCUUUAUGGAAAUAACGUGUGGAAAAUCAUGCCUUAAUGUUGAUGGUGAUGGCAAAAACAACCAGUAUCGUUGAUAAAAUGAACCACAAAUGAUAUUAUUUCUAAAAUACUUUUUUUCAUUGUCAUGACAACAAGUCUUCUUCUUUUUCUUUCUAAAGAGUCUAUUUUUUGUAACACAACCAACAAGUAAAAUGGAUAGGAAUUUGCAGUGUGAGAUGGGUCUGUGAGACUUUUGCCAUCUGCAUUUUUUCCAUGAUAUAGGCCAGUGAGAUAGUCCAUGAAACCAUUGCCCUGUAAGCAUUUAUGAGUUCGUGAGACCAUUUCCAUCUGCACAUUGGUCCCUGAAACCGUUGCCAUCAUGCAUUUUUUCCACGAGAUGGGUUCGUGGAACAUACUUUGGUUUAAUUGGGAAUGCUGUUAUUGAUUGAAAACUUUCUAAUUAAAAUAAAUUUGAUUAUUUGAUUGGAAGAAAUCCUUAAAUGUUAUUAACACAAGAAAUCAAUUUAUUUUCUUAAGAAAAAAAUAUUGUAACCAUAUAAGUAAUUUAUUUAUUUAUUUUAAUGAAAUAUAAAAUAGUUUUAAAUAAUCUUGUGGUAUAUUUCUUGUCUUUAAGAGCUAUGAACUUAUAUCUCAAAACUUGAAAACUAAUAUAAAGAUAUUAAGUGAUCAUUGAGUGUGUGUGUAUGUAUAUAAUCCUUUUCAAAACAAAAAGGAUUUUGAUGGAGAUCAGGACAUUGCAACAAAUUAUCCACGAGAUGGGUCGGUGAUACCAUUGUCAUCAUGUAAUUUUUCCCACGAGAUGGGGUCGUACGCUUGGGGCUCUAAAAGCUAUGGUUUUUAAUUUCAUCAGGUAUAUUUUAUUUCAAUUCUAAAAAUGAAAUAAAUUAGAAGAUAUUUCAUCUUGUUUAGAAUAUUAUCUCCUUACAUGCAUGAAUUUCACCUAAAUUUUGACCAGAAUAUAUCGGUUCUAUUCCGGCCAUUCUAUUAUGUCCAAAUAAUGUUUUGUUUUGCUUUUAUAUAUAUAAAAAAUAUAAUUUAUUUUUAUGAUAUCAAUUAUACCUUUCAAUUUGACUAUUAGAUUAGACUGAAAUUUUAUAAUCUCUUAAUAUGUAUUUAUAUCACAAGUUAAAAUUUUAGAGCAAUCAGAGUUUAGAAAGACUUGUGAAAUUACUGUUGAUAUUUUCAUAAUUUUAUUUAAAUUCAUAAUUUUUUUUUGAAAUGUUAUUUUUUGUGUUUUUUUAGAUUGAUUUUUUUUAAUUUUAUAAUUUAAUAAUAAAUUUAUUAAAAAUUAAAAUUCAUAAUUUAUUUUUAUUUAUUUUAUUUAAAAUUAUUAUAUUCUCAUUACUCAUAUCACGAAAAAAACCUUUGCUUUAAUUGGGAAUGCUGUUACAAGUAAUUGGACUCCGUGGGAUGGGAGACCGUUGCCAUCAUGCAUUUUUUUUCCACAGCAUGGGUCCGUAAAGUCCUCUAUAAAAGCUUAAACCUCCUUACUAUCCUCUAUAUCAAUUGAUCAGCAUUUAUAAGAUGGGGCUGUUCCUUCUGAUGCUGAUGGUUUUAGUAAUGAUGGUUUCUUGCAAGGAUGGCUGCCUCUUGGAGUAUAUUGACUUGAGAAUUAAUUGUUUUGAUAACAGUAUUUUAUUAUUUGUGGAGUUAUUUCUAUUUUUUAAAUUAUUAUAUUUAGAUUAUAAUAGAGUGAAAGAGUUAAUAGGUUUAAGAGAUUAGGAAAAAGCUAAUAUUAAUUAUAGUUAGGGACCAAACUGGAAUUUUUGCAUAUUUUUAAGGGUCAAAUUGUAAUUUUAUUAAAUUGAUGAAGGACCAAAAUGAAAAUAUCAUAUUUAUAACUAUACUGGAAUUUUGCCCAUAUUUCUUCUUUAAUUUUGCCUAGAAUCUCGGAUUAUGCUCUAGGGACCAAUCUGUAAUUUUUUUCAAAGUUUGGGGAUUAAACUGAAAUUUUCACAAAUUGAGGUACCAAGCUGAAAUUUUUUCAUCUUCAACCUCAUACCCAGAUUUUUCACAAAUCACCUAUUGAUAUAUCAAGAUUUUUAACUAGAUGAGGGUUUAGGUCAUAGAUUGGCCUAAUACUCAGAUCAAGAUUUGGAUCAAGUUAGCUUAUUGACUAGUGUUAAUAAAAAAUUGUAUUAUUUUAAGAUUUAAUUUAAUCAAAUAGAUUCAACUCCCAUGCCAUUCCACAAUUAAUUUAUUUUAUUAUGAUUUAGUGUUAUGUUAACCAGGCAACAUUUAAUUACCAUGAUAUAAAAUACAAAAAUAGUGGGAACAUAAAAAACAUGCUUUUAUAUAUUUUUUAUUUUAAAAGUACAAAUUUUACUCUAAGACUAUUGUAAAAAGAUAUUUAUUUUAAAUUUAUUUAUAUUUUUAUAAUUCAAAAAUUAAAAAUAAAACAGAAUUAAUCCAUACUCAUCUAAAAACAAUUAACUCUAACAUCAUUAUUUUAUAACAAAACUAGCAAAGAUAAUUUAUUAAUCACUAAGUUUUCUGGUUAUAAAUACAUUAGUAAUUGUCUUCGUCUCUUUUGUAUUUCUAACUAUUAACGAAUUGAAUAUAUAUAAUAAAUACCGAGUGAAAGAAUAAAUUUAGUUGUAUAAUGUACUAAAUAUUAAAUAGGUGACUUUAGAAUCACCAAGCAGUGAAUCACACGGGAAGAUUGAAAGAAUAAUUAAAGUGAUUUUAGUAACCGACAAGUUGACCCCAAGUCAAAAGUCUUUUGUGGAAAAACAUGAAUAAAAGGUUGAGGGUAAGGUCAUUGCUAUCAAGCGUUUUUUUCUACGAGAUGGGUCCGUUACACCAUUUCCGCUCAAGCUUGAGAAGUGAUGAUAUAUGCUUUAUUUUCAACUUGUAUAAAAAAUAAAUUUUAAUGUAGUGUGUUAGUGUUAAAUAAUUAUCUUAAUCUAAUAGUUUAAGCUGUUAGAUAAGGUCUCAAGAUAUGAUUUAUAUUAUUCUCUAACACACCUCUCAAGUAAAAACCCUUUGGACUUGAAACUUGUUCAGGUUCACAUUACCUUGUGUUUAAUUUUUAUCAAAUAAAUGAAGAUGGUGAGAUUCAAACUCGUAACUGUUUGGUCAUCAAGGCUCUGGUACCAUGUUAAAGAAUCAUCCCAACCCAAUAGCUUAAGCUGUUAGGUAAGGUCCCAAGAUAUAAUUUAUAUUAUUCUCUAAUACACCUCCUACUUUGUGUUUAAUUUUUAUCAAAUAAAUAGGGAUAGUGAGAUUCGAACUCGUGACCGCUUGGUCAUCAAGGCUCUGAUACCAUGUCUAAAAACUAUCUCAACCUAAUAGCUUAAACUGUUAGGUGAGGUCUUAGGAUAUGAUUUAUAUUAUUCUCUAACAAUAUUUUCUUCACUUUCUAUAUAGUUUUACCUUACACUAAUAUUGUCAGAAAAUGAUAUAUAGUUCUUGUGUUAUCCUUCAAGAUUUCAAUUGAAAAGGAGGGUCGUAAAAAAUUUAAUUUUUAUAAACAUACCCUUAACUUAAUUUGGAUGUGGAUAAUUGUUUGCAAUAUAUUUACAUCCAAUAUAAACAAUUCAUCAAUGAUCAAGUCGGCAUUGGUUAGCUAAAAUAUUGAAAAUACUUACUCUUUUUUUUUUUUUGGCCAUGCAGUUCCUAUAUAUAUAUAUAUAUAUAUAUAUAUAUAUAUAUAUAUAUAUAUUAGUUGAAAUUUCAUGAUGUCCAUUAAUCCUUUUAAAUUAAAGUCAAGUUAUUAAUUAUAUCCUAUAAAUUUCUAGAAAAACUAAUUCUCUCAAAUUUCGUCGUCUUUUUUACUAACUAUAGAAGGCGAUUGCUACAAACUAAAAUUUCAAGAUGAAAUUGAGAAAUCUGAAGGAGCAAACUGAGAAUCUACCAAAAUCUGACCAAGUCGUUUCACUAGUGGUUUCAAUUAAAAAGCUGAGAGGCAGGCAAUUUCCCAGAAACCCUCUUGGACCCCAUAAAUGAAAUAAUGACACAUGCCGGGGAACAUAGAAAAAUGAGCCUAUAAUCGAAUGAUCAAUACCGGCGAAAGAAAUCAAAUGGAGUAUAAGGUGAAGAGUAAGCCAUCGACAGCACUUUGGAGGCUAUAAUCGAAUCAGCUGCUUCUAUAUAUGCAAUGGGUCGCAUCCCAACUUGCAGACCUGAUAUGAAAUUGUUAUGAUGUUCGUUCUGUAACUAUCAAAACUCACUUAAUUCUGUAGUUUCCAUCUCUUUUUUACUUAACAUGUGAUGUUUGAGAGUGAAGGUAACUAUUGCUUUUUAAAAUAAAAUAUAAUUUAUGUGGUAUCUGAAUACAUAGGAACAAUAUCUGUGUGCCUCAUGCAUGCUUUUCAAAAUCAAGUUUGGGGUUUUUUACACCCAAAAAUCUAUUUUUCAAUUAUGUUUUCACCAAAACAAAAGCAACUAAAAAUCACUUAAUUAAAAGAUCAAAGUGAAUCUAUUUACUUUCUCAUACAAAAAUCAGUCCAAAAAUAAAAAAUAACUUAAAACCUAAAUUUUCUGAUAUCAUAUCUACUUUUUCAUGUAAUUUUAAGGUGAACACUCGAAUAAAACUACUUUUAUCUAAUGGACUAUUGACACAAAGAUUGACUAUUUUGAGGGCCAAAAUUGAUUUUAACCGAGAUUUUAUCUUUUUACCACUAGAAUUUAGCUACUCUCUUUUCUCUUUGAAACUAAAAAAAUAAAAAUAAAAAAAUGACCUUUUGAGUCAAAAUUGAAUCUUACAAAAUUAUAGGGAUUGAAGAUCUAUCAAUUGGAAGUAAGAAAAUCCAAGCUAACUUUUCGCAUUAAUUUUGAAAAAGCCACCUAGUGCCUUUGUUUUUUUCACUUUGAUCCCUUAACUCUCAAUCAUGCCCUUCAUCAAUAAAUUGAAAGAAAUUUAUUGGCGAAAUAAAUUUAUUUCGAAGCCCUUCAUCCUUUGCAAAAUUUACAAGAACAUACCUGAAAGUCCUUGUUGAGAAUCUUGGAGAUAGAGCAAAAUAGAGUGGCAAACAUUGAUACAAUGAACUGAACUUGCAGGACAAGGUCAAAAGUCAUGGCCUUGCCAGCCUUCAAGAAAGUAAACUCCAAUGCAGGCAUUAGAAACCCAUGAAGAGCUGCACCACCAAUAUUCAUGAAGAAACCCAAAAUAUAUUUUCCUUUAGACUCCCACUUGGUCUAUCUCCGUUCAUGUGAAAUACAAGAAUAAUAGACCCAAGGGUCAUCAAAAUCACCGCGUUUAUUCAGUAAUGUGUGAAGCCACUGAGCUAAAGAAUAAAUAAUCCAAGAAAAUUCCACCAAUUACCAUUAAUGUAAGGAAUUCCUGCUUCUUUUUUAGAAGAUCUUCUGGUUGUAUUUGGUUAAUAUCUCAUGCAGAAGAGACACAAAUAUAUAAAAGACAAACAAGUUUAAUUAAAGAGAUAGAAACAUAAAAUAAAUAUGUUUAUAAGAUAAUUUUAGAGUAAAUUUCUAUAUAUAUUUUCAAAUAAAAAACACAAAGAGACAUGUUCAGUACUUGUAUCAUAAGUUUUAUUAUCAUCAAACGUUUGCCUUUCACUACUUUUGCAUGUCUAUAAAGGAAUUUGAUUUCAUUCAAAACACAAUCUAAUAAUUUUGUAGAGAUAAAGAAGACAAGCACGUCGCAAACUGAUCAAUGGCCAUUGAAGUAGACAAAACAGUACUGACUAGCACCACCAGCUUUUACUUGCAUUUGGCUUGAAAGACGAGUGGACUACAUCAAGCAAAUAACAAAAAAAAGCAUGUAAAGAACUAUGAUUAAUUUAAUAAAAAGUAUCUUGCAGUAUUAGAAGGUUUCAGUGAUAUGCCUAUUAAAACAUAUUUGUCAAGUGAUUCUUUAUCCUACAUUGGUUAUAUAUUUAUUCGACGUGGUGGUACUAUUUGUCGUGAAUCCACAAAUACUAUUCAUCAUCAUAGUGUUCAUCUACAUGCAGAUCACUAUGGAUUGAAGCAGUAAUAUUUUUAAAAAAAUUUCAAUUUGGUUCUUAAAAUUUUAUUUCACAUGAUUUUAGCUCUUUUAAACCCAAAUUAUCACUCAAUUGCAUAUUUUUUUGGGAGAGAUGGUUGAAUUAAAAAACAUAGGACUGAAGUGAAAAAACAGGUGAAAUAGAUGGUGACCUUGAAAUUUCUCUUAAAAGUUCAUUUUUAUCCCCCAUAUUUUUUUUAGCUCUUAGGUGACCGGUCCCUUUAAUUUUUAAAAAUUUAAUUUUAAUAUUAAACUUUAUUUUUUUUAUUUUUCAGACUUUUUUAUGGGAGGAGAGAGAAAGUUGUCGUUGGUGAUGAUUUCAGCCAUUGAAAUAAUCAAUUUUUGUCUCAAAUAAUUCCAUCUAAAGAGAAGAGUUUGAAUUAAGUGUUUUGUUUUACCUUGAAAAUACCUAAAAAAUAGAUCCGAGCUCAAGAAGAUUUUUGAAUUCAGGUUGAUAUCAGAUUUUAAGGUGUUUUUUUUGUGUUUUUUUUAGUCCAUUAAUUGUUUAACAAGAUUUCUAAGGUAUUUUUUAGGAGUUUUAAAUAACAAAUAGAUUAAAAAUAAGUUUUUAGAUAAAAAAAUAUAAACAUCAGUUUUCCCGCUACAACAAUGGAUGGAAUCUAGAAAUCUAGAUGACACAUUAUCUUUUUUAAAAAAAAAAAACAGUGUCUGACCCCUUAGCUUAGAAAAUAAAAGCCCUUUGAUUAGCAGGCUUGUCAAUGUCUAAUCUCAUUCUUUCUUUCUUUUUUAAUUAGUACCUUUUUUAUAUAAUUUUUUAUUUUAUGUUUUACUAAUACAUCAUCUAUUGUUUUGGCUUAUUUAGAAUUUUUUAAAAUGAAAAUAGUUUAUUUAAUUAUAUUGAUUGUAUUUAAUUUUUAAAAAGGUUGAUAUGAUUUAUCUGUAAUUUUUUAUAUAAAUAUUUAUAUAUGGAUUAAAUUUACCUUUAAAAAAUUAAUUAAUUAUUUAUUAUAAUAUUUUUAAUAUGUACAGCCUUGUAUAAUAUUUUUUUCUCUCUUAUUUUAUUUAAUAAAUCUUAUAUUCUGGACAUAUCAGUAUGGUUGGUUAGGUUUGGUUUUGGGGUGAAAAAAGAAAAAUCCAACCACAUCAAAUUAAAUGUUAUGGUUUGUUUUAAUUCAAUUCAUUUUUUUAUUAAGAAACCCAAUUUCAUUCUUGGGUUUUUUAGUUGAUUUUUGUAGAUAGACUCUGAUGUAAUAGGCAUGGUUGUUUUUGAGGUUUUUUUAGUUUUUUAUUUUAAAAAAGCAAUUGUUUGGUUUCAUUCAGUUUAAUUUUUUUUAAUCUCUUAAAUCUAAAGCCAAUUUAAGAUCUUUUAAAACUUUCUAAUCGGUUUUUUUUUUAAUUUUAUAUUGGUUUUUUUUUUCAAUUAAUUUUAUGAUAAGAAUCUCGUUAUAAGAAGUAAAAGGAAAAAAAAAAAAAAACAAUUACAUGUCGCAGCCAUGUUUUCACAUGGCCUCCGUAAAGUUCGAACAUUAACAUGGUCUCUAGACAAUAAGAACCUGUUUGUAAGUUUAGCAGAAUUAUUUUUUAAAAUAUUUUCUAGUUUAAAAUAUAUUAUAAUAAUAUCUAGUUAAUUAUUUUUAACAUCAAUAUAUUAAAACGGUCUAAAAAUACUAAAUAAUUAAUUAAGUUUUUUUAUAAAAAAAAACCGGUUCAACUACGGGGCUAAGGAUGUGUUUGGAAGUAUGGUAGUAGUAAUUUUUCAAAGUGAUUGUACUUGAAAAUGUAUCAAAAUAAUAUUUUUUAUUUUUUAAAAAUUAUUUUGACAUCAGCCCAUUAAAACAAUACUCACAAAAUUGAGCAUCAACCUAAAAAUAAACACUUAUUUGAGACAAUUAUCCCUCGAAAGCAAACAAAAAGUAAUAAUGCAGUUCAUUUCCUAACCAAUUCAAUGUUAAAUGAUAAAAUCAAAAUAUUAAAAAUAAUUAAAAGACAAAAAAAACAUAUUAUAAUGGUGGGUAAACUCGUCAAACUUGUGAAUCGGGUAAGUCGAGCUAAUAUGACAAACCUGUAAAUUGGAUCAUUGACUCCAUUGGAAUUAUAAUUUGUUUUUUAAAGCUAUUUUCUUAGUUAACUAUAUGAUAAUAAAAAUAGAUAAUUACAAAAUCAAACACCAACUUAAUACCAAAAUGUUUUUAGAUCAUGAUAACCUCAUAAAAUGUGAAACAAAACCAAUUAUGAAACUAAAUUCACAAUUAAUCCAGUAUCCAAGGAUGAAAAAAAAAACUGAUUUAAAAAAGUUAAUCUUGUCAACUAGCCAAAUAUAUCCAUGGAAUUUAUAAAGUUUAAUAACAUAAUUUUUUCUAAAAAUUAUUUUUUUAACUAUAUAAGGAAAAAAUAGACUAUAAAAAAGUCAAGUUUAAUUAUAAAAAAAAAACCCCACCAAACUUGUAAACUAGGGCAACUUAGAUUACCUAGCAAACUCACAAACCAUGUUAACCUUAUAGAAAUGUAAAAUAAAAGAAACAAAUUAUAAAGUUAAAUUCUCAACCAUCUCAAUAUUAAAAGAUAAAAUUGAUAAAAAAAAAAUUUGAGAAAAAAAUCAUAACAAAAAUUAAAAAAACAAAAACAAAAAUGAAAGAAAGCAAAACAUUAUGGAUUACUAUUGUCAUUCACAAUACAAUGUGUGUGGGUGAACAAUGAUUUUCUCACACCCUUUAAUUUUUGUUAUUUUAUAAAGUUUAAUAACAUGACUUUUCUCUAAAAGUUUUUUAAUUAUAUGAGAAAAAAAUAGACUAUUAAAAAAGUCAAGUUCGAUUUUAAAAAAAAAUACAACCCACCAAACUCGUAAACCAGGGAACCCUAGGGUACUUUGGCAAACUCAUAAACUACACUAAUCCCAUAUAAAGGAAAAAAAAACAAACAAAUUACGAAACUCAUUUCUCAACCAUCUCAAUUUUAAAAAAUAAUAUUGACAAAAAUAGAUUUUAAAAAAAAUCAUAAUAAAAUUUCAAAAAAAAAGAAAAAAAAAAGCAAGACACGGUGGAUUAUUAUUGUAAUACAUAGUGUAAUGUGUGCUGGGUAAACAAUGGUUUCCCCUACAUCCUUUAAUUUUUAUUACUUCAUAAAAUUUAAUAAUAUGGUUUUUCUCUAAAAUUAUACUAUAAAAAAGCCAAGUUCAAUUAAAAAAAAACCUCACCAAAUCCAUAAACUGGGGUACCCUGAGUUACCUCGACAAAAUCGCAAACCACAUAGAAAGAAAAAAUAAAAAGAAAAAAAAUUAAAUUUAAAUUCUCAACUAUCUCAAUAUUAAAAAUGAAAUCAAUAAAAAUAAUUUUUUUUAAAAAUCAUAUAUAAGAAAAACAAUGAAAAGGAAAACAUCAUGUGUUCAAGGGAAAAAAAAAACAAAUAAUAUGAGGAAAUAUUAUAGCAAUCUAUAAUGUUUUAUGAGAAUAAUUGCAGUGCUAUCCCCAUAUAUUUUAAUUUUUCUUAUGAUAAUAAUAAUUAUAGUCUCUCAUGUCUCACAACUUUAUUUGUUUUUCUUGAAUAAGUGCUAAUGUUCUUUGAGGGGUCCAAGCACCAUAUAUUGAAAGAAAGAACUAGUUCAAAUUGAAGCACUAUUAGUUUUAGAAGCACCAUGAAGAUUCAGGCGUGUAAAGAUAUCAAAGGCUCCUGCCACAUGUCAAAAGAUUAGAGAAUGAAAUUGUUAGAAUACUGUUAGUAACUGUUAGUAUUGUUUGUCAGUUAAGAGAAUUAGUUAGCAUUGUUUCAGUGAAAUAAAAAGAGAAUAGAUAACGUGCAUAACCUUUCUACUAUAGCAUAUAUAAACAUGUCAGAUAAGAGAACUGUAAUCAAUUAAUAAAAGAAUCAGUGCUAAAGUUCUUCUUCUUCUUCUUCUCUGUUUAACAGAAUCACUCUCUGCUUUUCUUCAUCUUUAUUCUCUGUUUUUCUUCAUCUCUAUUCCUUUUCUGUGUAAAUCUUACUGUCCUCACAAGGCCCACAUCUUGCUUAUAAUACCCAAGAUCCUAGCACCUUGUAUUUAUAAACGCUAGACACAGCUGCUGUUUCAAUGAAUAAUUCUCCACGCUAUUAUUGAUAAAUAUUGUGUGCUAUAUAUACAGCAGUGUGGAAAUUCAGUUUAGGAAAAAUAUAAAUGGUAAUGCUAAAACUAUGCUAUUACAAUAUACAGCUGCAGAAUUCAAGUUUGGAAUCGGCUCCAAAUAUAGCGUUAAUGGCAGAAUCUUUGCCAUGAUUUUCGGCUACACCUUCUCUGUUUUGAUUUGAGCAGAUUCUCUGCUAGUUUCCCUGAUAGUAUUUAAAUGAAAGAAAAAGAGAAGGGCAAAAGACUGCCAUGAGGCAACCUCAAGUAUCAUACACCUCUGUUUUUGUCCUUUUCAUUUUUCACGUGUUUCUCACAAGAAGCGAACAUAAAGUGCUGGAAGGAAUUUUUUGUUGCAGCGUGAGAUAAGUUUAACUCAUUGCAUUUUCAUAAAUUAAAGGGCUUUGUCUUCUUUUCUUUGUCAAUUACAGUGCAUGUAUAAAAGUUUUAUUGCUCAGAGUAAAUGCUAUUGUAAUGUUUUCGCAGAGACUCCCCUGCUUUGCAACCAAUUCACUUAUAUAUCUUGGAGCAUAGUCAUAGCCAUAAAUGGAAGGUUCUUCCGGUUCAAGAAAAUUAACCACGAAGCUCGUAACUAGAAUUUAGAGUGACCAAGGUCUUUUUCAAGAACAAGGGAAGUGUGCAAAAUGCAAAUAACGAAUCAAUACAUAAAUAAUUAAGUAAAAAGAGAGGACACAGAAGUAUAUCCUCAGACGAUGAAAAUACAGAAAGCCUAGCAUAUUAGAAAGAGCAUUUAUCCAUUUUCCCCCUUCUCUUGUAACAUGGACUGCUAAGAAAUCUAAUGUUUUGUUAUUGAUACGUGAGUUCAGUCUGAUUAUCUGUUGUGCAUACUGGACCGAAAGCAAACACAAAUAAAACACAAACAAGCAGAUUUACGUGGUUCCCCAAAACCGGGUACGUCCACGGAGGCAGCAGAUUGUAUAUUAUUGGAGGAAUGAUACAAACACUCAACUCAACCCAGUACAAUCCCACAAAACCCAGUGUUUCACUCUUACACUCGGUGUUUCUCUCAAAUCUGCACUCUUUCACUCUCACAGUUGCACUAUUUUCUUCUGCACACUUGCACUCACACUGCACUCUCUCGUUCCUCUCUUCUAUCUUCUAUCUUUCACACACAUUUACAGGAGAAAGGAAAGCAUAAAUAUAAUGGAUGAAAAGGAGAGGGUGGUUGAAAAGGAGAGAGUGGUUGAUGGUUGUUGAGAAAAAAUAUUGACAAUUAGCAAAUGUUGACAAUUUGCUACAAAUCUCCACCUUGGCAAGAUUUUUCCAUUCAAUCCUCGUGAACAAUCAAUGCUACCUCCAAUGCGUCAUAUGACGCUGCACCCUGAAGGUGCUCAACACCGAGAGAUGUUGACCAAGUCCAAACAAUGUUGGAACUUGAUCCCUGAGACACAUUUUGUGAGCAUGUCAGCUGGAUUAUAUGCGGUACCAAUCUUCUGUAGCAGAAUAUCCCCUUCAUCCACAAUUUCUCGAACAAAAUGAAAUCGAACAUCGAUGUGCUUGGUGCGGGAAUGAUGAACCUGAUUCUUUGCAAGACAAAUAGCACUUUGACUAUCACAAUGGACAUCCACGUGCUCUUGAACAAUUCCCAAAUCUUCAAUCAACCCAUGUAACCAAAUAGCUUCCUUGAAAGCUUCCGUUACUGCCAUGUACUCUGCCUCAGUUGUUGACAAAGCUACUGUUGAUUGUAACGUUGACCUCCAACUUACAGGCCCUUUAGCAAGUGUAAACACGUAGCCUGUUGUGGAACGACGUUUGUCUAAGUCACCAGCAUAGUCCGAGUCCACAUAACCAACUAAAUUUUGCCCAAGUCUAUCAUCCCUCUCAAACUUCAAACCAAUAUCAGUUGUGCCAUGAAUGUACCGUAGAAUCCACUUAACUGCCUGCCAGUGACCCUUUCCCGGAUCAUGCAUAUACCUGCUCACCAUACUGACAGCAUGUGAAAUAUCUGGUCUCGUACAAACCAUUGCAUACAUUAAUGCACCAACUGUAUUUGCAUAAGGAAUUUGAGCCAUAUGCUUGCGCUCUUCCUCUGUGCGUGGAGACAUUGAAGCACUUAGCUUAAAAUGAGGAGCUAAAGGUGUGCUUACAGGCUUGGUCUUACCAUCUACCCCAAAUCUCUGUAGAAUUUUCUUCAAGUAUUGGGUCUGUGUCAAACAGACUGUGCCUUUUCUUCUGUCUCUCUGAAUCUCCAUGCCAAGAAUCUUCUUAGCUUCUCCAAGGUCCUUCAUUUCAAACUCAGUGCUCAGUUGAGCUUUCAGUCUAUCAAUCUCCACCUUGCUCUUCGAUGCGAUCAACAUAUCAUCCACAUAUAAGAGCAAAUAGAUGAAAGAACCAUCAAGAAGUUUGCGAAAAUAUACACAGUGAUCAAACUGACUCCGUGUGUAUCCAUGUUCUGCCAUGAACUUAUCAAAUCGCUUAUACCACUGGCGAGGAGAUUGUUUCAAUCCGUAUAAUGACUUCUUCAGUUUACAAGCCCAAUUCUCUUUCCCAGUGACUUUGAAACCAUCUGGCUGAGACAUGUAAAUUUCCUCUUCCAAAUCUCCAUGUAGGAAGGCAGUUUUCACAUCAAGUUGGGCUAACUCCAAAUCAAACUGUGCAACCAAGGCUAACAGAAUACGGAUUGAUGAAUGCUUAACAACUGGAGAGAAUACCUCAUUAUAAUCUAUCCCCUCCUUCUGAGCAUAGCCUUUUGCUACCAAUCUCGCUUUGAAUCGGAUGUUGUCUUUUCCAGGAUUACCUUCCUUCUUGGCAUAUACCCACUUGCAACCAAUUGUCUUCUUUCCUUUAGGGAGUUGUACCAAAUCCCAAGUCUGAUUCUUAUGGAGAGAUUUCAUCUCUUCAUCCAUUGCCUCUUUCCAUUUUGCACUUUCUACACUCUGUACUGCUUCUUUGUAGGUGUAGGGGAUUCCAUCAUCAAUCACCGGAAGUGCAUAAGCCACCAUGUUACAAUACCGAGCAGGUUUCUUGAUAACCCUUUUUGGUUUACUCGUUGCAAUGGAUUCUUGUUGUGUGGUUGCUGGAGUUGUUGCAUCCUCUUCAUCUGAACUUUCAUCUGAAUCUCCUUCAGUAGAGAUUGUCUGAACAGUCUUUAUAGGGAUGACUGAAGUCUCCAACUCCACCUGUUGUGCAUCACCAGACUGUUUUUCCUUCUCCUGUGAUUUCUCUUGCUGUAACAUGCCAGACUCAUCAAAAGUGACAUCUCUACUCAAGAUCACUUUCUUUGAUUCAGAACACCAGAGUCUGUAGCCUUUUACUCCUCCACUAAAGCCCAAAAAUAUAGCUUUCUUGGCUCUAGGAUCUAGCUUGGACUCAGUAACAUGAUAAUAUGCUGAGCAACCAAAUAUACGCAUAGAGUCAUAAUCAUUUGCAGGAGAGCCUGACCAUACCUCUAAGGGGGUUCUUCCAUUUAAUGCUGCUGAAGGUAACCGGUUAACAAUAUGACGAGCAUAACUUAAUGCCUCGCCCCAGAACACUUUGCUUAGUCCCGAAUGUGAUAGCAUACAUCGGACUUUCUCCACCAAUGUGCGGUUCAUGCGUUCUGCUACUCCAUUCUGUUGUGGUGUUUUGCGAACAGUAAAAUGUCGCUUGAUCCCUUCAUUCUGACAAACUUCAAAGAAAGGAUCUGAAGUGUACUCACCACCAUUAUCUGACCGAAGAGUCUUAACCCUCCUUCCAGUUUGAGUCUCCACCAUUUUCUUCCAUUUCAGAAAGAUAUCAAGGACCUCAUCCUUGUGUUUCAUCAUGUACACCCAUACUCGUCUUGAGAAAUCAUCAAUAAAAGUAACAAACCAACGAUUACCUCCAAGAGAUUCAUUCUUUGAAGGUCCCCAUACAUCUGUGUGAACAUAAUCUAGGAUCCCUUUUGUGUUGUGUACUGCAGUGCCAAACUUGACCCUUGUCUGUUUUCCAAGAACACAAUGCUCACAGAACCCAUGCUUCCCAGUCUUGGCGCCUUUUAAUAGACCUUGCUUGACUAAUCCUUGCAAAGCCUUUUCACCAGCAUGCCCUAAGCGCAUGUGCCAAAGUCUGGAAUUAUCUGCUUCAUCAUCUUCUAUACUUUUGGAAACAGCUGCUGUACCAGUAACUGUAGAUCCAUCCAGGAAAUAUAAGUUUCUUAUCCUCGUGCCUCUUAAGACAACUAAUGCACCACGAAUUGCUUUCAGGACUCCACCAUGCAUGAUAAUCUUAUAACCACUGGAUUCUAGGACUCCAAGUGAGAAGAGAUUUUUCUUCAAGUCAGGUACAUACCGUACAUCUGUUAGUGUCUUGACUACCCCAUUAUGCAUCUUCAGAUGGAUAGUCCCAAUCCCUUUGAUCUCACAAACAUCAUCAUUACCCAUCAACACAACUCCUCCAUCGAACUCCUCGAGUCUCGAGAAUAAGUGCUUGUUAGGGCACAUGUGAUAGGAACAUGCAGAAUCAAGAAUCCAUUCACCAGAAUGGUUUUCUGGUGAUGAGACCAUGAAUGCAGAGUCUCGUUCAUCCUCAUCCCGUGCAACGUUCACAGUUGGUUCAUCUUUUUCCUUGUUGCCCUUGAUUGGACAAUCUUUCUUCCAGUGCCCUUUUUUGUGACAAAAGGCACACUCAUCUUUUGCAAGAUAUCGUCUGUUUGAUGAUUCUCCUCUGGAUUUUGAGCGAGAUCUCCCUCGCCCUCGAAAUCUUCUGGGGUUUGUUCUGCCUCUAACUGUCAAUGCUUCUGACGUUGACUCCUUGUGAACAAUCUGGUCCUUCUUUCGGUACUCAUUAUUCACCAAAGCAUUGGACACAUCAAUGAAUUUAAUCUUUUCUUUACCAUACAGUAAAGUGGUGACGAGAUGUUCAUAUGUGUCAGGCAGUGAAUUCAAUAAUAGCAGAGCUUUAUCUUCAUCAUCAAUUUCCACAUCUAAAUUCUUCAAAUCAGCUAUCAUUUUAUUGAAAUCAUUUAGAUGCUCAUUCAUAGAAGUACCUUUCUUGUGCUGAAAACGGAAGAUCCUUUUCUUCAGGUAGAGACGAUUCUCUAUACUCUUCUUCAUAAACUUGUCCUCCAGUGCUUGCCAUAAUUCCUUUGCAGAGUUUUGUUCUGAAAAGGCGUACUUCUGAUCCUUUACAAGACAAAGUCGGAUGGAACUGCAGGCCAACCGAUUUAUCCUUUCCCAGCUUUUAUCAUCCAAAUCCUCCGGUUGAUCUUCUAAAGUGAAAUCCAAAUUCAUUUGGACAAGCAUAUCCAUGACUUCACAUUUCCACAUGCCAAAAUUACCUUUCCCAUCAAACUUCUCCACCUCAAAUUUGGUAUUCGAUACCGGGAUGUAUUGUGGAGGUAUACUAGCAUUCCCCGCUGAUUUUUCUUCUGGAAUAUCAGCCAUUAGGACGUCUUUGGAUUACAAAUGGACUCCUGAAAUUGUUAAAACACGCACUUUUAUGCUCAAAAGAGCCAAAACAGUAACUUCGGUGUGCUGUUUCACAAAACGGACAUCACGGUUGCGUCCGGAAUGGUUGAAAAUGCUAGGAACCAACUUGACUCGGCCAAAAAACAGGUCAAAAAUCACUGAGUUGGCCAAAAAACCAAUCUGACCGAGUUGACUCAGGGAAGGAAUAUUCUGUCUCUGAUAAAGAAUAUUCUGUCACGGGAAUAUUCUGUUACUGGUAACGGAAUAUUCUUAUUCUGUCAAGAGAAUAUUCUGUCACUGUUAGAUGACAUGUCUGAUGACGUGGCUGAUGACAGGGCGAUGUGGACCCUCUGUUGAUGACGUGGAUGAUGACUCAGCGCCUACGUGUCGGAUGACGUGGCUGUCUUCUCAGGCGAGAAUUCCGGCAAUGACUGGUUUUUCCGGCAGAUUUCCGGCGAAACUUCGGCGAGCUCUACAGGGCUCGUUUCAACUCCGAUUUCGAUGAUCUUUAUAUCGCCGGACUCGUAUGGACGAGAGGAAUCUCCUCAGCUGGUCAAAAGCAAGAUCUGAGAACUUUGAAAAUUCUGCAACUUUGAACAGAGAGCUGAAAAACGUGUUUUUUCAGUGUUCUAGCUUCCCUAAUGCUCUGAUACCAAUUUGUUGUGCAUACUGGACCGAAAGCAAACACAAAUAAAACACAAACAAGCAGAUUUACGUGGUUCCCCAAAACCGGGUACGUCCACGGAGGCAGCAGAUUGUAUAUUAUUGGAGGAAUGAUACAAACACUCAACUCAACCCAGUACAAUCCCACAAAACCCAGUGUUUCACUCUUACACUCGGUGUUUCUCUCAAAUCUGCACUCUUUCACUCUCACAGUUGCACUAUUUUCUUCUGCACACUUGCACUCACACUGCACUCUCUCGUUCCUCUCUUCUAUCUUCUAUCUUUCACACACAUUUACAGGAGAAAGGAAAGCAUAAAUAUAAUGGAUGAAAAGGAGAGGGUGGUUGAAAAGGAGAGAGUGGUUGAUGGUUGUUGAGAAAAAAUAUUGACAAUUAGCAAAUGUUGACAAUUUGCUACAUUAUCUGCGUAAAAUAUCUCUGGAGAUGCUUUCGAUGGAGAUUAGGUCUCAAAACGCUAUGCCCACUGCCCCCAUGGAUCCAGAGCGUGAAAAUGAAGCCGAGCAUUGAAUUUCUAAACAUCAUUUCCUUUUGUUUUAUAUUUCGCAUUGUUACCAAACUCUUUUACAUUUUAUUGCUGCAUAUAUUGCUAUGUAUAUACCAUGCUUUAAUCAAAACCUAUAAUGCAGGAAUAUCUGCAGAUGGCCAUUCCCAAAGGGAAAACUAAUCUUCCCUAGAAUAUUACAAAGUGCCAUUUCUACAGUGAGAAUAGCGUUUCGUUUUGGUUGUUUUGUUGAUGAUAACUAGAUCUUAAAACUAAUCCCUGUACUUUUACAUGAUGCUAUAAACUGGUCCCUUUUAUUAGUAAAAUGUUGAGCCAGUCAAUUGAUUAUUUAAAAAUCUUGAGGGAUUAAUUUGUUUGUUUCACAAAAAAAGACACUGAUUAAAUAAAAAAAUUAUCAUCAUAUGCAUGAGUGUUUACUUGUCCAACAACAGUUUGCAAGGGGCAGAUCCUUGGAUGGAUAUUAGAGGUGAGCAAAAAAACCAAUAAACAGAUUAAACAAAGAAAACAAAAAACAAAUAACCGAAAAAACCGAACCGAAAAAAAACUGAAUUAACUGAUUAAAAAAUCACAAAAAAAUUCCGGUUCGGUUUGGUUUCGGUUUCUAAAGUCUGAAACAGAUUGAACCAAACCGGUUAAACCAUGCCAGCACUUAAAAAAAAAAAGUAUAAAUAUGAUGUUUUUUCUAACACUAAACCUAAAGUAACAUUCAGUCGCGACCCCCGCCCCCCCUUCCCUUUGCUCUCUACAUCUCUUCUCUUUGAUUUUUCUUCAUGCUCCACAAUUGUUACUUGUUAAGCUCCUGCUCCAUGCUCCUAAAGGUCCUAAACCAACGCCCCCCCCCCCCCUUCUCUGCCUCUCAUCAUCUUCUCACAACCCCUCCUUUUUUCUCCCUUUUUCUCUCUGCCUCUCAUCUCUCCCCGUAGCCCCCCCUCCUUUUCUCUCUAUCUCUCAUCUCUGCAUCUUAUCUUCUCCACUUCAAGUUUGUGGGCACUGGGCAGAUAAAAAAAAGAGAUGGCUUUUUGAUGAUUAAGAUUCUAACUCCACUUCAAGUCCAUCCCUGCAUCUUGUGGGUUUUUGCUUUUUUUUUAUUAUGCUAUAAUUUGCUUGUAGUUUGUGGGCAAAUAUGUUUUUCAAAUAUGUCUUGGUCAUGUAAAUUGGAAUAAGUUUCUGAAUAACAAAAAUGAGAUUUGCUUUUCGGUUUUAUCGGUUGUCAUAACCCAAUUUUUUACCCUUUUAUUUUAAUUUUAUGAUAAAAAGAAAAAAUGAUGAAAAAAUAUAUAUAUAUAAUAAUGAUGAAAAAAAUAAAAAUGAAAUAAAUGAAGAAUGAAUUAAAAUUUGGGUUAAUGGCAACAUGAUUGGACGCUUAAAGAUUUAAUUUUUGACUUGUCUAAUUAAUCAAAUCAAUUGUUUAAUUGGAGAAUUGAUAAGUUUUGGGACUUAAUUAAGCUUGAAAUUAAUUUAAUUAAUCCAAUCAAGGGUUUAAUUGGAGAAUUGAUAAGUUUUGAGACUUAAUUAAGCUUGAAAUUAAUUUAAUUCAUCCAAUCAAGGGUUUAAUUGGAGAAUUGAUAAGUUUUAAACUUAAUUGGACUUUGGAUUUAAUUAAAUUAAUGAAAUCAGGGACUUAAUUGAAGAAAUAGCAAAGUUUGGGGUUAAUUGGGAGUCCCAAUUGUGAAAUUAAAAUCCAAGGAUUACAUUGAAAAAGGCGCGCAAAUGCAGGGGGCCAAUUACAGUUUAAACCAGGGGUUUAAUUACAAGACUUUCAAAACUGCAUGGAUCAAAACGAAAAAUGGCCGAACGACGUCGUUUUGAAGAUGUUGUUCAUCUUCUUCUCCUUUAUGCCAGUGACCGUUUCCGCAGUAAUGGAGGGAGGAACAUUGCAGCAGUAAUCGUCGUCCGUUGGCUUCAGUUAUGAGCGCCUUAAUGGUGGCCGACUGUUAGCCUACCGCCCGUUAUCAACCCGCCAAGGCCUAUAUAAACCGAGCAGCACCGAAGAGGAGCGAGGUUAGAGGGAGAGAGAGAGAGAGAAAAGAAACCGAAAAGAAGAGAAACACAACCAAAGCACACAAUUUUUAGGUUCAUCUCCAGAACUCCCAUACCAGAACUAGGCUUCCCUCACCAGUUCUGACUUAAGAAAAACGAGAGAGAAAACCGGCCGAAAGAGAGAGAGACGGUGUUCUGAAAAACAGAGCAAAAGAAACGAAGAAAAAUAAACCAAAACAGAGACGCAGGAAAGGAAUACAACAUGAAAACCAGAAGGAGUAAGAAGAAAUUCGAAGGCAGAAGCGUCGUCCUCAGCAAUCACGAACAAAUUCCCUGCAAACGAACCAGGUAAGUCUUCUGCUCUGUUUCCCUCGCUUUGCCUUAUUUCAUUUUCGACGUCCGUGUUUAAUUCAAUAACAGGGCCAUGUACGCGUGAUUUAGAUCACGCGUGCCUAGUGUGGCCCAGCCAGGUCACUGGCUUGGGCCAGUGACCGGGCUGGGCUGGCUGGGUCUAGCCCAGCCCAUGUGGGCUGAGCUGGGCACAGCCCCAAAAACAUAAAAAAUAGAAAAAUAGAAAAAUAGAAAAAAAAUAAUAAUAAUAAAAAAAUAAAAAAGUAAAAAAGGUAGAAAAAAUAAAAAAUGUGUAUGCAUAAAUAAAAAUAAUAUGAAUUUAUUGGUGUAUUCAUUGACGCCAGAGUCAGGAAUAAAAAUACCGGUUUAAAUUUAUAUUAUUUUUAUUCAUUGUAUUUUAUUUUAUUUAGCUAGAAAAUAAAAAAAUAUGUGCAUGUGUAAAAAAUAAUUUUUUUUAUGUGAAUAUUCACUUGCGCCAGAGUCAGGAAUAUUAUAAGAAAAUUAUCAUAGCAUAAACUAAUAAAUAUUUAGCAAUUUAAGACAAAACUAGCAAUGCAGUCUGCCUCAGGCAGAACGUUUAAGGGGUGAUAAUAUCUUCCCUUUUACGUAAUCAAUCCCGAGCCAUAGAAUCUCUGAUGACCAGUUAGGGUUCCUAGUGACCGUAAUACUAGGUGGCGACUCCUUAUACAAGACCUUUUCCCCUAAAAGAACAAGAUGCCAGAAAUCUGUUCUUUUUUCACAAUCUAGAAUUAUUUGUGGGCCGCCGUGAUGUCGGGUGCGACAUCGGUUUUUGAACAACAAAAGUCGAACCGAACCGAACCGAAACCAAUAAAUUUGAACCGGUUUCGGUUCGGUUUUGAUUUUAAAUUUUAAAAUUAAUAAUGUCGGUUUGGUUAAUUUUUUCAUGUAAAAAUUGAACCGAACCGAACCGAAAAUGAUCACCCCUAGGGAAUAUGUCUUCUCUUGAAUUCUUGAACCUAUCAGGGGACAAUUUCUCUGGUCUUUUACUGCCUAGAUUCAGCAAUUCCUCAAAAUUGAGAUAUGUUUAUUUGUCUAGAAAUAAAUUGCAAGGACCAAGCGCAAUAAAAUUUUAUGAUUCCUUUGAGAUAUUAGCCUUAGAUCUUUCCCAUAAUGAUUUAACUAGUAGGAUUCCAGAAUGGAUUGACAGGUUAUCUAACUUGAGAUUUCUACUUUUGAUUUAUAACAAUCUUGAAGGUAAAAUCCCAAUUCAAUUAUGCAAGUUCGACCAAUUAACCUUGAUUGAUCUAUCUCACAAUUAUCUUUCUGGUAACAUCCUCUCUUGUAUGAUAUUUACUCAUCCUUUCCCUAUUCAAUACAAUUCUCGUGAUUUUGUGUCCUUAUCACAACAACCUUUCGAGUUUACAAUGAAGAAUGUAUCUCUUUUUAAUAGAGGCAACAUUAUCUGGAAUUUCACUGGAAUUGAUGUCUUAUGCAACAAUUUCACAGGAGAGAUUCCCCGUGAAAUUGGAAGCCUCAGCAUGAUCAAGGUAUUGAAUCAUUCCCACAACAUUCUAACUGGACCAAUUCUAUCAAUAUUUUCAAACUUAAAGGAAAUAAAGAGCUUGGAUCUUUCCUACAACAAAUUGGAUGGAAAAUCCCAUCUUGACUAUAGAAUUUUUCAGUGUGGCACACAAUAAUCUGUCUAGCAAGACUCUUGCAAGAGUUGCACAAUUUGCCAUGUUGAAGAGAAUUGCUACAAGGGCAACCCUUUUCUUUGUGGAGAACCGCUACCCAAAAUAUGUGGUGCAGCUAUGCCACCAUCACCAAUGCCAACUUCAACGAACAAUGAGGAUCAUGGUGGCUUCAAUAAUCUGUUUGAAGAGAGCUGCUACAAGGACAACCCUUUUGCAUGUGAGCUUUAAGGUUGCAUAGAUCAUGGUGUUGUUGGUGAUAGGUGCAAUUCUGUACAUAAAUUCAUAUUGGUGACAAGCUUGAUUUCACUUUAUUGAGGUGAGCAUCAAUAAUUACUAUUAUUUUCUUGUGGAGAAUCUUUCCAUUUUAUCUAAGUUUGGAUUUUCAUAGCCUUUUAUCUUGAUGGUACUAAGCCUUGGUGCAUUGUUUUGGAUUUUAGUUUCAAGAUUUAAAUAAGUUUAUAUUGAUUUUCAUAUGAGUUUUGUUUUUGUUUUUAGCUUCUAUGUGAUAUAUAAUAAUCAAGUUUUUUUUUUUUUUUAAAGGUUAUCUAAGUUUUUUUAGCUGUUUUUUUUAUGCUUUUUAGGAUUUUUUUUUUUGCUUUUUUCUUUAUUUUUUUUAAUUAAUUUUUUUCGUUUAGUUUAGUUUGUUAAUGUUAAAUUUCUUUCUAUUUAGUUAUUAGACUUUCAUGACACAUAUCUCGAGUUUCACGGGUUAACCUGGUUUCACGGGUGAACCCAGUUAAUUCCGGGUUGACCCGUCAAUUUUUUAUUAUUAUUAUUUUCAUAAAUAUUUUUUUUUAAUUUAGUUUGUUAAUGUUAAUUUUUUUUUAUUUAGUUAUCAGACUUUCAUGACACAAAUACUGGGUUUAACAGAUUAACAUGGUUUGACGAGUUAACCCGAAUUUUUUUUCUUUUUAAUUAAUUUUUUUUGUUUAGUUCAGUUUGUUAAUAUUCACUUUUUUUUAUUUAGUUACCAGACAUUCAUGACACAGAUCCCGGGUUUAACGGGUUAACUUGGUUUGACGAGUUAACAUGAAUUUUAUUUUAUUUUUUGCUUUUUUUUUCUUUUUAAUUAUUUUUUUUCGUUUUGUUUUGUUUAGUUUGUUAAUGUUAAAUUUCUUUCUAUUUAGUUUUUUUUCUUCUUAGAGGUUUUUUUUCUUUUAUUUGUUAUUUUUAAUUAAUUUUAUUUAAUUAAUUUAGUUUAUUAAUAUUAAAUUUUUUUCUAAGUAGUUCUCGACUGAUGCCUUUAGUUUUUUUUUUAUGCCUUUGACUGUGAACUGCACAGUGCAGUCCACUGUGAAAAGGCUGAUGCUUUUUUUUAAUUAAUUUUUUUUGUUUAAUUUAAAUUGUUAAUGUUAAAUUUUUUUCUAUUUAGUUAUCAAACUUUCAUUACACGGAUUCUGGGUUUGACAGGUUAACCUGGUUUGACGAGUUAGCCUAGUUAAUUCUGGGUUAACCCAUUAAUUUGUUUUUUUCUUUUUAACUAUCAAGCUUUCACGAUGCAAAUUCAAUGUAUGACGGGUUAACCUGGUUUGAAGGGUUAACCCAAUUAAUUCAUUUUUUUUUUCAUUAGUUUUUUUUUCCUGUUAGUUUUUUUUUAACUAAUUUAUUAAAUUAUCACACUUUUAUGACACAACCUUGCAGCCAGACCCAUGUCCAAUGUUAUUGGGUCUGGUAUUGCAAUCCAGACAUUUUUAUGCUAAGGGUUAACCCAAGUUUAAUGUUAUUAUUAAUAUUAUAAACAUUACUCUUAGAUCAGGCGUUGCAACCAAACCUGAGACUCUUGGGUAUAACUUUGUAAAAAAACCUAAUACUUUUAGAUCUUAACUAUUUUUAAAAUGCAAAAAAUAAUUGACCUGCGGCAUCGCGCGGGGCAUGUAACUAGUAGAUUACUAAAGGGGAUCGAUUUUGAUUAUGAUUUGGUGUGGGAAAUUCUCUGCGUGCCUACAUAGAGUGUGGCUUCUUGAAACUCCAAAAAAUAUAUAUAGGUGUUUGCCUAAACCAGUAUUGGGCAGAUAAAGAUAAGCCAGGAUUGCCGAGGAAGAGGCUGUUCAGGUAGUCCGAACAGGGAUCUAUAAUCAUUAGUUAUAUAAUCAACCCUAAUCAGAAUUUCCCAAGAAAGAAUUAACUAAAGACUUCAGUUAAUGCUGAUGAACACGAGUAAAGGAUUUGCUAAAGACAAAACCAUGUAUUUAAGAACCAUUGCUAAGCUACAGGUUCUGGAGCCACAAACCACUCACAUUUACUGGGGUUGAUCCCAAAUUGAGACAAAUCUAUUUGUCCGGUUCGGAGAACCUUCAAACAAAAAGAAGAGUUAAACCUUGUAAAAUUGACUAUAUAUCAUCAAAAGGACAAGAAACACACAGGAAACCUCAUAAUUACCUCAGAAUGCACCGACGUAAAACACACAGGAAAUCCCAACACAUCAUAAGACAACAAAAGAAAACAUAUAUUUAGCAGAAUAAAAAGGUUGUACAAUUCUUUCACAGCUUACAGUACGUAUAGAAUAAGCAUUAAUAAUUACCUUCAUCUGGAUCACCCGAACUACCUGCAACAUGUAUCAUCACAUCACGCGGGCCACCCUAAGUACAACAAACAAGGAUAUGGUCACUUGCACUAUCUAAGCAGAACACACCUCCAGCACCAAUAUUACUCAGGAUUCUUUGCAAGUCUUCCAAUUUCACUGGUUCUGAUGAAGAGUUUACAUCACUCAUUACUUCUGCACCAAGGUCUGGGACAACUGAGUUUCCAGUCCUGAGAGCGAUGAGCAAAAAUCUCAUCGGAAUAAAAGAAAAUGGCCACGUAAUAUAUACCUGGCCAUUUGUUUUUGGUAACAAAAGUGCUCCUUAACCUUUUUGAAGUUAUUUUAGAAUGAAUUACAAGCAUUAAACAUUUAUAUAUAUGGACAAACACCGAGUUUAUGCAAGUCUGUGCAAGGGCAAUAUGGGGUGAAGGAUUUGACAUGGGCUAAGGUGGGUGAGAUGUUUUUGUCAAGAAAUGAUUUUGGAAAAUUUCUUGAUAUUUCAUGAAUAAAUAAGAUAUGAGUCUUUAUCAAGGAAAGAACAUAGGCUCUCCAAGAUGAUUGACCAGAAGGAGAGAAGGGAGGCUCAUUCUGCUCCACUGACUCUUAGUCUCAAAGAACAAAAAAUUACAUAGCUCUAUAUCCUUACUCUUACUUGCUAUAUCAACUCUUAGAGUUGAAGUAUCAUCUUUGACUAUGCUUCUUUGUUAUAAUAAAUAUACCUUGAUGAGAUAUUAUCUUCAAGCAUGUCUUCAAAAACUUGGAAAGGAGUAGAAGCAUCAGGCUCUUCUUCAUCAACUACACCAAAUUGUUUGCAUUUAAGAGAUCGGGGGAGGGGGGCAGAAGAUUAGACUUUGCAUUUAAAUAUAAGCCAAGAUGAUUAGGAACAAAAUAAUGACGAGUAGCAUGGCUAACAAAGGACUCAAAACACAAAAUUGUUUACCAAAUGGACGAUUAAUAUAAUAGUUGAAAGAGCUACAUAAUUGUGAAUCAUCUUUAGCUUUUGGCUCCUGCAAACAUGUUACACAAUUUUCCAAAAUCAUGCAGCUAACAGCUGAGUCAAUGUUACACAUAAGAGAGUGAAAAACGCAGAAAGUGAACCUGACCUGCACCCAAAUGAAAAACUUUCGAUCAUCUGUAUUGAAUUUCAAGAUGUAAACUCUUCCCAAAGCUUGAUUAACCUGAAUAACCCAAGGAAUUAUGAAUCUAUGAUAUUACAAUCAAUUAUUAGAGUCAAAUAUCUUCCAUCUAAGAAAAAACUAGGAGAGAAAAGUGUACCUUCUCAAAAACAGCAUCUUCAGAAAAAAAUAAUAUGAUCCUGUCAAUCAACGCGUCAAGAAAAAGCUACCAAAGUUCUCACCUCAAAAGAAUAUUAACAAAACAAACAACAGAAAAAAAAAUAAAAACCAAAGUUGGAAGGGAGAAACAAAAUCCCCAGGCUCAAAAACAUAAUAAUAACUAGGAUACAUCUUCCACAGCAUUCAAAUUCCUAUCAAGCCACUGGAAAUGAAGCAAACCCUCAUCACCCUGGAACAAUUCAAAAAUUUCGACUUCAAACAGGAAACAAGAUGCUAGAAACACUCUAUCUAGUACUUAAGAUAAACCAAAACAAUAGAAUUAACUAAAAAUCUUUACACAGACACGAACUCUAUAUAACACAAAAAAAAAAAACCAAAAGACACCAGUUUACCCUUCCAAUGCGAACAAGUCCUUUUCGAGAAUCAGGAACAAACUUUUUUCCAACGAAAACCAUUUUACCAGCACGAAACUCCAACAUAAUUUCCUACCAACAAAACAACCACAACACCAUAACAUAACCCCACCAAGAAAAACAUACUUGUACAUCCAACAAAGCAAUUACAGGCUCUAAUUAAAAAGAAACAGAGAUUUUAAGCAAAACCCACAAUUUUAAAAGUGAUUUUAUUUACCUGCAUUGCUGAAAUAUCUACAGUUGAUGAAGAACCCAUUUUUCGCAUACUUCCUCUAAAGCUUCCUUUUUUUCAACACUGCAAAAAACAAAAAACAAAAAAAAGAAGGACAAAUCAAAUACCCAAAUCAGAAACAAUAACAGAAAAAAAAUAAAAGAAAAUCCAAAGCUGGAAGUUGUAAUCAGGAGGAGAACCAGACAAUUUCAGAUAGAAUGACAUUUUAUCAAGAAUUGAACUGGGCAUUCAGUUAAUUAAAUAGGUUGUAAUCAGGUGAGAGUAGUGUCAACAACAUGUUUAGUUUUCCUCUCGGAAGUGCCAUUCUGCACAAGUCAGUGUUUUAAAAAUAUUUUUAAAAAAAUUUUAAUUUGUUUUUUUAGUGGUUUUAAUUUAUUUUCAUGUAUUAAUAUUAAAAAUAAUUUUAAAAAAUAAAAAAUAUAUUAUUUCAAUUUAUUUUAAAAUAAAAAAAACUUAAAAAAUACUGUUAACACAGUAUUAAACAAACUCUAAUCCUAUAACCAGAUGAACAACGUUAAGAUAUUUGUUUUUUGUUUUUCUUUUUUUUGAUAAUGAGACUGUCGUAAACAAUCUUGCCUAAUGAUUGUUAAGAAAUGAAAGAGGCAAUGCAUGGCUAAACCAAUGGAAGCUAAAAAGCUAAUGUUAUCCCUAGUAAGCAAUUGUUGCCGCAAUGACAUAUGCCUCGUUAGAGAUAUAUUUGAAUUUACAUAUUAUUAUUAUCAUAUAUUUUGUAUUGUCGUUUAAAAAAUAAAUAUUUUCCUUAUAUAGAGUAGAAUGUUUUUAAUUUUAUCAUUUAAAAUUUAUAUAUUUUUUAAAAAAUUAAUACAAUAUACAGUUAAUUAAACAUCUAUAAAUUAAUAUCAUUGAGAACAUGAAAUUUAUUAAUUAAUUAAGAUGUUAUUUAGUAAAUAAAUUUAUACACUUAUACAUUAAUCAAUAAAAAAUUUUCUUUUUCAAAAACAUUGAACUCAAUACAUGCAUCGUGUAUAAUAUUAUCUAAUCAUCAAAUUAUGAAUUAUCAUAAUUCUAUAUAUUUAUUUAAAUAAAACAAGUUCAAGAAUUAAUGUAAUCAAUCUUAUUAAUUAAUAAAAUUCAUGUAUGUAUUAACAUACAAGCAAAAAAUCUAUAAAAAGAAUAUACAAGUGAGCCAAACAACAAUAUAUAUUAAAAACGAACAAGAGGUCGAAUUAAUAUCCAUUAACUAAUAGUAAAAUUAAGAAGAUGAUACCAAAGAGACACAAAAUCACAAAAAAGCAUUUAACAUUUCAGAGAAAGAAGCCUGCAACACCCAUUAAGGAAAAGAGAGAAGGGAAAGAAAUGUGGAUUAAUUCAUACAGAGGCUCACCUUGUUCCAGACCAGCGCGAGACUGUAGACGAACCAAGAGCAAAAAAUGCAGGAGAGAUAAUCAUGAGAGAAACAAAUUCAUAUAUCCACGAAUAUGUACAAUAUUUGAAACCUAUAAUGCAAGAAUAGCUGCAGAUGUACAUUAAUAUUUUUAAUUUAAAGAAUCAAUUAAUUAUUUAAAAAACUUGAGGGAUUAAUUUGUUUGUUUCACAAAAAAUAGACACUGGUUAUAUAAAAUUUUACUUAAAUUUUUAUCAUCAUAUUUUAAAAGAAACCAGUUUAUGUUUUGCGCAACACGAAAAAUCAUAUAUGCUUAAGUAACUAUUUGGCAUCUUAAACUCAAUUUAGUAAAUUAAUUUUAAUUUUUUUCUAUCCGGCUCUUUUCCUAUAUCAAAUUUAAAAUUAACCAACAUAAAAAUUAUCCUCAAAUGAUACAGUCAAUAUGAUAGGUUUACAAAAAUAUAUUAAAUUGAUUCUAAUUUCAUGGCUUAACUCUUCAAACCCACUACUCGAAUAAUAGACUCCAUCUAGUUGUAAUUAUUAUUUUGUUUUUUAAUUAUUUUUUAUUGAAUAAUAUGAUAACAAUAUCAAUUCAAAAUCAACUAAAUAUUAAAGGAUAAAAUAAAAAAAAUAAAAAAAAUUCAAUAGAAAAAAAAAGGAGAAGAAUGGUAGAGUUUAAAAACAAAUAAACAAUAUGACGUCAUUGUUAGAGCACCUGAAAUUACUGUUCCUUUUUACUAUAAUGAUGAAGUUUCCACAUAAUAUAAAACAUGCUUAUAAAUUAAUAACCGAAAUAAAAAUUAAAUUGAGACGACAAUCAAUUCUUUAACUUUAAAACGAUUUAUUAACAAUAGAAUUGAGAAGGCCCGCCACAGAUCAAGAGGACAGCUUCAAUGAAGCCAUCCCAGCCAAUGCAGGUGAUUACCCGUCGGUUGAAGUCUCAUCGCGCGCCUAGCACCAGCCAAACCGCCUCAAUCUGAACAUGCACCAGACAAAGUUCAUGAAAAGACGCCAGGGAGCCUCAGCAGCUGAGAAGAAAGUGCGGGAACACCCACCGCACGAGAAGAAACGUGAAAAGCAGAGAGGGAGCGCGGUAAAGAUUGUCAAGCCACGGGAUUCACACACAGUGCACCGAGUUUUAAUGAGCACUCUUAGUUUUUUUUUAUAUAUAUAUAUAUAAAAUUCUUUUAGUUUUAGUUUUAGUUUUAGUUUGUUAGUUAUGAACAGUGAAGCAGCACCAGAAUACAGUUCUUUUAGUUUGUUAGCGAAUCUGGAAAAGAAUAAAGUCAUCUGUCAAGCUCUGUUCACUUUGGUCCGACAUUCCUCACCUCUCCCCACCUGAGCUCUCUCUCUUUCCCUCCUCCGCUUUCAGAAACCGCCGCCGCCACCACCUCAACCAAUAAGGCUUCAAAUCUCACCCAGAUGCUUCCUUUUCUAUUAUGUUUUUGUUUUUUAAAAUUUACGUCUGCUUUUUCAUUUAUUUAAUUGAAAUUACUAUCCAGAGAGAGAAAUUCGAUUUUAAUAAGUAAAUUAAAAAGAUAUAUAAUCGAACCCGAUGAAAUCGCUGCUCGUGAACGCAACUCGAAGAAAGGCGCAAUCAGCCGACUAUACUAUGGGUGGAGCAUUUAAUAUGGUCAGGGUUAUUGUGUUGUCUAUUCAAAGAAAGAUGUGCCUGUAAAUUUGUUAAGUUGAUUCUUAUCAGUCUACUCUUUAGAGUUGAUGAUAACAUGAAAUACUCGUUGUUAAUGCUCGUUGUUUUCUUCUUCUUUUUUCCUAGAUUAAAACAUCCUAGACAAUCUCUUUGGGAUGGUUUAGUAUUUCUGGCCUCUUCAUCUUCUAUUUGUGCUAUGGUUUUUAGUCUGCUGAUAUUGUUGAUAUUCAUUGGGGAUUGAAAGGCCUCGUUUUAUGACUUUGUUUUGUCUUCUUCUUAUUUCUUUAUUCUUUUGGGGAUGCGGCAUUUUCCUCUUUCAGAGAAAUAAAUAUAUACAUAAAUAACAAGAACAGGACGGGAAGGAGAGGGGGUUUUGACAAUAAGUAUUUGCUUAGAAGGGAAUGCUUCUUUGGUUUAGAAGCACCAUGAAGAUUCAGGCCCAAAUCUUUGCUUAGAAUGCCCGAAAUAAAUAUAUCACACACUUCUUUUUUUGUUUUUUGUUUUUCAUCUUUUCAUGUGUUUCUCACAAGACGUCACUUUCUUGCUUUUCUUUCGAGAGAGUAUUUGAUCCUUUUUUUGUAUAAAAUAAUGCUGCCAUUCAUUGAAUUUCCAAACAUCUUACCUUUUGUUUUGUUUGUCGCAUUGUUAUCAAACUCUUUUCCAUUUUAUUGCGGCAUAUUGCUACGUGUAUGGCAUGCUUUAAUCAAAAAGUUGAGUAAUUGAUGAAUGUUAGGCAAGAAAAUUACAGAUUAUUUUUGUUUUCUGCCUCCUCCUUCUCUUUCCCCCACCCCGAAAAUUGUCAUAUUUUUUUUUCAGCCGCCUCUUCUUCCCCCAACCCUAAAAAUUGUUUAUAUUUGCUUUGGAAGCAUGGCAAACUUCACUGCCUCUCAGCUUAAGGAGAUUGCAGCAGGUCUCGAAGCUUCUGGGCAUCAAUUUAUCCGGGUAUUUAGAAGAAGAAAAAAAAGAGUCAAGAAGACAAGGAAGAUUGUUUACCUCAAGGAUUUGAGGAAAGAAUGGAAGGCAAAGGGCUAUUAUCAGAGGAUGGACACUCCAAGUUUUGAUUCUUGAUCAUGAAGCAAUAAGUGCAUUUGUGACUCAUUGAGGAUGGAACUCAACUCUUGAAGGCAUAAGGCCAAUAUGUGCUGAGCAAUUCUAUAAUGAAAAGUUGGUGACUGAUGUUUUAAAAAAUGGAGUUAAGGAAUGGCCUAGAGUGCAUGGAGAUCAUGUUAAAAGUGAAGCUGUAGAGAAGUCAAAUUAUGAUGGGUGAAGAAGCAGAGGAAAUGAGGAGUAGAGCAAAGAAGCUAGGAGAAACGGCCAGGAAGGCUGUUGAAGAAGGUGGAUCUUCUUGCUCUGAUUUCAAUGCUUUGAUCGAAUAACUGAGGUGGGGUCGCCAUUGAAACAAAGGCAGAAGUAAGUGUUGUCACUCGUGCAUAGAAUAUUUUGUUUCUACUUAGUAGUGGUUUUGGCAAUAUAGACAAGUCUUGAGAGUUGAAAGAGUAAUCACAGCCGAGUCAAUGACCAGUCCAAAUCAGUUCCCUUCCUACUAGUUCAGGAAUGACAAGUCCAGCUUAUAUAUUUAGCCCAAAUAACUAAUCAAAUAGAAAGGCUGAGCUUAGAGGCAGUACACUACAAAAUAAGUACCCAAUGUCUUAGAGACAAACAAUCAUCACAAACUAGGAAAGACCGUCUCCCCAGUAACAAAUUCACCUUCUGAAGUUGGAGAACUUGCGAAAACUAGCCACCACAAAAUAGUAGCAAGUAUCUAAAUUAUUUCCAGAGAGAUCUAACUGCUUCAAUUCACACCAACUUGUAUAAUUUAUCUCUAAACAGUCAAAAUAGUGUUAAAAGAAUCUUUUAUUGAUGAUGUGAUUAUAUUUGUUAAUUUACCUUGAGCGGGUAAAGUGACAUAGAGGUCACAUUCACCAAUAGACAAAACUUGAAGAGCAGGCAAUGCUCCAAUGUUAUGGAAAAAGUUUAUUAGGAGAGAAGUACGAUCUAGAUACAAUUCUUCAAGGGUGCUAGAAUUGAAGAAAGUCCCUGUAAAAAAGAAACAAAAAGAAAAAAGAUAUGAUGAAAAUGGUGGUGGUACAUAAUAGGCAUUCCAUUCAAUAUUAUUAAUUAAGAUUUUAAGAAACUAAACUAUGAUUAACCUUGAUUUAAAUUAGUAUCCUUGAGAGAAAGGGUCUUCAGGGAUGGCAAUGACUGCAGGAAGUCCGGCUUCCUUAAACCUAUGAUGUGUACAAUUGAAAACAGGCAAUCAAGAAAGUAGUGAAAUUAAGUGCUAUCUUGAUUGAGUUUUUAAACCUAUGAUAAAGAACUGAUGUUGAAUAGUGAGAUGAAUUUUGGAUAGAAACAACAAAUUGCCUGAAAAAUCCAGAGAUUUCACAACUUUACCAUAGACAGUCGUCGAUCCUAGCAACAUAUCGCCUGAUAAAUUUAAAGACUUGAGAUAAGAAAAUCCACGCAGAUGUGAUAAAAUGUUGUCGUUGAAUAUAUUAUAGCUCAGGUCUAGAUUCUCGAGUUUCCUCAAAUGAUAUAUGAUCUCAAAACCUGCAAGAGAAACUAAAGAUAAUUAGAAUUGAUGAGAUGCUGUUGUUCAAUUGAUAUAUGAUUCUCAAAUUAUACAUACAUAUACACACACACACACACACACACACACAUAUAUAUAUAUAUAUAUAUAUAUAUAUAUAUAUAUAUAUAUAUAUAUAUAUAUAUAUAUAUAAUUGAUAUUUAUAAAAGCAUUAACUGUAGAGGAAUAUUUGGUACUUUGUUUCCCAAUAAAAAAUAGAUUUUUCUGCAAAGUAGCACCAAAAAAAAAACUGUUCAAAACUUAUAUAAGAAAUUAUACAGUUAGCGAGUCACAGAUGAUGAAUCUUAAAAAAAAUUGGCAAUAAUAACAGUACUCUAUUGCUAUUAAUUAACUUAAAUAUUCAAAACUUAAAAAUAGUUUUUAAAUUUAUCCAUGCCAAUUUAUCUUAAGAGAGUCGCAAUCUGUGACUAGUUAAAUUAUAUUGUUUCUGUAAAUAAAUUUUGAAUUGUGUUAUUUUUUGUUCUAGGUGCUAUUUUGCAAAAAAAAAAAAAACCUCCAAAUAAAAUAAUAAGAUUAACGUUUAAGUUGUCUAUUGUUCUUGGAUUUGUAGGUAUAACAACAGAAGAUAGCAAUCAAAAGCGAUGGUGACAUGGUAGAGCUUUGAGUUAUUGCUGUGUUCUAAUGAUGAAGAUGUAGGAAAACGAUCUCCCUUCUGCUGUCUGGAGCUGGGCUUCCUCUCCCUGUAAGAACAAUCAACAUCUUAUCUGCGUUGUUGUUAGUGGCCACUUCAUCGACCCAUUAGUGGGUGGAUUUUAAGCUUAAAAAGGAUUUUUUUUAUAAAAAAAAAAAGGGAAGAGAGAGGGGGGGCGCAUCAUCACGUGAAAGCAAGGAGCUUGCCACCCAUUAUAGAGUGUGGGGCACUCUUGCAUCUAAGAAUAAAUGAUCCUGAGGUUGUUCUGGUGAUGGGUAUUGGCCAUUACAUAAAGCUUCGACAAGCCCUUUUAGCUGCCUGUUAUUAGAAUUUGUAUAAUGAGCAUUCAAACUUAAACUUCUUUAAAUGGGAUGAAAACGAGUGAAAAUCAAGAAGUUGGAGGUGUUCAUCUCUAAUGCAUAGCUAAAGAUCCUUUGUAAGAAAAUACAGCUAAAGACAGUGUGUGUGUGUGUACCAGAGAAAUUGUCGAUAAUAGCCAUCAUUUUCUUUGUCUCUUGUGUCAUAUCUUCCAAAAAUCUUAAAGUAAUUGAUGAAAAAGUGGAUACACCUCUUUGUCUUCUUUAUAGCACUGCUGGCCACUGUGAGUUAAAGCAUUAAAAGGUCGUGAACGCGGAUGCUUGACGAGCGAGUGUUUACUUGUUAAUUUUUUUAGAAGGAAUCUGGAAAAGAAUAAAGUCAUCUAUUUCACUUUGGGACAACAUUCCUCACCUCUCCCCGCCCUCCCUCCCUCCCUCUUCCGCCUCUCGGAAACCGCCGCAUCCAAUAAGGCUUCAGAUUUCUGCCAGGUGCUUCCUUUUCUAUCAUGCUUUUGUUUUUAAAAUUUAUGGGUGUUUUCAUUUAUUUUAUUGUAAUUAUUAUUCAGAGACAGAAAUCCAUUUUAAUAAGUAAAUUAAAAAAAACAAAUAAGCGAUCCGAUGAAAUCUCUGCUAGUGAACGCAAUUCGAUUUUAAUAUGUAAAUUAAAAAAGUAUAUAAUCGGAUCCGAUGAAAUCGCUGCUCGUGAACGCAAUUCAAAGAAACGCACAAUCAGCCGAUUCUAAUAUUUUCUUUUUCAACCCCACCCUAAUUUACAUGAUAUUAUCCGAUUUUUCUCACAGUUAUUGUUGUAAUAAUCAAGCCCUGAAUUCUUGAACCCAAAUUUAUUUUAUUUUAUUUUUUAGUUUUAUUUUUAAGUGGAGAAUAGAAAUCAAUUCAAAUCUUUUAGGCUCGAUCGAUAAUUUGUUAAUUAGUUUAUGCAGCAGCUGGAGUGGAAGAGAUAUUACUGCCGGAAUGGCCGAAAAAUGAGCUGUUUGGUUGAUUCUUCUUUUUUGGAAUUUACUGAAUUCUUCAAAAUUAUUGUGUUUUUAACAACAAUACGAUAUCCUUGGGUUUCAUGCUCGCUCACACAUGGAAAAAAGAAAGAAAGAACAGAACUUUAAAUUUUAUAAUUUGGUCAAGUUAAUGCUCGUCGUUUUCUUCAUUUUCCUAGCUUAAAACAUCCUAGACAAUCUCUUUGGGAUGGGUUAUUGUUUGUGGCCUCUUCAUGUUCUAUUUGCUGGGGUAUUUAGAGUACUGCUGAUUGAAAAGCCUUGUUUUAUUGCACGUUAGAAAAGUUAAUACAUACAUAAAUAACAAGAACAGGGGCCGGGGGGGGGGGUGUUGGGGUUUGACGGUAUGUAUUUGCUUGCGAGUAAAAAUUGGUAAGCACUUGAAAAAGGUCCUGUGCUGAAUCUAAAUUGGUAAGAUGUUAUAUACUGAUAUCUAGAAAGAUAACUUAAUCUAUCUAUUGAAGUAAAGCAUUUAAAUACGUAUACAAUGUUUUUGGAAUAUUAAAUAUCUAUUUGAUCAGAAUCUGUGAACCUCUAAAACCACAAUGAAUACAAAUGCAAGUUUGUCAUUGUAAACAUUGCAUCGAUGAUGUAUCACAAGUGUUGCUAGAAAACAUCAAGUUAAAAUUGAAGCACCAUGAGUUUCUCUAUGGCUUGGUUUACCAACACUCACCAUCUGUUGGUGCGGCAAGUUAUGAACUAGCUGGCUAGUUUUUUGCUUCCUUGGUUUUAGAAGCACCAUGAAGAUUCAGGUCCAAAUCUUGCUUAUAAUACCCGAAUACCCAAGAUCCUAGCACCUUGCCUUGAAUGGUCGUGUAUAUUUGUUAUGGCUGUUCAGAUUUUAUGCAUCCAUAUUUGGGAGAAUUCUUUAAUAAAGUACAUGCUAUUAGAUGGAAGUUCUCUUUAAAUCUAUUCAAGUCUGAAUAAACUGAUAUUCCAAUUUUCAUGACUUUGAUGUGCUCUUACUCUUCUGCUGUUCCUGACUUUCUUUUUAAGGUCUAUUCUAACGUGCAAUAUUAUUUAUUUAUUUAUUUAUUGUCAUGAUAGAAGUGAUUUUUUUUGGUUGGCCAAAACCCCUUGGAUGCCAAUAAUUGGAGGUCCACUGCCCCAGGCGGAGAACAUGUCAUUGACACGGGUGAUUGGAGAAUUCAAUUGCAGCCUGACUCACGGAAAAGAAUAGUCGACAAAAUGUAAGUACGUGUUUCCUAAUAUGUGCAAGUGCUGCAAAAUAGUAAAUUUUUUAUUUAUAUGAAAGAAAAGUAGAAGGGCAAAAGGUUAAUUAAAAUUAGCUGGACUGCCAUGAGGCAACCUCAAGUAUCACACACCUCUUUUUUUUGUUUUUCAUCUUUUCGCUUGUUUCUCACAAGAAGCAAACUUGAGGGAACGUAAAGUGCUGGGAAGUGAUUUUUGUUGGAACUUCUUGUGUAACAUCUUCUUUUGACGAUGACCUCUUGGAUGGCUGCAUGAAGCUUGUUCCGCUUUAAAUUUCAAGGUUAAUCUAUUGCUAUGAGCAUUGGUGUUUCAAUUUCAACCUUGAGUUGCAACUGAACUUAAAUGAAUAGUGUUGGAUUUGGGCCUUCUAUUUGCUUUAACUUCUACAGGAUUGAAAUGAUAGUGAUCUUAAAGUAGAAAAGCAGCAGACAAAAAUCAAUUAGCCACAAUAGUGUAUGGUUUCCUAGUUUCUCAGUAUAAAGUUGAAUGUUUUGGUGAUAUCUCCACAUCCAAAAUCAUAUAGACAGCUACUGUUGGCACUUGCAGUAGCCAAUGAGCACUGUAGAGUAUAUAUAUUGCAGCGUGAGAUAAGGUUAACUCAUUGCAUUUUCAUAAAUUAAAGGGAUUUCUCUUCUUUUCUUUGUCAAUUACAGUGCAUGUAUAAAAGUUUUCUACAGUGCACUGUAGAGUAAAUGCUAUUGUAAUGUUUUCACAGAGUUCCCCUGGUUUGCAACUAAUGCACUUAUAUAUCUUGGAGCAUAGCCAUAGCCAUAAAUGAAAGGUUCUUCUGGUUCAAGAAAAUUAACCAUGAAGCUCGUAACUAGAAUUUUAGACAGAAGGUUGGCCAAGUAAACUCUUACCUCUGGAAUAAUACGGGGAAACGAAGUAAAAAUAGAUGUCUGUAUUUUGAUGCCAUUUAUUACUUUACUAACACUCGGCUAUAUCAUUAUUUGUUUUUACUUUUUGCUAAUGAUUUUGUUGUAUACAUUUCUGAUAUUAGUGUGGUGUAUGAGUUCACAGUUUUUUCUCACUACUGCUAACUUCUCUAUACCUGCCUUGUCAUUAAAAAUUAAAUGCAAUGUUUUACAUGUGCAGAAUGGAGACAUUAAAGAGGCAUCUUCCGUUUUCUGGUCAGGAGGGAUUACAAGAACUCAAGAAAAUUGCCGUACGGUUUGAGGAAAAGAUUUAUACUGCCGCCACCAAUCAGGUAUUCGGCUAAUGCUAGGUUCAAUAAUUUUGAUAUUCUCUGGACAUGAAUAUACACAUGCAUAAGUUUGUGGAUUUAUGCAUGUACACGUGUGUGUAGUGUGUCCACACUUCCUCACUGGUCAUUCUGUAGAAGUUCUUAUCUUUCCGUUAAUUCUCUUGACAAGUGUUUUAUUUAGAGUGACCAAGGUCCUUUUCAAGUACAAGGGAAGUGUGCAAAAAGCAAAUAACGAAUCAAUACAUAAAUAAUUAAAUAAAAAGAGGAGACACAGAAGUAUAUCCUCACAGAAGAUGCAAAUACAGAAAGCCUAGCAUAUUAGAAAGAGCAUAUAUCUCUUUUCCCCCUUCUCUUGUAACAUGGACUGCUCAGAGAUCUAAUGUUUUGUUAUUGAUAUCUGAUUUCAGUCUGAUUAUCUGCGUAAAAUAUCUCUGAAGAUGCUUACAAUGGAGACCAAGUCUCAAAAUACCAUACCCACUGGCAAUGGUAACAAACCCCUGGAUCCAGGAGGUAAUAAUGCAGCCAAGCAUUGAAUUUCUAAACAUCCUUACCUUUUGUUUUAUAUUUUGCAUUAUUAUCAAACUCUUUUACAUUUUAUUGCUGCAUCCUUACUCUUUUACCAUUAGGGAAAUAAUUUCUAAAAAUUACAGAUUAUUUUUGCCCCCCCCCCCCCCCCCCCCCCCCCGCCAGCCCCAAAAUUGUCAAAUGGCACUUUUAUGCUUUGAGUCAAAACCACCUUAAUUAUUUCCCUCAUAACUUUAUGUGUGAACUGUCAUUGUUUCAUUUGUUUUUCUUGUUCAAUGCCUUCUUUUUUUCCUUUGACAUGGUUAUCCUUUUUGCCUUUUAUCUUGAACAGCAUCUCAUAGUAUGCCGCCUCAAGUUCACAACCAAGGGCAGUCGCUCCCUAUCUCAUUGUCCAGUAAUCAGCCUCAAGCACGUCAGCAGUUAUCACAAAACAUGCAGAAUAGUAUGUCAUCUAAUGGAGUUCAAAGUUCUGCUGGUUUACAAUCAGCAAUGCCUUCUGUCUCCAGUUUAACCCAGACUAUCGCAAACACUGUUGGACAGAAUGCUAACAUGCAGAGUAUCUCUGGUGUUUCACAGAACCCAGUUGGGAAUUUAAUGGGACAAGGGAUUCCCUCCAAUAUGUUUGUCAAUUCUCAGAGACAAAUGCCAGGCAGGCAACAGGUUGUUCCUCCACAGCAACAGCAGCAGUCCCAAAAUCCUCAGCAGUAUCUUUAUCAGCAGCAGAUACAACAACAGCUUUUAAAGCAGAAGCUUCAACAGGGAAAUCAUCCACACUCACUUGUGCAAUCUCACAUCCACCACCAGCAGCAGCAGCAAAACUUGUUACAGCCAAAUCAGUUGCAAUCUGGUUUGCAAACAUCAACUGUUAUGCAGCCUUCAAUGAUGCAAACCGUCUCUGGCCUUCAACAGAACCAACCAUCUUCUGUUCAACAGUCAACACAACCAAUGCACCAGCAACAUCCACAAUCAGUCCUUAGGCAGCAGCAGCAACAACCUCAACAGUCUGCUGGUAUUCAUCAGCAGCAAACACCAAUGAUGCAGCAGCCACUAUUGCCUCCACAACAGCAGCUAAUGGGGCAACAAUCAAAUACCACUAACAUGUCGCAAAAUCAGUUAAUUGGACAGCAAAACAUUGUUGGGGACUUGCAGCAGCAGCAGCAGAGAUUGCUAGGGCAGCAGAAUAACCUUCAAAAUCUGCAGCAGCAGCAGCAGCAGUUAAUGGCUCAACAAAAUAACCUCUCAAGUAUGCAUCAGCAACAGUUGGGCCCUCAAAGUAAUGUCACUGGUUUACAGCAACAGCAGUUGCUUGGAGCUCAGCCUGGUAACUCAAGCAUGCAAUCUAAUCAGCACUCUCUACACAUGCUGCAACAGCCCAAGGUUACGCUGCAGCAGCAAGCACAACAAAGUGGAAGUGCUUUGUUGCCGAAUCAAGGGCAGCAGUCACACUCACAGCUGCCACAGCAGCAAUUGAUGGCACAGAUUCAAUCACAGCCUGGACAGCUGCAACAGCAAUCAAAUCCAUUACAACGUGAUCUGCAGCAAAGGCUUCAAGCAUCAGGCUCCUUGCUUCAACAGCCGAAUGUGAUUGAUCAGCAAAAGCAGUUAUAUCAACCUCAAAGAGCCCUUCCAGAAACGUCCUCAAGUAAGUUUUUGUCAUCCUUGCAGCUUUCUAGCCUUGCUCCAACUUUAAUUUUGCAGCUUUGUGCUUUCAUGUUAGAUUAUAACAUAUUUAUUUAAAUUUCUUGAAAAUACAAUAAUGGUUCAAGUCAGUAAUGCUCUUUUUGGUAGCUUUAUGAGCUACGGCUGCCACUUAUGGCAUCAGAAAUGCCACUGCUAUUGGAGCCAUUGUAAUCACACAUACAUUUGUUACGACAUCAUGCCAUCCAGUGCAUUGCACCAACUAUUCACCUCUCAUAAUGGUUCAAGUCAGCAAUGCUCUUUUGGUAGCUUUAUGUUCUACUGAUGCCACUGCUAUUGAAACCAUUGCAAUCACACUCGUUUGUUACCACAUCAUGCCCUCCAGCUCAUCGCACCAAUUGUUCACCUCUCAUUUUGAAUUUAACAGACAUGAAUUUUAAAAAUAUAUGUAUAACUGGACAAUGCAUUUGACACUAGGGUAACUAAUCAUCAGCCAAUUGAUUUUUAUGGGAAGAAAGAAAUUAGCAAGUGGACUAACUCUGAGGCACUUAAGGUUUGGUGUGCUGAUAAAUCAUUGAGCCUUUUUUUUUAAUAUAUAAUGAUCACUUGUUGGGGGGGGGGGGGGGGGGGAAGCAUUUUAAAGGGUCUCUCUGUCUAUUUGAAUGAUUACAUAACGUUGAGAUGGAGUUCCUAGUACUCCAAGUCCAAAAAGGACUUGUAUUCCUAUGUAAGAAAAUACCAAUGGUCCUAUCUGGGAUAGGGAAAACCUAUUAAAGCUCCUUAUUCUUUAGGAACAAUAAAAUACUAAAUAGAAAUAAAACCAAGACCUACAAUAUUCCAUAAUUUUCAGCAAGUGUGAAAAUUACAGAAAUACCCUUGUGUGCAGAAAACAUUCAUAAAAUACAUGAAUUCUAAUCUUUUGUUGGCUGUAUCAAAAUUUUUGUAGCAUCCCUAGAUUCUACAGCAGAGAUUGGACAUGCAAAUGGUGCUGAUUGGCAAGAGGAGAUCUACCAAAAGGUAAUUUCUGUAGUUUACUGUUCAUUAGAUGAAGUUCAUGUAUGUCAUUGUCUUGCAAGAUUUCAAUGGAAAAGGUCUCCUGGAAUUUGGUACAAGGGAGUUUUAUUCAGCUAUGGUUGUGAUUAGUUAGGAAGCAUUGUAAGUUCCAUGAUUGCAGCAACUAAGAAACGAUAAAUUACUGAUAAGAUGAUUAAAGGUAAAUAAUCAGAUUUCUAGGUCAAGAGGGUUAUUUUCUUGGUACUGACACGACAAUUUUUUCUAUUGCAAAUCUCUCCCUUUCAAUUUUUUCCCUGUAUUUCCAUACAUUUAUUGUGUGGUGAAUUAUUAUUUUAUUAUUUCCAAUAAGUCCAAUUGACAAUACUUCUUACUGUAAUAGACAGACUUGAAAACAAGAGUGAACUGUUUCUGAAUAGUCAUCGUUAUAUUUGGUUAAGUGAACAGUUAUUUUCAGGAUUACAAUCAAAUUUGUUCUGAAACAUGUGACAAUGGAAGAAAGGAAAAUAAGUGGACCUAAUCCAUUGAAUCAUGACCAUGUCCAGUAUUGUUGAAUUUUAUAGAAAACGAGGUUGAAAUUCUGAAUCGUUUAAUGGCUGUAGUUGCAAUUCAUAACUGCAUAUUUGAUGAGGUCAAUUUUUUUGUGCCUGGGAGGGUACUAAAACGGGAAUAGGAGUGGUUGUUGAUAAUUAGGAUAUAAGGGUUAUAAAUCUAAAGUUAUAAGGCUAAGAAGUGUUUACCAAAGUCGUGACAUCCAUUGACUUGAGUUAGAACAAUAGAAAACAAUGGUGAGUAGUUUGCCGUGAGACAAAGUAACUGAACUUGACCAACCCCUGAAUCUUGUCUGAAGGGGUAACUACACAAUCCUUUGCAUGCAAUCAAUAACGAUAUUCUCUUUUGAGUUUUCGGCAUUGAUUCCACUUUGCUAUUUUUAUCUCAAACAAUAUAUGCUGUCCUCUGCCAUUUUAUUUAUUUAUUUAUUUAUCAAUUCUCUCAAGUUUGCUUAUGUUUCUUUCUGACUCUGGCACGUGAAGAAAUCAAGCAUAUGAUUGAUAAUGUCUUGCUGGUUAUAUGUACUUCCUAGAUCAAAGUUAUGAAGGAAACGUAUUUGCCUGAAAUAAAUGAAAUGUACCAGAGAAUUGCUACCAAGUUACAGCAGGUAAAUUGUCUUUGUAAUUUUUUCCGAUUUAUUUGCCCACACAUAUUCAUAAACCCCCACAGUUGAGCUUUUGUAUUAAUUUGUUUUCCCCAUCAGCAUUGCUUGUCACUGUAUCAUCUGCACUAAUUACCUCCCCCACCCCCAACCACCCCACAACCAUGCAUUGACACAGAAGAAUUGGAAUAGAAACAUUUUUUUCACUUAUGUUUUACUAGUUUUGCUAGAAAGGAUCAAUGCAAUUUUUAAUUCUCGUGUAUGUUAACUUUGCUUUCCAGCAUGACCCUCUUCCGCAACAACCGAAGUCAGAACAGCUUGAAAAGCUGAAGGUAUUCAAGGUCAUGUUGGAGCGCUUGAUAACAUUCUUACAGGUCUCUAAAAACAACAUCACACCUAAUUUCAAGGAGAAAUUGGGUUUCUAUGAGAAGCAGAUUGUAGGUUUUCUAAACCCAAGCAGAUACAGGAAGCCUAUUCCUAAUCUACAGCAAGGACAACCUCCCCAACCUCGUAUUCAACCUAUGCAGCAACCCCAAUCUCAAGUUCCUCAAUUGCAGUCCCAUGAAAAUCAACUGAUUCCCCAGUUGCAAUCAAUGAAUACGCAAGGUUCUGUACCACAGAUGCAGCAGAACAAUAUGUCAAGCUUGCUGCAUAAUUCCCUUUCAACUUUAUCUGGGGAUUCGACGUCACAAUCAAACAUGAUGAAUCCAAUACAACCAGGCUCCAAUUUAGAUUCUGGACAAGGAAAUGCACUGAGCUCAUUGCAGCAGACACCUGUAGGAUCUGUACAACAGAAUCUCGUGAGCAUUUCCCAACCAACCAAAGUUAACACAUUGUCAACACAAAGUGGGGGGAGUAUGCUGCAGCCAAAUAUUCCCCUUCAGUCGAAUUCCAAUAUGAUUCAACACCAGCAUCUAAAACAGCAGCAGCAGCAGCAGCAUGAACAACAGAUGCUACAAACACAACAGCUUAAACGAUUCCAGCAACACCAGAAUUUAAUGCAGAAUCAACAGAUGCAGCAGCAGCAAUUACACCAGCAAGCUCCGUCUCCUAUGCCAGGAGAUUCUGACAAACCAGUUUCUGGUAUUUCCUCACUCUUAGAUACUGGAAAUAUUGUACACCAACCAUCUGUUGCACAAGCACUGGCUCCAUCCCUUGCAAUUGGCACUCCUGGGAUAUCUGCAUCACCUUUGCUUGCAGAGUUUACCAGUCCUGAUGGUGCUCAUGGCGGUGCUUUGACAACUGUUUCUGGCAAGUCAAAUGUUACAGAGCAAUCACUUGAGUGCUUGAUUAAAGCGGUUAGUGAUGCUCUCCUUUUGGUUUUACUCCACCCCACCCUUAUUUUGGAGGUUUCUGAAAAAGAAAGAAACUUCUUUGUGAAUGAGAUGGUGAUGCUGCAAUUUUUUUUCCCAGGUGAAAUCUCUGUCUCCCAAAGCACUUAGUGCAUCUGUCGGUGACAUUGGCUCCGUUGUCAGUAUGAUUGACAGAAUUGCUGGUUCUGCAGCUGGUAAUGGAUCUAGAGCUGCAGCUGGUGAGGAUUUGGUAGCAAUGACAGGAUGUCAUCUUCUUUCGUUUUUGUCUUUUUUAUUUUUCACGUGUUUCUCACAAGAUGGGAACUCGAGGGAAUAAAAAGUGCUGGGAAGUAAUUUUUGUUGGAACGUCUUGUGUAACAUCUUCUUUCGAUGAUGACCUUUUGGAUGGCUGCAUGAAGCUUGUUCCGCUUUAAAUUUCAAGGUUAAUCUAUUUCAAUUUGAAACUUGAGUUGCAACUGAACUUAAAUGAAAAGUGUUGGAUUUGGGCCUCUAUUUGUUUUAACUUGUACAGGGUUGAAGUGAUAGUGAUCUUAAAAGUACAAAAGCAGCAGACAAAAAUCAAUUAGCCACAAUAUAUAGUGUAUGGUUUCCUACUUUCUCAGUAUAAAGUUGAAUGUUUUGGUGAUAUAAUCUCUACAUCCAAAAUCAUAUAGACAGCUACUGCUGGCACUUGCAGUAGCCAAUGUUAACCAAAAUCAUAUAAUCUUAAAGUUGAAUGUUGUAUUUUCAUAAAUUAAAGGGAUUUCUCUUCUUUUCUUUGUCAAUUACAGUGCAUCAUAAUAAGUUUUCUUACUCAGUAAAUGCUAUUGUAAUUUUUUCACAGAGACUCCCCUGUUUUGCAACUAAUUCACUUCUGAAUAAAUCUGGGAAACAGAAAGGCAAUCAACAAAGAGUAAGGCAUCUUCUGAAGAAACAAAGAAAUUUAAUACCAUAAACUAAGCAGCACGUAGAAGGCAAAAACUGAGCACAAAUUUUCAGGAAGGGACAAACGAAAAAAACCAAAAAGAAAGCAAAGAAAAAUACAGACUCAAAUUCACAACACCCAUUUUCUUUCCAUUGGAACACUUUAAAUAGUUUAUUAAAUUUAUAAUGAUCUGAUUUCUACGCAUAUAAAAAAAUCAACUAAAUGAUCAAUUCUCUAUAAUUUCGGCAUUACUAAAAACAUCCAAACUAAUAAACAAUUAGUUAUUUUACUCAUUUUAAUAAACAUUUUAGUUAUGAAUUCACCAAACAUUUUGAACAAUUCAUAUUGAUGAAUUAACAUUUAAAUUUUAGAUUUUUUGAUUUAUUAUUUCCUUCGUGAGUUACUUCUAAAGUAUGCUAUAUAUCUUUAAGCAUUUUUAUAGAAUAUAAUUCUAUCAAAUUCACUUUUACCCAAUGCAUAAUAUAAAGUAUUCAUGGCUUUAACAUCCAUAAAAAAUAACUUUUUAUCAUUGUCCGUAUAUUCCCUUUUAGUUUUAGAAAUCUCAAUACCAUUUUUAAUUUGAUAGGUCUAGGAGAUCUAUUUUGUAUGGAUAGCCACAAAUUAAAAUCAAUAAAUUGAUAAUAAAUUAUCAUUAAACAAUUUAUUACUUGCUCUUUGGUAAUAAGAAUGUGAUUGUAAUAUUAUUUUGUAUGGAUAGUUUUAUCUAUCUAUUAUCUCAAUAACAAGAUUAACUUUGCAAUUAUAUAUCACACUUAUAUAAUCUCAAAUAAUAUUAAUUAAAAUGAAUCACAAAAAUUUAACACAGUAAUUCUGCAAAAAAAAUAAAAACAAUUUAAUAAACAAUUUAACUUUGCAAUUAUGUUUUUAUUUGUUUGUUUUUCUAUGAGACACAAUGGAAUUUUCAAUAGAAACUACAACAAUACAAAUAAUUACAAAUAUUUUUCUUUCAACAUCAACAUAAAAAAACAUUAUGCACUUUUCGAUACUUACGUAAUUCUAGGAUUAAAGAAACAAUAACAUCUAAGGGGGGUGAAUUGGGUGUUGCACUAAUUAUAUCAAAUAAUGGUGUUGCACUAAUUAUAUCAAAUAAUGCAAUAAUUAACAAUAUAAUUAAAGUGUUUAAAGUAAAUAGAUAAGGAAAUAGAUAUUACAAACUCGGUUUUUAAUGUGAUUCGGUAAGCCUACAUCUACACCUCAAGUACUAACCGUACUUGAGUAUUGUACUCUUUUACCAAUCCAAGUGAAAUAUACAAAUGCCCUUGAUAAAUCCACACCGAGAAAUUAUACCACUUGAAGUUUUUUCUCUUGGUGACAAUACAUCACUAAUGCUAGGAGUUUAUCCAAACUCACAAAUGUUUACAAUUAUAAUUUGUUUGCAACAAGAUUCACUCUCUCAUAAAGUAAAUUGUACAAUUGAAAACUAUAAUCUUUAUAACUCACUCGAUAGCACUCAAGAUGAUUGAAAGUGUGUAAAUAUAAUGAGUGUGAGACAUUAUACUCAUGUGUUAGAAUAUAAAGAUUUAAUUUAGCACAACUUAAAAGCAUGUUAUGAUUGAUGAUUUCUAAUUGAUUUUUUUUUAAAAUAACUUCUAUGUUAUAUAUGUUUGGAAUCUCUCUUUUAUUUGUUAUAUAUAUAUAUAUAAACUAAUUGUUUAUAGUUGUUGAGAUGUCUCUAACAGCUAAAGUAAUCUAUAUGCAACUUAAACAAAAGAAUUCCAAUUAAAUGGAAUUGCACUUAACAUGUAUUAUUUCAAAUGCAACAAUUGCAUAGAUAACAGACAACAAGGAAUUUAACAGAAGAUAUAUACACUUUACUUUUCCUACUAAAAUUAAACUAUUGGAAUUUAACAUAGUCAUAAUCAAUUUGUUCUUGUGAGAUUAUCUAUUACAUGUAUAACAAAUAUAUUAGAAAAUAAAUUGUUUUAAGAUUGUUAGAACACCUUAAAUAGUUCAUAAAAUUAUUGUUCCAUUUUACUAUAAUAAUCAAGUUUCCACAUAAUAUAAAUCAUGCAUAUAAAUUAAUAAUCAAAAUAAAAAUUAAAUUAAGAUAACAAUCAAUUUUUUAACUUUAAAAUAAUUUAUCAUCUAUUUUCUAAUACUAAUAGUAUGAUUGUAAUAUUAUUUUUUAAUUUAUUUAAUAAUUUAAUUUUGAUAGCACAACCAAAAAUAAAUAAUGAACCAAAAUUUAUAUGAUAUUUUUUAUAAAAAAUUUGAUAAAAAAAAUAUAAAAACAAAAAUAAUGUCUCAAUUAGAAUAAUUUUUUCAUUAAUGAGAAGGCCCACCACAGACCAAGAGGACAGCUUCAAUGAAGCCAAUGCAGGUGAUUACCCGUCGGCUAACAUCUCCUCGCGCGCCUAGCACCAGCUAAACCGCCUCAAUCUGAACAUGCACCAGACAAAGUCUAUGAAAAGACGCCAGGGAGCCUCAGCAGCCGAGAAGAAAGCACGGGAACACCCACCGCGCGAGAAGAAACGCGAAAAACAGGAGACGGAGCGCGGUAAAGACUGAAGCCACAGGAUUCACAUACAGUGAAGCACUCUUAGUUUUAUAUAUAUAUAAUUCUUUUAGUUUGUUAGUUAUGAACAGUGAAGCAGCACAAGAAUACAAUUCUCCUGUUUGUUUGCUGGAAAAUAGUUUUUUUUAGAAAGUGAAUUAUUUUCCGAUGUUUGGUAGUGUAAUGGAAAAUAAGUUAGAAAACAUUUUUCAGUGUUUGGUUAUGUCAUGGAAAAUGAGUUGGAAAAUAACUUAUUAAUAUUUUAUUUUUUUCAAUUUUAUUAAAAUAAUAAAGAAUAAAUCUUACAAAUUAAAAAGUUGAAUGAAAAUAAAAUUGAAAAAAAAUAUAAUUUCAUAAAUUAUCUUAAAUAAAAUAAAUAAUAAUCAAAAUAAUAAAAAUCAAAUCUAAAAAAUAAAAAAUUUGAUCGCUUCAUUAAUUUCUCGUUAGGAAAAUGUUGAGCUUCUCAGCAAUAUUUCCUUACCUUGUGCCGCUAACUUGACGGUAAAAUGUGAUUAAAGGAUCAAUUAAUUAUUUAAAUCAACUUGAGGGAUUAAUCUGUUUGUUUAACAAAAAUACAGACACUAGUUAAAUAGAAUUUAACUCAAAUUUUAAUCAUCAUAUGCGUGCGUGUGCGUGUGCGCACGCGUGCGAGCGAGGGUUUACUCGUUAAUUUUUUUAGAAGGAAUCUGGAAAAGAAUAAAGUCAUCUAUUUCACUUUGGUCCAACAUCCCUCAAAGGCGCAGCUGUGCAUCUAGUUAGGAAGAACAUUUUAUAACUCACCUCAAGGUCGAGCAUGGUCAGGGUUAUUGUGUUGUCUAUUCCGAGGAAGAUGUGGCGUUCAAUCCAUGUGAAUCGCACGACUUGUCCAUAUCUUUCUUAUUGAUUACAAAUAGCAUUGAGAAUUAAAGAAUAUUAUCUUAAUAAGUUCCAAUUUAUUCUACAAAACUAUAUAUAAAGAUGUGACAAAAAGAUGUAUACAAAUUAGUUAUUUAUUGUUUGUAAGUAUUAUUGUAUUGCAAAGACAAAAAUAAGAUGCAACUUAUGGCGUGGUCGUCCAACCUGGUUCUGGUUUUGAUCCUGUUCAAAAUCUAUUUUGUUGAAUUGUUGAUCUACUUGUGAGUUAUUGGGUUAACUAGAUCAAUUUUUUAAACAAAACAAUGCCAUUUUAAAAAAAAAAUUGGUUCUGACAUAGAAAUAUAAUAUUAGAAACUUAAACCUUAUUGAUUAGCAAAAACUCAAUGGGAAAUUUAGUUUUGAAAUAGAUUGUUGUAAAAUCAAAUAUGAAUUGAUAACCAGAAAGUUUGCUUAAAAUUGCAAUAACCUUAUAGAAGAAAGCAAACAUAAAUAGAAUUAUUAAAUUCAAUGGAGUUCAUAUAACCAGGAUCACGAGUUUAGCGAGUUAAGCCAUGAAACCCUAAUCGAUCAAAUAUGUCGCCGUUUCAAUUAAAAAAAAUACAUCUUAAAAAGAAUUAAGCUAAACCACGUUUCUACCUAUUAUCUGGGUUGUCUUUAGACUUGUCAAGUCGACUGAGCCAUAUUAGGACAACUUCCAUAUAAUUAAAUUUGAAACUCGAGCUAGAUAAGAAAUCAGGUCAGGAAAUUUUAAUAUUGAUUUGUUGAAUCGGAUUUAAUAACAAUGCCAAAGAUCUGAAUAUUUAUUUUUUACUCAAUUUUUUUUAGGUCCUGUUUGUUUGAUGGAAACAGUUUUUUUUUAGAAAGUGAAUUCCUGUAAAGUGAAUUAUUUUCUGAUGUUUGGUAGUGUGAUGGAAAAUAAAUUAGAAAAUAUUUUCCAGUGUUUGGUUAUGUUAUGAAAAAUGAGUUGAAAAAUAGCUUAUUAAUAUUUUAUUUUUUUUCAAGUUUAUUAAAAAAACGAGGAAUAAAUCUUACAAAUUAAAAAGUUGAAUGAGAAUGAAAUUGAAAAAAAUAAUCUAAUUUUAUAAAUUAUUUCAAAUAAAAUAAAUAAUAAUCAAAAUAAUAGAGAUCAAAUCUAACAAAUAAAAAAAUUGAAAGAUGAUGAAAUUAAAAUAAUAAUAAUUACAAUUUCAUAAAUUAUUUCAAAUAAAAUAAAUAACAAUUAAAAGAAUAAGGACCAAAUUUGAUAGAUAAAAAAUUUCAAUUAAAAAAAUGAUAAGACAAAAGCAAAUAACAAUCAUAAAAAUAAGGACCACAGUUAAUAUAAAAAUCAAAUUAAAUCAAAUUUUAAGGAAGGAAAUUAAAAAAAAAGAUUCAAACAAAAUAUAUAUCAAUUAAAAGUUUGAAGACUAAAUUUGAUAUAAUCAGCAAAUAAUAUGAUAUUUCUAAAUUUUUCACAACUUCUGGAAAAUGUUUUCCGUCCAAAAUAAAAGGAAAAUACUUUCCUGAAAAUCGAGUUAAAUUUUUCUUUGACUGUAAAGUGUUUUCCAUUGACCAACUUUUUUAAUGACAAACAAACACAUGAAUGUUUGGAAAGUGGUUUCUAGAAAAUUAUUUUCCAGGCAAACAAACACCCCCUUAAUUCAAUCACUAAAGAGUUAUCCAAGAAUAAUUAUUCUCCACUAGCAGUUGUUGCAUACUAAAUUUUUUUUGUCAAAACAUACAUGAUAGGUGGCUUCAAUAUCAAUCCACCAUUUUUUAGGAUUUUCCAUGAAGUUUACUUCUAAUAUAACUACAACAAGCUUAGUAGCUUUCUCAUCAACAUUCUCAAUCAUAUGCUAAGAAAUCAUGGUUUUGUUGAGCUUUGUUAUCAUCAUAGGCUUGAUGAUGGAAGGAUUAUUGCUUCAUCAUGCUUUAUAUUUAAGUUCACGCCACUCAAAUUAUUUUGGUUUUUUCCCCACAUGAAGAAUGUUUAGGAAUCGGGUUUGCCAUCUAAACCACAAAGAUUACUAGGUUAACAAGUACAUCGAAAUCAUUAACAAUAGUUUUAUCCAUCUAUUAUCUCAAUAAUAAAAUUAACUUUGCAAUUAUAUAUCACGCUUAUAUAAUCUCAAAUAAUAUUAAUUAAAAUGAAUCACAAAAAUUUAACACACUAAUUGUGCAAAAAAACAAUUUAAUAAACAAUUUAACUUUGCAAUUGUGUAUUUAUUUAUUUGUUUUUCUAUAAGACACAAUGUAAUUUUCAAUAGAAACUAUAACAAUACAAAUAAUUAUAAAUAUUUGUCUUUUGACAUCAACAUAAGAAAACAUUAUGCACUUUUUUAAAGUUACGAUAAAAACAAAUCUGAUUGAUACUUAUGAUAUUCUAGGAUUAAAGCAAUAAUAACAUCUAAUAGAGAUAAAUUAGGUGUCAAACUAAUUAUGUCAAAUAAUACAAAUAAACAUGCUAAACACAUAUAAUAUAAUAAUCAACAAUAUAAUUAAAAUGCUUAAAAUAAAUAGAUAAGAAAAGAGAGAUUACAAACUCGGUUUUUAACAUGGUUCAGUAAGUCUACAACCACAUCUCAAGUACUAAUCGUAAUUGAGUAUUGUAUUCUUUUACUAACCAAUAAUAUAUUAUUUCACCAGUAAUUAUUAUCCAAUAUGCAACUUUUUUUUCCAAUCUUCUGUUUUUUUUUUCCAUAUCAAUCCAACAAUAAAGAAAAUAACAUGUAACAUAAAAUUUCUUUCCCCGUAGAAUCAAUGCAACAAGUAUACAGAUACCACACAACAAACAAUUUAACAAGUCAUGUAAUUUAACAGAAGAUAUAUUUACUUUGCUUUUCCUACUAAAUUUAAACAACUUUUUUGUAAUCUAUGUCAACAUAUAAAACAUAUAUAUAAAUCAAUAAAAAAAAUAAAAAAUAGGUAGAGGUAAUGAUUAAUUUUUUAGCUUUAAAAUUUUUUAUCAUCGCCUCUUUAUGCUAGUAAUGUAAUUGCAAUAUUAUUUUAAAUUAAUUUAAUAUUUUAUUUUUGAUAACAUAACCAAAAAUAAACAGCGAACCAGAAUUUAUAUAGAGUUUCCUAUAAAAAUUUUGAUAAAAAAAAAUAUAAUAGAAAUAAGUUUAUAAAAACAAAAACAAUGUCUCAGUUAGAAUAAUUUUUUCAUUAAUGAGAAGGCCUGCCACAGACCAAGAGGAGAGCUUCAAUGAAGCCAUCCCAGCCGAUGCAGGUGAUUACUCAUCGGCUGACAUCUCCUCGCAUGCCUAGCACCAGCCAAACCGCCUCAAUCUGACAUGCACCAGACAAAGUCGAUGAAAAGACGCCAGGGAGCCUCAGCAGGCGAGAAGAAAGCGCGGGAACACCCACCGCGCGAGAAGAAACACGAAAAACAGAGACGGAGCGCGGUAAAGAUUGUGAAGCCACAGGAUUCACACAUAGUGCACCGUGUUUUAAUGAGUUAUAUGUAUAUAUAUAUAUAUAAUUAUUUUAGUUUAGUUUUAGUUUGUUAGUUAUGAACAGUGAAGCAGCACCAGAAUACAAUUCUUUUAGUUUGUUAGCGAAUUUGGAAAGAAUAAAGUCAUCUGUCAAGCUCUGUUCACUUUGGUCCGACAUUCUUCACCUCUCCCCACCUGAGCUCUCUCUCUUUCCCUCCUCCGCUCUAGGAAGCCGCCACCACCUCAACCAAUAAGGCUUCAAAUCUCCACCAGGUGCUUCCUUUUCUAUCAUGUUUUUUAUUUUUAAAAUUUACAUCUGUGUUUUCAUUUAUUUAACUGAAAUUCUUAUCCAGAGAGAUAAAUUCGAUUUUAAUAAGUAAAUUAAAAAGAUAUAUAAUCGGAUCGAUGAAAUCGUUGUUCGUGAACGCAACUCGAAGAAAGGCGUAAUCAGCCGAUUCUACUGUGGGUGGAGCAUUUAGUAUGGUCAGGGUUAUUGUGUUGUUUAUUCAAAGAAAGACAUGCCUGUAAAUUUGUUAAGUUGAUUCUUAUCAGUCUGCUCUUUAGAGUUAAUGAUAACAUGAAAUAUUCAUUGUUAAUGCUCGUUGUUUUCUUCGUCUUUUUCCUAGACUAAAACAUCCUAGACAGUCUCUUUGGGAUGGGUUAGUGUUUCUGGCCUCUUCAUCUUCAAUUUGUGCUGUGGUGAAAGGCCUCGUUUUAUGACUUUGUUUUGUAUUCUUCUUAUUUCUUUAUUCUUUUGGGGAUGUGGUGUUUUCCUCUUUCUAUUACACUAUUUACUCCCUACAAUAUUUAUUUUUUCAGAGAAGUAAAUAUAUGCAUAAAUAACAAAAACAGGAGGGGAAGGGGAAUGGGGUUUGAUAGUAAGUAUUUGCUUAGAAGGGAAUGCUUCUUCGGUUUAGAAGCACCAUGAAGAUUCUUUGCUUUGAAUGGCCGAAUACCCAGGAUCCUAGCACCUAGGCCUGAAUGUUUGUGUAUAUUUGUUAUGCAUCCAUAUUUGGCUGAAUUCUUUAAUAAAGUACAUGAUAUUAGACGGAAGUUCUUUUUAAAUCUAUUCAAGUCUGAAUAAACUGAUAUUCCAUUUUUCAUGUUCUUGAUGUGCUUUUGCUCUUCUUGUCGUUCCUGACUUUCUUUUAAGGGUCUAUUCUAACAUGCAAUAUGAUUUUUUUUUUCUUUUUGGUUGGCCAACUGUCCUAGGCGGAGAACCUAUCAUAGACACGGGUGAUUGGAGAAUUCAAUUGCAGCCUGACUCAUGGAAAAGAAUAAGCGACAAAAUGUAUGUGCAAGUGCUGCAAAAUAGUAAAUUUUUUUAUUUAUAUGAAAGAAAAGGAGAAUGGCAAAGGGUUAAUUAAAAUCAACAAGAUAGCCAUGAGGCAACCUCAAGUAUCACACACCUUUUUUUUUUUUCAUCUUUUAAUGUGUUUCUCACGAGAAGAAAACUUGAGGGAACAUAAAGUGAUGGGAAGUAAUUUUUGUUGGAAUUUCUUGUGUAAUCUCUUCUUUUGAUGAUGACCUCUUGGAUGGCUGCAUGAAGCUUGUUCCGCUUUUAAUUUCAAUUUAAAACUCGAGUUGCAAUUGAACUUAAAUGAAUGGUGUUGGAUUUAGGCCUUCUAUUUGUUUUAACUUCUACAGGGUUGAAAUGAUAGUGAUCUUAAAGUUGAAAAGCAACAGACAAAAAUCAAUUAGCCACAGUGGUGCAUGGUUUCGUAGUUUCUCAGCAUAAAGUUGAAUGUUUUGUUGACCUCUCUACAUCCAAAAUCAUAUAGACAGCUACUUCUGGCACUUGCAUUGGUCAAUGAAUACUGUAAAGUAUAUAUUGCAGUGUGAGAUAAGGUUAACUCGUUGCAUUUUCAUAUAUUGAAAAGAUUUGUCUUCUUUUCUUUGUCAAUUACAGCAAAUGUGUAGAAGUUACUCAGAGUAAAUGCUAUUGUAAUGUUUUCACAUACUCCCCUGCUUUGCAACUAAGUCACUAAUAUAUGAAGCUCGUAGCUAGAAUUUUUAGAUAGAAGGGUGGCCAAGUAAACUCCUAUAAUAUGUACCUCUGGAAUAAUACAGGGAAAAGAUGUCUAUGUAUUUUGAUGUCUUAUAAUACUUGACCAACUCUUGCUUAUCUUGUUGUUACCCAUUUUUUAGUUCACAUAAAAAUGAGAAAAUACAAAAAACAAAUAUCAAAAGAAAUCCAAAAAAUAAUAGGAGCGAGAAAAGGAUUGCUGGAAUGCCGAAAAAAAAAUGCCAAAAUUGGUUGAGGAGAUUCAAAAAUGCAAAAGGUUGAAAUUUGACAGUGAGAGUCCUGUUGAUGAGGAAAAUUCAAUUUGAGAAAGAAAAGUCCAAAAUCAGAUGUUUAUGGACUCAAUUAAAUUUUAUCCAAGGUUUAAUUGAAUUUAUAGAGGGUUUGAUUGCAAGAAAAUUGAUUUUGUAAGUCAAUUUAGGCUUUUAUCGGAAGAAAUUAAAGUUCUGGGGUCCAAUUAUAAUUUUAAAGAGUUGAUUUGGUCAAAUCAGGGGCUUAAUUGCAUAAUUAUUGAAGUUUGAUGGCCAAUUAGGGACUUAAUUGAAAUAAUUUGAGACCAAGGAUCAAACCAGAAAAGGCGCUAACAUUAAGGGAUCCAAUUACAAUUUUGUCAGGGGGGUUUGAUUAUAAAACAGCGAAAACUUCAAGGGCCAAAUUAGAAGAACCCAAGCGGCGCCGUUUCCACCAUUAAUGGUCUUCAAACAGCUGUGAAUCGGUGACGAUAAUGGAAGGAGACGUUAGCAGCAAUUAUGGAAAAUAUUCUCAAUUCAAUGGGGCUGGUAUCGCGGCUGACAUCCCUCGUCACCGUGAUGGGCGCCGGCUUACCAAUAUUGCUGGCGUCCUCUGGCUAUAAAAGCCAGAGGAAGAGCUGCACCAAAAAUAAAAGGAGGUGAGAGAGAGGAGAGGCUACAGUGAAGAAAAAAAAAGGGGAGUGAGACAGUUUAUGAGAACGUAAGAAAAGUGAGAGGGUGGAGAAAUAGCGAGCAAGCAUAAGGGAGAGAAGAGGAAGGAGAGAAAGAAGCAAACCGAACGGGAACAGAGGACACGGUGAAGCAGAGAACCCAGCACCACCAUCGUCUUCGUCUUCUCAAAAUCAGGUAUGUUCGAUGCCCUUCUCCGUUUCCUUGCAAAAUGAGAUGAUGCAUGUUAGUAUGUAAAAUACAGAAAGAAAAUAUAAGGAAACCGACACCAGAAAUCGCCAGUUACAAUGCUCUGUUUUGUUUUCCUUUUUCAUUCUCGCACUGCAACAAAGAUGGUUAACAGAGCGAAGGUAAUUUAAUUACCUUCGCCCUGUUCAUACAAGCCUAAAUAUAUUAUGGUGCCAUUAGAUAAAAAUAUGCCUUGCAGUCUAGAUGGUCAGCUUACCUGGCUCUCAUCCGAGAGACCCGGUUUCAAGUCCCAACAAGGGAAUUCCUUUUUGAAGGUGGUCACUGGCAUGGGCCAGUGACCAUGCUGGGCUAGCUGAAUCCAGCCCAGCUACGCAGGUUGGCUGGGGUCCAGCCCAGCCAUAUGGGCCGGGUUGGGCCCAGCAAUAAAAAAUAAAAGAAUAAAAAUAAAUAAAAAUUCAAAAAAAUUAUUUAAAUAUCUGUGAUUUUCCGUCAAUUUUUACUGCAUUUUAAUUAAUACGGUUUGUAUUUUUAUACUGUAAAGAUACAAAUCCGGUAUUAAAAUACCAUAUUUUGGUCCAAACAUUAAAAAAGAAGUUUUGUUUUCAUACAUACGGCUAAGUCUCUCAAAAAUAAAAAAUCAUAUUGUAUUUUCAUACAACAAAGAAAAUUUCAAAAAAUAUGUAUUAGCAUGCAUUUUGGCUUUAAUAACCAGUUUAUUAAAGUCACGAGAACUAGGCCAAUAUUUCAAAAAUUCUAAAAAAUUUAUUUUGUUUUCUUUUAAUAUCGGGGGCCGGGUUAUGAUCUUAUACGUAAGACGUGUUCCAGAUAUUAAAUUUUCUUUGUUGGCAUUAGACCGGUUAGGUUUUACCCGAUAAGAUAAGGAUCUCUUUACCGAAGAGAACUUUUCUUAAACCAUAAACGGACCAACAAAUAGAAAGCACAACAUGACCUUAGAUUUUAUCAGACAAUAAAACAAUGCAGCUUACCUUAGGUAGGGCGUAUUUGGGGUGCUAAUACCUUCCCUUUACGCAACCAAUCCUCGUACCCGAUCUCUGAGACCAGUUAGGGUUCCUAGUGACCAAAAUACUAGGUGACGACUUUCAUUCUAUUUUUUCACUGAUAAAAGACAAGAAUACCUUGUCUCCACACAUUUGCCACAUUUUUAGAUAAGAUAAGAUAGAAUUCGAGGGUGGAUGUUUUCGCCGCGACGCCGCACACGUGCGACAUAUCUCAUUAUUUGUUUUUACUUUUUGCUAAUGAUUCCACACAUUUCUGAAAUUGGUGUGGUUUAUGAGUUCAGGGUUCUUGCUUGCUGCUGCUAACUUCUCUAUACUUGCCUGGUCAUUAAAAAUGAAACGUAAUGAUUUGCAUGUGCAGAAUGGAGACAUUAAAGAGGGAUCUUCUGUUUUCUAGUCAGAAGGGAUUACAAGAACUCAAGAAAUAUGCCAUACGUUUUGAGGAAAAGAUUUAUAUUACCGCCACGAAUCAGGGUUCAAUAAUUAUGAUAUUCUCUUGACAUGAAUAUACACAUGCAUUUAUGCAUGUACAAAUGUGUGUGUAGUGUGCCUCCACUUCCUCACCGUGCAUUCUGUAUGCAAGGCUGAUUGGGAGUUCGCAUGUUUUUGUUAAUUCUCUUGACAAGUGUUUUAUCUAGAGUGACCAAGUUCAAGUACAAGGGAAGUGUGCAAAAAGAAAAUAGCAAAUCAAUACAUAAAUAAUUAAAUAAAAAGAGAGGAAACAGAAGUAUAUCCUCACAAACGAUGAAAUGAUAGAGCAUAUAUCCAUUUUCCUCCUCUUGUAACAUGGAUUGCUCUGAGAUCUAAUGUUUUGUUAUUAAUAUAUGAUUUCAGUAUGAUUAUCUGCGUAAAAUAUCUCUGGAGAUGCUUUCAAUGGAGAUCAGGUCUCAAAAUACCAUGCCCACUGCCCCCAUGGAUCCAGCAGGUUAUAAUGCAGCCGAGCAUUGAAUUUGUAAACAUCUUACCUUUUGUUUUGUUUGUCGCAUUGUAAUCAAACUCUUUUACAUUUUAUUGCGGCAUAUUGCUAUGUGUUUAGCAUGCUUUAAUCAAAAAGUUGAGUAAUUGAUGAAUGUUAGGCAAGAAUAUUACAGAUUGUUUUUGUUUUCUGCCUCCUCCUUUUCUUUCCUCCACCUUGAAAAUUGUCAUAUUAUUUUUGUUUUCAGUCGCCUCUUCUUCCCCCAUCCCUGAAAAUUGUCAGAGGACAUUUUUAUGCUUUGAAUCAAAUCCAUCCUAAUUUUUUCGCUCAUAACUUUAUGUGUGAACUGCAUAUGUUUCAUUUGUCUUCCUUGUUCAGUGCCUUCUUUUUUUCUGUGACAUGGUUUUCCCUUUUGCCUUUUAUCUUGAACAGCAUCCCAUAGUAUGCGCCCUGAAGUUCAGAAUCAAGGGCUGUUUCUCCCUAUCCUAUUGUCCACUGAUCAGUCUCAAGCAUGUCAGCAGUUGGUAUCACAGAACAUGCAGAAUUGCAUGGCAUCUAAUGGAGUUCAAAGUUAUGCUGGUUUACAAGCGGCACUGCCUCCUGUCUCUGGUGUAACCCUGACUAACCCCAACACUGUUGUCCAGAAUCCUAACAUGCAGAGUAUCCCUGGUGUUUCACAGAACUCAGUGGGGAAUUCAAUGGGACAAGGGAUUCCCUACACUAUGUUUGCCAAUUCUCAGAGACAAAUGCCAGGUAAUGCUCUUUUUGGUAGCUUUAUGUGCCACUGCUUCCCUUUAUGGCAUUAGAAAUGCCACUGCUAUUGGAACUAUUGCAAUCACACAUGCAUUUGUAACCACACGAUGCCCUACAGUGCGGUGCACCAACUGUUCACCUCUCAUAAUGGUUCAAGUCAGCAAUGCUCUUUUAGGUAGCUUUAUGUGCCACUGCUGCCACUUGUGGCAUUAGUAAUGCCAUUGCUAUUGAAACCAUUGCAAUCACACACGUAUUUGUUACCACAUCAUACCCUCCAGUGCAUUGCACCAGCUAUUCGCCCUCUCAUUCUGCAUUUAUAUGAUCACAUAACAUUUAUAUGAAGUUCUUAAUACAAAAAGGACUUGUAUUCCUAUAUAGGAAAAUACUAAUAGUCCUAUCUAGAAUAGAAAAAACCUAAUGAAGCUCGCUAUACUUUGGGAAUAAUUAAAUACUAAAUGGAAAAUAAAACUGAGACUCGUAAUAUUUCAUAAUUUUCAGCAAGCGUUAAAAUUAUAGAAAUACCCUUGUAUAUGGAAAACACACAAAAAUACAUGAAUUCUAAUAUUUUGUUGUCCGCAUUGAAAUUUUUGUAGCAUCCCUAUAUUCUACAGCACAGACUGGACAUGCAAAAGGCGCUGAUUGGCAAGAGGAGAUCUAUCAGAAGGUAAUUUCUGUGAUUUACUGUUCAUUAGAUGGAGUUCAUGUUUGCCAUAGUCUUGCAAGAUUUCAAUGGAAAAAGGUCUCAAGAAAAUAAGUGGGACUUAUUCCAUUGAAUCAUGACCACAUCCAGUAUUGUUGAAUUUUACAGAAAAUGAGGUUGAAAUUCUGAAUGUCUCAAGUCAUAGCUGCAUGUUUAAUAAGGAGAUUUUUUUUUUGUGCUUAGGAGAGUUUUAAAACGGGAAUAAGAAUGGUUGUUGAUAAGGACAAUUUUUUUUGUGCUGAGGAGACCAAUAUUUGCUGAGCAAUUCUAUAAUGAAAAGUUGGCGACUGAUGUUUUAAAAAUUGGAGUUAAGGAAUGGCUUAGAGUGCAUGGAGAUCAUGUUAAAAGUGAAGCUGUAGAGAAGGCAAUCACUCAAAUUAUGAUGGGUGAAGAAGCAGAGGAAAUGAGUAGCAGAGCAAAGAAACGGCCAGGAAGGCUGUUGAAGAAGGUGGAUCUUCUUGCUCCGAUUUCAAUGCUUUGAUUGAAUAACUGAGGUGGGGUCGCCCUUGAAACAAAGACAUAGAACAUUUUGUUUAUACUUUAGUAGUGGUUGUGGCAAUUUAUUUUCGGACAAGUCUUGAGAGUUGAAAGAGUAAUCACACCCGAGUCAAUGACCAAUCCAAAUCAGUUUCCUUCCUAAUGAUUCAGGAAUGAGAAGUCCAGCUUAUAUAUUUAACCCAAAUAACUAAUCAAAUAGAAAGGCUGAGCUUAGAGAUAGUACACUACAUAUUGCCAAUAACUAGAUAAACAAUCAUCACAAACUAGGAACGACCGUCUCCCCAAUAACAAAUUCACCUUCUGAAGUUAGAGAACUUGCGAAAACUAGCCACCACAAAAUAGUAGCAAGUAUCUAUGCAGUCUUCGAUGAAGUACAACCACCUGCGUCGCCAAUAUGGAUUGAUGUAGAGAACUGCUGCAAUCGUCAUCACCACAACUGUGUAACAUACACCGAAACUGAUGUAGAAAAACUCCAUAUCUAUGAAACCAUCAUCUCCUUGUUCAUCAUUAGGCACUGGCUGUGACACCACUGCCUUCUCACUACAAUUGUUUGGCAAUGGAGGUCCACACAAGAAAGGAUUUCCUUCGUAACAGCUUUCAUCGAAGGUCCCAAACUGAUAUAUUCUCUCGGGUGUCUUGCCUGACAAGUUAUUGUGCGCCACACUAAAAACUUCCAGUGUGGUAACUUCAGUAAAUUGUGGAGGGAUGGCACCAUUCAAGUUGUUGUAAGAAAGAUCCAAACUCUCAAUAUGCAUUAGGUUUGAGAAUGUUGCAGGGAUAGAUCCAGUGAGAUUGUUGUGUGAUAAGUUUACUGACAGUAUCUUACUUAAGUUUCCAAAUUCUGGUGGGAUUGCUCCGAUGAAGUUGUUAUUGGAGAGAUCAAUACCAAACAUGUAGUUGAGAACUUUCCCCUUGUACCCAUAAUACAUAUUUUUAGUUGUAAAUUCUGUCACUUCUUCUGUAAAGUUAAACAAAAAAAAAUUUCUCAAGUUGUCCACACUAUCCACUAGUGGUGGGCCCAUUAUUUCAUAAUAAGCUUUUUCUAUGGACUCUGAUAUAAAACCAUAUGCGACUUCCAAUAUCGCUUUCUUGUCACUUUUCUUGAAAGUAAGAUUGCCUAAACAGGAGGGUAGUGGACCAGAGAGCUGGUUGUGUGAAACAUCCAAAAUGCUUAAUUGUUCUAACAAGCAUAACUGAAUAGGGAGCUCACCAUCAAAGUGAUUAGCCCUCAGAAGAAGAACACUCAAUGAUGAAAGAUUGCCAAUCCAAUUUGGAAUGGAGCCGGUGAAGCUGUUUUCUCGAAGAUCCAUCGUAACCAGGUAAGAGCUGUUAAAAAAUGCAUAUGUUAAUGGACCGCUCAGUCUAUUUUUCGAUAGAUGCACAUGGGUUAUUUGUGGUGGACUAAAACAAGAUGGUAUAUAUCCAGACAAGUUGUUCUCAGAAAGGUCCAAAUAUUCAAGCUGGUCAAACUUACAAAAAUCUCUUGGGAUCGGACCCUUAAAAUGGUUUCCGGACAAAUCAAUUACUCCAAGGAUCGAAAAAUUAACGAAGCUCCUUGGAAGCAUGCCCGAAAAUUGAUUGUUACUCAAAUCUAAUACAUUCCAUACAUUCCACCUAUAUAAUGGAAAAUCUGAUAUCUGACCCCAAAAGUUGUUACCAUUUAGGUAAAGAAAAUUCAGGCGAGAAGAAUUGAACACCGAGGUCGGUAUUUUCCCACCCAAAUUGUUGUUUGACAGCUUGAGAACCCAUAUUGUUGUUAGUUGUUCUAGUUUUACUGUAGACAAUUGAUUGUUGGAUAAAUCUAAAAAUGAAAGAGAGCUAAUAUUUCCUAAACAGGAAGGAAUACAACCUGUGAAUCCAUUCUUAGCCAUCCUUAAGGUGUGUAGAUUUGGAAAGAUCAAACAAAUAUCUUUUGGAAUUUGACCGUUCAUGUUGUUGUUGGAUAUAUCUAAAUUGGUCAUAUUCGGAUGGAGGUGAUCUUGCAACUGCAAAGCACCAAUAAAGGAGUUGUCGCUCAGAUAUAGUUGUUCCAAUCGUGUAUUGUUCUUAAGCAACCACGAUGGAAACAUUCCAGUGAUGUUGUUGUGGGAGAGAUCAAGGGCUCUUAAGUCUAAUUGGUAAUAGAGGAAGUCGGGAAUUACAUUGAGUGCUUCCGAUGUUGGACUACUUGACAAGCGGAAAAAGACUAGUUGGAACUUUGGAAUCAAAUUAUCAAAGGCAGCAGGUUCUGUUACUAGCUUGUUGUUCUCACUGGAGAAGAACUUGAGGCUUGAGUGGUUCAUAAAAGGCUUUAUUGAAAUGGGAACUUCAAAGAGGUUAUUUGAUAGUGAGAGGAAUUCAAGGGAUAUGAGGUUGGUAAGAGGACCGAAAGCAAUAUUUCCAGUAAACUGGUUUUCAGAAACAUCUAAUAGUUGUAAAGAUGACAUGUUCCCCAAACAAUCUGGGAGUGAACCUCCUAAAUUAUUUCUAGAGAGAUGUAACUGCUUCAGAUUCUUCAAUUCACACCAACCUGUACAAUUUAUCUUGAAAUAGUCAAAAUAGUGUUGGAAGAAUCUUUUGUUGAUGAUGUAAUUAUAGGCGGAUGGAGAGUUGUUAAUUUACCUUGAGCAGGUAGGGUGCCAUGGAGGUCACAUUCACCAACAGACAAAACUUUAAGAGCAGGCAAUGCUCCAAUGUUCUGGAGAAAGUUUAUUGGGAGAGAAGUAUUAUCUAGAUGCAAUUCUUCAAGGGUGCUCGAAUUGAACAAAGUCCCUAUGAAAAAGAAAGAAGAAGAGAUAUGAUGAAAAUAGUGGUGGUACAGAAUAUAUAGCCAUUCCAUUCAAUAUUAUUAAUUAAGAUUUUAAGAAACUAAACUAUUAACCUUGACUUAAAUUAGUAUCCUUGAGAGAAAGGGUCUUCAGGGAUGGCAAUGAACACAAUGACUGUAGGAAGUCCAGCUUCCUUGAACCUAUGAUGUGUAGAAUUGAAAACAGGCAAUCAAGUAAGUAGUGAAAUUAAGUGUUAUCUUGAUCGAGUUCUUAAAGCUAUGAUAAAGAACUGGUACUUUUGUAGUGAGAUGAUUUUUUGAUAGAAACAACAAAUUGCCCAAAUAAUAGAAGAUGCCAAGAGAUAUUCACAACUUUACCAUUGACAGCCGUCGAUCCUAGCAACAUAUUGCCUGAUAAAUUUAAAGACUUGAGGGAUGAAAGUCCACUCGGAUGUGAUAAAAUGCUGUCGUUGAAUAUAUUAUAGCUCAGGUCCAGGUUCUCGAGUUUCCCCAAAUGUGAUGAUAUGAUCUCAAAACCUGCAAGGAGUUGUUUCUAAGAGUAAGUCAUAAUUAUGAGCUCACGAUAUGCAUAAUAUAUAGAAACUAAAGAUAAUUAGAAUUGAUGAGAUGUUGUUCAAUUGAUAUAUGAUUCUCAAAUUAUACAUAAAAAGAAUGAUAUAUGAACGCAUAUUUAAUUAUAUAAUAGAUUAAGAAAUAAUUUAUGGAUAAGAUCAAAGCUCCAUAGAUAUUAAUCUUCAUAGAUGAAAUUAAAGCGCAAUCAAACAUGAUGAAAUGCUAUCGUUGAUUUUUAAAUAUAUAUAAAGUCCUCAAUUUUCUUGAUAAACAGAAUGCAACUUACUAUUGAUAGAUCCUGUCAGCUGAUUGUUUGACAGAUCCAAAGACUUGAGAGAUGAAAACCCAGUUAGAGAUGGAAAAAUGCUAUCGUUGUAUUGAUUCCGUCUUAGAUGAAGGUUCUCAAGCUUUUUCAACCUUGAUGACAAGACUUUGAGACCUGCAUGAUGUUCCUCAAAAGCAUAGAAAUGAUACAUGAACGCAUAUUUAAUUAUAAAAUAGGUUGUGCACGCUUCUAAGAUUAAGAUACAAUUUUUAAAUAUCAUUCUAAUUUUGAUCAUUGGAAAAAAAAAAACAAUUUACGGUUAUAAAGUCGCUAAAGAUGGAAGCUAAGUUAUGAUAGACUUACAAAACAAAAUAAAGAAACUUAUAAUUAAGAUCUCAUCGGUAAUUAAAACAAGAAUAAUAAUCGAUCCAUGUAAGUUCAAAUAUUGCCUAAUUUUGAAAAACUAAUUAAUUAGUUAUGAUAGUUUCAAAAACUAACUGCCUCUGUAAGAUGCUAAAUGCCUCUCUCGUUGGCUGUCUAGUGAUUUGUAUUGGAUAGUUUUUUUUUGAAUUGAUGUUAAGAUCCAAGUUUUAAUAAUUACAAUUUUCUUAAUUAUAUAUAAUAUUAUAGGAGAGAGCUUCUUAUUAUGUUAUUCAAAACCCAUUCAAACUCAAAUUCAUAAAAAAAAAUACUUAGAGUUGUGUUCGACUAAGGAUCUCAAGACAGAAAAAACAUAUAUAAAAAUAUAUUUAUUUAAAAAGAUAAAUAUAAAAUAUAUAUUUAUAGGAGAGUUUUGAAGUGAACUUCUGAUUGCUAAUUUAAUCUAAAUAUUACAACACUUUUGGCAUAAAAGGGCCAAAAUAAGAAUAAAAUAUAUGCCUCUUUACGUAGAUAUAAAGUUCUCAUUUUUGUUGAUAAAGAAACAAUAUAAUUAAGAGAAUGUCAUGUGAAGCAUUUAGGUAGAAACUGUGUAUUAUACCUGAUCCUGUCAACUCAUUGUACGACAGAUCCAAAGACUUGAGGGAUGAAAAUCCAGUAAGAGAUGGAAAAAUGCUAUCGUUGCAAUGAUUCCAACUUAGAAGAAGGUUCUCCAGCUUUUUCAACCUUGAGGACAAGACUUUGAGACCUAAAUAGCAGCUACCUCCUGAUCAUUUAAAUGCGUAGAAAAAAAUGAUAUGAGAAGGAGAAAAGAAAAGGUUUCGAAGCUAAAUAAUUAAAAGGUUACCAUAGAAGCUACCUCCUGAUCCAGCUGUCAACCCAUUCUCUGAUAGAUCCAAAGACUUGAGAGUGGAAAGGUUACCAUUGAAACAUGACAAAAUGCUUUUAUCAUUAUUAAAUCCGUUAUAACUUAGGUCAAGUUUCCUCAGUUUUGAUGAUAGGACUUCGAAGCCUGGAAAGAGCAAGAUAAUUGACAUUAAACACCAACCAACCUUCAUUUAUUUUAUGAUUAUAUUUAAGUGCACAAACAUUGAACUAACCUUCAUUCUCCAAGCAACCAACCAAUCCAUUACCUUCCAAUUCAAGACUUUGCAAUUCUUUAAAAGGCUGAAACAAAGAUGCGUUGAGAACCCAAUCGCCCAAGCUCUCGUCCCUUGAUCCUCUAAGAGAGAGUUGGAUCACUCGCCUUGUAGUGUUAUCACACUCGAUCCUAUGCCACUCACAACAAUUACUACCGUCCACCCAAUCUCUCAAGGAAACGCCAUCUGGGUCGAUCGAAGAUUGGAUCUCCAAGAGACCAAUCCUCUCUUCCUCCAAACACCCAUAACAACGACCAUACCAUUCGCCAACCAAAGUCAAUAAUGCUAGCAACAUCCAACUCCCCAUUCUUUUCAUCAUCAUCUACGUAGAAUAUUGUUGUUUGUUAUGUGUCUUUGGGCAACCAUAGAGGUCCUAUUUAUACUACAAUUUUGGCCAUUUCCAUGAUUUUAUCUGCAUAUCUUAUGCAGGUUCUAUGUUUUGAGAUUUGAAUAUUAUUUUAUUUCCUUUUGGAAUAUUCUUGGAUUCGAAUAUUAUUUUAUUUUACUGUUUAGCACUUAGUCUAUUUGCAUUUAAUUAUAUUUUGGUUACUAAUUAUCCAAUUUUAAAAAAAUAAAAAAUAAAAAUUGUUGCAACAUUUCAAUUUUUUUAUCGACAUUCAUGUGUGAUUUCACGUAAGAUCUUUUUAAAUUUAUAAUUGUACUUUUCUCGUUAUAAUUUAGAAUUAUUUAGGAGCCUACUUGCAUGGUGUCAUCACUAUUAUAUAUAAUUAAAUACAUAAAUUAUCAAUAAUAAUAAAUUCGGAAUAAUUAUAAAUCUUAUCCCUGUGGAUUGUGUGGCUACAGUAUGAUAUACAAAAACUUCAAAUAUAUAUAAAUAAAAGAAUGCUAAAAGUGACAUUCUCUUGGGUGACCACCACAAGCCCAUCUAAAACACACAAGCCAUAUAAAAAUCACACGACAGCCAAUUACCUUAUCUUGUGAGAAAAAAGAUUAAAAAAAAAAAAAGCAUUUUCUUGGGUGUGCAAUGACUGCCAAUCUUUCUCGUUAUGACAUUCAAUGCUCUGUAAGAAGUUGCAUGAUGCUCUUCUCAUGGGGAGCAAAAAUCAGUAGCCUCCCAUGGAAUCCUCAUAAACCUUUCUCUAUGCUCUUCUAAGAUAUUAAAAAUGUCAAACAUACAUAAAUAAUAAGAAAAACAAUAAAAAAAGAAAGCUAUACAAAUAGAGCUUCCAACAAAAAGACUAGGAAGUUGUUUACUGAAAAUUGAGAUUCAUAAUUUGUUUUGAUUUGUUUUGAUUUGUUUUGAGUUAUUAUGGUCUCAUGACCCGGGUCACAGAUUUAAAGGUUAAUCUAGAUUGACCCGGGUCGAUUAAUCCAAUAUGUUGUUGUUUCGAUAUACUUUUUUUAAAAAAAUAUGUCAUCUUGAUUUUUUUCAAGUGAAACUAUAUUUUUACCAGUCGUCCAGACAAUCUUUGAGCCCAUCGAAUCGAUCGGGUUAUAUCAAUUUAACUCUUAUUUUUUUAUUUAUAUUUGAAAUUUAAAUUGCAUAAUUUUUUACUUAUUUUUUUAUAUAGGUGGUUAUGAGUUACAAAAAUUAAGCAAUUUCGAGUAUAUUGACAUGAGAAUUAAUGGUUUCGAUAACAAUAUUCUAUCAUUUGUAGAGGGAUUUUCAUCUUUUAAAUCACUAUAUUUAGAUUAUAAUAGACUGGAAGGGUUAAUAGAUUUAAAAUGUUAGUUUUUUUAUAUACUUAUUUUUUCUCUAUUAAAUUUAAUUUCAAAAGAACACAAUUUUCGAUAACAGUAUUCUAUCAUGCAAUUUUUGUUUUGUUUCAAAAGAACACAAUCGCCCAAGCGGAAAUCCCUUGCAUAGAAAAGAGAGAGUUGGAUCACUCGCCUUGUACGUAGUGUUAUCACACUCGAUCCUAGGCCACUCACAACAAUUACUACUGUCCACCCAAUCUCUCAAGAAAAAGCCAUCUGGGUCGAUCAAAGCUUUGAUCUCCAAGAGACCAAUCCUCUCUUCCUCCAAACACCCAUAACAACGACCAUGCCAUUCGCCAACCAAAGUCAAUAAUGCUAGCAACAUCCAACCCCCCAUUCUUUUCAUCAUCAUCUACGUAAAAUAUUGUUGUUUGUUAUGUGCUUUUGGGCAACCAUAGAGGUCCUAUUUAGACUACAAUUUUGGCCAUUUCCAUGAUUUUAUCUGCAUAUCUUAUGCAGGUUCUAUGUUUUGAGAUUUGAAUAUUAUUUUAUUUCUUUUUGGAAUAUUCUUGGAUUUGAAUAUUAUUAUUAUUUUAUUGUUUAGCACUUAGUCUAUUUGUAUUUAAUUAUAUUUUGGUUACUAAUUAUCCAAUUUAUAAAAAAAAAUAAAAAAUAAAAUAAUUGUUGCAGUACUUCAGCAUUGUUAUCGACAUUCGUGUGUGAUUCCGUAUAAGAUCUUUUUAAUUUAAUUGUACUUCUCUCGUCAUAAUUUAGAAUCAUUUAGAACCCUAUUUGUGUUAUGACUAUCAUAUAUAUAAUUAAAUACAUAAAUUAUCAAUAAUAGUAAACUCAGAAUAAUUAUAAAUCUUAUCCCAGUGGAUUGUGUGGCUACAGUAUUUUAUACUUCAAAAUAUAUAUAUAUAUAUAAAAGUUAGAGCUGCUUUUGUUUUUAUGUUCGGAAAGGUAUUCUUGACUUGUUUUUAUUACAUUUCAAUAUUAUUAUUUUUUUUCAAUCGAGUCAAAGAUAUACCAUUUAUAUUAGAAUGAGAAGACUAAUCAAUUUCUCUAGUUUUCUCCCUAUUUAUAAAAUACAUCUGGUUUUUGAAGUCCAGAUUUUAGGAUAAAAGGAAUUUAUUUCUUGAAAUUAAUGCAUUAAACAAUAUAAAGAUAUUUUUUAAAAAUUAAAAUAGUAGUAAAAGUAAAUUUAGUUUUUGAUUGAAGUGUAAACUAGUGGUAAAUGAACAAAAAAAAAAAACUUUCUUGAUUAUCUAAUGGAAACUCCGCCUAAUAUAUAUAUAAUAGCAAUCAUUUUCUUAUCUCUUGUAUCAUUCAUAUCUUCCACAAAUCUUAAGUAAUUGAUGAGAAAGUGGAUAUUGCCAAGAAAGGUCGUGAACGCGGAUGCUUGACUUGCUGCGUGGCAUUUUGAUUUUUAAACACAACACUACUUUCUUUGUGGAAAUAACGCUACUUUGCAUGAAGAUGAUGGAUAUAGAAGACUUGCUACUUGUUUUAUGGAAAUAACGUAUGGAAAAUUAUGCUUUAAUUUUAAUGAUGAUAGCAAAAUCAAACAGUAUUGUUGAUAAAAUGAGCCAUAAAUAAUAUUAUUUCUAUUGUCAUGACAAUAAGUUUUUUUUUUUUUUUUUCUAAAGAGUCUAUUUUUCCUCUAGGAGAGGCCGCGAGACGUCCUCUUCCAACCAUCAUGCAUUUUUUCUACGAGAUGGGUUCAUGGAAAUACUUUGGUUUAAUUGGGAAUGCUGUUAUUGAUUGAAAUAUUUUUAAUUAAAAUAAAUUUGAUUAUUUGAUUGGAAAAAAAAUAUUGUAACCAAGUAAUUUAUUUAUUUAUUUUAAUGAAAUAUAAAAUAGUUUUAAAUCUUGUGGUAUAUUUCUUGUCUUUAAGAGCUAUGAACUUAUAUCUCAAAACUUGAAAACUAAUAUAAAGAUAUUAAGUGAUCAUUGAGUGUGUGUGUGUGUAUAAUCCUUUUCAAAACAAAAAGGAUUUUGAUGGAGAUUAGGACAUUGCAACAAAUUAUCCACCACUAGAUGGGUCAAUGAUACCAUUGUCAUCAUGCAAUUUUUCCCACGAGAUGGGGCCGUACGCUUGGGGCUCUAAAAGCUAUGGUUUUAAUUUCAUUAUGUCACAUCUAGAAUGGCAGGUAUAUUUUAUUUCAAUUUAAACAAUGGAAUAAAUUAGAAGAUAUUUCAUCUCGCUUAAAAUCUUAUCUUCUUAUAUGAUUUCACCUAAAUUCUGGCUGGAAUGUUUAAGUUAUAUUCUAGCUAUUCUGUUAUGGCCAAAUGAUAUUUUGUUUUACUUUUAUAAAAAAUUAAAAUAUAGUUUAGUUUUUGUAUUUAUUUUCUGGUUAUAUUUAAUUUGUCAUCAAUAUUCAUAACGUAAAUUGCUAUGCAUUUCGAAUCUUGAAAGGAUUGAAAGAUGGAAAACAGAAAAGAAAGAGAGACCCCCAGUUCAAAAGAAAAAGAAAAAAAAACAAUAGUAAAAGAAAGAGAAGAGAACAAAAGUGAAGCAGUUUUUACUAACUAUAUAAAUUUUAUAAUUAUUAAUAUUAAAUUCAAAAUAUGUACAUAAUGCAAAUAUGUAAACAUAUCAUGUGGUUUAAAGAAAUGAUUUUUAUAAAGAUAUAUGUCUUAACAAUAUUAAUCAACUCUUAAUAUUUUUCAUUUUAUAAAUAUUAAAAGUAAAUAUUAAAACCUAUUAUAUUAAUUUGUGAAGGUAUUUACUCGGAUGCGAAUUAUAUUUCUAAUUUUUUAUUAAAAAAAAAUUCUACAUACUACAACUAGCCUAAGAAAGUCAUUUUCAUCUAAAAAAAAGUAGAAAAAAUUGAAUUGCAUAAAAGCAUCACUAUAAAUGUUAUACUCCGAAAAUAUCUUCUUUCCUUGAUAAAAUUCCCUAAACUACUGUAUGUCUCUAACAGUGAAAAUAUCACUAUAAUUUACAGUCACCUUAUUUAAUCGAAAGAAAACUUUAAAGAUGCACCUCCAUCUAGUGUAUUUAAAAAGAUUUAACAAAUUACUUUACACGUGCUAUGCUACAAGUUACAUAUUUUUUCAAUGUAAACAAAAAUUAUAUAGGUAUUUUUAACAUUUUUCUAUUAAAAAAAACUAAAACAUAUAAAAAUUAACCAAUUUAUAAUUAAUUAAUUAAUUGAGAAUUUGAGCUCCUUAGAAAAGUUGUUUAUGGACUUUUGUUUUCCGGAGAAAGCUCCUUUAAAACCCUUGAGCACCACCUUCUUUAAAACUUCUAUCUUUGCCAUAACUGAGGGGCUCUGUAUUUUUUUUAAGGUGAAUUAACAAGUUACAACUCAACUCUGUAUUUUUUUUUUUAGUUUAAUGUGGGUGUCUGGGUCAACUUACGCGUACCUCGACUAAUUCCACGGGCCCUGAAAUUAAUGACCAUAUAAACCUACAGUGGCCAUCAUAUGAACAAUCACAGGACUAGGGCUCGAACUUGAGACAAAAAAAAAAAGCAAAUUUUUUAAUCUUAAAUUCUUACCACUGGAUCACUAUCUAAAUUGUUACCUUGUAUCUAAUCUAGAUGUGUCUGUGACUGUGCUUGAUGUUCUCAUAACCAUUAAGAUGGUUCGAACCCAAAUAAAUAGAAACAAAUUUAUUUUCUGUUAUUCUCCGAAUUCCUAGAUAGAAUUUGCUUGGAAAUGAUGAGCUACCACUCCCUUUUGACUUUGCUGGCCUCCCAAAUAAAUAAAGAAUUCCGCUUGAUAGAAUUUUCUUGGAAAUGAUGAGAAUAUUUUAUAAUUUUCUGGUUGACGCCAGCUGUCAACAACUGUCUUACAUUCCCUUGGCAUCGUGUUCCAUGCCCUUGCAAAAUAUUAAAGGCUCCAAUGCCUCUCUCGCAAUAAGAUUAUUUUUUUUAUUUGUCCCCGAAUACAUGUGUCAUUUAUCGAAAUAAUUAAUUUAAUCACACACAUAAAAAAAAAAAAAAAUUUAAAUAGGCGGCUUUAGAAUCAGCAAGCAGUGAAUCACACGGGAAGAUUGAAAGAAUAAUUAAAGUGAUUUUACUAACAUUGUAAAAAAAAUUGAAUUGCAUAAGAGUAAUUAACCGACAGGUUGACCCAAAGUCAAAGUCUUCUGUGGAAAAACAUGAAUAGAAGAUUGAUGGGCGUUGCGUGAUAGCAAAAGAUUUGAGAUCUGCACAGCAGGUUUUGAAUUCGAGUCAGGGCGUGCAUCUCUUGUAAAAGCUUGGGAUAGCCGGGAUUUUACUGUCUCAUCUGGGCCCAUAAAGUGCGCUUUCCAAGGAAAUGAGGUUCCCUCGAAUCCAUAAAAAAAAAAAAAGUAAUACCAUUGCUAUCAAGCGUUUUUUCUACGAGAUGGUCCGUUCCCCCAUUUCCCCUCAAGCUUGAGAAGGGAUGAUAUAUAUAUGCUUUAAUUUCAACUUGUAUAAAAAAUAAAUCUUAAUGUAGUGUGUUAGAAUGCAACCACCGAUUCAUUAUUUUUAAUGGCUGGUCAUUUAAACUUGGGUGUUUUUUCGGUAUUAAUAUAUAUAUUCCUCAAUUAUCAUAAAAAAAUUAAGAAAAAACUAAUAAUAAGAUUAAAAAUAAAUGUUUUAUUUAUCGAAAUAAUUAUUAAAAGUAAGGUAUACUCAAGGUAUAUGUGGGACGAUAAAAAAAUAACAAAAAAAUCAAUUUACAAAAAAAAUCAUAGAUUUAGUUUUCCUAAAUUUUAAAUGUAGUGCAACAUUAGCCUUUCAAGAAAUAGAUAAUCUUCCUCUUUGAAGGAAUUAAUUAGUGGGUUGGAAAAAUGUCGUCUUUUGCUCUAAUAUUUUCUUCGCUUUCUCUAUAGUUUUACCAUACACUAAUAUUGUCAGAAAAUGAUACAUACUUCUUGUGUUAUCCUUCAAGAAUUCAAUUGAAAAGGAGGGUUGUAAAAAAUUUAAUUUUUAUAAACAUACCCUUAACUUAAUUUGGAUGUGGAUAAUUGUUUGCAAUAUAUUUACAUCCAAUAUAAACAAUUCAUCAAUGAUCAAGUAGGCAGUGGUUAGCUAAAAUAUUGAAAAUACUUACUCUCUUUGUUUUUUAGUCAUGCAGUUCCACUAUUGUAUGUUAUUUUUGUUUAGCUAAAAAUAUCAAAAAAUAUUAAUUUGGAGUAAAAAAAAAAAAAAAAUUUAAUUUUUUUAAAAAUAUUUUUGAAACAUAAAAACAAACAGUGCUAAAAGACAUAGAAACAGUUACCCAAAUCAAUUUAUUUUUUUAAAAAAUAAAAAUAGAAUACUAUACAAAUGGAGCUUCCAACAAAAAGAUAUGGGAAGUUCGAGGGAAAAAAUGAUUAGUUAAUUCAAAACACCAGGAGUAAGUAAUAAUUACAAAACACGAUACCGAAACCAAAUUGAAAAGUGAGCAAAAUACAAAACUGGUUACAUGUAUCGAAAGGAACUGGAACCAAUUUCUCCACCACUGGAUGUCCCUUUUGUUCAGUCUAUGUUUGGUGCAAUCACCUAAAGCUAGAAACAAAAACAGCGCCUUAGUCUAUGUUUGGUGCAUUUUUUCCACGAGAUGGGUUCGUGGAAAAACUUUGGUUUAAUUGGGAAUGCUGUUAUUGGUUAGAAACUUUUUAAUUAAAAUAAAUUUGAUUAUUUGAUUGGAAAAAUCCUUAAAUGUUAUUAACACAUGAAAUCAAUUUAUUCUCUUAAGAAAAAAAUAGUUUUACAUCUUGUGGUAUAUAUGUCAAGCAUUUUUUUUCCCUCAAGAUGGGUUCGACAGACAAUCACCAUCAUGCAUUUAUGAGUCCAUGAGACCAUUGUCAUCUGCACAUUGGUCCCCUAUAGCGUUGCUUUUCCUCAAGACCAUUUCCAUCAUGCAUUUAUGAGUUAGUGAGACCAUUUCCAACUGCACAUUGGUCCCUGAAACCGUUGCCAUCAUGCAUUUUUCCUCGAUGAGAGGUCGUGAGACGUCCACUUCCAACCAUCAUGCAUUUUUUUCACGAGAUGAGGCCGUACGUUUGGGGCUCUAAAAGCUAUAUAUAUUAGAAAUAUUAUUUGAAAAUAAAUUAUUUUUUAUUUUUAAAAAUAAAAUUCUUCUAUACAAAAGAUUUUUAUAAGUAUAAUUUAAUUUAUUCAGUUUUUUAAAUAAAGUUAAUCUAUCGCAAGAGUACACGAAAUAAGUAUUUUUCCGUCAUGCAUUUUUUUUCCUCAAGACCAUUUCCAUCAUGCAUUUAUGAGUCUGGGAGACCAUUUCCAUCAUGCAUUUAUGAGUUGCUGAGACCAUUUCCAUCUGCACAUUAGUCUCUGAGACCGUUGCCAUCAUGCAUUUUUCCUCGAGGAGAGGCCGUGAGACUUCCUCUUCCAACCAUCAUGCAUUUUUUCCACGAGAUGGGUUCGUGGAAAAACUUUGGUUUAAUUAGGAAUGCUGUUAUUGAUUGGAAACUUUUUAAUUAAAAUAAAUUUGAUUAUUUGAUUGGAAAAAUCCUUAAAUGUUAUUAACACAUGAAAUCAACUUAUUCUCUUAAGAAAAAAACAGUUUUAAAUCUUGUUGCCGUCAUGCAUUUUUUUUUCCUCAAGAUGGGUUCGACAGACAAUCACCAUCAUGCAUUUAUAAGUCCAUGAGACCAUUGUCAUCUGCACUUUGGUCCCCUAUAGCGUUGCUUUUCCUCAAGACCAUUUCCAUCAUGCAUUUAUGAGUCCAGGAGACCAUUUCCAACUGCACAUUGGUCCCUGAGACCGUUGCCAUCAUGCAUUUUUUCCACGAGAUGGGUUCGUGGAAAUAAUUUGGUUUAAUUGGGAAUGCUUUACUGUAUUUGUUUUCUGGUUAUAUUUAAUUUUUCAUCAAUAUUCCUAAGCACGUAUUUUGAAUCAUGAAAAGCACGUGGAAAAGAGAGGGAUGGUGAAAAUGACAUGUAAAGGGACUGUUUGGCAGUGCGCAUAGAAAAGGGAAAGUGUCAUUGCCAUUUUGAGUGGUGUGUUUGCAUUUGAUUUGUUAAUUUCGAGUUUUGUCAAAGAGUGAUUACUAGUCAUCAAGCAUUUUAUUAAUUUAAUUUAUCCUGUCAAGUGAAGGGCCAAACCUGUCAUUCAUUGCCAGUCACAGUCACAAGUCUUGGUCUUACCAUUUUACUAUCUAUUAAUUAAUUAAUUGUUUGAUUAAUCAACGAAACUGUGCGUUUCUCUUGUGAUUUCUCGAAGACGGCCAUGAAUAUAUAUAUAUAUAUAUACAACUUUUCAAAACAAAAAGGAUUUUGAUGGAGAGGACAUUGAAACAAAUUAUCCUCGUGAUACCAUUGUCAUCAUUCAAUUUUUUCCACGAGAUCAGGCCGUAUGCUUGGGGCUCUAAAAGAUAUUAUUUCUAAUUUUAUUAUAUCACAUCUAGAAUAACAAGUAUAUUUUAUUUCAAUUUAAAAAAUAGAAUAAAUUAAAAGAUAUUUCAUUUUUAAAAUUUUAUUUUGUUUUAUGAAUUUCACCUAAAUUCUGACUAGAAUAUUUUGAUUAUAUUCCAGCCAUUUUAUUAUGAUAAAAUAAUAUUUUGUUUUGCUUUUAUAAAAAAAAUAUAAUCUAAUUUUACAGUAUCAAUCAUAUCUUUCAAUUCGACUGCUGGAUUGGACUAAAAUUUUACGAGGAAUCUCCUAACAUAUAUUUAUAUCGCAAAUUAAAAUUUUAAGGCAAUCAGAGUUUAGAAAAAUUUUGCGAAAUUACCGAUGAUAUUUUCAUAAUUUUAUUUAAAUUCAUAAUUUUGUUAGGAAAUAUUAUUUUUUGUUUCUUUUUUAGAUUGAAUUAUUUCUAAAGUACUUCUUGUCAUUGUCAUGACAAUAAAUCUUCUUCUUUUUCUUUUUAAAAAGUCUAUUUUUUGUAACACAACCAACAUGUAAGAUGGAUGGGAAUUUGCAGUGUGAGAUGGGUUUGUGAGACUUUGGCCAUCUCCAAUUUUUUCCACGCCAUUGAGAUGGUCUAUAAGACCAUUGCCCCGUAAGCAUUUAUGAGUUCGUGAGACCAUUUCCAUUUGCACAUUGGUCCCUGAGACCGUUGCCAUCAUGCAUUUUUUACACGAGAUGGGUUCGUGGAAAUACUUUGGUUCAAUUGGGAAUGUUGUUAUUGAUUGGAAACUUUUUAAUUAAAAUAAAUUUGAUUAUUUGAUUGGAAGAAAUCCUUAAAUGUUAUUAACAAUAGAAAUCAAUUUAUUUUCUUAAGAAAAAAAUAUUGUAACCAUAUAAGUAAUUUAUUUAUUUAUUUUAAUGAAAAAUAAAAUAGUUUUAAAUCUUGUGGUAUAUUUCUUGUCUUUAAGAGCUAUGAACUUAUAUCUCAAAACUUGAAAACUAAUAUAAAGAUAUUAAGUGAUCAUUAAGCGUGUGUGUGUGUAUAAUGCUUUUCAAAACAAGAAGGAUUUUGAUGGAGAGGACAUUGCAACAAAUUAUCCACCACGAGAUGGGGCUGUACGCUUGGGGCUCUAAAAAACUAUGGUUUUUAAUUUUAUUAUGUCACAUCUAGAAUGGCAGGUAUAUUUUAUUUCAAUUUAAACAAUGAAAUAAAUUAGAAGAUAUUUCAUCUCGUUUAGAAUGUUAUCUCAUUUCAUGAAUUUCACCUAAAUUCUGGCCGGAAUAUUUUGGUUCUAUUCCAGCCAUUCUAUUAUGAUCAAAUAAUGUUUUGUUUUGCUUUUAUAAAAAAAAAAUAUAUAGUUUAGUUUUAUGGUAUUAAUUAUAUCUCUCAAUGCAAUUAUUGGAUUAGACUAAAAUUUUACAAGGAAUCUCUUAACAUAUAUUUAUAUCGCAAGUUAAAAUUUUAGAACAAUUAGAGUUUAAAAAGACUUUGUGAGAUUGCCGAUGACAUUUUUAUAAUUUUAUUUAAAUUCAUAAUUUUGUUUCAUAAGGUCAUUUUUUGUGUCUUUUUUUAGAUUGAUUUUUUUUUUUCAAUUUCAUAAUUCAACAAUAGAUUUAUUAAAAAUUAAGAUUCAUAAUUUGUUUUUAUUUGGGAUUAUUAUGGUCUCAUAAUCUGGGUUACGGAUUUAAAAGAUUAACCUAGAUUAACCUGGUUCGAUCUAAUAUGUUGUUGUUUCAAUAUUUUUAACAAAUAUAAUUUUAAUUGAUAUUUAAAAAUAAACUAACUUGAAAUUAUAUAAUUUAAAUUUCAAAUAUAAGUAAAAAUAAAGAGUUAAAUCAAUAUGACCCAAUUGAUUUGAUGAGUCCAAAAUAUAUAUAAAACAAUCCAAACGACACGUCAAAAUACUCAAAAAUCAAAAUAUAUUGUUACAAUUAAAAAAAUAAAACACCAAUUAAAAUGGAAUUGACGACCUUGCUUGAUAUAAGCCUAAACUCCUCGCUGCCAUUUGCAAGAGAUAGUUACUUAUACCAGUAGCAAUUUAAUAAUGAUUGGUCAAAUUUUAUAUUAAGAUGGGGCUAUUAAUUCAAAUGUUGAUGGCGUUAGUAGCAAUGAUUUUCUUGGAAGCAUGGUUGCCUCUUGGCUGCUUGAAAAUAUAUGGUUUUUUUAAUGUCGCAUGUGUGCUGCGUCAUGAAAAAAAAAUUCACUCUCAAAUCCUAAAUAUUGGUAUCCUGGAAAAAUUGGGAAAAAUAAGGAGACAAGAAAUUCUUGUCUUUUAUUAGUGGAAAAAUAAAAUGGGAGUCGCCACUUAGUAUUUUAAUCACUAGGAACCCUGAUUGGUCUCAGAGAUUGGGUACGGAGACUGGUUGCGUAAAGGGAAGGUAUUAGCACCCCAAAUACGCCCUACCUAAGGUAAGUUGCAUUGUUUUAUUGUUUGAUAAAAUCUAAGGUCUUGUCGUGUUUUCUAGUUAUUGGUCCGUCUAUGAUUUAAGAAAAGUCUUCAUCGAUAAAGAGAUCCUUAUCUUUUCGGGUAAAACCUAACCGUUCUAACGUAAACAAAAGAAUUUAAUAUCCGGAAUACAUCUUACGUAUAAGGUCGUAACCCCAGAUACUAAAAGAAAAUUUUUUUUUUGGAAUUUUUUAAAUAUUGGCCUAGUUCUUGUGACUUUAAUAAACUGGUUUUUAAAACCAAAAUGCAUGUUAAUACAUAUUUUUGUUGUAUGAAAAUAUGAUAUGAUUUUUUUCUUUGAGAUACUUGGCCGUAUGCAUGAAAAUAAUUUUUUUUUUAAUUUUUCAAUGUUUUGACGAAAACUAGGUAUUUUAAUACCAGAUUUGUAUCUUUACAGUAUAAAAAUACAAACCAAUACUAAGAAAAAUUUAGUAGAAAAAUAUAUGGGAAAAUUAUAGAUUUUUUGAAAUGAUUAUUUUUGAAGAAUUGUUUUUUACUGGGCCGGACCCGACCCAACCAUUUUGGGCGGGCCGGCACUGUCCGGGCUGGAAAACUAAAACAAACAAUGGAGAGACUCUCCACUGUUCACAUGCAACGUGAACAGUGGAGCGGCCUGGAGAAGACAAAGAAGAAGAGGAGGAAGAGGAAGAAGCAGACCUGCGGCCUAGCGGUGCUGCUAGUGGCGGUGGACGGUGUUGCGGUUGCGGAGUGUUAGAAAUAAUGUUCAGGACUGCUGAGCUGGAAUUUUAUUCUUUCUUAAUUUUUGAUUUAGUCAAUUCUGUUCCUAUUCUCUUGUUCUUGUUGCUACUUCGCAGCUCUGUUAUUUCCAUUAUCAAUUGAUCAUGGCUUGAAUGUAGUACCAUGAUCGUAGGAGUUUGUUAUGUAUCAGCUCUAUAAAUUGAGCUGCAGUUAUGAAUAAAGUAUUCAAGCUUUUCAUUCAUCAAUCUCUUCUUAAACACAAGCAUUAUCCUUUGUUAUUUUUGUUGUUCAGAAUCACUGCAACAACGACAAUUGGUAUCAGAGCAUCUUGAUUUAAAGGGAUCUGUGUUGUAACCCAUGGAGACAGAAGUAAGAUUCUCAUCAAUUGCUCCACCAGUGUUCAAUGGUGACAAUUACCAGUUUUGGGCAGUACGGAUGGAGACAUACUUAGAGGCUCUGGAUUUGUGGGAGGCAGUGAAAGAAGAUUAUGAAAUCCCUGCACUUCCAAAUAAUCCCACCAUGGCGCAGGUCAAAUCACAGAAGGAGAAGAAGACAAAAAAAUCAAAGGCAAAGGCGUGCUUGUUUGCUGCAGUAGCAUCCACCAUUUUCACUCGAAUCAUGUCUCUGAAAACAGCAAAGGAGAUAUGGGAGUUUAUCAAGACUGAGUAUGAAGGGGAUGAAAGAAUUCAAGGUAUGCAAGUGUUGAACUUGAUGCGUGAUUUCGAGUUGCAGAAGAUGAAGAAAACUGAAUCCAUCAAAGAGUACUCUGACAGGCUGCUUAAUAUUGCAAGCCGAAUCAGUUUACUUGGCUCGUCCCUGCCUGAGUCAAGAAUUGUUCAAAAAAUUCUUGUAACAAUUCCUGAAAUCUUUGAGGCUACAAUUACAUCCUUGGAAAAUACCAAGGAUAUGUCAAAAAUUACUUUGACAGAAAUGCUAAAUGCAUUACAAGCUCAGGAGCAAAGGAGGAUCAUGAGACAAGAAGAUGAGAUUGAAGGAGCUCUAUUCGUCAAGCAUAGAGAAAAAGGAAAGAAUUACAAGAAGAAUGGAAGCAGUCAAGCAUCAUCAGGUGAUUCCAGGAAUUUCAACAGGAGCAACACUGGAAACAAAAAAGGACCUUUUCCUCCAUGCCAGCAUUGUAAAAGGAGAUCACAUCCACAUUUUAAGUGUUGGAGAAGACCAGAAGCUAAGUGCAACAAAUGCAAUCAAAUGGGCCACGAGGCUGUCAUCUGCAAAAACAAAAUUCAACAGCAUGGUGAAGAAGCUCAAAUUGCUGAUCAAGAAGAAGAAGAUCAAUUGUUUGUGGCCACUUGCAUUUCCAGAAAUGACUCAAGUGAAAGCUGGCUCAUUGAUAGUGGUUGCACCAACCACAUGACACAUGACAGAAACAUAUUCAAGGAGCUGAAACAAACAACUUCAAAGGUUCGAAUUGGAAAUGGAGAAUACCUUGCUGUUGAAGGAAAGGGAACCGUGGCAAUCUUGACUUGCUCAGGUACUAAGUUCAUCUCUGAUGUAUUGUAUGUCCCUGGUAUAAAUCAAAAUUUAUUCAGUGUUGGUCAGCUUAUUGAGAAGGGUUAUAAAGUAGUGUUUGAAAACAAUUGCUGCUUGAUCAAAGAUGUGAAUGGUCAUGAUAUUUUCAAAAUAAUCAUGAAAGGGAAGAGUUUUGCUUUAAAUCCAUUAGAGGAGGAGCAUAUUGCUUUCCCAAUUAAAGAAAAUAUCACAGAUAUUUGGCACAAGAGGCUCGGGCACUAUCAUCAUAGAGGGCUGAUGCUUAUGAAAUCCAAGAUGAUGGCUAAGGAUUUCCCAGCACUUGAUGAUCACAUAUCCAGCUGCAGAACUUGUCACACUGGCAAGCUAAACAGGAAGCCCUUUCCAGAAGCCACAUGGAGAGCAACAAGGAAGCUGCAAUUGAUUCAUACUGACAUUGCAGGACCAUAAAGGACACCCUCUCUAAAUGGGAGUCUGUAUUAUGCUGUCUUCAUUGACGAUUACAGCCGAAUGUGCUGGAUUUUCUUCUUGAAGCACAAGUCAGAGGUAGCACAGGUGUUCUGGAAUUUCAAGGCCAAAGUUGAAAAUGAAAGUGGCUGCAAAAUUCAAGCCCUCAGAUCAGACAAUGGCAAGGAAUACACUUCCAAUGCCUUCAACAUUUUUUGUGAGGAGGCAGGCAUUCAUCAUCAGCUAACAACUCCGUAUACUCCUCAACAAAACGGAGUUAGUGAGAGGCGAAACAAGUUCAUAUUGGAAAUGACAAGAUGCUUGCUACAUGAGAAGAAUUUACCAAAGAAAUUCUGGGCAGAGGCUGCAAACACUGCUGUGUUCUUGCAAAACCGACUGCAUACAAGAGCCUUGAAGGAUCAAACACCCUUUGAGGCAUGGUAUGGUUACAAACCAUCUCUGAAUUUUCUUAAGGUAUUUGGAUGUUUGUGCUUCACCCUUGUUCCACAGGUCAAGAGGGAUAAACUUGACAAGAAAGCACUUCCAGGCAUUUUUGUUGGCUACAGCUUAGUUUCAAAGGCUUAUAAGAUUUUCCAACCACAAACUGGAAAAAUCAUUAUAAGCAGAGAUGUCCAAUUCCUGGAAGAUGAAGAAUGGGACUGGAACGAUGCAAUCAAAGAAGAUUCAACCUCUCCAAAAGGCAAUUAUCUUGUUUCAGACACAGAUGAUCAAAGCAUGGAAGAUUGGGACAUCAACAUGACAGAUGACACUCCUGUUACAGGCACACGGUCACUCCUUGAUGUGUAUCAAAGGCGCAACAUUGCUGUGUGUGAACCAGCAGACUUUGAAGAAGCCAAGCUAGAUCAAAAUUGGCUUGCUGCGAUGAAGGAGAAGCUUCUCAUGAUCAAGAGAAACAACACGUGGGAGUUGGUUGACAGACCUCAAAACAGAAAUGUAAUCGGUGUAAAAUGGGUGUAUCGAACAAAACUCAACGCUGAUGGCUCAAUCAAUAAGCUCAAAGCCAGGCUAGUGGUGAAGGGUUAUGCACAAAUCUUUGGCGUGGACUACUCAGACACGUUUGCACCGGUAGCAAGACUUGACACUAUCAGGCUGCUACUUGCCAUUGCAGCACAACUGAAUUGGAAGGUGUAUCAAAUGGACGUCAAGUCAGCAUUUUUAAAUGGUGUUUUGCAGGAGGAGAUCUAUACUGAGCAACCAGAAGGCUUUGCAAAUGAAGGAGAGGAGGACAAAGUCUGUCUUCUUAAGAAGGCACUAUAUGGAUUGAAGCAAGCUCCAAGAGCUUGGUACAGCCGAAUCGAUGAACAUUUGCAGCACUUGGGAUUCACUAAAAGCCUCUCUGAAUCGACUCUUUACAUCAAGCAAAAUGGUGAUAACAUCCUUAUCAUCUCACUUUACGUUGAUGAUUUGCUUGUAACAGGAAAUAACAACAAUAAUGUGGAGAUAUUCAAGCAAGAGAUGAUGAGUGUAUUUGAGAUGACAAAUUUGGGUUUGAUGUCCUUUUUUCUUGGAAUGGAAGUUAAGCAAGUUGAACAUGAAGUGUUCAUAUGUCAGAAGAAGUAUGCCAAAGAAAUCCUCAAAAAGUUCAAACUUGAAGAUUGCAAAGCAGUAAGCACUCCUAUGAAUCAAAAGGAGAAGCUAUGUAAAGAAGAUGGAGCCGAGAAGGUUGAUCAAGCACAAUUCAGAAAAAUUGUUGGAUGCUUGAUGUAUCUCACUGCAACUAGGCCUGAUAUUUUGAAUGCUGUGAGUAUCUUGUCUAGAUUCAUGCAUUGUGCUAGUGAAUUGCAUUUCAAGGCUGCUAAAAGAGUGAUAAGAUAUGUCAAAGGAACCUGCAAUUUUGGCAUAAGAUACACAAGAAGUAGAGAGUUCAAACUGGUCGGGUACUCUGACAGUGAUUGGGGAGGCUCAAUUGAUGACUUGAAGAGCACAUCAGGCUACUGUUUCUCUUUAGGUUCUGGUGUGUUUUCAUGGAAUUCAAAAAAGCAAGAAACCGUAGCCCAAUCCACUGCUGAAGCUGAGUUUGUGGCUGCAACAGCUGCUGUCAAUCAAGCUUUGUGGCUGAGGAAAAUUUUAUCUGAUCUUAACCUGGAGCAAAAGGAAAGCACAGAAAUUCUAGUUGACAAUCAAGCUGCCAUUUCCAUCUCUAAUAAUCCUGUGUUUCACGGGAAAACCAAGCACUUCAACAUCAAAUUAUUCUUUUUGAGAGAGGUGCAGAAAGAUGGGAGUAUCAUUCUUAUUUACUGCAAAACUGAAGAACAAGCAGCUGAUAUUUUCACCAAACCACUGCCAGUCAACAAAUUCGAAUUUCUGAGAACAAAGUUGGGAGUUUGCAGCUCCUAAACAAGGAGGAGUGUUAGAAAUAAUGUUCAGGACUGCUGAGCUGGAAUUUUAUUCUUUCUUAAUUUUUGAUUUAGUCAAUUUUGUUCCUAUUCUCUUGUUCUUGCUGCUACUUCGCAGCUCUGUUAUUUCCAUUAUCAAUUGAUCAUGGCUUGAAUGUAGGACCAUGAUCGUAGGAGUUUGUUAUGUAUCAGCUCUAUAAAUUGAGCUACAGUUAUGAAUAAAGUAUUCAAGCUUUUCAUUCAUCAAUCUCUUCUUAAACACAAGCAUUAUCCUUUGUUAUUUUUGUUGUUCAGAAUCACUGCAACAACGACACGGACCGUGGCGCUGACUGGCGGGUGGUUCUUCUUUCUUUCUCUGCGUUUCCCUUCUGCUUUUUUUCUAUUCUGCUCUGUUCUUCCUCUUGUUCCCUGUUUUAUUCUUUCUCUCCCUCUCUGGUCCUCUCAAACGUCCCUUGGAGCUGCUGCCUGAAGAUGAAGACGAAGUUGAGGGUGAUCAGUGCUCUGAUCGGGCGACGUUUCUUUCUUUCUUCUGCUACUGUUUUCGUUUCUGAUUCUCCUCGUUCAAUUCUUAUUUGCACUCUUCUUCUUCUUCGUCUCUGGUUUUUGAAAUGACGAAGACGAUGGCAACGCUGGUUCUAAUCUCAACGAUUUCCUCUUCUUACAUUCUUUCCUUUUGCUCGUUUCUGUCUCCCUCUCGUGCUGCUCCCCACUUUCUCUCUUGUCCUGCUCGCUCUCCCUCCCUGUCUCCUCUUCUUUUUUUUUUGUUGUCCGUCUCUCCUCUAGCUUUUUAUAGCCAGAGGAUGCAUGCUUUUCGGGAUUUAUUGCAGGAAGGUUGUAACGGCCGGCGUGCAUCAUGGUGGAGAGGGAUAUCAGCCGUGAGACGUGCUCCCCUGAUUGAAGCAGCUCCACCACUAACGUCUUCACUUCCUUUUACUGUAGAAACCGUUGUUGAUGAAGAAGGUAAUGAACAGUUGUCAAGGAAAUGGUACCGUUUUAAAAUUCAAAAUGAAUAUUUCCGAUUUGGUCAUUGGAUUUUUUGCAAUUUUGUAAUCAAGCCCCCGAAUAAAUUGUAAUUGGAUCUCUGGAUUUUAGCCCCAUUUACAAGACAAUCUUUGGUUCUGGAUUCAUGCGAUUUGACUCUCAAUUGAUCAAUAAACUUCUAAUUUCUUUAAUUUAGCCCCUGACUUGGUCAAUUGCAGCCCUUAUAUUUACACGCCUUUUCCGGUUUGAUCCUUGGUUUCGGAUUUUUUCAAUCAAGUCCCUAAUUGCCCAUAAAACUUUAAUAAUUAUGCAAUUAAGCCCCUGAUUUGACCAAAUCAACUCUUCAAAAUUAUAAUUGGACCUUAGAACUUUAAUUUCUUCGAAUAAAAGCCUAAAUAGACAUAAAACUCAAUUUUUCUUUCAAUCAAACCCUCCAUAAAUUCAAUUAAACCUUUAAUAAAAUUUAAUUGAGUCCAUAAACAUCUGAUUUUAGAUAUAUUUUUUUAAAAUUGAAUUUUCUUUGUCAACAGGGCUCUCAUUAGUCAACGAUAUACUGUCAAAUUUCAAUCUUUAUAUUUUUUAACCUCCUCAACCAAUUUUUGGCCAUUUUGAGCAGUCCGACAGCUUUCACUGUGACAUAUAUAUUUUUUUAUUUAUAUUAUUUAAUUAAUUUAUUAUUAUUUAUUUAUUUAAUUUUUUUCAACUCUUACUUUUUGUAUUUUCUUCUUUUUUGUGUGGGGUCCCAAAAAUGGAUAACAACACUUAAGUUCAAAUCUAUUAAUAAAAAUAUAGUUUUAUUGACUUUUUUAUAUACUUUUAUUAGAGAAAUCAAUGUAAACAAAUUUAUGGACAAACAUUAGUUUAUCAAGUACUUAAAUAGAAAAAUAAAAUCAAUUAGAGUACUUGAAUAAAAAAAAUAUAAAUUAUAAGCAUUUUAUAUAUCUUUAUUGUUCAUAAAUUAAAAAUAAAAUAAAAUCAAUCCAGACUAAUCUAAAAAGAGUUAACUAUGACAUCAUCAUUUUGAUAGUAAAACUAAUGAAGAUAUUUUAUUGAUUAAAUUCCGUGAAUAUAAGUAUUCAAAUUGAAAAAAAAAAACAUUGAUACAAGAUUUUAAAUAAAAAAAUUAUAAAAUACAUAUAAUUUGUACUUCUCAUUGUCUCUUUUGCAUUGCUAACACUUAACAAAUUGAAUAUAUAAUUCUCAUGUCAAUAACGUCAGAAUAAAUUUAGCUACAUGACAUAAUAAUACCUGUUUAUUUUUGUAUUUUAAAAAUAUUUUAAAAACAUUAAAUUGUUUUAAAUAGAUAACUUUUGAAUCAUCAAGUAGUGAAACACAGGAAAAGCGAAGAAAGUGAAGAAUAAUCAAAGUGGUGCGUGUCCACAUCAAUUUUUGUCCAUGUUUUUGGUAUUAAUCUCUUCAUCUAUUUACAGCUGGAGAAAAGAACAUCACCUACUACUUUUCUUGUCUCUUCUUACUUGGAAGAUCAGGUAUGUGAAUCUUUGAGUGCCACUUAUUUUAGUACAUAGACUUAGUUAUUUGACCACAACUUCACCACAAGUUAAAUUGUUUUAAUUAAAAAAAUUUAUAUAAAGAUUUCUUCAAUAAAUUUUUUAUUUAAAAAAUUUCUAAGUGAAAAUUAAAAAACUUAUACACAAAUAUAGUUAAAUAAAUCAAGAAUUAUGUGUGUUAAUAAGUGAAAAAAACCAUAAAUGAUGACUCAAAAUAAAAACUGAAAAAAUCAACUGAUAAAUGUAGAUCAAAAUAUUUAAUUUCACAAGACGUGAUAUUAAUGCAGUUGUGUUUUCUAAAAUUUUUAAUUAAAAUAAUUUUUUAAUUUGAUCAAACGAUAAUAAAAAUAGACACACAUAUUAUAAAUUGAUUGAAUAAAAUAAAAAAUAAUAAUAAUAUGCUAGGCUUUAUAUAUUGGAAAUAUUAUUUAAAAAUAAUUUUUUUUAUUUUAAAAAAUAAAAUUUAUCUAUUAAAAAAAUUUAUAUAUUAAAUUCAAAAUAAAUAAACUUUAAAAUAAUUUGCAAGGCUGCACAUAACCCCUUUAAAAGGAAAGUGAUAUAACAAACGUGGAACAAUUUUUAUUAACUAAAUAAACUUAAUAACUAUUAAUAUUAAAUUCGAAAUAUAUAUUAAAACCUAUUAUAUUAAUUUUUGAAUUUAUCAAUUCAGAUGUGAAUUAUAUUUCUAAAAUGUUAUAAGAAAUUUCUAUAUACGACAACUAGCUUAAGAAAGUGAUGUUCAUCAAAACCAUAGAGUACAGAAAAAGAAUUGAAUUGCAUAAAAUUAAGUAAUUAACGGAAACUUAUAUUCCUUCUUAAAACGUUGACCCCAAGUCAAGUUUAUUUAUUAUUAUUUUUUUUGAAAAAAACAUGAAUAAAAGUUAAUGCUAGGCACAUGGGAUAUAGAAGACUUGCAACUUUCUUUAUAGAAAUUACGUGUGUAAAAUUUAGGCCUUGAAAAAAAAUUAAAAAUAAAAUACUAUUAAUCGUGUUGAUAAAAAUUAAUAUAGAGACUUUAUUGAUAAAAAUUCAUAAGAGCAAGUAUUCAAAUUACAAAAAAUAAAAAUAUUUCUUCAAAUUUUCAAUAAAAUUUAUUUCUUGAAAUUAAUGCAUUAAACAAAAUUAAAAUAGUAGUAAAAGUAAAUUUAGUUUUUGAUUGAAGUGUAAACUAGUGGUAAAUGAACAAAAAGAAACUUUAUUGAUUUCUCCAAAAACAAUAUAUAUAUUAUUGAAUAUCUAAUGGAAAGGAUUAUGAAACUCCGCCUAAUAUAUAUAUAUAUAUAACAGAGAAAUUGUCGAUAAUAGCUAUGAUCUAAGUAACUGGACCACGACGAAGACAUAUACAAGAAACAAAAAAAAGAUACUUCACUAACAAUUGGGGUUCUUCAUAAGCUUCAAUAGAAUUGAUAGAGGGUCGAAACAAAAAAGAGAUGAAGAGAGAGGAGGGAAUGGAAAGAAGGGAAAAGAGAACUCUUGCGAUCUGUUGAAUAAGACUCAGUAUAUAUAUAUAUAUAUAAAAUAAAAAAAACUCAAGUUAGCGCAUCAAAUCUUCGACUUGGAUUAUGAGAUCGGGAUAAGAAAACUUAAUAUUUAAAAAUAAAAUUAAAGAAAAAAACUAUAAAAACAUAUAUGGUUUAACAAUAUUAAUCAAUUAUUAAAAUCUUUCAUUUUAUAUAUAUUAAAAAUAAAUAUUAAUAACUAUUAUAUCAAUUUGUGAAUGUUUCAAUUAGGAUGCGAAUAAAUGUUUUAUAUAUGACAUUUUUCUUAAGAAACCAAAGUUAUUAAGCAUGUUUAGAUUUAAUUACCAAAUGAGAGUGAGGGUUGAGGUUAUAGAUUGACCUAAUUAAUACUCAGAUCAAGAUUUAGGUCCUAGAUCGGACAAAUUAGCUUAUUGACUAGUGUUAAUAAAAAAUUGUAUCAUUUUAUGAUUUUUGUUAUAGAAAAAAUCAAAAUGGUGUUGUUAAAAAAAGUAAAACUAGGUUUUAACUGAGUUGACUAGGUUGUGGGUUGAUUUAUCUGGUCAACUAGGCUCAAUUGAGUCAACUCUCACUUGGUUUUUUCUAAACCUAAAUAGGGUUAGGUUCCAGAUUAAAAUGUAAGGCUUGAAUUAAAUUUAAUAACAUUGAUUAAAACCACAAUGUAGGAAAAAAAAUUGAAUUCAUAAAAGUAAUUAACCGAAAACUUGAAUUCCUUCUUAUAAAGUUGAACCCAUGUCGGUUUUUUUAAAGGAAAAGUAUGAAUCAAAGGUUAACGCUAGGCUGCUCACUUUGCAUCACAAUGACAGAUAUGGAAGGCUUGCUACUUUCUUUAUGGAAAUAACGUGUGGAAAAUCAUGCAUUAAUUUUGAUGUUGAUGGCAAAAUCAAACAAUAUCGUUGAUAAAAUGAAUGACAAAUGAUAUUAUUUUUAAAAUACUUCUUGUCAUUGUCAUGACAACAAGUCUUCUUUUUUUUCUUUCUAAAGUACUUGUCAGUCUAUUUUUAUGUAACCCAAUCAACAAGUAAGAUGGAUAGAAAUUUGCAGUGUAAAAUGGGUCUGUGAGACUAUGUAUCGCCAUCUGCAUUUUUCCACGAUCUAGGCCAGUGGGAUGGUACAUGAGACCAUUGCUAUCAAGCGUUUUUUCUACGAGAUGGGUCCAUGAGACCAUUGCCCUGUAAGCUUGGGAAUGGAUAAUUAAUAUGCUUUAAUGUCUAUUUAGUUUGCAAAAAAAAUAAUUAAAUGCUUAUGAAUAAAAAAUAAAUCUCAAGUGUUAAAAUGCAACCACCGAUUAAUUAAUGGACAAUGGACCUUAGAUUAAUACAUGACGCAACUUUCAAUGGAAUUAUAUUUGUGGAGGUAUUUACUCGGAUGCGAAUUAUAUUUCUAUUUUUUUAUUUAAAAAAAUUCUAUACUACAACGAGCUUAAGAAAGUCAUGUUCAGGGGCGGAGCUAUAAUUAUUUGUUAGGAAGAUCAAAAUUAAUAUAAUAAGAUAUAAAAUUUAUUUUAAUUUAUUAUACAUGAGUUCUAAAACAAAACCUGUAUAAUUUAGUUUUAUUCAAAUAACUUACUACAAACAUAUAAUAACCUUUGUGAAGUAUAUUGGGACUGCUCAACCAUAACUUUAACAUUACACAUUGGAGUUGGUUCACUAGGCUGUGAGUUAUCAAUAUUUUUUAUUUUUCUUUUUCAAAAAAAAAUCAAUUCUUCUUAUUUUGUUCAUGGUUCAACCUAAAAUCAAAACAUAUAUCGUAAGAAAAAAUUGAUAAUUUAGUGACUCUGCUAAAAAUAAAACAUAAAACAAAUCCAAGCAUAAUCAAAACAAAACCAAUAAAAUAUAUCUAAUUAAUUAGAAAAAAAAUCAUUAUAAUAAGAAUUCAAAAAAAAAUGGUAAAACUAGCAGAUCUGAGAAAAAAAAAGAGCAAAAAUGAUAGAAAUAUAAAAAAAAUCUCAUCAAAUUAUUAACAAACAUCUCAAAACAAAACAAAUAUAGAUUUUAAAUUUAAGUUACUUUGUUUUGUUUGAUGAAAGAUAAAUUAAUUGGUGGCUCUGCUUCAAUCUUUUUGUAGAAACAUUUUGCUCACAAUUUGUAUUUUUAUUUCUUUGUUUGAUCGGCUGCAGGAUUUAUAUUAGGGUAAAUUAAUGGUUUUGUUUUUUAUUUCACAAAGUAAUGCCUUAAUAUUGUUUUCUUCCAUCUAGGUCAAGAGUAAAUUAAAAGGAAAUCAAAAGUAAAGUCAAUAAUAACCCAAAGUAAUGCCUUAAUUAUUUGAUGUCACAAAGUAAUGCUUUAAUAACCCAAUAAUAAAAAAACAAAAUGUCUUGAGGGGGGCUCGGGCCCCUGCUUGCCCCCUACUUCCACCCUUGGUCAUGUUCAUCGAAAAAAAAAAUUAUAUUUACUCGGAUGUGUUUUUUCUACGAGAUGGGUCCAUGAGAACAUUUCCAUCUGCAUAUUGGUUCUUGAGACCGUUACCAUCAGGGGCGGAGACAGAGGGGCUGGCAGGGGCCCCGGCCCCGGCAAGGAAAAAGUUUUUCCAGCCCCUCCCUUAACAAUAUUUAUAUUUUUAGUUUAAAUAAUAAAACAAUUAAUAUUUUGAUCCCCUUUAAUUUUAUUUUCUGGUUCUGCCCCUGGUUGCCAUCAUGCAUUUUUCCUCGAGGAGAGGCCAUGAGACGUCCUCUUCCAACCAUCAUGCAUUUUUUCCACGAGAUGGGUUCGUGGAGAAACUUUGGUUUAAUUGGGAAUGCUGUUAUUGAUUGGAAACUUUUUAAUUAAAAUAAAUUUGAUUAUUUGAUUGGAAAAAAUCCUUAAAUGUUAUUAACACAAGAAAUGAAUUUAUUUUCUUAAGAAAAAAAUAUUGUAACCAUAUAAGUAAUUUAUUUAUUUAUUUUAAUGAAAUAUAAAAUAGUUUUAAAUCUUGUGGUAUAUUUCUUGUCUUUAAGAGCUAUGAACUUAUAUCGCAAACCUUGAAAACUAAUAUAAAGAUAUUAAGUGAUCAUUAAGUGUGUGUGUAUGUAUAUAAUCUUUUUCAAAACAAAAAGGAUUUUGAUGGAGAUCAGGACAUUGCAACAAAUUAUCCACCACGAGAUGGGUCACUGAUACCAUUGUCAUCAUGCAAUUUUUUCCCACGAGAUGGGGCCGUACGCUUGGGGCUCUAAAACGCUAUGGUUUUUAAUUUCAUUAUGUCACAUCUAGAAUGGCAGGUAUAUUUUAUUUCAAUUUAAACAAUGGAAUAAAUUAGAAGAUAUUUCAUCUCGUUUGGAAUCUUAUCUCAUUUCAUGAAUUUCACCUAAAUUCUGGCCGGAAUAUUUUGGUUCUAUUCCAGCCAUUCUAUUAUGAUCAAAUAAUGUUUUGUUUUGCUUUUAUAAAAAAAAAAAUAUAGUCUAGUUUUACGGUAUCAAUUAUAUCUCUCAAUUCAACUGUUGAAUUAUACUAAAAUUUUACAAGGAAUCUCCUAACAUAUAUUUAUAUCGCAAGUUAAAAUUUUAGAACAAUUAGAGUUUAGAAAGACUUUGUGAGAUUGCCGAUGACAUUUUCAUAAUUUUAUUUAAAUUCAUAAUUUGGUUUCGUAAGGUCAUUUUUUGUGUCUUCUUUUAGAUUGUUUUGUUUUUCCAAUUUCAUAAUUCAACAAUAAGUUUAUUAAAAAUUGAGAUUCAUAAUUUGUUUUUAUUUUGGAUUAUUAUGGUCUCAUAAUCUGGGUCACGGAUUUAAAAGAUUAACUUAGAUUAACCCGAGUCUAUCCAAUAUGUCGUUGUCUCAAUAUUUUUAACAAACAUAAUUUUAAUUGACAUUUAAAAAUAAACUAACUUAAAAUUAUACAAUUUAAAUUUCAAAUAUAAGUAAAAAUAAAGAGUUAAAUCGAUAUGACCCAUUUGAUUUGAUGAGUCCAAAGUAUAUAUAGAACAAUCCAAAAUGACACAUCAAAAUACUCAAAAACAAAAAUAUAUUGUUACAAUUAAAAAAAUAAAACACCAAUUAAAAUGGAAUUAACAUCCUUGCUUCAUAGAAGCCUAAACUCCUCGCUACCAUUUGCAAGAGAUAGUUAUACCAAUAGCAAUUUAGUAAUGUUGGUCAGAAUUUAAUAUCCUUCUCGAUAAGAAGAUCCUUAUCUUAUCGGAUAAAACCUAAUUGUUCUAACGUCAACAAAAGAAUUUAAUAUUCGGAAUACAUCUUACGUAUAAGGUCGUAACCCAAAUACUAAAAGAAAAAAAAUAAUAUUUUUGGAAUUUUUGAAAUAUUGGUCUAGUUCUCGUGACUUUAAUAAACUGGUUAUUAAAACCAAAAUGCAUGUUAAUACAUAUUUUUGAAUUUUUGUUGUAUGAAAAUAUGAUAUGAUUUUUUUUCUUUGAGAUACUUGGCCAUAUGCAUGAAAAUAAAAACAUGUUUUUUUUUUAAUUUUUCAAUGUUUCGACGAAAACUGGGUAUUUUAAUUCCAGAUUUGUAUCUUUACAGUAUAAAAAUACAAAUCAAUACUAAGAAAAAAUCAAUAGAAAAAUACGCGGUAAAAUCACAGAUUUUUUAAAAUGAUUUUUUUUUGACCGGGUAGGCGUUGUUCGGGUCAGAAAACUAAAACAAACAGUGGAGAGACUCUCUGCUGUUCACAUGCAACGUGAACAGUGGAGCGGCCUGGAGAAGACUAAGAAGAGGAGGAGGAAGAGGAAGAAGCAGACCUGCAGCCUAGCGGUGCUGCCAGUGGCGGUGGACGGUGUUGCGGUUGCGGACCGUGGUGCUGACUGGUUGGUGGUUCUUCUUUCUUUCUCUGCGUUUCCCUUCUGCUUUUUUUCUGUUCUACUCUAUUCUUCCUCUUGUUCCCUGUUUUAUUCUCUCUCCCUCUCUGGUCCUCUCAAACGUCCCCUGGAGCUGCUGCCUGAAGAUGAAGAUGAAGUUGAGGGUGAUCAGUGCUCUGAUCGAGCAACGUUUCUUUCUUUCCUUCUGCUACUGUUUUCGUUUCUGAUUCUCCUUUUUGUUCAAUUCUUAUUUGCACUCUUCUUCUUCUUCGUCGUCUCUGGUUUUUGAAAUGACGAAGACGAUGGCAACGCUGGUUCUGGUCUCAACGAUUUCCUCUCCUUACAUUCUUUCCUUCUGCUCAUUUCCGUCUCCCUCUCGUGCUACUCCCCACUUUCUCUCUUGUCCUGCUGGCUCUCCCUCCUUGUCUCCUCCUUUUUUUUUUUCCUGUCCGUCUCUCCUCUGGCUUUAUAUAGCGAGAGGAUGCAUGCUUUUCGGGAUUUAUUGCAGGAAGGUUGUAACAGCCGGAGUGUAUCAUGGUGGAGAAGGAUAUCAGCCGUGAGACAUGCUCCCCUGAUUGAAGCAGCUCCACCGCUAACAUCUUCACUACCUUUUACUGUAGAAACCGUUGUUGAUGAAGAAGGUAAUGAACAGUUGUCAAGGAAAUGGUACCGUUUUAAAAUUCAAAAUGAAUAUUUCCGAUUUGGUCAUUGGAUUUUUUGCAAUUUUGUAAUCAAGCCCCCGAAUAAAUUGUAAAUGGAUCUCUGGAUUUUAGCCCCAUUUACAAGACAAUUUUUUGUUCUGGAUUCAUGCAAUUUGACCCUCAAUUGAUCAAUAAACUUCUAAUUUCUUCAAUUUAACCCCUGAGUUGGUCAAUUGCAGCCUCUCUAUUUACGUGUCUUUUCCGAUUUGGUCCUUGGUUUCGUAUUUUUUCAAUCAAGUCCCUAAUUGCCCAUAAAACUUUAAUAAUUAUGCAAUUAAGCUCCUGAUUUGACCAAAUCAACUCUUCAAAAUUAUAAUUGUACCCUAGAACUUUAAUUUCUUCCAAUAAAAGCCUAAAUCGACAUAAAACUUAAUUUUUCUUUCAAUCAAACCCUCCAUAAAUUCAAUUAAACCCUCAAUAAAAUUUAAUUUAGUCCAUAAACAUCUGAUUUUGGAUAUAUUUUUUUUAAAAAUGAAUUUUCUUUGUCAACAGGGCUCUCAUUAGUCAACGAUAUACUAUCAAAUUUCAAUCUUUGUAUUUUUUAACCUCCUCAACCAAUUUUUAGCUAUUUUGGGCGGUCCAACAGCUUUCUCACUACGACAUAUAUUUUUAUUUAUUUAUUUAUUAUUAUUAUUUAUUUACUUUUUUUCGACUCUUACUUUUUGUAUUUUCUUCUUUUUUGUGUGAGGUCCUAAAAAUGGGUAACAAUACUUAAGUUCAAAUCUAUUAAUAAAAUAUAGUUUUAUUGAAUUUUUUUAUAUACUUUUAUUAGAGAAAUCAAUGUAAACAAAUUUACGGAAAAACAUUAGUUUAUCAAGUACUUAAAUAGAAAAAUAAAAUCAAUUAGAGUACUUGAAUAAAAAAAAUAUAAAUUAUAAGCAUUUUAUAUAUCUUUAUCGUUCAUACAUUAAGAUAUUUUAUUGAUUAAAUUUUGUGAAUAUAAGUAUUCAAAUUGAAAAAAAAAACAUUGAUGCAAGCUUUUAAAUAAAAAAAAUUAUAAAAUACAUAUAAUUUGCACUUCUCAUUGUCUCUUUCGCAUUGCUAACACUUAACAAAUUGAAUAUAUAAUUCUCGUGUGAAUAACGUCAGAAUAAAUUUAGUUAUAUGACAUUAUAAUACCUUUUUAUUUUUAUAUUUUAAAAAUAUUUUAAAAAAAUUAAAUUGUUUUAAAUAGAUAACUUUUGAAUCAUCAAGUAGUGAAACACAAGAAAAGCGAAGAAAGUGAAGAAUAAUCAAAGUGGUGCGGGUCCACAUCAAUUUUUGUCCAUGUUUUUGGUAUUAAUCUCUUCAUCUAUUUACAGCCGGAGAAAAGAACAUCACCUACUACUUUUCUUGUCUCUUCUUGCUUGGAAGAUAAGGCAUGUGAACCUUUGAGUGCCACUCAUUUUAGUACAUAGACUUGGUUAUUUGACCACAGCUUCACCACAAGUUAAAUUGUUUUAAUUAAAAAAAAUUAUAUAUAGAUUUCUUCAAUAAAUUUUUUAUUUAAAAUUUUUUUAAGUGAAAAUUGAAAAACUUAUACACAAAUAUUGUUAAAUAAAUCAAGAAUUUUGUGUAUUAAUAAGUGAAAAAAACCAUAAAUGAUGACUUAAAAUAAAAACUGGAAAAAUCAAUAAACAAAUGUAGAUCAAAAUAUUUAAUUUCACAAAACGUGAUAUUACAGUUGUGUUUUCUAAAUUUUCUAAUUAAAAUAAUUUUUUAAUUCGAUCAAACGAUAAUAAAAAUAGACACACAUAUUAUAAAUUGAUUGAAUAAAAUAAAAAAUAAUAAUAAUAUGUCAGGCUUCAUAUAUUGGAAAUAUUUUUUGAAAAUAUUUUUUUUAUUUUUAAAAAUAUAGUUUAUCUAUUAAAAAAAUUAUAUAUUAAAUUCAAAAUAAAUAAACUUUAAAAUAAUUUGCAAGGCUGCACAUAAGCCCUUUAAAAGGAAAGUGAUAUAACAAAAGUGGAACAAUUUUUAUUAACUAAAUAAACUCUAUAACUAUUAAUAUUAAAUUCAAAAUAUAUAUUAAAAAUAAAUAUUAAAACCUAUUAUAUUAAUUUGUGAAUUUAUCAAUUGAGAUGUGAAUUAUAUUUCUAAAAUGUUAUAAGAAAUUUCUAUAUACUACAACUAGCUUAAGAAAAUCAAGUUCAUCGAAACCGUAGAGUACAGAAAAAAAAUGAAUUGCAUGAUUAACCAAAACUUAUAUUUCUUCUUAAAACGUUGACCCCAAGUCAAGUUUUUUUUUUUUUUUGAAAAAAACAUGAAUACAAGGUUAAUGCUAGGCACAUGACGAUGAUGGAUAUACAAGACCUGCUCCUUUCUUUAUGGAAAUUACGUGUGGAAAAUUUAGGCCUUGAAAAAAAUUAAAAAAAAAAUACUAUUAAUCAUGUUAUUUGCAUUAUGGCAAAUAUAGAGACUUGAUUGAUAAAAAUUUAUAAGAGCAAGUAUUCAAAUUUUAAAAUAAAUAAAUAAAUCAAUUCAAGUUUUUAAUUAGAAAAAACAAGAUACAAAUACUCUGUGUAAGUGCCACUAACUCUUUGUAUUUUCUAACUAUUAAAGAAUUGAAUAUAUAAUACACGGGUGAUAAACAUCAAAAUAAAUCCAAUUGUAUAAUUUACUAAGAUUUUAAAAACUAACACUACAUAGAAAAAAAAAUCUUAAAAUAAAUAACAGAAAACUUGUAUUCCUUCGAGGGGUGUUUGAGAGUGUGGUAGCGGUUGCUUUUCAAAGUUUUUUCCCUUAAAAAUGCAUCAAAAUAAAUUUUUUUGAUUUUUUAAAAAUUAUUUUUAACAUCAUUAUAUCAAAAUGAUCUAAAAAUAUUAAAAAUAUAUUAAUUUAAAGCAAAAAAUAUAAAAAAAAUUAAAAAAUUUUAAUAAUACUUUUAAAAUACUAAAACAAACAAGAUAUUAAAAAAUAUACUACAAGUCAAAGUCUUUUUGAAAAAAAACAUUAAUAAAAGGUUAAUGGCAGGUAGCUUAUUUUCUGCCCUAAUAAAGCUCAAGGUCUGUUCAGAAAACUAAGUACGUAGGCAUACACCCAAUCCAAGCACCAUCAAAUCAUUUUUUAUACAUAGGGAUAGGAACGCUAGCUUCACAUGAUAGAUAAAAAAAAUUAAAAGAUAAUAAAAUUAAAAAAAUAAUUAUAAUCUUAUAUAUUAUUUUAAAUAAAAUAAAUAUUGAUUAAAAAAACCAAAUAUAAUAAAUUAAAAUAUUUAAUUUAAAAAAGAUAAGAGAAAAGUAAAUGAGAAUUAAAGUUGAUAUAAAAAUUAAAUUAUAAAAUAUAAAAUUCAAAAAAAAAAUAAAACCAAUUUUUUUUUUCUAAAAGAUAAUAUUCAGAUUAAAAGCAUUAUAAAAAGAAUAGCUCCUUGUUUCUUCCUUGUUUCAAUUUCAAGAUAUUAAGAUUAAAACCCAAUCGUAUAGCUGGUUGGGUUGAGAAGAAAGGUUUGCUUUUGUAUUACAAAUUAUUUAGAUUAGUUUUUUUUUAAAAUUAAUCAAAUUAGUAUCAUUUUGGUUCUCCAUCGAAGAAAAUAGAAAACAUAUUUAGUAAUAAGGUGUUGUUUAAUUCCUUAUAUUAUUAAUAUAAUCAUGGCAUCAUCACUGUAACAAUAAGUCCUCUUACUUGUAUUUUCACCGUCCCAACCUCUUUACAUGGCGUCACCGUAGCAAUUAUAUAUCUCUUGAUCAAUCAUAAUUAAAUUACUGUAAUAAUAUCUUUUUUUAUUCUUUUAUAUGAAGUCUUAAUUUAUUUUUUUAUAUAGGUAGUUAUGAAUUACAGAAAUUGAACAAUUUAGAGAUCUUUGACUUAGAAUCUAAUUGUUUCGAUAACAGUAUUAUAUUAUAGAGGGAUUUUUAUCCCUUAAAUUAUUAUAUUUAGAUUAAAAAAUAAAAACUAAUUAGGAGUCAAUUAAAUAAAUAAAUAAAAACCCUCAAAAGAUAAAAGAAGAAAACAUAAAAAGUACACUACCCAACCAAUAAUUGACCUGAAUCACAUGUUGUCCACUGCCAGAACUUAUUAGCAAUCUGCUUACAACAGCAAAUUGAUCAAUAAGAAAGACUUAAAUUCCAAAUUUAAAAACCAACUCAAUUGAGAUCCUUAUUAUUCAUUCAAUUAGUUGCUUCUUGCUAACUCUUUUAUUUCCUUUAUAAUUUUAAUUCAUUUUAAUAUAAUUUCUUGAUUGUGGCAAGCUUCCUUUAUCUCAAGAACUUGGAAUACUUGGAUUUCCCAAGAAAAAAUUAACUUAAGACUUUAGUUAAUGCUAUGAACACGAGUAAAUGAUAUGCUAAAGAAAAAACCAUGUAUUUAAGAACCAUUGCUAAGCUACAGGUUCAGGAGCCAUAAACCACUCACAUUUAGUGGGGUUGAUCUCAAAUUCAGACAAAUCUACUUGUCCAGUUCGGAGAACCUUCAAACAAAAAGAAGAAUGAAACCUUGUAAAAUUGGCUAUCAUCAAAAGGACAAGAAACAGUACAAGAAGGAUCAGCCUCGCAUUUCUUGCAUAAGUAAAAGAAUCCACUUGUUAAUGGAAAGGAGGACUCUGCAACAAGUCUAAAAUAUCCUCUGGAGUUCAGUGACCCUACAACCUUAUAUUUACCUCAGAAUGCACCCACGUAAAGCACACAGGAAAUCCCAACACAUAAGACAACAAAAGAAAACAUAUAAUUAGCAGAAAAAAAAAGGUUGUACAAUUCUUUCAUAGCUUACAGUACGUAUAGAAUAAGCAUUAUCAAAUCAGGCUAACAUACCUCAGGUAAGUGAGAUGUUAAUCCUUCUUCAAGCGGCAAUGUCUCAAUCAAUGACAUUAUCAAAUCAGGCUUCAGUAUAUCCCCUAAUCCCAAGCCUAGGACAACAAAAGAAAACAUCAUGAAAAAAAAUGAUUUUACAGUAAUGCACCCAGUGCCAGAGCAUAUAAUUAGCAGAAAUAAAGGUUGUACAAUUCUUUCACAGCUUACAAUACGUAUAGAAUAGGCAUUAAUAAUUACCUUCAUCUGGAUCGGCCAAACUACCUGCAACAUCUAUCAUCACAUCACGGCGCGGGCCACCCUAAGUACAGCAAACAAGGAUAUGGUCAAUUGCACUAUCUGAGCAUAACACAGAUAUUACUCAGGAUUCUUUGCAAGUCUUCCAAUUUCACUGGUUCUGAUGAAGAGUUUACAUCAUUCAUUACUUCUGCACCAAGGUCUGGGACAACUAAGUUUCCAGUCCUGAGAGCUAUGAGCAAAAAUCUCAUCAGAAUAAAAGAAAAUGGCAACGUAAUACUGGGCCAUUUCUUUUUUGUAAUAAAAGUGCUCCUUAACCUUUUUGAAGUUAUUUUACAAUGAAUUACAAGCAUUAAACUUGUAUAUACAUGGACAAACACCAAGUUAUGAUUCUAAAUUUCCAUAUAAAAGAUGCCCCAAGUUUUAAAAUUUACCCCGAGGGCAAGUCUGUGCAAGAGCAUAAGGGGAUGAAGGAUUUGACAUGGACUAAGGUGGGUGAGAUGUUUUUGUCAAGAAAUGAUUUUGGAAAAUUUCUUGAUAUUUCUUGAAUAAAUAAGAUAGGAGUCUUCAUCAAGGCAAGAACAUAGGCUCUCCAAGAUAAUUGACCAGAAGGAGAGAAGGGAGGCUCAUCCUGCUCCACAGACUCUUAGUCUCAAAGAACAAAAAAUUACUUGGCUCUAUAUCCUUACUCUUACUUGCUAUAUCAACUCUUAGAGUUGAAGUAUCUGAAAGGGUUUAUUUUUAGUAUUUGAAUAAGUCCAUGAGUCCCUAGUCUUCAGGAAGAUAUACAUGGUCAAGAUUAAAUUAAGGAUUUUAGUUGCUUAUUUUUCGUUAUUUCAUGUGCCACGUUACUGUGAACGUGAGCUAUUUUUCAGUCUUAUUAUUAUUCCUGUAAGGCUAUUUAUUAGCCAUUUCCAUUCAGUAAAAGCAAUUCAUUCAAUUCAAAUACUGUGCACUUUUGUUCUUAUUCUUUACAAUUGGUAUCAGAGCUAUUACAUCUGACCUGUUACGAAGAAAUAGAUACAAAAGGAAGACAUAUUUUUGAGUGACUUCAAACUUAGAGUGAGUGAGUGCUUGAGUGCUUUUAAACACAGAGUGAGUGAGUUUGAGUGUUUUUUAAACACAGAGUGAGAAAGAGAGUUCUUGAGGGUCAAUUUCAACAAUGGCAGCAGAGUCCAGCAAUUUUGUAUCACCUUGCAUCCCGAAAUUUGAUGGAGACUACGAGCAUUGGAACAUGCUAAUGGAGAAUCUCUUGCAUUCCAAAGAGUAUUGGAACGUUAUUGAGACAGGAUAUGUCGAGCCUGCAUCAGGGGAAAUUCUGAAUAAUGCACAGAAAAAGACAUUGGAGGAGACAAAGCUGAAAGAUUUAAAGGUUAAAAAUUACCUUUUUCAGUCCAUCGACAAAUCCAUUCUGAAGACUAUUACUCAAAAAGACACAGCAAAACAGUUGUGGGAUUCCAUGAAGAUCAAAUACCAAGGAAAUACAAGGGUUCGGCGUGCUCAACUUCAAAUCUUUCGCAGGAAUUUUGAAGUGCUGGAAAUGAAACAAGGAGAAACUGUCACAAGUUAUUUUGGAAGAGUUAUGCUGGUGGCAAAUGACAUGCGAAAUCUGGGAGAAAGCAUACCUGAUGAGAAGAUUGUAGAGAAGAUUUUACGCACACUUACUGAGAAGUACAAUUACAUAGUGUGCUCCAUUGAGGAGUCUAAAGAUAUUAAUCAUCUUUCAGUUGAUGAGCUGUAGAGUUCAUUACUUGUUCAUGAACAGAAAUUCAAAAGGCAUGACACAGAUGAUCAUGCCCUGAGAAUCUAUGAUGACAGAUUCUGUGGCAGAGGUCGUGGCAGAAACAAUUACAGAAGCCGAGGCCGUGGGGGCAGAACACAAACAUUCAAUAGAGACAUGGUGGAAUGUUUCAGGUGUCACAAACUUGGACACUUCCAAUACGAGUGUCCAACCAUGAACAAGGCAGCUAAUUAUGUGGAGCUAGAUGAUGAAGAUGAGAUGCUGCUAAUGUCCUAUGUUACAUUAGCUAAGACAACACGGAAUGAUGCAUGGUUCCUGGAUUCAGGAUGUUCUAAUCAUAUGUGUGGUUAUAGAGGUAUGUUCUCCUACUUGGAUGAAAAUUUUCAGCAUUCAGUCAAACUUGGAAACAAUAGCAGAAUGGCAGUAGUUAGCAAAGGCAGAGUAAAAUUACUAAUCAAUGGUAUUAAGCAUGUUGUUAAUGAUGUCUAUUAUGUACCAGAGCUUAAAAAUAAUUUACUGAGCAUAGGUCAACUACAAGAAAGGGGCUUAGCAAUUUUAAUUAAGAAUGGAGUUUGUAAGAUUUACCAUCCUGAGAAGGGUUUGAUCAUUCAAACCAAGAUGAGUGCAAAUUGGAUGUUCAUCCUACUUGCACAGACUCAAGCUCCCGUACAUGCACAGACUCAGAAUCAAGAGAAUUGUCUUCUCACCGGUUCUCAAAAUCCCUCAGUGCUAUGGCACAGACGGUUCGGUCACUUAAGCUACAAAGGCUUAAGAACCUUACAAUGGAGACAUAUGGUACAUGGACUGCCCACCUUCUCGACUCCCACCAUCACCUGCACAGAUUGCCUCAAUGGCAAGCAACACAGAGAGGUCAUGCCCAAACACAGCAAAUGGAGAGCAAAUCAGAAAUUGGAAUUAAUUCAUGCAGACAUUUGCGGUCCUAUUUCCCCCGAAUCCAAUAGUGGCAAAAGGUACAUAUUAUGUUUCAUUGAUGAUUUCAGCCGAAACUAUGGGCAUUUCUUUUAGCUACAAAAUCCGAAGCUUUCAUUUAUUUUAAGAAAUUCAAAGCUAUGGUGGAAAAAGAAACCCUAUUGCAUGUGAAGUGUCUAAGGACUGACAGGGGAGGAGAAUUUACCUCAAGUGAAUUCAACGAAUUCUGCAGCCAACAAGGUAUCAAACGGCAGCUCACCACGGCGUACACUCCACAGCAAAAUGGAGUUGCAGAGAGAAAAAAUCGAACCGUGAUGAACAUGGUCCGAUCAAUCCUCUCUGGUAAAGGGAUUCCAAAACCCUUCUGGCCAAAGGUAGUGAACUGGGCCUUCUAUGUGCUCAAUCGGUGCCCAACUUAUGCUUUGACAGACAUCACUCCUCAUGAGGCAUGGAGCGGAACUAAACCAUCAGUAGACCAUUUCAGGGUCUUUGGGUGCUUGGCCCAUGUUCACGUUCCAGAUGUGAAACGGAGUAAGCUUGAUAACAAAAGCUUUGUGUGUGUACUGUUGGGUAUGAGUGAGGAGUCAAAGGGGUACAAGUUGUUUGAUCCUUUAAACAAAAAAAUCGUGGUUAGCAAAGAUGUGAUCUUUGAGGAGGACAAACAGUGGGAUUGGGAUGUUGCUUAUGAAGAACAAAUCUUGACAGAUUUGGUUUGGGGUGACAGAGAAGGAACACGUGAAGAUGGUGAUAAUAGUGAUGACAAUCACGGGGAUGAGAGUGGUGAACGUGAGGCUGAAAUCAAUGGGGAAGAAGGGGAAGAAAACGAAGAACACAGACACAUUGUCUGUGAAGAUGAUGAAAAUGCUGAGAGAGAAGAAGAAGAAGCUGAGUUAAAUGAUCUUACGGUGUGUAUGCUGCCAGUUGGAAGAAUAGGUGAGCAGGUCAAUCCUACGGCAUGAACGCGGCCAAGUGAACAAAGGGAGAUGACAGAUGGCAAAAUAGAUGUUAAUCCAACGGUGAGAAUUCAGUCUGACAGGGAGAGUGAUUAGAUGACAUGUGGCGUACAUCCAACGGCACAAAACAUGGCAGACGGAGAGAAUGAGCUGCUGACAAGUGGAGACAAUCCAACGACUGACAUGCAAUCUGACGGGGAGAGUGGCCUGCUGACAAGUGGAAGAAGAGAAAGGGGUCCUCCGGUGUGGAUGCAAGAUUAUGUUACAGGGGAGGAUUUAUCUGAAUAUGAGUCCAAUAUGGCACUAAUUAUGUCUUCUGAUCCCAUUUAUUUUGAAGAUGCUGUGAAAGUUAACACUGGAGACUUGCUAUGGACAGUGAAAUUAAUGCAAUAGAGAAGAACAAUACCUGGACGCUCAACGAGUUGCCGGAGGGAGCAAAAAAAAUUGGAGUCAAAUGGGUCUACAAAACAAAGUACAACGAACAUGGGGAUGUUGAUAAAUACAAGGCAAGGCUAGUUGCCAAAGGGUACUCGCAACAACACGGAAUUGACUAUACAGAAGUCUUUGCACCAGUGGCAAGGAUGGAUACAGUAAGGAUGAUUAUUGCUCUCGCCGCUCAAAAAAACUGGAUUGUUUAUCAGUUGGAUGUCAAAUCGGCUUUUCUGCAUGGGGAAUUGCAUGAAGAUGUUUAUGUUGAUCAACCAAAAGGGUAUGAAAAGAAGGCUAGCGAACAUCUAGUUUACAAGCUGCAUAAAGCGUUGUACGGGUUAAAACAAGCUCCAAGAGCUUGGUUCAGUCGAAUCGAGGGUCAUUUUUUCAAUGAAGGCUUUCUACGGUGUGAAAGUGAGCAAACUUUAUUCACAAAGAGAAGCAGGGAAGGAAAGAUUAUCAUUGUAAGUGUUUACGUUGAUGAUCUAAUAUUUACUGGCGAUGAUACACAUAUGUUGUCUGAAUUCAAAAACUCCAUGAUGAGGGAGUUUGACAUGUCAGAUUUGGGGAAGAUGCGGUAUUUCUUGGGAAUCAAAGUAUUACAGCAUUCAGGUGGCACCUACAUAUGUCAGAAGAAAUAUGCACUAGAGGUGUUGAAGAGGUUUGGUAUGAUGGAAUGCAAUGCGGUGAAAAAUCCAAUAGUUCCCGGAUGCAGAGUCAACAAAGAUGAAGGCGAAGCUAAAGUAGAUGAAACAUAUUAUAAGCAGUUAGUGGGCAGCCUAAUGUAUCUCAUAGCAACAAGACCAGACAUGAUGUUUGUUACUUGUCUCAUCAGCAGAUACAUGGCCAAACCUACGGAACUUCAUCUACAAGUAGCAAAAAGGGCACUUAGAUAUCUAAGAGGGACAAUAAAUUUUGGAAUUUAUUACAAGAAAGGGGGAAGUGAUGAACUACUCUCAUUUACGGAUAGUGAUUAUGCUGGAGAUAUGGAGGAUAGAAAGAGUACAAGUGGAUAUGUUUUUUUGUUAAGCUCAGGAGCAGUCUCAUGGAGUUCGAAGAAGCAACCAAUAGUGACUCUUUCUACAACUGAAGCAGAAUUUGUAGCAGCCGCAAUGUGUGUAUGUCAAGCUCUUUGGAUAAAAAGAGUCUUGAAGGAAUUGGGACACUCAAAUAAUGAGUGCACACAAGUGAAAUGUGAUAACAGCUCAACUAUUAAAUUGUCCAAAAAUCCAGUGAUGCAUGGACGCAGUAAGCAUAUCGAUGUAAGAUAUCACUUUCUGAGAAAUCUUACUAAAGAAGGUACAAUUGCAUUAGUUCAUUACGGAAGUCAGGAUCAGGUGGCAGAUUUAAUGACCAAGCCUUUAAAGCUUGAUGCAUUUCUGAAACUAAGAACACUGUUGGGAGUCCAAGAAAUUACUGAUGUAAACUAACUGCAUACUGCAGUAAGUUUAAGGGAAGGAAUGAAAGGGUUUAUUUUUAGUAUUUGAAUAAGUCCACGAGUCCCUAGUCUUCAGGAAGAUAUACAUGGUCAAGAUUAAAUUAAGGAUUUUAGUUGCUUAUUUUUCGUUAUUUCAUGUGCCACGUUACUGUGAACGUGAGCUAUUUUUCAGUCUUAUUAUUAUUCCUGUAAGGCUAUUUAUUAGCCAUUUCCAUUCAGUAAAAGCAAUUCAUUCAAUUCAAAUACUGUGCACUUUUGUUCUUAUUCUUUACAGUAUCAUCUUUGAGUAUGCUUAUUUGUUAUAAUAAAUAUACCUUGAUGAGAUAUUAUCUUUAAGCAUGUCUUCAAAAACUUGGAAAGGAGUAGAAGCAUCAGGCUCUUCUUCAUCAAGGAACUCUGCCAGGCAAUAAGAUAAAGUAGCGACGUUGCUGAUGGAAAAACUUCACUCUUGAAUGAGUGCUGAAGUUAUAAGCCAGGUCAUUAGUUUGAAGGAGUAAAACUGGUUAGUAAAAUUUUAGGAAAACCAAUUCACACAUACGGAGUGUGUAACUAAAAUAAAUAAACAGGAAGUAGAAAACAGGAAAUCCAAUUAGUCUAAUAUGAUAUUUCUGUGAAAUAGAGGUUUUCUUUAUGAAAUUGUGGAGAUGAGAGGAGAUAAAUGCAGAUGCAAGAUAAAAAAAAACAAUAAAAAAAAACACAAAAGUAGCAUGGCUAGCAAAGGACUCAAAACACAAAAGUAUUUACCAAAUGGACGAUUAAUAUAAUAGUUGAUAGAGCUACACAAUUGUGAAUCAUCUUUAGCUUUUGGCUCCUGCAAACAUGUUACACAAUUUUCCAAAAUCAUGCAACUAACAGCCGAGUCAAUGUUACACAUAAGAGAGUGAAAAACACAGAAAAUGAACCUGACCUGCAUCCAAAUGAAAAACUUUCAAUCAUCUGUAUUGAAUUUCAAGAUGUAAACUCUUCCCAAAGCUUGAUUAACCUGAAUAACCCAAAGAAUUAUGAAUCUAUGAUAUUACAAUCAAUUAUUAGAGUCAAAUAUCUCCCAUCUAAGAAAAAACUAAGAGAGAAAAGUGUACCUUCUCAAAAACAGCCUCUUCAGAAAAAAAAAUCUGAUCCUGUCAAUCAACACGUCAAGAAAAAGCUACCAAGUUCUUACCUCAAAAGAAUAUUAACAAAACAAACAACAGAAAAAGAAAUAAAAACCAAUGUUGGAAGAGAGAAACAAAAUCCCCAGGCUAAAAAACAUAAUAAUAACUAGGACACAUCUUCCACAGCAUUCAAAUUCCUAUCAAGCCACUGGAAAUGAAGCAAACCCUCGUCACCCUGGAACAAUUCAAAAAUUUCGACUUCAAACAGGAAACAAGAUGCUAGAAACACUCUAUCUAGUACUUAAGAUAAACCAAAACAACAGAAGUAACUAAAAAUCUUUACACAGGUACGAACUCUGUAUAACACAAAAAAACCAAAAGACACCAGUUUACCCUUCCAAUGCGAACAAGUCCUUUUCGAGAAUCAGGAACAAACUUUUUUCCAUCAAAAACCAUUUUACCAGCACGAAACUCCAACAUAAUUUCCUACCAACAAAACAACCACAACAUCAUAACAUAACCCCAUCAAGAAAAACAUACUUAUACAUCCAAAAAAGCAAUUACAGGCUCUAAUUAAUAAGAUACAAGAUUUUAAGCAAAACCCACAAUUUUAAAAGUGAUUUUAUUUACCUGCAUUGCUGAAAUAUCUACAGCUGAUGAAGAACCCAUUUUUCGCAUACUUCCUCUAAAGCUUCCUUUUUUCCAACACUGCAAAAAAAAAAAAAGAAGAACAAAUCAAAUACCCAAAUCAGAAACAAUAACAGAAAAAAAAUAAAAGAAAAUCCAAUGCUGGAAGUUGUAAUCAGGAGGAGAACCAUACAAUUUCUGAUGGAAUGACAUUUUAUCAAGAAUUGAACUAGGCAUUCAGUUAAUUAAAUAGGUUGUAAACUUGUAAUCAGGUGAGAGUAGUGUCAACAUGUUUAGUUUUCCUCUCGGAAGUGUCAUUCUGCACAAAUCAGUGUUUUAAAAAUAUUAAAAAAAAAAUUUAAUUUGUUUUUAAAUUUGUUUUUUAGUGGUUUUCAUUUAUUUUCGUGUAUUAAUAUUAAAAAUAAUUUUUAAAAAAUAAAAAAUAUAUUAUUUCAAUUUAUUUUAAAAUAAAAAAAAAACUUAAAAAAAAUACUGUUAACACAGUAUUAAACAAACUCGAAUCCUAUAACCAGAUGAACAACGUUAAGAUAUUUGUUUUUUGUUUUUUGUUUUUUUUGAUAAUGAGGAUGUCCUAAACAAUCUUGCCUAAUGAUUGUUAAGAAAUGAAAGAGGCAAUGCAUGGCUAAACCAAUGGAAGCUAAAAAGCUAAUGAUGCCCCUAGCUAGUAAGCAAUUGUUGCCGCAAUGACAUAUGCCUCAUUAGAGAUAGAUUUGAAUUUACAUAUUAUUAUUAUCAUAUAUUUUGUAUUCUCGUUUAAAAAAAUAAAUAUUUUCCUUAUAUGGAGUAGAGUGUUUUUAAUUUUAUCAUGUAAAAUUUAUAUAUAUUUUAAAAAUUAAUACAAUAUACAGUUAAACAUCUAUAAAUUAAUAUCAUUGAGACCAUGAAAUUUAUUAAUUAAUCAAGAUAUUAUUUAGUAAAUAAAUUUAUACACUUAUCCAUUAAUCACAAAAAAAUUUCUUUUUCAAAAACAUUGAACUCAAUACAUGCAUUGUGUAUUCUGAUUAUAUGAAUAUUAUCUAAUUAUCAAAUUAUGAAUUAUCAUAGUUCUAUAUAUUUAUUUAAAUAAAACAAGUUUAAGAAUUAAUGUAAUCGAUCUUAUUAAUUAAUAAAAGUCAUGUAUGUAUCUAUUUUUGCAAAUUGGAUGCAUACUUAAUUAAUAUUAAGUCAAGAACAAAACCAAAAAAAGGAAUAUACAAGUGAGCCAAACAACAAUAUUAAAAACGAAUAAGAGGUUGAAUUAAUAUUCAUUAACUAAUAAUAAAAUUAAGAAGAUGAUACCAAAGGACACAAAAUCACAAAAAUUCGUGAAACUACAUAAGGCGGUUUGUUCAAUACCAAGAAAUUAAAUAUUUAAAAAAAAACUAAAUGAAUUGUUUAAAAAGUUAAAAGAAAAUAAAUGCACUUUUGUCCACGUCAACAACAACUAUAACAAAAUGCUGGGCUGUAGAAGAUUUUCCACAGCAACCUGAAAAAAUCAUAUAUGCUCAAGUAACUAUUUGGUAGAGCGUAUUUGGAGUGCUAAUAUCUUUUCUUUAUGGAAUCAGUCCUCGUACUCGAUCUCUGAAACCAGUUAAGGUUCUUAGUGACCAAAAUACUAGGUAGCGACUCUCAUUCCAUUUUUCCACUAAUAAAAGACAAGAAUUCCUUGUCUCCCCAUAGAUGCCUGAUAGAUAAUACAUUUUGAGAGUGGAUAUUUUCACCGCAACAUCGUAUACGUGCGACAUUAUGUAUACAGGUAUUUCACGAGAUGAUGCGGAGUGUUAAAUAUAAGCUUUGUGUUUAAAUCUGUUUUUUUAUGUAAUAUCUUUUGUUUUAUAUGUAAUUUGUAUUAUAUGUAGAUUUUAAUAUAUGAAUCCUAAAGAUAUUUGCUUUUGGUAUUUAUACAUUUAGAAUGUAUGAGUAAGGAACUAAUAUUAGUAAACUAUUUGAAAAGAAUACUUAAUAAUUAUAAUUAUGCAUGUUUAAAAGAUGGAUGCAUGUUAACGUAAUAAUUAGUUCAAUAUGAAUCCUUUGAGUUUAUAUUUGUAUGCAGUUAAUGUUUUAUUUUAAGAGAAUAUAAUUGCUAUGUUUUAUUUUUUUAUGAUGUAAGGUUGAGAAAGCACAACAAAGUAUUGCUAUGUGAAAUAUUGUAUGAUGAGAUGGGAUAUGAUCCAGGAUGGUUGAAUUGAAAUAGAAGAUUGAGUAUUGUGAUUGAAUGAAGUCUAGUCGAUAACUUGGUAACAUAAAAAAACAAAAGAAACUCUGCCGAAUUUUCUGUAGAAAAUUAGAUUUAUAUAAUAACUAUUACUUUGAUGAUAUAACUUUGAGAGUGAUACAUCAAAUGUGAGAUAUGUUAGACAAUAACCGCAAGACAAUAACGGUUCAAGACGUAGACAAUAACAAUUCAAAUUUCGGUAGUCCUCAUAUGAAUACCAUAUAUAUAUAUAUAUAACUUUACUCUGUUUUUCAGUUGCAUGAUAUUGUUAUUUUAUCCCGAUUGAGGGGGUGUUAUAAUUAUGGUCUUAUGAUCCGAGUCACUGAUUUAAAAGGUUAACCUAGAUUGACCCGGGUCGAUCCAAUAUGUUGUUAUCUCAAUAUUUUUUAAAAAAAUAUUAUCUUGAAUUUUUUGAAGUAAAACUAUAUGUUUAUCAGUCGUCCAGACUAUCUUUGGACUCAUUGAAUCGAUUGGGUCAUAUCGAUUCAACUCUUUUUUUUUAGUUAUAUUUGAAAUUUAAAUUGUAUAAUUUCAAAUUGGUUUGUUUUUAAAUGUCAAUUAAUAUAUAUAUAUAUAUAUAUAUAUAUAACAAUCCAAAAUGACAGGUUAAAAUACUAAAAAACCAAAACAUAUUGUUACAAUUAAAAAAAUAAAAUACCAAUUAAAACGGAAUUAAUUGACAACUUGCUUGGUAGAAGCAUGAAACUCCUCGCUGACAUUUGCAAGAGAUAGUUACUUAUACCAGUAGCAAUUUAGUAAUGAUUGAUCAGCAUUUAUAGUAAGAUGGGGCUAUUAAUUCAAAUGUUGAUGGCAUUAGUAACAAUGAUUUUCUUGGAAGGAUUGCUUCCUCUUGGUUGCUUGAAAAUAUACGGUUUUUUUUUAGUUCAAAUCUAUUAAUAUAAAUAUAGUUUUAUUGAAUAUUUUUUAUAUAAUCUUAUUAGAGAAAUCAAUGUAAACAAAUUUAUGGACAAACACUAGAUUAUCAAGUAUUUAAAUAGAAAAAUAAAACAUUGAUACAAGCUUUUAAAUAAAAAACAUUUAUAAUAAAUAUAAUUUGUACUUGUCAUUAUCUCUUUUUCAUUGCUAACACUUAACGAAUUGAAUAUAUAAUUCUCAUGUGAAUAACGUCAAAAUAAAUUUAGUUGCAUGACAUAAUAAUACCUAUUUGUUUUUUGUAUUUUAAAAAUAUUUAAAAAAAUUAAAUUUUUUUAAAUAAAUAACUUUUGAAUCAUCAAGUAGUGAAACACAGGAAAAGUGAAGAAAGUGAAGAAUAAUCAAAGUGGUGUGGGUCCACAUCAACUUUUGUCCAUGUUUUUGGUAUUAAUCUCUUCAUCCAUUUACAGCCGGAGAAAAGAGCAUCACUCAGUGCUUUCCUUGUCUCUUCUUGCUUAGAAGAUAAGGUAUGAGAACCUUCGAGUGCCACUCAUUUUAGUACAUAGACUAGAUAUUUGACCAUAACUUAACUGUUAGUUAAUUGUUUUUUCAAUUAAAAAAAUUUAUAUAUAGAUUUCUUCAACGUAUUGUUUAUUUAAAAAAUCUUAAGUGAAAAUUAAGAAAUUUAUACACAAAUAUAGUCAAAUAAAUUGAGAAUUAUAUGUGUUAAUAAGUGAAAAAAAAACCAUAAACGAUGACUCAAAAUAAAAACUGGAAAAAUUGAGAGACAGGUGCUGAUCAAGAUAUUUAAUUUCACAAGACGUGACAUUUAUGCAGUUGUGUUUUUAAAAUUUUCUAAUUAAAAUAAUUUUUUAUUCAAUCAAACGAUAAUAAAAACAGACACACAUUAUAAAUUGAUUGAAUAAAAUAAAAGGAGAAAAAAUAAUAUGCAAGCCUACACAUAUUAAAAAUAUUAUUUGAAAAUACAUUUAUUUUUAUUUUCAAAAAUAAAAUUCAUCUAUACAAAAGAUUUUUAAAAAAUAUAGAUUAAUCACAAAAACCUCCUCAAAAAUUAAAUGCAUAAUUAAAAAAUAAUUAUCAUUUCAAAUAGGCUUUCUAAAUAAUAUAAAAGAGAGAAGGGAUAUAAAUAUAAAUAUAAAUAAGAUUAAGAUUAAGAUUAAUUUAAAAAAAUACAAACAAAAAAAAAGAAAAUAUUUUUUCUUAAACAAAAAAAAGUGAACAAUGUCGUUCACAGUAAAACUUGUGGGGUGAACUCGAACUCAACCGAGUUUAAUAUUUUUCCUCUUAAAUUUAUAACAAACCUAAAAAAAGUAAACAAUGUCGUCCAUUGUAAAACAUGAGGAGGUGAAUAGUGCAACUACACAGUGUUCACCUUAUAUAUUUUUCCUCUUAAAUUUAUACCAAAACCGUAAUAAAAAAAGGUGACCAAUGUUGUCCAUAGUAAAACGUGAGGGGGUGAACAACGCAUCUUCAUAGUGUUCACCCCGCACACCUUAGCUUAUUUAGGGUGAACCUGAAUCAUGAACUCAAUCGGGUUUAAUAUUUUCCCCUCUUAAAUUUAUAGCAAACCUAAAAAAAAGGUAAACAAUAUAGUCUAUAAUAAAAUAUGAGGGGAUGAACAAUACAGAUGCACAAUGUUCACCUCACAUAUUUUUUUCCUUAAAUUUAUAGCAAAACCUAAUAAAACAAAUAGUGAAUAGUAUAUUCAUUGUAAAACGUGAGAGGGUGAACAAUGUGGCUAUAUAAUAUUCACCCCACAUGCUUUAGAUUAAACGUGAGAUGGUUAUUUUUUAAAAUAAAAAAAAAUUAAUAAGCAGGCUAUUACAAUGCGCUUUUUAAUGAUGACGAUAUUUGUAGCAAAAAUUUCAAAGGAUUUAAUACAAAUCCAAGCCAAAAUAUUUCACUAGAUUACUAUUUUACGAUCUUCUUAAAACUUGGGUUCGAGCUUGUCAUGUUGAAUCAUCUCUUCUAGAAUCCUUUUUACCGUCUAAUGACUGCCGCUUAUGUUUGUGCAAUUUCUUGUUUACUAGUAAAAUUGUACAGACGUGGGCUUGAAGCUGUUAACUUUCCCUGGACUGGUUAUGUAAUAUAUUUAUAGGUCUAACUGUAUACUAUCACUUGGUCCAAGAGGCAAUAUUGCAAGAUUCCAACGAAAUCUACUGUAAUCUACUGUCCUGGGACAAGAGUUCCAAAAACAUCUACUCCAAAUUUUGUUCUUUUUGAAUCUUUAGUUAUUUUUAUUUUUUCUCAUCAUUUUUUAAAAUAAAAAAUAUAAAUAAAUUACUACAAAAUGAAUAAAACAAAACCAGAAUAAAAAAGUAACAUUAAACAGCAGCCAUUUCAUCAGCUUUAAUUUUAGUAUAACACAAUAAUAUGAACCAACCUUGAUUCUCGAAGGCACCCAACUAAUUCAUUAGCCUUCAAAUUGCCAUCACCUAAUUUCACGAUCCAUGACCGACAUAUAAACAAGGGUCCUCUCCAAGUUCCCAUACAUAUACGAAUCCAAAUAUACAUAGAAACUUAUCUUUUAAAUAAGUCAAUUAGAGUUCAACACAAUAUUAAUAACAAAAUUAAUUAAAUAAGUCAAUCAGAGUUCAACAUAACAUUAAUAACAAAAUUAACUUCAUAAUAUAAUUUGAUUGUCUUAAUACAAAAAUUAAUACAAAGUUCGUAGUUGUGGAGCACUAUCUAGACAUAAAAAAAAUCAUAACAAAAACAACAAGGGAGGGGGUUUGAUAGUAUGUAAUACAACAACUAGAAAUAUAUAUAUAAUUAUGGCUUUAGGUUUUUAUAAAAACGUUUUUUAAAUAGAUCAUAUAAGAACAACGGAGGAGGGGGUUUAACGGUAUGUAUUUGCCUGCUAGUAAAAAUUGGUUAGCACCUAAACAAGGUCCUGUGCUAAAUCUAAAUUGGUAAGAUGUGAUAUGCUAAUAUCUAGAAAGAUAACUUAAUCUAUCCAUUGAAGUAAAGCAUUUAAAUGCGUAUACAAUGUUUUUGGAACAUUAAAUAUCUAUUUGAUCAGAAUCUGAUGGGGCAAUAGGUGAUGCAGGCAUAAACUAGAAAGACAACAAACAAACACAAAGAAAAAAGAUUUGUUAAGCAAACAGGGUUGCAAACUUAAACACUAAAUUCGCAAUUUAUUAUUCUGAAAAAAGUCUAAUGAUGUUUGCCUCUCAAAGAGGUUUCUAAAACAUUUAAAUAUGCUAAAAAACCUAUCUCUAUUGGAAAAAAAAAAUUCAGAAUCCAAAAGAAUAAACAAAAACUACAUAAAAUCUGAAAUAAAACAAUAAAUAUGAAAAAAAUCAAGGAAAAAUAGCUAAAUUGGCUCAAAACAGGAUCUUAUGAACCUAAUUUCAGGGGAUCCGAACAUCAAAUGAUCAACAAAGUAUGUUUCCAAUUGAGAUGGGCCUUAGAAAUCUCCUAUAAAAAUUGAGAUCUAAGCAAAUUAAGUGAUAUUUGUUUGAGACUUCGCUAACUACAUAUAAAGGAAUUAAAAAUAAAUUAUGAUGAUCAAUUCAAAAUCAACAAAAUAUUAAAGUGAAAUUGGAAGCAAAAACAGGGCAAAAAUCAUUAAAUCAAAAGAAGAAAAAAUUAGAAGAUAGAAUUUAUUUAUUUUUUUUAAAAAAGGGGGGAGGAUAUGAAUAGUGAAGUAGGAGGGAAAAACCUAAUUUUUUUAGUAUAAUAAAUAAUUUUUAAUUAAAUUAAAAUCUUCAUCUCAUACAAUUAGACCCAAAAAGAGUUAAAUAAAAAAGGGAAGAAAAUUUCUAAAGAUAUAAGGACCAAUUUAAAAAAAUAAAAGGAAAAAAAAAUGAAAAAACACCAAAUCAAGAAACGAAAAAAUAUAAGGACCAAUUUAAAAAAACAAUAAAAAAUAUAAAGAGUGAAGGAGGUAGAGAAACAUAAGUUUUUUAGUAUAGUAGUUUAUUUCUAGUUAAAUUAAAAACUUUAUCUCAUAUAAUUAGGCCAAAAACAAUUUUUUAAAAAAAAUAAGGACUAAUUUGUAAAAAAAGAAGAGAAAAAAACAGAAUCAAAUCAAAAGGGAAAAAAAACUAAUUUAAAAAUAAAAAUAAAAUGCUUCAUUAUUCAUGUAAAAACAAAACAUCAUUAUAGUAUCCAACUAGACAAGUGACCUACACUACGGGCUAUCCUAAUUUUUUUAAAGCAAAAUUUUUUUUUAGCAUUAUUAGAUGUGAGAAAAUAUUUUUUAAAAAACAUACAUGUGUACAAGAUAGGAGAGAUUUGGUUUGAGAAUGCAUGCUAAAAAUCUAAACAUGAACUAAAACAAAGUGGAAUUAAAAAAAAAAAAAAAACUUAAAAGAGAUCAGUGAUUCAUUAUAGACUGUGAGGUAAAACACUGUAGAUUAGCAUAAUAUAUUUAUUUUUUGACCUUCUCUACGUAAAAUAAUUGCCUUGCUAACAGGGUAAAGUUGUUAUUUUCAAUGGAUCUAAAGGUUAUUUGUAAAUUGAUUGGGAAUAAUUUAGUAGGUUAGCUAUUUUAUUUGCGUAGUAAAAUGACGUCAAUACCCUUGAGAGUUCAAAAAUAUUGACCUUGACAAAGGCAUUUUUUAGUCUUUUCCAUGUUUUGUAUACUGUAAAAUGACAAAGUUAACCUUAGAAUAAAAAAAUCUAAAGCUGGUCUGGGAUAGCAUUUUCAUCUUUGCAAUAUAGCUUUUUUGUAAUAUUUAGAUGCUCUUAUGAGCUAUUUAGCAAUUUAAAGUAUUGAAAUAUUAAUAAAUCAAUAAACAAAGGCUGACAUGUGUGUAGCACGUGUCAACACGUGAUAGUCCACCACGUCAUUUGGGAGGCGUGUGAUAGUCCAACAUGUAAUAUGGAGGUGUAGUUGAUGACGUGGCGUGUCGUCAUAUUUGUAGUGGUUUAAUGGUGAUAAAAAAAUUUUCCCGUCCCCCUCUUUUCUCUCUCUAAGGCUUUAGUAUUCACGCCGAUGCUUUAAAAUUUCACUUGUAUCCUUUGGAUUGUAUUUAUAUUAAGUUUGAUUCUUAUUAUUUUAAUUUCUAUUUAUUUUGAUUUUAGUGUUUUUUAAAGAAAAAAAUUUCAAUUUCAUUCCUCAACAUUUUAUUUCAUUUAAUUUUUAUAUUAAACUUGGUCCUCAUUCUUUUAAUUACUAUUUUCUAUCCUUUACUUAAUUUUUUUAAUUUUAUUUCUUAUUAUUUUAUUUUAUUUUAUUUUGUUUGCAAUUGCAGUUCUUUUUUUUUUUUAUCCCUAGUAAGCAAUUGUUGCCGCAAUGACAUAUGCCUAGCAAGAGGAAAAAAAAAAAAAAAAAGAGACGCUUGAAGGUUAGAGAAGGCACCUCUGAGUGGAAGGAGGCUGAGGUGCGCUAUUUUUGAAGUAUGUGAAAAUCAUAUGUUUCAAUGCUACUUCUUGCAAGAGUCUCCUUAACCAACCUAGAGUGUUAUAUUAGACUGCUAACGUAUUUUAUAAAAAUAUUGAUAAAAAUAUUUUUGGAUAAUUUUUUUUAUUUUAUUUGAAUUUAUUUCUUAAAUAAUUUAAAUUAAUAAGAUAAUUACAUAAAAGAUAAUGUUAGUCAAGUUAUCUUUUUACCAACCAUAAAAAGAUUUUUACUAAUCCAAGCCAACAAAAUAACAAUUACAUGUAUAAAUUGUCAUAUGUUGGAAAAAGGAGUUAGCUCAUAUUUUAGGGAUUAUAUUAAAGUGUUAGCAUCUUGCCUGGUUAGAAAUAGAAUUGAAUUUACAUAUUAGUAUUAUCAUAUAUUUUGUAUUGUCGUUUAAAAAAAUAAAUAUUUUCCUUAUAUGGAGUUAAGUGUUUUUAUUUUUAUCAUGUAAAAUUUAUAUAUUUUUUAAAAUUAAUUUUUCUAAUCAUCAAAUUAUUUUUAUUUUUUAAAAUUUAUAUAUUUUUUAAAAUUAUUUCUUAAAAAUAAAUUUAUUUUUCUAAAAAAUUGAACUUAAUACAUGCAUAUUAUCUAAUCAUCAAAUUAUGAACUAUCAUAAUUCUAUAUAUUUAUUUAAAUAAAACAAGUUCAAGAAUUAAUGUAGAUCAAUCUUAUUGAUUAAUAAAAUUCAUGUAUGUAUCUAUUUUUGCAAAUUGGAUGCAUACUUAAUUAAUAUUAAAUCAAGCAAAAAAUCUAUAAAAAGAAUAUACAAGUGAGCCAAACAACAAUAUUAAAAACGAACAAGAGGUCGAAUUAAUAUCCAUUAACUAAUAGUAAAAUUAAGAAGAUGAUACCAAAGGACACAAAAUCACAAAAAAGCAUUUAACAUUCAGAGAAAGAAGCCUGCAACACCCAUUAAGGAAAAGAGAGAAGGGAAAGAAAUGUAGAUUAAUUGAUACAGAGGAUCACCUUGUUCCAGACCAGCGCGAGACUGUAGAAGAAUCCAGACGAACCAAGAGCAAAAAAUGCAGGAGAGAUAAUCAUGAGAGAAACAAAUUCAUAUAUCCACGAAUACGUACAACAUUUGAAACCUAUAAUGCAAGAAUAGCUGCAGAUGUACAUUAAUAUUUUUAAUUUAAAGAAUCAAUUAAUUAUUUAAAAAACUUGAGGGAUUAAUUUGUUUGUUUCACAUAAAACAGACACUAAUUAUAUAAAGUUUUACUCAAAAAACAGACACUAAUAAUCAUAUGCGUGAGUGUUUACUUGUAAAUAUUUUGGAAGGAACUGGUUUAUGUUUUGCGCAUCAUGAAAAAAUCAUAUAUGCUUAAGUAACUAUUUGGCAUCAAUCUAGUAAAUUAAUCUUAAAUUCCUUUUAUCCAACUCUUGCCGUUUUAAAAUUAAUCAAUGUAAAAGUUAACCAAACAUGAUAAAAUCAAUAUAAUGGGUUUACGAAUACAUAUUAAAUUAAUCUUGGUUUUAUAGCUUAAUUUUCUAAACUCACUACUCAAAUAAUGAACUACAUCUAGUUUUAAUUUUUUUUAUUUAAUAUUAUAAUAACAAUACCAUUUCAAAAUUAACCAAAUAUAUAUAUAUAUAUAUAUAUAUAUAUAUAUAUAUAUAUAUAUAUAAUAGAGUUUAAAAACAAAUGAACAAUAUGAUAUUGUUCCAUUUUACUAUAAUGAUGAAGUUUUCACAAAAUAUAAAACUUAAAUUAAAUUAAGGCAACAAUCAAUUCUUUAGCUUUAAAACGAUUUAUUAUUUGCUUUCUAGUGGUAGUAGUAGGAUGAUUGGAAUAAUUUUUUUUCCAUUAACAAUAGAAUUGAGAAGGCCCGCCACAGACCAAGAGGACAGCUUCAAUGAAGCCAUCCCAGCCGAUGCAGGUGAUUACCCGUCGGCUGACAUCUCCUCGCGCGCAUAGCACCAGCCAAACCACCUCAAUCUGAAAAUGCACCAGACAAAGUCAAUGGAAAGACGCCAGGGAGCCUCAGCAGCCGAGAAGAAAGCGAGGGAACACCCACCGCGCGAGAAACACGAAAAACAUAGAGGGAGCGCGGUAAAGACUGUGAAGCCACAGAAUUCACACAUUGUGCACCGUGUUUUAAUGAGCACUCUUAGUUUAUUUUAUAUAUAAUUCUUUUAGUUUUAGUUUUAGUUUGUUGUGUUAUGAACAGUAAAGCAGCACAAGAAUACGUCUGCGUCAAGCUCUGUUCACUUUGGUCCGACAUUCCUCACCUCUCCCCACCUUAGCUCUCUCUCUUUCCCUCCUCUGCUUUUAGAAACCGCCGCUGCCACCUCAACCAAUAAGGCUUCAAAUCUCACCCAGGUGCUUCCUUUUCUAUUAUGUUUUUGUUUUUUAAAAAAGAUUUACGUCCGCGUUUUCAUUUAUUUAAUUGAAGUUACUAUCCAAAGAGAGAAAUUCGAUUUUAAUAAGUAAAUUAAAAAGAUAUAUAAUCGGAUCCAAUGAAAUCGCUGCUCGUGAACGCAACUCGAAGAAAGGCGCAAUCAGUCGAUUCUACUGUGGGUGGAGCAUUUAGUAUGGUCAGGGUUAUUGUGUUGUCUAUUCAAAGAAAGAUGUGCCUGUAAAUUUAUUAAGUUGAUUCUUAUCAGUCUGCUCUUUAGAGUUGAUGAUAACAUGAAAUAUUCAUUGUUGAUGCUUGUCGUUUUCUUCUUCAUUUUCCUAGCUUAAAACAUCCUAGACAAUCUCUUUGGGAUGGUUUAGUGUUUCUGGCCUCUUCAUCUUCUAUUUGUGCUGUGGUAUUUAGUUUGCUGAUAUUCAUUGGGGAUUGAAAGGCCUCGUUUUAUGACUUUGUUUUCUUCUUAUUUCUUUAUUCUUUUGGGGAUGUGAUAUUUUCCUCUUUCUAUUUACACUAUUGGCUCCCUACAAUAUUUUUUCCUUCAGAGAAGUAAAUAUAUACAUAAAUAACAAGAACAGGAGGGGAAGGGGAGGGGGGUUUGACAAUAAGUAUUUGCUUAGAAGGGAAUGCUUCUUUGGUUUAGAAGCACCAUGAAGAUUCAGGCCCAUAUUUGGCUGGUUUCUUUAAUAAAGUACAUGAUAUUCCAUUUUUCAUGUCCUUGAUGUGCUUUUACUCUUCUUGCCGUUCCUGACUUUCUUUUUAGGGUAUAUUCUAACAUGCAAUAUGUUUUUUUUUUGUUGGCCCACUGUCCCAGGCGGAGAACCUGUCAUGGACAUGGGUGAUUGCAGAAUUCAAUUGCAGCCUGACUCACGGAAAAGAAUAGUCAAAAAUUUUUUUUAUUUAUAUGAAAGAAAAGGAGAAGGGCAGAAGGUUAAUUAAAAUCAGCAGGAUUGCCAUGAGGCAACCUCAAGUAUCACGCACCUCUUUUUUUUUUCAUCUUUUCAUGUGUUUCUCACAAGAAGCAAACUUGAGGGAACAUAAAGUGCUGGGAAGUAAUUUUUGUUGGAAUUUCUUGUCUAAUCUCUUCUUUUGAUGAUGACCUCUUGGAUGGCUGCAUGAAGCUUGUUCCGCUUUAAAUUUCAAGGUUAAUCUAUUGCUAUGAGCAUACGUGUUUCAAUUUAAAACUCGAGUUGCAACUGAACUUAAAUAAAUGGUGUUGGAUUUGUGCUUUCUAUUUGUUUUAACUUCUACAGGGUUGAAAUGAUAGUGAUCUUAAACUAGAAAAGCAGCAGACAAAAAUCAAUUAGCCACAAUGGUGUAUGGUUUCUCAGCAUAAAGUUGAAAUGAUAGUGAUCUUAAACUAGAAAAGCAGCAGACAAAAAUCAAUUAGCCACAAUGGUGUAUGGUUUCUCAGCAUAAAGUUGAAUGUUUUGUUGACCUCUUUACAUCCAAAAUCAUAUAGACAGCUACUGCUAGCACUUGCAGUGGUCAAUGAAUACUGUAGAGUAUAUAUUGCAGUGUGAGAUAAGGUUAACUCAUUGCAUUUUCAGAUAUUGAAAGGAUUUCUCUUCUUUUCUUUGUCAAUUACAGGACAUGCAUCGAAGUGUUCUUACUGAGAGUAAAUGCUAUUGUAAUGUUUUCACAGAGACUCCCCUGCUUUGCAACUAAGUCACUAAUAUAUCUUGGAACAUAGCCAUAAAUGAAAGGUUCUUCCAGAUCAAGAAAAUUAACCAUGAAGCUCGUAGCUAGAAUUUUUAGACAGAAAGGUGGCCAAGUACGCUGUACCUCUGGAAUAAUACAGGGAAAGGAUGUCUAUGUAUUUUGAUGUCUUAUAUUACUUGACCAACUCUUGCUUAUCUCAUUAUUUGUUUUUACUUUUUGCUAAUGAUUCCACACAUUUCUGAUAUUGGUGUGGUUUAUGAGUUUAGGGUUCUCGUUGCUGCUAACUUCUCUAUACUUUGCCUGGUCAUUAAAAAUCAAACGUAAUGAUUUGCAUAUGCAGAAUGGAGACAUUAAAAAGACAUCUUCUAUUUUCUGGUGAGGAGGGAUUUCAGGAACUCAAGAAAUUUUCCAUACGUUUUGAGGAAAAGAUUUAUACUACCGCUAACAAUCAGGUAUUUGCCUAAUGCGAGGUUCAAUAAUUAUGAUAUUAUCUAGACAUGAAUAUACACACGCAUUUAUGCUUGUACAAAUGUGUGUGUAGUGUGCCUACACUUCCUCACCGUUCAUUCUGUAUGCAAGGUUGAUUGGGAGUUCACAUCAUUUUGUUAAUUCUCUUGACAAGUGUUUUAUUUAGAGUGACCAAGUUCAAGUACAAGGGAAGAAUGCAAAAAGCAAAUAACGAAUCAAUACAUAAAUAAUUAAAUAAAAAGAGAGGUAACAGAAGUAUAUCCUCAUAGAAGAUGAAAUGAUAGAGUAUAUAUCUAUUUUCCUCCUCUGGUAACAUGGAUUGCUCUGAGAUCUACUGUUUUGUUAUUAAUAUCUGAUUUCAAUCUGAUUAUUUGCAUAAAAUAUCUCUGGAGAUGCUUUCGAUGGAGACCAGGUCUCAAAAUGCCAUGCUCACUACACCUAUGGAUCCAGCAGGUAAUAAUGCAGCCGAGCAUUGAAUUUCUAAAUAUCUUACCUUUUGUUUUUCUUCUCGCAUUGCUAUCAAACUCUUUUACAUUUUAUUGCUGCAUAUUGCUAUGUAUAUCGCCUUGCUGGAAAAAUCUCAUGAUCACCUCCACGAUGAUAAUUUUGUAAUGCAUGUGAAGUGUUUCAUCCUUAACUUGUUAAGGAACAAGGACUGUGAUGCAUGGUAUUUUAUAUUUUAUGAUUGAGAUGGUAGAUUUUAAAGAUUUUCAUGUUAAGGAGAUAAGACGUCACUUUCUUGCUUUUCUUCCGAGAGAGUAUUUGAUCCUUUUUUCAUAUAAAAUAAUGCUGGCAUGCAUUGAAUUUCCAAACAUCUUACCUUUUGUUUUGUUUGUCGCAUUGUUAUCAAACUCUUUUACAUUUUGUUGCGGCAUAUUGCUAUGUGUAUGGCAUGCUUUAAUCAAAAAGUUGAGUAAUUGAUGAAUGUUAGGCAAGAAAAUUACAGAUUAUUUUUAUUUUCUACCUCCUCCUUCUCUUUCCCCCACCCCGAAAAUGGUCAUAUUAUUUUUUUUUUCAGCCACCUCUUCUUCCCCCAACCUUGAAAAUUGUUUAUAUUUGCUUUGGAAGCAUGGCAAACUUCACUGCCUCUCAGCUUAAGGAGAUUGCAGCAGGUCUCGAAGCUUCUGGGCAUCAGUUUAUUUGGGUAGUUAGAAGAAACAAAAAGAGUCAAGAAGACAAGGAAGAUUGUUUACCUCAAGGAUUUGAGGAAAGAAUGGAAGGCAAAAGGCUAUUAUCAGAGGAUGGGCACUCCAAGUUUUGAUUCUUGAUCAUGAAGCAAAAGGUGCAUUUGUGACUCAUUGAGGAUGGAACUCAACUCUUAAAGGCGUAAGGCAAAUAUUUGAUGAGCAAUUCUAUAAUGAAAAGUUGGUGACUGAUGUUUUAAAAACUGGAGUUAAGGAAUGGCUUAGAGUGCAUGGAGAUCAUGUUAAAAGUGAAGCUGUAGAGAACGCAAUCACUCAAAUUAUGAUGGGUGAAGAAGCAGAGGAAAUGAGGAGCAGAGCAAAGAAGCUUUCAGUGCUUUGAUUUAAUAACUGCAAAAAAUGAAAGGUUGUUGAAGAUGGUGGAUCUUCUUGCUCCGAUUUCAAUGCUUUGAUUGAAUAACUGAGGUGGGGUAGCCUUUGAAACAGAGGCAUAGAAUAUAUAUAUAUAUAUAUUUUAGCUUUUUUAGUUUAACGUGGGUGUUCGGGCCAGCUUGCGCGCACCUCGACUAAUCCCACGGGCCCUGAAGUUAACGACCAUGUAAGUCUCCAGUGGCCAUCAUAUGAGCAACCACAGGGCUCGAACCUGAGACCACAGAGGGAGCAAACCUUUUAGUCCCAAGCUCUUACCACUGGGCCACCACCUAGAUGGUUAAGGCAUAGAAUAUUUUGUUUCUACUUAGUAGUGGUUUUGGUAAUUUAUUUUCAGACAAGUCUUGAGAGUUGAAAGAGUAAUCACAGCCGAGUCAAUGACCAAUCCAAAUAAGUUCCCUUCCUAAUGGUUCAGGAAUGACAAGUCCAGCAUAUAUAUUUAGCCCAAAUAACUUUUCAAAUAAAAUGGCUGAGCUUAGAGACAGUACACUACAAAUUAAGCACCCAUUAGCUAGACAUACAGGACAAACAAUCAUCACAAACUAGAAACGACUGUCUUCCCAGUAACAAACUCACCUUCUCAAGUUGGAGAACUUGCGAAAACUAGCUACUACAAUAUAGUAGCAAGUAUCUAUGCAGUCUUCGAUGAAGUACGACCACCUGCGUCGCCAAUAUGGAUUGAUGUAAAGAACUGCUACAAUCAUAAUCACCACGACUGUGUAACUUACACCGAAAUUGAUGUAGAAAAACUCCAUGUCUAUGAAACCAUCAUCUCCUUGUUCAUCAUUAGGCACUGGUUGUGAUGGCAUUGGCUGUGAUGGCACUGGCUGUGAUGGCACUGCUUCUUCACUACAAUUGUUUUGCAAUGGAGGUCCACACAAGAAAGGAUUUCCUUCGUAACAGCUUUCAUCGAAGGUCCCAAACUGAUAUUUUCUCUCGGGUGUCUUACAUGACAAGUUAUUGUACGCCACACUAAAAACUUCCAGUGUGGUAAUUUCAGUAAGUUGUGGAGGGAUGACACCAUUCAAGUUGUUGUAAGAAAGAUCCAAACUCUCAAUCUGUUUUAGGUUUGAGAAUGUUGCUGGGAUAGAUCCAGUGAGAUUGUUGUGUGAUAAGUUUAAUGACAAUAUCUUACUUAAGUUUCCAAAUUCCGGUGGGAUUGCUCCUACGAAGUUGUUAUUGGAGAGAUCAAUACCAGACAUGUAGUUGAGAGUCUUCCCCUUGUAACCAUAAUACAUAUUUUUAGUUGUAAAUUCUAUCACUUCUUCUGUAAAGUUAAGCAGAAAACCCUUUCUCAAGUUGUACAUACUCUCCACUAGUGGUGGACCCAUUGUUUCAUAAUAAGCUUUUUCUAUGGACCUUGAUAGAACACCAGCUCCGAGAUCCGUGAAUGCUUUCUGGGAACUUUCCUUGAAAGUAAGAUUGCCCAAACAGGAGGGUAGUGGACUAGAGAGCUGGUUUUGUGAAACAUCCAAAAUGCUUAAAUGUUCUAACAAGCAUAAUUGAACAGGGAGCUCACCAUCAAAGUGAUUAGCCCUCAGAAGAAGAACACUCAAUGAUGAAAGAUUGCCAAUCCAAUUUGGAAUGGAGCCGGUGAAGCUGUUAUCUUGAAGAUCCAUCGUAACUAAGAAAGAGCUGUUAUAAAAUCUAUAUGUUAAUGGACCGCUCAAUCUAUUUUCGGAUAGAUGCAUAUGGAUUAGAGUUGAUGGACUGAAACAAGAUGGUAUAUAUCCAGACAAGUUGUUCUCUGAAAGGUUCAAAUAUUCAAGUUGAUCAAGCUUACAAAAGUCUCUUGGGAUCGGACCCUUAAAAUGGUUUUUGGACAAAUCAAUUGCUGCAAGAAUCGUAGAAUUAAGAAAGCUCCUUGGAAGCAUGCCUGAAAAUUGAUUGUUACUCAAAUCCAAUACAAUCCACAUUUUCCACCUAUAUAAUGAAAAAUCUGAUAUCUGACCCCAAAAGUUGUUACCACCUAGAUAGAGAUAUUCUAAGGUAGAAGAAUUGAACAACGAGGUCGGUAAUUGCCCACCCAAAUUGUUGUUUGACAGCUUGAGAAACCAUAUUGUUGUUAGUUGUUCUAGUUUUACUGUGGACAAUUGAUUGUUGGAUAAAUCUAAAAUUCCCAAAGAGCUAAUAUUUCCUAAACAAGAAGGAAUACAACCUGUGAAUCCAUUCUUAGCCAUCCUUAAGCUCUUCAGAUUUUGAAAGAUCAAACAAAUAUCCUUUGGAAUUUGACCGCUCAUGUUGUUGUUGGAUAUAUCUAAUUCGGUCAUAUUUAGAUAUGGGUGAUUUGGCAACUGCAAAGUACCAACAAAGGAGUUCUCACUCAAAUAUAGUUGCUCCAAUCGUGUAUUGUUCUUAAGCAACCACGAUGGAAACAUUCCGGUGAUGUUGUUGUGGGAGAGAUCAAGGACUCUUAAGUCGUAUUGGUAAUAGAGGAAGUUGGGAAUCUCUACAUUGACUGCUUCUAUUGUUUUUGACAAACUAAAAAAGACUAGUUGGAACUUUGGAAUCAAAUGAUCAAAGGCAGCAGGUUCUGUUACUAGUCUAUUGUUCUCAUUGCAGAAGAACUUGAGGCUUGAGUGGUUCAUAAAAGGCUUCAUUGAAAUGGGAACUUCAAAGAGGUUAUUUGAUAGUGAGAGGAAUUCAAGAGAUGUGAGGUUGGUAAGAGGACCAGAGGCAAUAUUUCCAGUAAACUGGUUUUUAGAAACAUCUAAUAGUUGUAGAGAUGACAAGUUUCCUAAACAAUCUGGGAGUGAACCUUCUAAAUUAUUUCCAAAGAGAUCUAACUGCUUCAGAUUCUUCAAUUCACACCAACCUGUAUAAUUUAUCUCGAAACAGUCAAAAUAGCUAAAUAAUUAAAAGAUUACCAUAGAAGAGGAUGGAGUGUUGUUAAUUUACCUUGAGCGGGUAGGGUGCCAUGGAGGUCACAUCCACCAACAGACAAAACCUUAAGAGCAGGCAAUGCUCCAAUGUUCUGGAGAAAGUUUACUGGGAGAGAAGUACGAUCUAGAUUCAAUUCUUCAAGAGUGCUAGAAUUGAAGAAAGUCCCUGUGAAAAAGAAAGAAGAAGAGAUAUGAAGAAAAUAAUGGUGGUACAGAAUAGCCAUUCCAUUCAAUAUUAUUAAUUAAUAUUUUAAGAAACUAAACUAUGAUUAACCUUGACUUAAAUUAGUAUCCUUGAGAGAAAGGGUCUUCAGGGAUGGCAAUGACUGCAGGAAGUCCAGCUUCCUUAAACCUAUGAUGUGUAGAAUUGAAAACAGGCAAUCAAGUAAGUAGUGAAAUUAAGCGUUAUCUUGAUCGAGUUUUUAAACCUAUGAUAAAAAACUGAUAUUGAAUAUACUUUUAUAAUGAUAUGAUUUUUGGAUAGAAACAACAAAUUGCCUGAAAAAUCCAGAGAUUUCAAAAGGUAUUGUUAAAAAAUGAAGUAAAUAAUAUUCACAACUUUACCAUUGACAGUCGUCGAUCCUAGCAACAUAUUGCCUGAUAAAUUUAAAGACUUGAGAUAAGAAAAUCCACGCAGAUGUGAUAAAAUGCUGUCGUUGAAUAUAUUAUAGCUCAAGUCCAGGUUCUCGAGUUUCCCUAAAUGUGAUGAUAUGAUCUCAAAACCUGCAAGAGUAAGUCAUCAUGAGCUCACGAUAUGCAUAAUAUAUAGAAACUAAAGAUAAUUAGAAUUGAUGAGAUGCUGUUGUUCAAUUGAUAUAUGAUUCUCAAAUUAUACAUAAAAAUAAUGAUACAUGAACGCAUAUGUCAUUAUAUAACAGGUUGUGCACACUUCAAAGAUUAAGAAACAAUUUUUAAUCAUUCUAAUUUUGAUCUUAUUGGAAAAAAAAAAAAAAUUUAUGGAUAUAAAGUCGUUAAAGAUGGAAACUAAGUCAAACAUGAUAAAUGCUAUCAUUAAAUUGAUCAUUACAUAGAUAUAAAGUACUUAUUUUUUAUGAUAAUGCAUGUAACGAGUAUUAUUGAUUAUUGUUCUUGUUUUAAUUACCGAUGAGAAAUUUUGAACAAUCAUUUGAUUUUAUUAGUUUUGAAUAAUAUAAUAUUUUUGAAGAUUAUAAAAUGUUAUGUAUUUUUAAAUAACUUGUUUUUUUGAUAUGUUUGUUAUGAGGCUUAGCGUAGGUGGGGUGUCCUUUCGAUACAGCUCCUGCGUUGCCAGUAAUAAACUUGAGACUCGAGUGGUGACAAAAUUGAUCUUUACAUGGAUAUAAAGUUCUCAUUUUUGUUGAUAAAGAAACAAUAUAAUUAAGAGAAUGUCAUGUGAAGCAUUUAGGUAGAAACUGUGUAUUAUACCUGAUCCUGUCAGCUGAUUGCCUGAUAGAUCCAAAGACUUGAGGGAUGAAAAUCCAGUUAGAGAUGGAAAAAUGCUGCUGUUCAACUUAUUAAACGAUAGAUCCAAAGACUUGAUCAGGGAUGAAAGCCCACUCAGAAUUGAUAAGAUGCUGCUGUUCAAUUGAUUGAAACUCAGGUCAAGGUUCUCUAACUUUCCCAGCCUCAUCGGUUGGAGUUGAAAACCUACAAGAUAUACAUAAAAAAAAAUAUACAGUGCAUAGAUUAAGGAAGAAGAUAGAUUGCAAGUAUCCAUUCUAUACAUGUAAUUUUUAAUCAUCCUAGUUUUGAUCAAGUUGUGUCUUAUUAGAAAAACAAUUUAUGGAUAAGAUCAAAGCCCCAUAGAUAUAAAUCUUCAUUGAUGAAAGCUAGCGCAAUCAAACAUGAUGAAAUGCUAUCGUUGAUUAAUUAUUAAAUAAAUAUAAAGUCCUCAAUUUUCUUGAUAAAGAAACCGUAUAAAAGAAUGUCACGUAAAGCAGUUAGGUAGAAAUUAUAUAUAACUUACUAUUGAUACCAGCAGAUCCUGUCAACUCAUUAUAUGAUAGAUCCAAAGACUUGAGAGAUGAAAAUCCAGUUAGAGAUAGAAAAAUGCUAUCGUUGUAUUGAUUCCCACUCAGAUAUAGUUUCUCCAGCUUUUUCAACCUUGAUGACAAGACUUUGAAACCUGCAUGAUUUUUCUCAAAAAACAUAGAAAUGAUAUGAGAAGGAGAAAAGAAAAGGUUUUGAAGCUAAAUAAUUAUAAGGUUACCAUAGAAGCUACCUCCUGAUCCAGCUGUCAACCCAUUGUCUGAUAGAUCUAAAGACUUGAGAGCGGAAAGCCCAUUGAAACAUGACAAAAUGCUUUUAUCAUUAUUAAAUCGGUUUUCACUUAGGUCAAGUUUCCUCAGUUUUGAUGAUAGGACUCCGAAGCCUGGAAGAGAAACAUCAAAGCAAGAUAAUUGACAUUAAACACCAACCAACCAACCUUCAUUUAUUUUAUUAUUAUAAUUAAGUGCACAAACAUUGAACUAACCUUCAUUCUCCAAGCAACCAACCAAUCCAUUAUAUCCCAAAUCAAGACUUUGCAAUUCUUUGAAAGGCUGAAACAAAGAUGCGUUGAGAACCCAAUCGCCCAAGCUCUCAUCCCUUUCUCCACUAAGAGAGAGUUGGAUCACUCGCCUUGUAGUGUGAUCACACUCGAUCUCAGGCCACUCACAACAAUUACUACUGUCCACCCAAUGUCUCAAGGAAAUGCCAUCUGGGUCGAUCAAAGAUUGGAUCUCCAAGAGACCAAUUCUCUCUUCCUCCAAACACCCAUAACAACGACCAGACCAUUCGCCAACCAAAGUGAAUAAUGCUAGCAACAUCCAAGCCCCCAUUCUUUUCAACAUCAUCGUAGAUAAUUCUAUGAACUACUACGUAGAAUAUUAUUGUUUGUUAUGUGCCUUUGGGCAACCAUAGAGGUCCUAUUUAUACUACACUGGCCAUUUCCAUGACUUUGAGAUGUUUUCUUUAUUUAAUUUCCACGACUUUAUCUGCAUAUCUUGUGCAGGUUCCGUGUUUUGAGAUUUGAAUAUUAUUUUAUUUCUUUUUGGAAUGUUCUUGGAUUUAAAUAUUAUUUUAUUUUAUUAUUUAGCACUUAUUCUAUUUGCAUUUAAUUAUAUUUUGGUUACUAAUUAUUCAAUUUAUAAAAAAAAUAAAAUAAAAAAAUUGUUGCAGUACUUCAACAUCGACAUUCGUGUGUGAUUCCACAUAAGAUCUUUUCAACUUUAUAAUUGUACUUCUCUCGUUAAAUACAUAAAUUAUCAAUAAUAAUAAACUCGAAAUAAUUAUAAAUCUUAUCCCUGUGGAUUGUGUGGGUACAGUAUUAUAUACAAAAACUUCAAAUACAUAAUAUAUAUAAGUCAGAAAUAUUUUUGUUUUUAUGGACUUGUUUUUAUUACAUUUCAAUAUUAAAUAUAUUUUUUUCAAUCGAGUCAAAGAUAUACCAUUUAUAUUAGAAUGAGAAGACUAAUCAAUUUCUCUAAUUUCUCUAGUUUUCUCCCUAAUUAUAAAAUACAUCUGGUUUUUCAAGUCCAGAUUUUAAGAUAAAAGGAAUUUAUUUCUUGAAAGUAAUGCAUUAAACAAUAUAAAAAAAAUUUAAAAAAUUUAAAAUAGUAGUAAAAGUAGUUUUUGAUUGAAGUGUAAACUAGUGGUAAAUGAACAAAAAGAAACUUUAUUGAUUAUCUAAUGAGUUACUUCUCCAGAAAGAAUAUAUACAAUAUUAUUGAUUAUCUAAUGGAAACUCCGCCUAACACACACACACACACACACACACACACACACACAUAUAUAUAUAUAUAUAUAUAUAUAUAUAUAUAUAUAUAAGUUAGAGACACUUUUUGUUUUUAUGUUCGGAAAAGUGUUCUUUACUUGUUUUUAUUACAUUUCAAUAUUAAAUAUAUUUUUUUCAAUCGAGUCAAAGAUAUACCAUUUAUAUUAGAUUGAGAAGACUAAUCAAUUUCUCUAGUUUUCUCCCUAAUGUAUAAAUUUCUCUAGUUUUCUCCCUAAUUAUAAAAUACAUCUGGUUUUUCAAGUCCAGAUUUUAGGAUAAAAAGAAUUUAUUUCUUGAAAUUAAUGCAUAAAACAAUAUAAAAAUAUUUUUAAUAAAUUAAAAUAGUAGUAAAAGUAAAUUUAGUUUUUGAUUGAAGUGUAAACUAGUGGUAAAUGAACAAAAAGAAACUUUAUUGAUUAUCUAAUGAGUUACUUCUCCAAAAAGAAUAUAUAUAUUAUUGAAUAUCUAAUGGAAAGGAUUCAUGAAACUCCGCCAUAUAUAUAUAUAAAAGAGAAAUUGUCGAUAAUAGCAAUCAUUUUCUUAUCUCUUGUAUCAUUCAUAUCUUCCACAAAUCUUAAGUAAUUGAUGAGACAGUGGAUAUUGCCAAGAAAGGUCGUGAACGCGGAUGCUUGACGAUUAUGAUUUUUAAACACAACCAUAUAGUGAUUUCCUUAUGCAUACUGGUGAUCCUCCAGAAUCUUGUAGGAACACCACAAGCCAAUCUAAAAGAAUGCUAAAAGUCAAAACACACAAGCCAUAUAAAAAUCACACGACAGCCAAUUACCUUAUCUUUUGAAAGAAAGAUAAUAAUAAUAAUAAUAAUAAUAAUAAUAAUAAUAAAAGCAUUCUCCUGGGUGUGCAAUGACCGCCAAUCUUUCUCAUUAUGACAUUCAAUGCUCAGUUAGAAGUUGCACGAUGCUCUUCUCAUGGGGAGCAAAAAUCAGUAGCCUCCCAUGGAAUCCUCAUAAACCUUUCUCUAUGCUCUUCUAAGAUAUUAAAAAUGUCAAACAUACAUCAAUAAUAAAAAGACAUUAAAAAUGUCAAACAUACAUCUAAGAUAUUACGCAAAACGAGGUUUUUUUCUGCAAAAAAAUAAAAAUAGAAUGUUAUACAAAUGGAGCUUCCAACAAAAAAGAUAUGGGAAGUUCGAGGAAAAAAAUGAUUAGUUAAUUCAAAACACCAGCAGUAAGUAAUAAUUACAAAACACGAUACCGAAACCAAAUUGAAAAGUGAGCAAGAAUACAAAAAUGGUUACAUGUAUCAAAAGGAACUGGUACCAAUUUCUCCACCACUGUAUGUCCCUUUUGUUCAGUCUAUGUUUGGUGCAAUCACCUAAAGCUAGAAACAAAAACAGCGCCUUACUCUACAAGUAGCUCAUCAAAGUAUAUGUUGUAAAUUGCAAACACGUGCUAACAAUAAAUUGUGGCCAGAGGAUUUGCUUCGAUCCCAGAGGCCAUUGAGGAUAUUCGUCAAGGAAAGGCUCAUGCACCCUCUUGAUUUGAUGAUUCUUUGCAUUUAGUUAUUGUUGUUGAUGAUGAACAAAUUAAGAGAAAAUGAGGGGGGCCUUAUAAUGGCAGCGUCAAAGGCAACACCAGAAGCUAUGGCAUUUAUUGUCAAGCAUGGGACUGGUAUAGUGUGUGUGAGCUUCCAUUAAUGGUAACUCAUAAGGAGAAUGAGGAAAACUGUGCACUGCAUUUACUGUAUCAGUGGUACGUCAUUAACUUCUCCAUUUAUAUUAUCUAAUGGAUAUGAUCUUUUCAAGAAACCUUUAUCUUGGUUUGAUUUUAAAGUGCUAAUUUAAUUGCGGAUUCUGUCCCAGAUGAGGUCCGGUUUCCUGAAAUCAAAGAUGUCUACACUGUCCCGUGGACUUAUAGUUCAGUUGCUCAAUCAGAACUGAUGACAUCUGCACAUUCGGCGACUCCAGCAUUAAUUGUGGCCUUGACAGAUUGUGAGAGGCCAGAUGGGAUGGAUUAGAUGCGUCUGAGUUUGUUGGAGAGGAAGACUUGCAGAAUAAUUUUGAGGGAGUGGGUGGCAGUUCGAUGGAGCGGUUCCUGUUGGUGCAACGCCGAACACAUGCCACGCAGGAUAUAUAGAAAUGCUAGUCAGCUUAUGAAAUCCGAGGUUGAUACGAUACUUAUCUUCAUAGAUUGUGAAUGUUGUUCUUUUUUCUACAAACGAUCCGUUAUGCAAAGCAAAUUCCAAGACCAGAAAAAUAAUGUUUAGAGUUAAAAGACAAUGUCUUAGCAGCAAGGACCUAUUCCAUCAGGAGAUAUGUGAAUUCUCAAGCCUUUGCAAUGCUUUUAAAUUAAUGAAGGAUCAAAAUGAAAAUGUUAUAUUCAUAACUAUACUGCAAUUUUGCCCAUAAUUCUUCUUUAAUUCUGUCCAGAAUCUUGGAUUAUGCUCCAGGGACCAAUCUGGAAUUUUAGUAGAUUUUUAAGGGUCAAAUUGUAAUUUUAUCAAAUUGAAGGACCAAAAUAAAAAUGUCAUAGAUUCAUAACUAUACUGGAAUUUUGCUUGUAAUUCAUCUUUAGUUCUGUCCAGAAUCUAGGAUUAUGCUUCAGGGAUCAAUCUGUAAUUUUUUCAAAGUUUGGGGAUUAACUUAAAUUUUCACAAAUUGAGGGACCAAAUUGAAAUUUUAUUAUCUUCAACCUCAAACCCAGAUUUUUCAUAGAUCACCUACUGAUAUAUCAAGAUUUCGAACUCAAAUUCAUCAUUUAAACAAACUAUAACUCAAAAUCAUCAUUUUUACCUAAAAUUUUCAAAAAUCAACUAAAUAACUCAUUACCCAUAACAGUCAUUCCGCUAAAUUAUUUCUACUUCUGCUUCUUCUUCUUCUUUUUUAUAAUACUCGAGUAUUAUUAUAGAAAGAUGCUUGAGCCAAAAUUAGAGGCUAUCUAGCAUAAAAGAAAAACAGAGGUAUAUACAGGACAGAGAGGAAGUAAUAACAUUAUAUAUAUAUAUAUAUAUAUAUAUAAAACUUGAGUUAACCCGUCAAGUCUAUGACCUGGAUUAUGAGAUCGGGAUAAGCAAACUCAAUAUUAAAAAAUAAAAUUGAAAAAAAAACAAUAAAAACAUAUAUGGUUUAACAAUAUUAAUCAAUUAUUAAAAUAUUUCAUUUUAUAUAUAUUAAAAAUAUAUAUUAAUAACUAUUAUAUCAGUUUGUGAAUGUUUCAAUUUGGAUGCAAAUAGAUGUUUAAUUAUCUAUGACAUUUUUUUUAAGAAACCAAAGUUAUUAAAUAUGGUUAGAUUUAAUACCUAGAUAAGGGUUUAGGUCAUAGAUUGGCUUAAUACUCGGAUCAAGAUUUGAAUUAUAGAUCGAACAAGUUAGCUUAUUGAUUGAUGUUAAUAAAAAAUUGUAUCAUUUUAAGAUUAUUUUUUAGUAAAAACCAAAAUCAAGUAGUUAAAAAAAGUGAAAGUAGUUUUUGAUAGGGUUGACUAGGUUGUAAGUUGAUUUAUCUAGUCGAUUAGGCUUGAUUGAGUCAACUCUCACUUGGUUUUUUUUAAAUCUAAAUCGGGUCAGGUUCCAGAUUAAAAUGUUAGGCUUGAAUUAAAUUUAAUAACGCUGAUUAAAAUCACAUUGUAGAAAAAAAAUGAAUUGCAUAAAAGUAAUUAACCAAAAACUUGUAUUCCUUCUUAUAAAGUUGAACCCAUGUCAGUUUCUUUUUUGGAAAAAUAUAAAUCAAAGGUUAACGCUACUUUCAUGACGAUGACGGAUAAAGAAGACUUGCUCCUUUCUUUAUGGAAAUAACGUGUGGAAAAUCAUGCCUUAAUUUUGAUGGUGAUGGCCAAAUCAAACAGUAUCGUUGAUAAAAUGAACCACAAAUGAUAUUAUUUCUACAAGACUUCUUGUCAUUGUCAUGACAAUAAGUCUUCUCCUUUUUCUUUCUAAAGAGUCUAUUUUUUGUAACACAAUCAACAAGUAAGAUGGAUAGAAAUUUGCAGUGUGAGAUGGGUCUGUGAGACUAUAUAUUGCCAUUUGUAUUUUUUUCAUGAUAAAGGCUAAUUGGAUGGUCCUAUCAAGCGUUUUUUUUACGAGAUGGGUCCAUAAAAACAUUUCCAUCUACACAUUGAUCCCUGAAACCUUUGCCAUAAUGCAUUUUUUCCACGAGAUGGGUUCGUGGAAAUACUUUGGUUUAAUAGGGAAUGCUGUUAUUGAUUGGAAACUUUUUAAUUAAAAUAAAUUUGAUUAUUUGAUUGGAAGAAAUCCUUAAAUGUUAUUAACACAAAGAAAUCAAUUUAUUUUCUUAAGAAAAAAAUAUUGUAACCAUAUAAGUAAUUUAUUUAUUUAUUUUAAUGAAAUAUAAAAUAGUUUUAAAUCUUGUGGUAUAUUUCUUGUCUUUAAGAGCUAUGAACUUAUAUCUCAAAACUUGAAAACUAAUAUAAAGAUAUUAAGUGAUCAUUGAGUGUAUGUGUGUGUGUAUAAUCUUUUUCAAAACAAAAAGGAUUUUGAUGGAGAGGACAUUGCAGCAAAUUAUCCACGAGAUGGGUCGGUGAUACCAUUGUCAUCAUGUAAUUUUUCCCACGAGAUGGGGCCGUACGCUUGGGGCUCUAAAAGCUAUGGUUUUUAAUUUCAUUAUGUUACAUAUCUAGAAUGGGAGGUAUAUUUUAUUUCAAUUCUAAAAAUGAAAUAAAUUAGAAGAUAUUUCAUCUUGUUUAGAAUAUUAUCUCCUUACAUGCAUGAAUUUCACAUAAAUUUUGACCAGAAUAUUUCGGUUCUAUUCCGGCCAUUCUAUUAUGUCCAAAUAAUGUUUUGUUUUGCUUUUAUAUAUAUAAAAAAUAUAAUUUAUUUUUAUGAUAUCAAUUAUACAUUUCAAUUCGACUAUUGGAUUAAACUGAAAUUUUAUAAUCUCCUAAUAUGUAUUAUAUCACAAGUUAAAAUUUUAGAUCAAUCAGAGUUUAGAAAGACUUUGUGAAAUUACUGUUGAUAUAUUUUCAUAAUUUUAUUUAAAUUCAUAAUUUUAUUUUGAAAUGUUUUAUUUUUUGUGGUUUUUUAGAUUGAUUUUUUUUCAUUUUAUAAUUUAACAAUAAAUUUAUUAAAAAUUAAAAUUCAUAAUUUAUUUUUAUUUAUUUUAUUUAAAAUUAUUAUAUUAUCAUUACUCAGAUCACGAAAAAAAAACCUUUGCUUUAAUUGGGAAUGCUGUUACAAGUAAUUGGACUCCGUGGGAUGGGAGACCGUUGCCAUCAUGCAUGUUUUUUCCACGGCAUGGGUCCGUAAAGUCCUCUAUAAAAGCUUAAACCUCCUUACUAUCCUCUAUAUCAAUUGAUCAGCAUUUAUAAGAUGGGGCUGUCUGUUCCUUCUGAUGUUGAUGGUUUUAGUAAUGAUGGUUUCUUGCAAGGAUGGCUGCCUCUUGGAGUAUAUUGACUUGAGAAUUAAUUGUUUUGAUAACAGUAUUUUAUUAUUUGUGGAGUUAUUUCUAUUUUUUAAAUUAUUAUAUUUAGAUUAUAAUAGAGUGAAAGAGUUAAUAGGUUUAAGAGAUUAGGAAAAAGCUACUAUUAAUUAUAGUUAGGGACCAAACUGGAAUUUUUGCACAUUUUUAAGGGUCAAAUUGUAAUUUUAUUAAAUUGAUGAAGGACCAAAAUGAAAAUAUCAUAUUUAUAACUAUACUGUAAUUUUGCCCAUAUUUCUUCUGUAAUUUUGCCUAGAAUCUCGGAUUAUGCUCUAGGGACCAAUCUGUAAUUUUUUUCAAAGUUUGGGGAUUAAACUGAAAUUUUCAUAAAUUGAGGUACCAAACUGAAAUUUUUUCAUCUUCAACAUCAAACCCAGAUUUUUCACAAAUCACCUAUUGAUAUAUCAAGAUUUUUAACUAGAUGAGGGUUUAGGUCAUAGAUUGGCCUAAUACUCGGAUCAAGAUUUGAGUCAAGUUAGCUUAUUGACUAGUGUUAAUAAAAAAUUAUAUUAUUUUAAGAUUUAAUUUAAUUAAAUAGAUCCAACUACCAUGCAAUUCCACAAUUAAUUUAUUUUAUUAUGAUUUAGUGUUAUGUUAACCAGGCAACAUUUAAUUACCAUGAUAUAAAAUACAAAAAUAGUGGGAACAUAAAAAAACAUGCUUUUAUAUAUUUUUUAUUUUAAAAGUAUAAAUUUUACUUUAAGACUAUUGUAAAAAGAUAUUUAUUUUAAAUUUAUUUAUAUUUUUAUAAUUCAAAAAUUAAAAAUAAAACAGAAUUAAUCCAUACUCAUCUAAAAACAAUUAACUCUAACAUCAUUAUUUUAUAACAAAACUAGCAAAGAUAAUUUAUUAAUCACUAAGUUUUCUGGUUAUAAAUACAUUAGUAAGUGUCUUUGUCUCUUUUGUAUUUCUAACUAUUAACGAAUUGAAAGAAUAAAUUUAGAAUCACCAAUUAAGCAGUGAAUCACACGGGAAGAUUGAAAGAAUAAUUAAAGUGAUUAUACUAACCGACAAGUCGACCCCAAGUCAAAGUCUUCUGUGGAAAAACAUGAAUAAAAGGUGGACGCUGGGCAGCUCACUUUCCAUGAAGAUGAUGGAUACAGAGCCCUCCCUUCUAUCUUUAUGGAAAUCACGUCUAGAAAAUCAUGCUUUAAUUUUAAGCUUGAGAGGGGAUGAUAUAUAUAUAUAUAUAUAUAUAUAUAUAUAUAUAUAUAUAUAUAUAUAUAUAUAUAUGCUUUAAUUUCAACUUGUAUAAAAAAUAAAUCUUAAUGACUGGUGAUUUAAACUUGGGUGUUUUUUCGGUAUUAAUAUAUAUAUUCCUCAAUUAUCAUAAAGAAUUAAGAAAAAACUAAUAAUAAGAUUAAAAUAAAUGUUUUAUAUAUCGAAAUAAUUAAAAGUAAGGUUUACUUAAGGUAUAUAUGGGAUUAAUUUAAAAUAACAAUAAAAUCAAUUUAUUAAAAAAAAUCAUAAAUUUAGUUUUCCUAAAUUUUAAAUGUAGUGUGAAUGCAUUCCGCAAGAAAAAAACAGUGCAAAAUUAGCCUUUCAAGAAAUAGAGAAUCUUCCUCUUUGAAGGAAUUAAUUAGUGGGUUGGAAAAAUGUCGUCUUCUGCUCUAAUAUUUUCUUCACUUUCUCUAUAGUUUUACCUUACACCAAUAUUGUCAGAAAAUGAUACAAUAUACUUCUUGUGUUAUCCUUCAAGAUUUCAAUUGAAAAUUAAGGAGGGUCGUAAAAAAUUUAAUUUUUAUAAACAUAUCCUUAACUCUGUAUCUUCUCUAGAUAUGUCUGUGACUGAGCUCCAUAAAGAAUUCCUAUUUAACAUUAAUCUGUCCAUCAAGUUUUUGAUCCCCGAUUAAGGCCAUCUUGAUAAAUGAGAUUUUACUCUGUAAUUUUAAUGUAUAGCUGUCAAUGACCUGAAACAUGCAAAUUAAAAUUCAAAGUGUGAGCAUUGAAUUUCUUGUCAGUUUACACCCUUCUGUGGUGUUUCCUCUUUCCAUUGAUUGAAGAGCGUCCAAGAGGAAAAACUGAAAAGGCAAAAGUUCUAUUGUACAGUGAAAAAGAGCAUGAGAAAUACACAGAAGCAGAGAUGCAUGAAUCCUUCUCCACUAGCAGCUCUCGUCCAUAGGAUCAUUGUGGUUUCAAGAUUGAUGCCCAAUCAUUUCCCUCUUUGUUCGAUUCCUCAGACCUUUUGGAAACUGUACAUUCCGGGGGAAAGUCUGUGCAAGGGCAAAAGGCGACGGUGGACUUGACAAAGGGCUGAGGGGUGGGUGAGAUGUUAUGUCAAGAAAUGAUUUUGGAAAAUUUCUUCAUAUGUGUUGAAUAACUAAGAUAAGAUAGGAGUCUUGAACAAGGCAAAAGCAUAGGCUCUCCAAGACGAUUGACCAGAAGGAGAGAAGGAAGGCUCUAUAUCCUUAGCACGUCAAACACUCCUUUGCACAUUAGAGAAAUUGUCGAGUUAUUCCUGCUUCUUCUUCUUCUUCCUUUUUUUUUUUUUUAUUUAUAAUAGUCCAGUAUUAUUAUAGAAAGGUGCUCGAGCCAAAAUUAGAGACUAGCUAGCAUAAAAGAAAAACAUAGGACAAUAUAUACAAGACAGGGGAGGAAGUAAUAACAUAACAUAAUAUAUAUAUAUAUAUAUAUAUAUAUAUAUAUAUAUAUAUAUAUAUAUAUAUAUAUUAAAAAAAACUUGAGUUAACGCAUCAACUCAACGACCCGAAUCAUGAGAUCAGGAUAAGCAAACUCAAUAUUAAAAGAUGAAAUUUAAAAAAAAAACCUUAAAAACAUAUAUGGUUUAACAAUAUUAAUUAAUUAUUAAAAUCUUUCAUUUUAUAUAUAUUAAAAAUAAAUAUUAAUAACUAUUAUAUCAAUUUGUGAAUGUUUCAAUUUGAAUGCGAACAAAUGUUUUAUAUAUGACAUUUUUCUUAAGAAUGUCUCUUUCAUUAAAACCAAAAUUAUUUAACAUGAUUAGAUUUAAUACCCUGAGAGUUUAGGUCAUAGAUUGGCCUAAUACUCGGAUAAGAUUGAGAUCAUAUAUCAGACAAGUUAGCUUAUGUUGAAUGGUGUUAAUCUAAAAUUGUAUUAUUUUAAGAUUUUUUUUAGAAAAAAUCAAAAUUGCGUAGUUAAAAAAAAUAAAACUAGUUUUUGACUGAAUUAACUAGGUUGUGGGUUGAUUUAUUUAGUCGAUUAGGCUUGGUUGGGUCAGCUCUCACUUAGUUUUUUCUAAACCUGAAUUGGGUUAGGUUCCAGAUUAAAAUGUUAGGCUUGAAUUAAAUUUAAUAAUGCUGAUUAAAACCACAUUGUAGAAAAAAAAUUAAAUUGCAUAAAAGUAAUUAACCGAAAACUUGUAUUCCUUCUUGUAAAGCUGAACCCGUGUCAGUUUUAUUGAAGGAAAACUAUGAACCAAAGGUUAAUGCUACUUUCAUGACGAGAAGACUUGCUACUUUCUUUAUGGAAAUAACGUGUGGAAAAUCAUGCCUUAAUUUUGAUGGCGAUGGUAAAAUCAAAGAGUAUCGUUGAUAAUUAAAUGCUUAUGCAUAAAAAAUAAAUCUCAAGUGUUAGAAUGCAACCACUGAUUAAUUAAUGGACAACGGACCUUGGAUUAAUACAUGACGCAACUUUCAAUGGAAUUAUAUUUGUGGAGGUAUUUACUCGGAUGUGAAUUAUAUUUUUAUUUUUUUAUUUUAAAAAAAAUUCUAUAUACUACAACUAGCUUAAGAAAGUCAAAAAAAUUUAAGUGAAAAAAAAUAUAUAUAUAUUUAUAUACACUCACGCACACACAAAAAUAUAGUCAAAUAAAUCAAGAACUAUGUGUGUUAAUAAGUGGAAAAAAAAACCUUAAACGAUAACUCAAAAUAAAAACUAGAAAAAUCAAGAGACAAGUGUAUAUCAAGAUAUUUAAUUUCACAUGACGUGACAUUUUUUUUUUUGGAUUCGACGAAACCUCACCCCUCCGAAAAGCACACUUUGUGGGCCCAGGUGAGGGAGUAAAACCCCGGCUGUCCCAGGCUCUUACAAAAGGUGCACGCCCUGACUCGAACUCGAGACCUGCUGUGCAGAUCUCAAACCCUUUGCCAUCACGCUACGCCCCUUGGGGACAACGUGACAUUUACGCAGUAUUGUUUUCUAAAUUUUCUAAUUAAAAUAAUUUUUUAUUUGAUCAAACGAUAAUAUAAACAGACACACACAUUCUAAAUUGAUUGAAUAAAAAAAAAAUAUAUGCAAAGCUGUAUAUAUUAAAAAUAUUAUUUGAAAAUAAUUUGUUUUUCAAAAAUAAAGUUCAUCUAUGUAAAAGAUUUUAAAAAAAUAUAGAUUAAUCAAAAAAACCUCUUUAAAAAUUAAAUUCAUGAUUAAAAAAUAAUCAUCAUUUCAAAUAGGCUUUUUAAAUAACUAAAAAGAGAGAAGGGAUAUUAAUAUAAAUAUAAAUAUAACUAAAAUUAAGAUUAUUUUAAAAAAAUAGAUAAAAAAAAUUUUAAGCGAAAAAAAGUGAACAGACACGGUGAACUUAACUCAUAAACUCAACUGAAUUUAAUAUUUUUUUCGUUAAAUUUAUUAUAAAUAUAAAAAAAAACAAAAUUAAUAUCAUUCACGGUAAAACAUAAAUAAAAAACAGUACAACCGCAUAGUAUUCACCUCAGGCAUUUUCUUUUAAAUUUAUAGCCAAACCUUAAAAAUAAACUUUUGUGCUCAGUAUCUUUUUAAGGUGAAUUAACAAGUUUCAACUCAUCUCUGUAUCUUCUCUAGAUACAGAGAAUUCCUAUUUAACAUUAAUCUGUCCAUCAAGUUUUUGAUUCCCAAUUAAGACCAUCUUGAUAAAUGAGAAUUUACUCCGUAAUUUUAUUGUAUAGCUGUCAAUGACCUGAAACAUGCAAAUUAAAAUUCAAAGUGUGAGCAUUCAAUUUCUUGUCAGUUUACACCUUUCUGUGGUGUUCCCUCUUUCCAUUGAUUGAAGAGCGUCUAAGAGGAAAAACUGAAAAGGCAAAAGUUAUGUUGUACAGUGAAAAAGAGCAUGAUCAGAAAUACACAAAAACAGAGAUGAAUGAAUCCUUCUCCACUAGCGCUCUCGUCCAUCGGAUCAUUGUGGUUUCAAGACCGAUGCCCAAUCAUUGCCCUCUUUGUUCGAUUCCUCAGACCUUUUGGAAACUGUACAUUCCGGGGGAAAGUCUGUGCAAGGGCAAAAGGGGACGGUGGACUUGACAAAGGGCUGAGGGGUGGGUGAGAUGUUAUGUCAAGAAAUGAUUUUGGAAAAUUUCUUCAUAUGUGUUGAAUAACUAAGAUAAGAUAGGAGUCUUGAACAAGGCAAGAACAUAGGCUCUCCAAGACAAUUGACCAGAAGGAGAGAAGGAAGGCUCUAUAUCCUUAGCACGUCAAACACUCCUUUGCACAUUAGGGAAAUUGUCGAGUUAUUUCUGCUUCUGCUUCUGCUUCUUCUUCUUUUUAUAAUAGUCGAGUAUUAUUAUAGAAAGGUGCUAGAGCCAAAAUUAGAGGCUAGCUAGCAUAAAAGAAAAACAAUGAUUAAUUGCAAGAGAUGGUUACUUAUACCAGUAGCAAUUUAGUAAUGAUUAAUUAGCAUUUAUAUUAAGAUGUGGCUAUUAAUUCAAAUGUUAACAAUGAUUUUCUUGGAAGGAUGAUUGCCUCUUGGUUACUUUAAAAUAUACGGUUUUUUUAGUUCAAAUCUAUUAAUAAAAAUAUAGUUUUAUUGAAUUUUUUUAUAUACUUUUAUUAGAGAAAUUAAUUUAAACACAUUUAUAUACAGACACUAGUUUAUCAAGUACUUCAAUAGAAAAAUAAAAUCAAUUAGAGUACUUAAAUAAAAAAAAAUAUAAAUUAUAAGCAUUUUACAUAUCUUUAUUGUUUAUAAAUUAAAAAUAAAAUAAUAUCAAUCCAGACUAAUCUAAAAAAAAAUUAACUAUGACAUCAUCAUUCUAAUAAUAAAACUAAUAAAGAUGUUUUAUUGAUUAAAUUUCGUGAUACAGGGUUGAAACAAAAAAGAGAUGAAGAGAGAGGAGGGAAUGGAAAGAAGGGAAAAAAGAACUCAUGCGAUCUGUUGUUUGUAAGUUUUUUACAUAAUAUAUAGGAAGGUAUUUUAAUUAUUUUGUUCAAAUUAAAAAUUUUCAUUGACUAAAAAGCGUAAUUAUCUAAAACAUAAAAGCAAAGUAAAAAACUCAAAUGCUUCAUUAAAAAACUCAAUUGAUUCGGUGCUUUAUUAGUUUCUAUAGUAUGGUGUCUUAUGCAUUUUGUUCUAAUCAUAUAUGGGAAAGUGUUUGGUUGAUUAACGUAUAUCAUGACUUUGUAUGGGUCCUACCACAAACUCUCUCUUUUGAAAUAUUAAUUAAGAAAAAGCUAUAAUUUAUAGUUUUUUUAAAUUUAUUUUUUCAAAUUACAAUCAUAUAAACUACUAUAAUAUCAAAUACAUAUUUGAAUAAGACUCAGUAAAAAUUUUCUUCUUCUAAAUACAAAGUGGAAAUGAGUUACUUUCUCCAAAAAGAAUAUAUACAAUAUUAUCGAUUAUCUAAUGCAAACUCCGUCUAACAUACACAGAGAAAGAGAGAGAACCUUAACUAUGUUUAUUUUAUGCACUUUAAUUAAAAAUAAAUUUUGGAUUGUACGAGAGACUUUAAUUAAAUUUCAAUAUUAAAUUUAUGCACUUUAAUUAACAUACACAGAUCAACUAUUAAUAUAUCAAGACUUUUAACUCAAAUUCAUUAUUUAAACAAACCAUAACUUAAAAUUAUUAUCUUUAUCUAAAAUCUUUAAAAAUCAAUGAAAUAACUCAUUAUUCAUAAUAAUUAACCUGCUAAGUUAUUUCUGCUUCUUCCUUUUUAUAAUAGUCGAGAAUUAUAUAUUAUAGAAAGGUGCUAGAGUUAAAAUUAGAGGCUAGCUAGCAUAAAAGAAAAACAGAGGUAUAUACAAGACAGGGGAGGAAGUGUGCGUGCGUGCGUGUGUGUGUGUGUGUGUGUGAUCCCUUCUCAAGCUUAAAAGUAAAGCAUGAUUUUCUAGACGUGAUUUCCAUAAAGAUAGAAGGGAGGGCUCUGUAUCCAUCAUCUUCAAGGAAAGUGAGCUGGCCAUCGUCAACCAUUUAUUUAUGUUUUCAACCAUUUAUUUAUGUUUUUCCACAAAAGACUUUGACUUGGGGUCAACUUGUCGGUUAAUUACUUUUAUGCAAUUCAAUUUUUUAAAAAUAUAUAUAUAUAUGCUUUAAUUUCAACUUAAGUUAUAUACGGGACGAUAAAAAAAUAACAAUAAAAUCAAUUUAUAAAAAAAAUCAUAGAUUUAGUUUUCCUAAAUUUUAAAUGUAGUGUGAAAGCAUUCCGCAAGAAAAAAACAGUGCAAAAUUAGCCAUGACAAUAAGUCUUUUUCUUUCUAAAGAGUUUAUUUUUUGUAACACAAUCAAUAAGUAAGAUGGAUGGGAAUUUGCAGUGUGAGAUGGGUUUGUGAGACUAUAUAUUGCCAUCAGCAUUUUUUCCAUGAUAUAGGCUUGUAGGAUGGUCCAUGAGACCAUUGCUAUAUAUCAAGCGUUUUUUCUACGAGAUGGGUCCAUGAGACCAUUACCUCGUAAGCUUGGGAAUGGAUAACAUGAUUUAAUGUUUAUUUAGUUUAAAAAAAAAUUAAAUGCUUAUGCAUAAAAAAUAAAUCUCAAGUGUUAGAAUGCAACCACUGAUUAAUUAAUGGAUAAUGAACCUUGGAUUAAUACAUGACGCAACUUUCAAUGGAAUUAUAUUUGUGGAGGUAUUUACUCGGAUGUGAAUUAUAUAUAUAUAUAUAUAUAUAUAUAUAUAUAUAUAUAUAUAUAUAUAUAUAUAUAGGGGCACACACAAAUAUAGUCAAAUAAAUCAAGAAUUAUAUGUGUUAAUAAGUGAAAAAAAAAAUAUUAAACUAUAACUCAAAAUAAAAACUAGAAAAACCAAGAGACAAAUGUAUAUAAAGAUAUUUAAUUUCACAAGACGUGAUAUUUACGCAGUAUUGUUUUCUAAAUUUUCUAAUUAAAAUAAUUUUUUAUUCGAUCAAACGAUAAUAAAAAUAGACACAUACAUUAUAAAUUGAUUGAAUAAAAUAAAAGGAGAAAAAAUAAUAUGCAAGGCUGUACAUAUUAGAAAUAUUAUUUGAAAAUAAAUUUCUUUUUAUUUUCAAAAAUAAAGUUCAUCCAUGUAAAAUAUUUUUAAAAAAUAUAGAUUAAUCAAAAAAAUCUCUUUAAAAAUUAAAUGCAUGAUUAAAAAAUAAUCAUCAUUUUAAAUAGGCUUUUUAAAUAACUAAAAAGAGAGAAGGGAUAUUAAUAUAAACAUAAAUAUAACUAAAAUUAAGAUUAUUUAAAAAAAAUAGAUAAAAAAAUUUUAAGCAAAAAAAAGUGAACAGACAACUUAUAAACUCAACUGGAUUUAAUAUUUUUCCUGUUAAAUUUAUUAUAAAUAUAAAAAAACAAAAUUAAUAUCAUUCAUGGUAAAACAUAAAUAAAUAAAUAAAUAAAACAGUACAACCGCAUGUUAUUCACCUCAGGCAUUUUCUUUUAAAUUUAUAGCCGAACCUUAAAAACAAACUUUUGUGCUCUGUAUGUUUUUAAGGUGAAUUAACAAUUUUCAACUCAACUCGGUACCUUCUCUAGAUAGAUCUGUGACUAUGCCUUGGAUUUUCUCAAAACUACUAAGUGUGUGCUUGAGAGGGUGAUUAUAGUUGUUUUUUAAAGUGUUUUUCACUCAGAAAAACAUGUCAAUAAUAUUUUUUUAUAUUUUAAAAUUUAUUUUCGAAAUCAGCACAUCAAAAUGAUUUAAAAACAUCAAAAAUAUAUUAAUUUAAAGUAAAAAAAAAAUUCAAAUUUUUGCGGAAGUGCUUUUGAAAAGCACUCCCAAACACUCCCAUGGUUGGAUACCAAGUAAAUAGAGAUAAAUUUAUUUCCUGUUAUUCUCCGAUAGUAUCUUCGUCCCUUGAUAGAACUUUCUUGGAGAUGAUGAGCUACCACUCCCUUUUGACUUUGCUGGCCUCCCAAAUAUAAAUAAAGAAUUCCUCUUGAUAGAAUUUUCUUCGAAAUGAUGAGAAUAUUUUAGAAUAUUCUGGUUGACGCCAGCUGUCAACAACUAUCUUACAUUCCCAACGCAUGCCUUUGCAAGAUGUUAAAGGCUCAUCUAAAAACAAUUAACUCUGAUAUCGUUAUUUUAUAACAAAUUAGCAAAGAUAAUUUAUUAAUCACUAAGUUUUCUGGUUAUAAAUACAUUUGUAAUUGUCUUUAUCUCUUUUGUAUUUCUAACAAUUAACGAAUUGAAUAUAUAAUAAAUACCGACUGAAAGAAUAAAUUUAGUUUAAAUGUGCUAAAGUUUAAAUAGGCGACUUUAGAAUCACCAAGAAGGCAGUGAAUCACACGGGAAGAUUGAAAGAAUAAUUAAAGUGAUUUUACUAACAUUGUAAAAGUAAUUAACCGAAAAGUUGACCCCAAGUCAAAGUCUUCUGUGGAAAAACAUGAAUAAAAGGUUGACGCUGGGCAGCUCACUUUCCAUGAAGAUGAUGGAUACAGAGCCCCCCCUUCUAUCUUCAUGGAAAUCACGUCUAGAAAAUCAAACAUUAUUAUUGCCAUCUGCGUUUUUUCUUAGAGAUGGGUCCGUUCCACCAUUUCCCCUCAAGCUUGAGAUAUAUAUACGUGACACGAUUUAAUUUCAAAUCUUAAUGUAGUGUGUUAGAAUGCAACCACCGAUUGAUUAAAUUUAAUGGCUGGUCAUUUAAACUUGGGUGUUUUUUCGGUAUUAAUAUAUAUAUAUAUAUAUAUAUAUUCCUCAAUUAUCAUAAAAAAUUAAGAAAAAACUAAUAAUAAGAUUAAAAAUAAAUGUUUUAUUUAUCGAAAUAAUUAAAAGUAAGGUUUACUUAAGGUAUAUAUGGGAUGGUAAAAAAAUAACAAUAAAAUCAAUUUAUAAAAAAAAAUCAUAGAUUUAGUUUUCCUAAAUUUUAAAUGUAGUGUUUAUAAUUAAUUAAUUAAUUGAGAAUUUGAGCUCUUCUAAAAGUUGUUUAUGGACUUUUGUUUUCCGGAGAAAACUCCCUUAAAACCUUUGAGCACUUCCUUCUCUAAAAUAUAUGUUUUUGCCAUAACUCAGGGGCUCUGUAUCUUUUAAGGUGAAUUAGGCUUUAUAUCUUUUUAAGGUGAAUUAACAAGUUUCAACUCAUCUCUGUAGAUACAUAGAAUUCCUAUUUAACAUUAAUCUGUCCAUCAAGUUUUUGAUCCCCAAUUAAGACCAUCUUGAUAAAUGAGAUUUUACUCUGUAAUUUUAAUGUAUAGCUGUCAAUGACCUGAAACAUGCAAAUCAAAAUUCAAAGUGUGAGCAUUGAAUUUCUUGUCCGUUUACACCUUUCUGUGGCGUUUCCUCUUUCCAUUGAUUGAAGAGCGUCUAAGAGGAAAAACUGAAAAGGCAAUCACUAGCGGCCCUCGUCCAUCGGAUCAUUGUGGUUUCAAGAUUGAUGCCCAAUCAUUGCCCUCUUUGUUCGAUUCCUCAGACCUUUAGGAAACUGUAUAUGAGAUGUUACAGAGUGACGGAGGACUUGACAAAGGGCUGAGGGGUGGGUGAGAUGUUAUGUCAAGAAAUGAUUUUGGAAAAUUUCUUCAUAUUUGUUGAAUAACUAAGAUAGGAGUCUUGAACAAGGCAAGAACAUAGGCUCUCCAAGACGAUUGACAGAAGGAGAGAAGGAAAGCUCUAUAUCCUUAGCACGUCAAACACUCCUUUGCACAUUAGAGAAAUUGUCGAGUUAUUUCUGCUUCUGCUUCUGCUUCUGCUUCUUCUUCUUUUUAUAAUAGUAGAGUAUUAUUAUAGAAAGGUGCUAGAGCCAAAAUUAGAGGCUAGCUAGCAUAAAAGAAAAAGAAAAACAGAGGACAGUAUAUACAACUAUACAAGACAGGGGGAGGAAGUAAUAACAUAAUAUUAAUAACUAUAUAUAUAUUAAAAAAACUCGAGUUAACCCAUCAAGUUUACGACCCGGAUUAUGAGAUCGGGAUAAGCAAACUCAAUGUUAAGAAAUGAAAUUAAAGAAAAAAACCAUAAAAACAUAUAUGGCGUAGUGUCUUAUCGAUUAAGUUUGAUUGGGUCAACUCUCACUUGGUUUUUUCUAAACCUAAAUUGGGUUAGAUUCUAGAUUAAAAUAUUAGGCUUGAAUUAAAUUUAAUAACACUGAUUAAAACCACAUUGUAGAAAAAAAAAAUGAAUCGCGUAAAAGUAAUUAACCGAAAACUUGUAUUUCUUCUUAUAAAGUUGAACUCAUGUCAGUUGUUUUUUAAGGAAAAAUAUGAAUCAAAGGUUAAAGCUAGGCAGCUCACUUUGCACGACAAUGACGGAUAUAGAAGACAUAACGUGUGGAAAAAUCAUGCCUUAAUUUUGAUGGUGAUGGCAAAAUCAAACAGUAUCGUUGAUAAAAUGAACCACAAAUAAUAUUAUUUCUAAAACACUUCUUGUCAUUGUGAUGACAAUAAGUCUUCUUCUUUGCAGUGUGAGAUGGGUUUGCAUUUUUAUUUUCCACGAUAAUUAAUUAAUUAAUUGAGAAGUUGAGCUCCUUAAGAAAAGUUGUUUAUGGACCUUUGUUUUCCGGAGAAAACUCCCUUAAAACCCUUGAGCACCACCUUCUCUAAAACAUCUAUCUUUGCCAUAACUGAGAGGCUCUGUAUCUUUUUAAGGUGAAUUAACAAGUUACAACUCAACUCUGUAUCUUUUUUAGAUAUGUAUGUGACUGUACCUUGAUGUUCUCACAACCAUUAAGAUGGAGACAAAUUUUCUUUUCUGUUAUUCUCCGAAAAUAUCUUCGUUCCUUGAUAGAAUUUUCUUGGAAAUGAUGAGCUUCCACUCCCUUUUGACUUUGCUGGCCUCCGAAAUAAUUAAAGAAUUCCUCUUGAUAGAAUUUCCUUGGAAAUGAUGAGAAUAUCUCACAUUCCCUUGGCAUCGUGUUCCAUGCCUUUGCAAAUUAUUAAAGGCUCCAAUGCAUGUGUCCUUUUAUUCAUGUUUUUCCACAAAAGACUUUUGACUUGGGGUCAACUUGUCGGUUAGUAAAAUCACUUUAAUUAUUCUUUCAAUCUUCCCGUGUGAUUCACUGCUUAAUUGGUGAUUCUAAAUUUAUUCUUUCAAUUCGUUAAUAGUUAGAAAUACAAAAGAGACAAAGACAAUUACUAAUGUAUUUAUAACCAGAAAACUUAGUGAUUAAUAAAUUAUCUUUGCUAGUUUUGUUAUAAAAUAAUGAUGUUAGAGUUAAUUGUUUUUAGAUGAGUUUGGAUUAAUUCUGUUAAUUUUAUUUUUAAUUUUUGAACUAUAAAAAUAUAGAUAAAUUUAAAAUAAAUAUCUUUUUACAAUAGUUUUUUAGUAAAAUUAGAGUAAAAUUUGUACUUUUAAAAUAAAAAUAUAUAAAAACAUGUAUUUUAUGUUCCCAUUAUUUUUGUAUUUUAUAUCAUGGUAAUUAAAUGUUGCCCGGUUAACAUAACACUAAAUCAUAAUAAAAAAAUAAUAAUUAUGGAAUGGCAUGGUAGUUGGAUCUAAUUUUUUUAUGGAAUGGCAUGGUAGUUGGAUCAUAAUAAGAGUAUUCAAAUUAAGAAUAUUUAAAUGAGUGUUAAUUGGGUUUAAAAGACUUACAAGCAAAAUAUAAGUUGUUUGUUAGAAUUCUUAUGGAUCCGAUAGAAAAUUAAUACUUCAUUCAUAUACAUUACAUGAGCAUAUAUAUAUUUCUUUUAUCAACAUAAUGAUAUGUUUAUUUAUGUAACAGGUCCAUCAAAUAUCCAUGGAGAUCAUUAGUUUAGGGCUCUACUUUGUCAAGCUUAUGUAAAUAUUUAACUUAAGCAAAAGGGAAUUAACGCAUUUAUGUAGUAUGCUUUUGUAUAAACCUUGAUGUAUUUAUAAAAGUUCAGCUUAGCAUGUAGUACUUUAGUUAUCUUGUAAUUAACCCUUCUGAAAUAUUUAAAAACACUUAUUAUGUUGUAAAUGCUUUAUUUACAUGUUAGUAUUCCUUUUUCUUUUAAUUUUAUGAUAUGAUAUAUGGGCUAUGUUCAUAUUGAACUUGCUCAUAGGAUAUAUAUAAAUAUAUAUUGUGUGGAUUAUAUGAGGUGUUGAAUUAUGAUGAUUAAUAUAAGGUUCGGAAUUAUGGGACCUUGUGAUGAUGGAUUGAUUGUGUAAAUUAAUAGUAGUCGAUAACUUGGGAUGUUCUAAAUACAAACAAAACUCUGCUGAAUUUUUGGUAGAUUUAAAAAAAAAAAUUACCCUCAAAUUAAAAGCAUAUGUUGAGAUCUUUUAACAUUGAUCAAGUCGUAUAGUUGGUUCUGUUACAUGUUAGGUAUACAAUGUCUCUGUGAUAUGGACAUAAUGAUUUUUGAUGUGUCAAAUUCUUACUAUUUCACUCUUAAGAGUAGAAAGAUCUACUUCGUUGGACAACCACCAAGGCUUAACAACAAUAAUGAGAAAAUAAGCAUGUGAAAGGAAAAAGACUUAAUCUUAUAAGCCCAAAUGAUUUUGAGAAUCAGGUUCAUGAAGAGUUUGUUGCAUUUGCUUUAGUGGCUAAGAAAGUUUUAGAGAAAGCACUCGAAGAAAUAAGUGUAGUUUUGAAAGAAUUUCAAGAUGUUUUUCCUCUCAAAGUUCAUAAUUCCUUACCCCAUUAUACGUGACAUUCAACACGUAAUAUUUUAUCCCUAGUUACCUCUUGGUUUCAAGCAAGAAACACACUUCAAUAUCAUUAUGCGUUACUGUAUUCCUAAUAGAUGCCCUCUUAGCAGACAUACCCAACCCACAACUAUUCCAGAAUAAAAUCUUCAUUGAUAAAUGAUUUUAAACCUUACCAAGUUAUACUGCAAAAUGGAAUUAUUCCCAAAACCCAAAGCAAAUAACAUCCUCUGCGCCUCAUCUUCAACAAUACAUUCUGCUGUUGCAGCAGAACUGUAAGUUAUCAUAUAACGAAGAUUCCCUUUUCUGAUUCUAGAAUCCAGUGAACCUGGUGAUUCCACCUCACGUUCAUCCUCCACCCGCUGAAGACUACCAUUGAAAGAGAAAAGCUCCACCUUUGGGUGUAAACUGGAUUGAUUGCAUCCCAUCUGAAUCACGUGGGCUUAAUGGAAGGAACGAACAAUUGUCGGUUUUAAAAGUUUGGUUUGUAACAAUCAUUGUAAUUCCAAAUUUCCAUACUCCUUCCAUUUAAGCAAUUAAUAAUAACAGAGAAUAUGUAUAAAUCUCAAUGUUGUUUUAAAUUUUAUGUAAGAUAGUACAGUUUCAUUCAAAAAAUGAGAAAGAACAAUAAAAAUCCUCAAAUUCUACCACCUUCAAUUCUCAUUCAUCAACAACAGCAUACAUUCAAACAAGUGAUCAAUAGUGUUGAUGAAAAAUAAAUCAUUAGCGAUCAAGUGACGAGGACUAUAGUAAGAUUGGCGCCAUUGUAAGCUUGACAAGCUUUGCCUACUCUAAUUAACAGCAACGAAAGAUUCAGUGCCUAAUCUCUGGACGGAGAAGGGGACGCCUUUGUUAUGUACAUGGUUGCCCUAAAUGGUUCGAUGAUGCUCAUUUUAAACAUUUUUUGUCAAGGUUGUCAAUUUUGCUCCGUUUAGUGUUUCAUUUUUUUAAUUGAAACGGUAUGUUUUGGUUUCGGAGCAUUUCAGUGUGUUGUUUCAGGAUUAUAUAUAUAUUAACUCAAUUAAACAUAAUUUAAAUUUAAAUUUAAAGAUAAAUUAACUUGAAAUUAUGCAAUUUAAAUUUCAAACACAAGUAAAAAAGUGAGAGACUGAUAUGACUUGAUCGACUAGAUGGGUCCAAAGACAACCUUUACGACUGGUAAGAAUAUAGUUUGACUCAAAAAAAUUUAAGAUGAUAUUUUUUAAAAAAUAUAUUGAGAUGACAACAUAUUAAAUCAACCUGGGUCAACUCGAUCGGAUUAACUUUCUAAAUUCGUAAUCCAGGUUAUGAGACCAUAAUAACCUAAAAUAAAGCAAAUCAAAACAAAUUAUAAAGCUGAAUUCUCAAUAAACAUGUUAUUGAAUGGUUAAAUUGGAAAAAUUUUAAUAUAAAAAAAGACACAAAAAAAUGACCUUCAGAGACUAUUGUCGUCACCAGAAUGUUUUGCCCGCCACACAAGCUUCACAUAUCUUUUGCAACUCAGAUUUGGAAACUUUAGAGUACCUUUUUAUAUACUGUAACUUUUCUAGGAGUGUUUGGAUGAAAGUUUUGGAUUAGUGGGGUAUCUAAUGUUGUUGUCGAGCACUUUAGACUCGCUACUUCUACAACAACAUGGAAUGGUGCAGGGUAAAUUCCAAAGAUUAGCUUGGAGACUAAUCUCUAGUAGUAUUACUCGGGGUAUUUGGUUGUUGAGGAACAAAAUUGUUUGUGAGGAGAGAACUAUAAGUUUGUUUGAUUGUUUCUCUAUCAUCCUUUAUCAGGUUGCUAUUUAGUUGUAUACUCUGUAUUCAAACUUUACUUAUACAGGAAAUGAUCUCUUAAGAUCUUUUGAUGAUAUCAAAUUGUGGUGUAAUAAGAAAUCUUAGGUAGUUUCUUUGUUUUUUUGUUGUAGCAAAUCAGUUUUGUUUUCUUUUUUUCCCCCUUUUUUCUUUUUUUUUUUGUCCUAUGAGACUAUUGUCAUCUGCAUUUUUUCCAUGAUAUAGGCCAGUGGGAUGGUCCAUGAGACCAUUGCUAUCAAGCGUUUUUUGUACGAGAUGGGUCCACGAGACCAUUGCCCUGUAAGCUUGGGAAUGGAUAAUAUGCUUUAAUUUCAAUUUAGUUUACAAAAAAAUUAAAUUAAAUGCUUAAGCAUAAAAAAUAAAUCUCAAGUGUUAGAAUGCAAUUACCGAUUAAUUAAUGGACAACGGACCUUAGAUUAAUUAAUAUAUGAUGCAUCUUUCAAUGGAAAUGUAAAUGCUUUACUAGAAUAUUAUUUUUUUUUGUAUUUGUUUUCUGGUUAUAUUUAAUUUUCAUCAAUAUUCCUAACAUAAAUUGCUACGUAUUUUGAAUCUUGAAGGAUUGAAAGAUAGAAAACAGAAAAGAAAAGGAGACAAGGCAGUUCAAAAGAAGAAGAAAAAAGUACGAUAGUGAAAGAAAGAGAAGAGAAUAAAAGUGGAGCAGUUUUUAUUAACUAUAUAAAUUUUAUAAUUACUAAUAUUAAAUUCAAAAUAUGUACAUAUUACAAAUAUGUAAACAUAUCAUAUGGUUUAAAAGAAAUGGCUUUUAUAAACAUAUAUGGCUUAACAAUAUUAAUCAACUCCUAAUAUUUUCAUUUUAUAUAUAUUAAUUAAAGUAAAUAUUAAAACCUAUUAUAUUAAUCUGUGAAGGUAUUUACUCGGAUGCAAAUUAUAUUUCUAAUUUAUUAUUAAAAAAAAUUCUAUAUACUACAACUAGCUUAAGAAAGUCAUGUUUAUCAGGAUCAUAGAGUAAAAAAAAGAAAAAAUUGAAUUGCAUAAAAGUAUCACUAGCUUAAGAAAGUUAUGUCAUCUGCAUCUUUCCUCGAGGAGAGGCAGUGAGACGUCCUCUUCCAACCAUCAUGCAUUUUUUCCAUGAGAUGGGUUCGUGGAAAAACUUUGGUUUAAUUGGGAAUGCUGUUAUUGAUUGGAAAAUUUUUAAUUAAAAUAAAUUUGAUUUUUUGAUUGGAAAAAAAUCCUUAAAUGACAUUAACACAUGACUCCACUUUAUUUUCUUAAGAAAAAAAAUAUUGUAACCAUAUAAGUUUCAAGUUUAAAGGGUUUUCAUUUGAAGGGGUGUGUUAGAGAAUAAUAUAAAUCAUAUCUUAGAAUCUAACCUAAUAGCUUAAGCUUUUGGGUUGAAUCGGUUCUUUGACAUGGUAGCGGAGCCUUGAUGACCAAGCGAUCACGAGUUCGAAUCUCAUCAUCCCCAUUUAUUAGAUAAAAAUUAAACACAAGGUAAUGUGGAUCUGUACAAGUUUCAAGCCCUUCUAUUGGGUUAAGAUGGUAUCUUGAGGUCUCACCUAACAACUUAAACUAUUGGGUUGAGAUGGUUCUUCGACAGGCUACCAGAUGGUGCGGCGCUACACCUCUGUUCUUGCUUUUCUCUGCUUGUUUUCUCUUCUUUUUUUAUUUCUCUUGUUCCCUUUGUCUCUCUCUGUAUUAUCUAUGUUUGUUCAUUUUUCGUCUAUGUCUUUUUGUAUUAUCUGUCUGUGGUUCUCCCCUUCUAUGUGGCUUUUCUUUGUUUGUCUUGAUUUCUCUGGGUUUGUAUUUGGUUGGUUCAACAACCUACGGUGAGGGGAAGUUGAAUAUUAAAGGCUCCCAUGCCUCUCUAGCAAUAAUAUUAUUUUUUAUUUAUCCCCAAAUACAUGUGUCAUUUAUCAAAAUAAUUAAUUUAAUCACCAAAAAAAAACAAAUAGAUCCAACAACCAUGCCAUUCCACAGUUAAUUUUUUUUAUAUUAUGAUUUAGUGCUAUGUUAACCGGGCAACCUUUAAUUACCAUGAUAUAAAAUAAAAAAAUAAUGGGAACAUAAAAUAAAUGUUUUUAUAUAUUUUUUAUUUUAAAAGGAAAAAUUUUACUCUAAUUUUACUCAAAAACUAUUGCAAAAGGAUAUUUAUUUUAAAUUUAUCUAUAUUUUUAUAGUUCAAAUAUUAAAAAUAAAAUAGAAUUAAUCACUAAGUUUUCUGGUUACAAAUACAUUUGUAAUUGUCUUUAUCUCCCUUGUAUUUCUAACCAUUAACGAAUUGAAUAUAUAAUAAAUACUAAUUAACAAAAGAAUAAAUUUAGCUGUAUAAUGUACUAAAGUUUAAAUAGGUGACUUUAGAAUCACCAAGAAGGCAGUGAAUCACACGGGAAGAUUGAAAGAAUAAUUAAAGUGAUUUUACUAACCGACAAGUUGACCCCAAGUCAAAAGUCUUUUGUGGAAAAACAUGAAUAAAAGGUUGACGUAAGACCAUUGCUAUCAAGCGUUUUUUCUAAGAGAUGGGUCCGUUCCACCAUAUAUAUGCUUUAAUUUCAACCACCAUAAAAAAUAAAUCUUAAUGUAGUGUGUUAGAAUGCAACCACCGAUUGAUUAAUUUUAAUGGCCGGUCAUUUAAACUUGGGUGUUUUUUCAGUAUAUAUAUAUAUAUAUAUUCCUCAAUUAUCAUAAAAAAAUAAGAAAAAACUAAUAAUAAGAUUAAAAAUAAAUGUUUUAUUUAUCGAAAUAAUUAAAAGUAAGGUUUACUGAAGGUAUAUACGGGAUUAAUAAAAAAUAACAAUAAAAUCAAUUUAUAAAAAAAUAAAUCAUAGAUUUAGUUUUCCUAAAUUUUAAAUGUAGUGUGAAUGCAUUCCGCAAGAAAAAAAACAGUGCAAGAUUAGCCUUUCAAGAAAUAGAGAAUCUUCCUCUUUGAAGGAAUUAAUUAGUGGGUUGGAAAAAUGUCGUCUUUUGCUCUAAUAUUUUCUUCACUUGGUCUAUAGUUUUACCUUACACUAAUAUUUUCAAGAUUUCAAUUGAAAAGGAGGGUCGUAAAAAAUUUAAUUUUUAUAAACAUACCCUUAAUUAACUUAAUUUGGAUGUGGAUAAUUGUUUGCAAUAUAUUUACAUCCAAUAUAAACAAUUCAUCAAUGAUCAAGUCGGCCUUGGUUAGCUAAAAUAUUGAAAAUACUUGCUCUCUCCUUUUUUCUUUUUUGGCCAUGCAGUUCCUAUAUAUAUAUAUUAGUUGAAAUUUUAUGAUGUCUAUUAAUCCUUUUAAAUUAAAGUCAAGUUAUUAAUUAUAUCCUAUAGAUUUCUAGAAAAACUAAUUCUCUCAAAUUUCGUACAUUUUACUUACAAACUAUAAAAGGUGAUUGCUACAAACUAAAAUUUCAAACAAGGAAGCUUAAAUCUCUUUUAUCUACAUUUGAAAUUUACAAAAAAUAAAAUUAUAUUGGAUUAAGCCUAAACACUAUAUAAAAUUCUUGAACAACACAUUAAAAACAAAUCAAAGAUACUUUUCAAAAUAUCAAAUCAUUAAAUCUUACAUAUCAAAUAAAUCAAGUUAUCAUAUAUCAAAUUAAAAGGAAGAAUUAAAUGAUUGUUUUAUUUUUUAUAAAAAUAUUUUAAAUAGAAAUUAUAAUGUGGAUCAUAUGGCUCAAUGCAAAUUAAGGUCUCACAUAUAGCCAGCUAUAGCAUGGGAUAGCCAGCGGUCAUUCCAUCAGGAGAUUUGUGAAUUCUGAAGCCUUUGCAAUGUGCAUGGCAUGUGUCCAAGAACCCACCAGGAACUCCAUUUUGACUGGGAAACCUUUGACGAACUGUAUUAUAUGUGAUUUGCUCCUGGUAUUAUAAAUUAGAAAGUGUAAAUUGUAAAUCCCAACCAAUAAGAUAUCUACAUAAGAGUCUGUAAAUGUUACAGAUGAUUUAAGUUUGUUUAGCAAAUUUUUCAAGAACAUGUUUGUCUUUGAUAGCUUAUUGUCAUAGCUGUGAACUCUGAAGAAAAUUGAUGUAAGAAACCAAAGUCCAUUUUGUUCUAGAUUGUAGAUGGAUAUAAGCUUGGUGAUUCCCGAUUCUUUUAUUAAUUUCAUUUUAUACAUUCCCUGUGAUGUGUUCUUAAUUUAUAUACCACACCGAUGUCUGUUAGGUUCUGAUUCAAUCGAAUUGGAGCCGAUCAAAAUUGUAAUGACUCAGUUUCUUUUAUGACCUGGAUUGGGCUUCACAUGCCCUUGAUUAUGCCCAAGAAGAAAACUAAAUAAAUAGUAGAUGAGUAGUGUACUGAAAAUAAAUAUUUUCAGCAUAUUACAUAGAUCUAAAACAAUAGCACACAGGAAUUAAAAAAGAGGAGGGAUCGCUAGGGAUACAAGAUUUGCAGCCAAAACUAUGACCUGACAUGUUCAGGAAACAGAAGGGAACUAUGACCUGACAUGUUCAGGAAACAGAAGGGAGGUGUUUCUUUUAAACACAAGGCAGAUUUUUAUGAUCUUAUUCCUUUUGGUCAUUAAAUUUUCUUAAAAGGAGCUUUGGUUUGAUUCCUACAAGCUGGGGGCAAAUCUUCAGCGUUUCGACAGUCAGCCUCAUGAGCAAAAGAAAGACAAUGUGCGACCACUCCAAGCUUCUCGUUGCUCCCCUGUUCCGAUUAGAAAUGGAGAUUCAAGAAGCUAUGCUACUGUCCUGAGACAAGAGUUCCAACGAAAUCUACUGUAAGUUCCCAAGACACUCUUUUAUAACACUUUGGUCAUUUCCAUGACUUUAUCUGCAUAUCUUGUGCAGGCCAGUUCCAUGUUUUGAGAUUUGAAUAUUAUUUUAUUUUAUUGUUUAGCACUUAGUCUAUUCGCCAGGUUGGGAAAAAUAUUCAAAUUAGUUUUGUUGGCAUGUAACCUCACCAAACAAUUUAAGACUUCACUAAACAAUUUGCGUAGACCGUAUUGACUGGGAGUCAACUAUUGUCGUAGUGCUUUUUUGCACUAUCUGUGUGCGUGAAUGGAAAGAAAAGCAGGGUGGCAACUGGGGUGAGAAAAUGAAUAGAAAACUCCAACAAGGGUGUGAAAAUGAGUUACUUCUCCAAAAAGAAUAUAUAAAUUAUUGAAUAUCUAAUGGAAACUGUCGUGAACGCGGAUGCUUGACUUGCUGUGUACCAUUUUGAUUUUUAAACACAACCAUGCCGUAAUUUCCUGGUGAUUUCCUUAUGCAUACUGGUGGUCUUCCAGAAUCUUUUUCCAAACAAUCCUCGUUAGACCCUGCUCGGGGAUUAACCUGGAGUAAGAUUUGUAUCAUGGUUUUUUAUCAUGUUCCAGGUCAACUUGGAUCAACUAAAUUUUAUGAGUAUGUCAAAACGACAUUGUUUUUUAUAUAUAAACAUAAAUAUGAAUCUUGAGCUCUUUUAUAAUCUUAAGACGAAGUAUAUUAAUAGUUGAACCAUUAUCCACCAAGAUACAAUUCAUCAUCUUUUCAUCGAUAUAUCUUUUAAUAAAAAAAUAUCGUUUAUGGAGUUUUGAUUCAAGCAACAGGUCUUCAUCGUUAAAGAAUAUCUAUGUAGUGUAUACACCUUGAGACAAGUCGAAAGAGUUAGUCAUGACAGGUUUAGUAGGAGUUUUCUUUAUAGUUUUCUCAUUUUUUAUGUUAAAUUAGGAAGAGAUCAAUAAGAAACUGAACUUGAAGAUGGACUAUAUCAUUGUUAACUUCUUGAUCCGAAUACUCCAACAUGAUGGUUAGUGCAAAUUUUUUUUUUUUUAAAAAUAGCAAAAACAAAGUAAUUAAACAAGACAGACUUAGGAUUCCACAGAUAAAUAUAUGGCCAUAUUUGUUUCCCGGAAUUCACUUUCCGGGAAGCCACUUUCCAAACUUUCCUGUGUUUGUCUGCCAUUAGAAAAGUUGGUCAACGGAAAACACUUUCCAGUCAAAGGAAAAUUUAGCUUGGUUUCCAGGAAAGUGUUUUCCUUGAAAAUUUAUGCGGAAAACACUUUCUGAAAGUUGUGAAAAAUUUAAAAAUGUCAUAUUAUUUGCUGAUUAUAUCAAAUUUGGUCCUCAAACUUUUGAUUGCUAUAUAUAUAUAUAUUUUUGUUUUGAAUAUUUAUUUUUCAAUUUCAUCUCUUAAAAUUUAAUUUUUAUAUUAACUUUGGUCCUCAUUUUUAUAAUUGUUAUUUGCUUUUCCCUUAUCAUUUUCUUAUUGAAAUUUUUUAUCUAUCAAAUUUGGUUCUCAUUCUUUUGAUUGUUACUUAUUUUAUUUGAAAUAAUUUAUGAAAUGUUAAUUAUUAUUAUUAUUUUAAUUUCUUCAUCUUUCAUUUUUAUUUUAUUUUUUAGAUUUGAUUUUUAUUAUUUUGAUUAUUAUUAUUUAUUUGAGAUAAUUUAUGAAAUUAUAUUUUUUUUCAAUUUCAUUCUCAUUCAACUUUUUAAUUUGUAAGAUUUGUUCAUCAUUAUUUUAAUAAACUUGAGAAAAUAAAAUAUUAAUAAGUUAUUUUCCAGUUCAUUUUCCAUGACAUAACCAAACACUGAAAAAUAUUUUCCAACUUAUUUUUCAUUACACUACCAAACAUCGAAAAAUAAUUCACUUUCCUGGAAUUCACUUUAAAAAAAAAACUACUUUCCAGCAAGCAAACGGGCCAGUUUCAACACUUCUCUAUUGAAACGUUCAACAAUAAGGCUAAGCUAUGAGGUCAACCCACUAAAAAGCACCCAUUAGCUGGACACAUUCAAGAAAAUUGCCGACAAGUUUCGAACUAACACAAUUUUGGGCCGAGAAUGCAAGAAGCAAACCACUGAUUCCCCCACCAGCAACCACAACAAAUUCAGUGCUCCCAUGCUAAGAUCCUCUGAUGUUGGAGAACUAGCGAAAUUUAAUACAAGGCUUCAACACUCCGAAGCCUGCUAGAGAAAUAUUAAAGCAAAAUAAGUAGUAGCAUUAAACAACAGCCAUUUCAUCAGUUUUAAUUUUAGUAUAACACAAUAAUAUGAACCAACCUUGAUUCUCAAAGGCACCCAACUAAUUCAUAGCCUUCAAAUCAAGACUUUGCAAUUCUUUAAAAGGCAGAAACAAAGAUGCGUUGAGAACCCACUCCCCUAACCCCCAAUCCCCAGCACCCCCAAGAGAGAGUUGGAUCACUCGCCUUUCGGUGGUAUCGCACACGAUCCUAGACCACUCACAACAAUUAUUGCCCAGGUAUUUCAACAGUUAUGGCUUGUGUGGGUUUUGGUUCACGAUGGAGAUGAUGGAUACAAUAAUGUAUUUCGACAACAAAACUUUCAAUGCUUGUGAAUGGCUCUCCAACUAAAGAGUUCUUUAUCGAAAAGGGAUUGCGACAAGGGGACUCUUUAUCAACAUCUCUUUUCAAUAUAGCAACUGAGGGUCUUAGUAGAAUGCUAAGAAGAGAUGUGGUUUGGGACUUAUAAAAGGUAUUUGUUUUGGUCACUUUCAAGUUUGUAGAUGAUACACUCAUCUUCAGUUCAUAUGAUUUUCCAUCUCUUCAAAACAUCAAAAUAACCAUGUGAUGUUUUGAGUUGAUUUCUAGGCUGAAGGUUAAUUUCCACAAGAGCUCAAUCACGAGAACUAUUGUUAUUUCUUCAACUGCUAGCAAUCUAAUAUGUAGUAUGGAGGGGAUGCCAUUUAAGUAUUUGGGCCUGCCUAUUUGUGCAUCUUCAUCUCAUGUGGAAAACUAUUGUUAAUAGAAUCAAUAGCAAGUUGGCACUUACCUAUUGGUGAGAGAGUGUGCUUGCUUAAAUCAAUUAUAAAUAAUCUUCCUAUCUACAACCUUUCUUUAUUUCCUAUCACAUCCAUUGUUGCUACCAAAAUUGAGAAACAUAUCAUAUCUUUCUUUGGUUCUUAGGAGGAAGGAGGGAAAAAACUAUGCAAUGUUAAAUGGGCAUCGGUGGUUCCUCCAAAAAAAAACAAAAAGGGCUGGGUAUAGACUACAUUAUUGAUAAAAAUCAUGGGUUACUAACACUUCCAUAGCAAAGAGAUAUGUAUUUUCCCUAUUAAUUUCUCAAGUUACCAUAAUGAGAGUGUGAUGUGACUCCAAUAAAUGUAGGAUAUGUUAAUUAGGUAUACAAUGUCUAUGUGAUAUGGACAUAAUCAUUUUUGGUAUGUCAAAUUCUUACUAUUUCACUCUUAAGAGUAGAAAGAUCUAGUUAGUUGGACUGCAUUCCGAUCUGCAAUCUUCCUAUAUAUCCCAAUUGUUGUAUUUGCUUUAGUGGCUAAGCAAGUUUUAGAGAAACCACUUGAAGAAGUAAGUGCGGUUUUGAAAGAGUUUCAAGAUGUUUGUAAUAGAUUUGAUCCCUAGUGUUAUAUUGACCUCUUGGUUUCAAGCAAGAAACACACUUCAAUAUCAUUAUGCGUAAUUGUAUUCCUAAUAGAGUUAUGAUGUAAGUUAUGAUGUAACGAAGACUCCCUUUUCUCAUUCUAGAAUCCGGUGAUUCCACCUCACGUUCAUCCUCCACCCGCUGAAGACUUAUACCAUUGAAAGAGAAAAGCUCCAGCUUUGGGUGUAAACUGGAUUGAUUGCAUCCCAUCUGAAUCACGUGGGCUUAAUUAAUGGAAGGAACGAACAAUUGUCGGUUUUAAAAGUUUGGUUUGUAACAAUCAUUGUAAUUUCAAAUCUCCAUACUCCUUCCAUUUAAGCAAGUAAUAAUAACAGAGAAUAUGUAUAAAUCUCAGUGUUGUUUUACAUUUUAUAUAAGAUAUUACAGUUUCAUUCAAAAAAUGAGAAAUAACAUUAAAAAUCCUCAAAUUCUACCACCUUCAAUUCUCAUUCAUCAACAACAGCAUACAUUCAAACAAGUGAUCAAUAGUGAUCAAGUGAUGAGGACUAGAGUAAGAUUCGCACCAUUGUAAGCUUGACAAGCUUCGCCUACUCUAACUGUAACGAAAGAUUCAGUGCCUAAUCUCUGGACGGAGAAGGGGACGCCCUUGUUAUGUACACGGUUGCUCUAAAUGGUUCGAUGAUGCUCAUUUUAAACAUAUCAUGUCAGGUUGUCAAUUUCGUUCUGGUUAGUGUAACGGACCCGACUGUACGACUUGAUCAAUGUUAAAAGAUCCCAAUAUAUUCUCUUAGCCUGAGGAUAAUUUUUUUUUUAAUCUAUCAAAAAUUCAGCAGAGUUUUGUUUGUAUUUAGGACAUCCCAAGUUAUCGACCACUAUCAAUUUACUCAAUCAACCCAUCAUCACAAGGUCCCAUAAAUCCGGACCUUAGAUUAAUCAUCAUAAUUCAACACCUUACCCAAUCCACACAAUAUAUAUCCUACGAGUAAGUUCAAUAUCAACAUAACCCACAUAUCAUAUUAUAAAAUUUAAAAGAAAAGGAAAUACUAACAUGCAAAGAAAGCAUUACAACAUAAUAAGUGUUCUUAACCAUAUCAAAAGGGUUAAUUACAAGAUAACUAAAAUACUACAUGCUAAGCUGAACUUUUAUAAAUACAUCAAGGUUUACACAAAAGUAUACUACAUAAACACGUUAUUUCUCUUUUGUUUAAGUUAAAUAUUUACAUAAGCUUGACAAAGUAGAGUCCUAAAUUAGUGAUCUCUCUGGAUAUUUGAUGGACCUGUUAUAUAAAUAAACAUGUCAUUAUGUUGAUAAAAGAAAUAUAUAUAAGCUCAUGUAAUGUAUCCGAAUGAAGUAUUAAUUUCUAUUGGAUCCAUAAGGAUUCUAACAGACAUCUUAUAUUUUGCUUGUAAAUCUUUUAAACCCAAUUUACACUCAUUUGCAUAUUCUUAAUUUGAAUACUCUUAUUUAUUUGCAUGAACCGGGUGACCUUGCAAAGUCUAUUCUUGUAAUCCAUUUCCCAGCAAUCAUAUCACGAAUACCAUUAGCCGAAGCAAAUCUUGUAAUUCAUCUCCCGGCAAUCAUAUCACGGAUGACAUUAGCCGAAGCUAAUCUUGAGAUUCAUCUCCCUGCACUCCUAUCACGGAUGCCAUUAGCCGAAGCUAAUCUUGCAAUCACGGAUGUCAUUAGCCGAAGCUAAUCUUGUAAUUCAUUUCUCAGCACUCCAAUCACGGAUGCCAUUAGCCGAAGUUAAUCUUGUAAUUCAUUUCCCGGCACUCCUAUCACGGAUGCCAUUAGUUGAAGCUAAUCUUAUAAAUACACUAGACUUUAUUUACAUUGAACACGAUAUUUAUUAUAAUUGCAUUCACUAGAGGAAUUUUAAAUUGUAUAAGUACAAAUAGGAGGGAAAAAUCACGCACCUGCUUCGCCUGUUUCGUGACCUCCUCUAACAGAAGAUCCAAUCCUGGUUGCUCCUCCUGAAUCACAAGGAAGUUUUUGGUUAUGAUUCCUUCAAGCUGAUAUUAUAGAGGCUCCAUAUUCAUUCAUUACUCAUAUGUUACUUUCUAUGCAUGUUCAUUUCCUUAUAAUAACAAACAUACAUAAAUCAAGUAUAUUUUCAAAGUUAGUAUCUCAAUGUGCAAGUGUUCGUAUGACUCAAUUCUUUUAUAUUCUUACAUAUAAUAUUCACGUGAAAGUCUACUAUUACUAUCUAACUUUGAACUGUUACUGUCCAACGGUUGCUGUCCAACAGUUGCUGUUUGAACAGUUGCUGUUUGAACUCUUAUCAGAUUUUUAACUAUAUCUAGAGUUCUAGAACUCCAUUUUAAGUGAGAUUGAUCUUGUUGGAAAGCUAAGACACGAGGCUACAAGUUCUCUAAAGGAAGGAGAACCCAGUUCUGCCUCCAGGAUAGUCAAAAUUGCUCAUCAACCCAUCAAUCCUACUGCUCUACAAAAUCAGUCACGACUCAGUCUUGGUUGGUAACCCAUAACUGGAGUUAUACAUCUCCAAAUUGAGCAAGAUUAAUUUCCUUGGUUAGCUAACAUCCAAAUCUACAAUUUCUAUAAAGGAAUCUGAUCCUAAUUCCCUCAUCCUCCUACCCGAAAUCUCACCAAAAGUUAGGAGACAAGUUUGUCCAGAUUCGUUUGCCCCUCCCCUUCACACAAUACUUUCAUAAACUACACACCACACACAUGAAUUAACUUAAUCUUAAUAAUAAGUACUUUUUCUCCAAUUCAUGUCUAAGAACCCUAACCUAUGAUUCAAUAUCAAGGCAUCAAUUCAUUAUCGAUUUGAAAUGAAUUUUUUUAAUAUCAUGUUUAGAACACCUUACCCAGUACAAAUUAAGAUUUUGAUCUCCAACCAGUUGAAGAUUUUCAACUCCCUCCUUUCUUUUCUUCUUGUUUAAUUUCUUGGUAAUCCCUUGCUCUCAAGUGUUUAUCCCAUCUAUAAACCCUUAAUCUUGGAUGGGUUCUCGAAAUUUUAGUGUUUCUCUCUUGAUUUCGCAAGAAUGGGUAUAAAACUCCUUAUUUUCUCUCAUUAUCGUUCCUGCAGAUUUUUGGUGAGGAGAGAGUAUUUAUACUCUAUAGUUUCCCUUAUUUGUAUUUAGGCCCCAUUUCCUUUAAAUUUCUGAAUUCUUGUCUUUUAUUUAACCAUACGCAUGAAUUUCUUGACUUUUAUUUCUCAUAUAGUUAGUUUUCAAUUUAAGCAACCUUUAUUUUUUUAUUUUUUUUCUGAGGUUUACAGUUAGUGUUUCAUUAUUUAAUUGAAAUGGUAUGUUUUGGUUUCGGAGCAUUUCGGCGUGCUAUUUCAGGAUUAUACUGUUCAUACUAUUCAUAUAUAUAUAUAUAUAUAUACAUACUCAAUAAACAUAAUUUUGAUUCAAAUUUAAAGAUAAACUAACUUGAAAUUAUGCAAUUAAAAUUUCAAACACAAGUAAAAAAAGUGAGAGUUGAACCAAUAUGACCCGAUCGACUAGAUAGGCCCAAAGACUACCUGAAUGACUGGUAAGAAUAGAGUUUGACUCAAAAAAAUUUAAGAUGACAUAGUUUUUUAAAAAAUAUUGAGAUGACAACAUAUUAGAUCGACCGGGUUCAACUCAGGUUAACCUUUUAAAUCCGUAAUCCAGGUCAUGAGACUAUAAUAACUCUAAAUAAAACAAAUCAAAACAAAUUAUAAAGCUCAAUUCUUAAUAAACCUAUUAUUUAAUAGUUAAAUUGAAAAAAAAUAAUCUAAAAAAAGGACACAAAAAAAAUGACAUUUCAAAACAAAAUUAUGAAAAUGUCACUAGCAGUCUCGCAAGGCCUUUCUAAACUCCAAUUGCUCUAUAAUUUUAACCUGAGAUAUAACAAUAUGUUAGGAAAAUCUUCAUAAGAUUUCAGUCUGAUCCACCAAUCGAAUUGAAAGAUAUGAUUGAUAUCGUAAAACUAGCUAAUAUUGUUUUAGAAAAAAAAAACAUUAUUUGGCCGGAAUGGAACCGGAACAUUCGAGCCAGAAUUUUGGCGGAAUUUAUGGAACGGGCUAAGACUCUGAGCAAGAUGAAAUUUGUUUCAGUUUGUUUUAUUUUUUAAAUUGGAAAGAGAUAUACCAGUCAUUUUGAAUGGAACAUAACAAAAUUGACAACCUUGUAUCAUGGUUGAUUAGAGUUUUUUUUUUUUUGUCUUUUUUUUCAAAAAUUUUUCCAACAUUGAGUUGAUUGGUAAUCGAGCUUCAUAAUUUAUAUGUUAACAUGCCAAAUUCAUGACCUGAGUCAUGAGACUAUAAUAACCUCAUAAAAGUAUAUUGAACAAAUUACAAAGCAUAAUUCUCAACCACCAGUGUUUAAAAAUGAAAUUGAAAAAAUAACAUAAAAAAUGACUCAAGUCAACUCAAGAACCUGCCAAAUCCGUGAUCCAGGUCACAAGACCUAGAUAACCUCAUAGAAAGCAAACUGAAAAAAUAAUUCGGGUCAACCUAGGUUACCCUGCCAAACACGCAACUCAGGUCAUAAAACUAGGAUAAUGCUAUAUAAAGCAAAUAGCAACAAAUUUUAAAGCAUAAAUCUCAAUCAACUUAUUUUAAAGCAUAAAUCCCAAUCAACUUAUUACAAUUCACUCGCAUUGUUCACUUUAGUGAACAGUGCUACAGUGGAGCCAUGCUCCACUGUUGAGGUUUCUCCCAGACGAGAAGCAAUAAAACGUUUAAGGAAAUAAAUGUUGCUUCUCCAAAACCUGCGGUGCCAUAUGGGUCCUACGUGCUGAAAGCACUUUUAUUUUCUUAACCAAACGUUUAUUAGCGUGGCUGCGGGUGAACCUCACCCGCAACCACGUUACCAAACGAGCACUUAGUCUCAAAGAAGAAACAAUUACUUGGUUCUAUAUCCUUAGCACGUCAAACAUGAGGGUAUGAACAGUAACCAUUGUGUCCACUAUAAAAUAUAAGGGGGUGAACAGUGCGGCUACAAAGUAUUCACCCCACACACUUUAUAUUAUAAGUAACUAGUUUUUGUAUUGGCACUCCGCGGCGGGGUGGUUAUUUUUUUAAGUAAAAAAAUAAUAAUAAGCAGGCUCUUACAAUGCACUUUUUAAUAUAAUUUUUUUUCAAUCACAAAUCAAAAUGCCUAUACAUAUAUUUAGUAAUUAGAUCGAUAUUUGAUAAAUAGGUAACUAAGAUUAAGAUAUUUGAUAUCACGACAUGAAUCAUGUGCUUAGUUGUGUUUAACAAUUAUGUUUCCUAGAGUUUUUUUUUAUGAACCAACCAUAUAUUCCGAUAAAAGGUAACAAAAAAUUCAUACCAAUAUUGAAUGAAGAAACUAAAAAAAAAAACCAAUAAAAAAAAGACUGUAUAAAUACACUAAUUUAUUGACCAUAUUGACAAAACAAGUCAAAACUGUAUAAAUACACUAAUUUAUUGACCAUAAGUAAAUGAUUGAGAUAAUAAUACGAAAAGAAAAACUUUUUACCGGACAAUGAUCAAUCCUGGUGAUGUCCAAAGUGUAAAUCAAACAUUUUAUAUCUUGCCAUGAGAAACAAAUAUAUCACAACUUGUUUUUAUUGUAUUCUAUUAUGACUUGUUUUGUGCCUUACAUUAUUUAAUAUAUUAAAAUAAAUUUAAUAAAUUAUACUGAAGCAAGAUCUAAUAUUAGAAAGUUAACGGAAAUAAUAAAUAUAUUUUUAAAUAUAUUUACAGUUCGGUCCCUUAAUUAACUUUUUGUUUGUAAAAUGUGGAGCUGUCAGCAAUAUUUCCUUAGUUUGUGUCGCUAACUGUGAUUAAAGGAUCAAUUAAUUAUUUAUUUAAAUCAACCAGAGGGAUUAAUCUGUUUGUUUAACAAAAAUACAGACACUAAUUAAAUAGAAUUUAACUCAAAUUUUAAUAAUCAAUAUUUUUAGAUGGAAUCUUGGUAGAAAAUUUAAUCAUCAUAUCCUGGGUAUUUUGGAAACAAAAUUGGAAACUUUGAAUGAUUUCACUAUUACUGCUAUAUGGGGUCGUCAUCCUAGGGCUUGGUAUGCAGUUCCCUCAUUAGGCCUUUCGGGGGGAUAUUAUGUAUAUGGAAUCCGAAUCUUUUUUGUGUCUCUAGCUGUUCUGUUGCUAUGAAUGGCUGUAUUUUGCAUAUUGAAGGCACCUUCACUCGGUCCAAUCUAGAUUGCCUAGUCUCUUUUGUAUAUGCUCCGAAUGUUGGGAACCUGAAGAAUGAGCUGUGGACUUAUCUUGUUACAUUCAGGGAUAGUGUUAGCAUGUCGUGGUGUCUUGCAGGUGAUUUUAAUGAAACCUUAUUCCCAUCAGAUAGGAAAGGCGGCUCACAAAUAACAUCUUCCAUGACAAGAUUUCAAAAUUGCAUUGAUGGUUGUAAUCUUAUGGAGCUCCCCUUAAAUGGGAGAAAAUUUACAUGGUCUCGAGGUAAUGCGGCGAGCCGUAUUGAUAGAAUAUUUUUAUUGGGGGAUUGGUUGCAGGCUUUCCCGUCCUCUACUUUAUUCGGUCUCUCAAAAUAUUCAUCUGAUCAUAGGCCUCUGCAUCUGUUGCUAGACUCUACAAAUUGGGGCCCGAAACCUUUUCGCUUCAUGAAUUGCUGGUGGCUUGCGUCUGAUUUCAGGAUUAUGAUUCAGAGCUUUUGGAGAUCACUCACGGUUUCAAAAUCUGGCAUAAGGAAAAUGGUCCCAGCUCUAAAGAUGUUGAAAGAGAGAUGUCGGCAGUGGAGUAAAGCUACUGUGGGAAACAUGAAUAACAGAAUUGAAGAACUGGAACUUGAAGCUGACUCAAUGGAUCAUCAAAAUGAGUGCAGGGUUUUGACUGCUGAUGAACUGAUUAGAAGUAAUUCCAUUGCCUCCCGGCUCAAAAUCCUGUAUAGAGCUCAAGAGUCUGCCUAGCAUUAGAAGUCAAGAAUUCAGUGGUGUAAGCUUGGAGAUAAAAAUACCCGAUUCUUUCAUUUAGCUGCAACAACAAGACAGAAAAAGAAUCAGCUUGCAUGCCUAGAGGUUGAUGGACAGAUCCUAUCUAAACCAAGCGAUGUGAAUCUAGCUGUCUUUCACUUUUUCCGCAACCUAUACUCCCAUCAGAACAGACCUAGAGCUUCAUGUUCAAACCUGGAAUUCUCAAGGCUGAAGCAUUCAUCCUCGGCUGCUCUUGAAUUGCCAUUUUCUGCAGAAGAGAUUACAGCAGCUGUGUGGGAUUGUGAUGGAAAUAAAGCUCCAGGUCCUGAUGGUAUUAACUUCCUUUUCAUCAAGAAAGCAUGGAACAUUAUAGGUGAGGACAUUAUCCAGAUGGUUGAUGAAUUCUAUCGGACUAAUCUCCUUCCUGCAGGUAUCAAUAGCACCUUUGUUACUCUUAUUCCGAAGAUUAAAGGUGCUAACAAGCUAUCAGAUUUCAGACCUAUUAGUUUGGUGGGCAGCCUAUACAAGAUCUUCUCAAAGAUUCUAGCAACUAGGUUGAAACAUGUUAUGCCAGAGGUCAUCUCUCAUCAUCAAAAUGCUUUCAUCAAAGGGAGGCAAAUUUUAGACAGCGUCUUGAUUGCAAAUGAGGUUCUUUCUUUCAUCAAGAAGAAAAAGGGUAAAGCUUAUCUUUUCAAAUUAGAUUUUCAUAAAGCCUUUGAUUCGGUGUUAUGGGAAUAUAUUAAUGAAAUCAUGGCUAGUAUGGGCUUUGACCUGGUUUAUGCAAUGCAUAUCAACGGCAAAAAUGUCUGUGCUUGUUAAUGGGUCUCCCACGGAGGAAUUCUGCUUAGCAAAAGGCCUACGCCAAGGAGACCCUCUCUCUCCGUUUCUCUUCAACAUUGCAGUCCAGGGCUUGAGUUGUAUGUUGCAGCGUGGCUGUGAUUUGGGUUUGACUUCGGGUAUAAACAUCGGCAAUACAGGGCUUGUCAUAUCUCACUUACAGUUUGCGGACGACACCCUUAUGUUCAGUUCAGACUCUUUACAUAGCAUGCAGAACAUUAAACGUAUCCUAUUAUGCUUUGAACUUGUCUCGGGGCUGAAGGUCAAUUUUUAUAAAAGCAGCAUUGUGGGUGUGGGUGUAGCAGCUCAUACAUGUAACUUCACGGCUCAGCUUCUCAGAUGCAAGCAGGAUCAGCUGCCUCUCAUGUAUCUUGGGCUCCCCAUUGGUGGAAACUUGGGCAGAGCUACAAUGUGGAAUCCUAUUUUGCGCAAUAUCAGUUGCCGAUUGGCUUCGUGGAAAGGCAGGUUCUUAUAUAUUGGGGGCUGUUUGUGCUUGAUUAAAUCUGUGCUCAGUAAUCUCCCCAUCUACUACCUAUCUAUGUUCCCCAUGCCUGUUACGGUAGCCUCCAAAAUUGAUCAGAAACUUCGAUCCUUCCUCUGGUCAGGAAAUGAGGAAAGGCACAAAAUAUGCAAUGUCAGCUGGGCCACUGUUACUCUUCCAAAACAUGCGGGGGGUCUUGGGAUUGGUUCCUUAAGGGACAAAAACACAGCUCUGCUAUUUAAAUGGUUAUGGAGGUUUGGGUUAGAGGAAUCAAGUAUGUGGAAGGAUGUGAUCAAAAGCAUCCACAACACCAAUUGCUCUAAACUGCUGCUGCAAGCUCCUAUUCCAGGAGCUGCAACUACAUGGUCCCGGAUUGUUAAUCAUUGUGUGAGAAAUAAUAAGCUGCAGGAUAUUGUGAAUGAGCAAUCUCUGGUUCUUAUCGGAAAUGGCAAGAAGACUAUGUUUUGGCUUGAUUGCUGGCUUAAUAACCACUGUUUAGCAGAGCACUUCCCUACUCUUUUCCAAUUAUCCAAUGACAAAGCUGCCAGCAUUGCUAAGAUGGGAAUAUGGGAAGGGUAUAAGUGGAUUUGGGUUUUUUCCUGGAUACGUCCACUACGGGGGCGAAACAUUGGCUUGCUCGAUCAACUAUAUGCAAUCCUAUCGACAGUAUUGGUAAGCCAUGGCCAUCUUCUUGGUAUGUUCUCUGUUCCAGUUGGUAUUUUAGACUCUAAUAUUGCUGAGUUAAGGGCUAUUGUCAAAGCCAUUGAACUAUCAGCAUCUAAUUGUCUCCUCCACCAUCAACACCUCAUCAUAGAAUCUGACUCUGUCAAUGUUAUUAGCUAGAUGAAUAAGCCUCACAGCCGUCCCUGGAAGCAUCAUAAUUUGUUCUCCUUUGUUAAUAGACUGAAACCAUAUUUUGGUUCAAUCACCUUCUCCCAUAUCUUUCAUGAAAGUAAUUGCAUGACAGAUUGCAUGGCUAAACAAGGAGUGCGGAGAUCAAGUGAAUUUGUUGCCUGGCUUUGACUCCACCAUUUUUCUGUGGCCUUGCUCUUGUGUCUUCUGCCAUUAUGUCUUUGAGUUAUUUCUGUUAUGUUUUGUAGAGGAAUGUUUAGCUUUGAGCUCAUUCGGAUGGAUAUUCUAUGGUUUUCUUUGCUUUUGUUUAUCUUAGUCUGCGCUUUAUCCUAUAUAUGGCUUUUUGCCAUAGUAAGAUAAUGUGUAGCUUCUGUACUACUCCCGCCAGACUUUGGCGUUUAAUAAUAUACGCAUCUUUCAAAAAAAAUCCAUGUGAAUCGCACGACUUGUCCAUAUCUUUCUUAUUGAUUACAAAUAGCAUUGAGAAUUAAAGAAUAUUAUCUUAAUAAGUUCCAAUUUAUUCUACAAAAACUAUAUAUAAAGAUGUAUACAAAUUAGUUAUUUAUUGUUUGUAAGUAUUAUUGUAUUGCAAAGACAAAAAUAAGAUGCAACUUAUGGCGUGGUCGUCCAACCUGGUUCAGGUUUUGAUCCUGUUAAAAAUCUAUUUUGUUGAAUUGUUAUCUACUUGUGAGUUAUUGGGUUAACUAGAUCAAUUUUUUAAACAAAACAAUAUCAUUUAAAAAAAAAAAAUUGGUUCUGACUUAGAAAUAUAAUAUUAGAAACUUAAAUCUUAUUAUUAUAAAAGACUCAAUGGUAAAUUUAGUUUUGAAAUAGAUUUUUGUAAAAUCAAAUAUCAACUAAGCACCUGGAAAUUUAUUUGAAAUUACAAUAACCUUGUAGAAAACAAACAUAAAUAGAAUUAUUAAAUUCAAUGGAGUCCAUGACCUGAAUUACGGGUUCAACGGGUUAAGCCACGAAGCUCUGAUCGAUUUAAAAUAUUGUCGUCUUAAUAUAAAAAAAAAAUACAUCUUAAAAAAAAUAAAUUAAGCUAGACUACGUUUUUACCUAUUAUCUGGGUUGUUUUUAGGUUCAUCAUUUCGACUGAGUUAUAUUAGGACAACUACUACAUAAUUUAAUUUAAAAUUAAAGCUAAACAAGAAAUUAGGUAAAGAGAUUUUAAGAUUGAUUUGUUGGAUUGGAUUUAAUAACAAUACAAAAAAUCUAAAUAUUUCUUUUUUAUUAAAAAAAAAUUCAAUCCAACUCUCAUCGUAACGCAGUAUAGUAAGAUAAAUAGAUAUAAAUAUUUUGAUGGAUACUCGGGAUAAAAGAUUGUUUGAGGACAUUUUGCUAAUUUCUUUUGUUAUCUAAUCAAUCAAGCUCAUAGUGAAUAAGUAUAUUAAUAUAUACAAUUAAAUUAAAUAACAUAUAAGAGAAAAAUGGUCGCAAGCUAAAGCUAAAGUGAUGCGACGUUGAGCCACUAGUCGAUAGUUGUAACGUCAGUUUGUUGGUUCGUCGUUCGUUUCUCGGGCGAGUUUGGUUGUGCUAAACACAAUGAACCAAUAGAGUGCUUUGCUUUCUUACUUGGAGAUUCUGGAGCCUUGGAUUUUUUGAUAUUUAGGUUAUCUGUUUCUAGAAAAGAAAGAAAGAAAUAUUUAUAUUAUCAAUGCAAUGCAAUGAAACGACUAAAUAACAUUUAAUUAUUAUCAUAGCUUUGUCCUCGUACCUAAGGAAGUAUACUACGUCUUUUUCUCCAUUGUUUGAGUUUGAAAUUAUAUCUGUGAACCCAUUAAUUUAUCUAGAAAAAACAUUUAUUGGGUAAUUGGAUCAAUCAUUGAGGUCGUCAUAUCAUAUAUAAACCAAUUAUUUUAAUUAAAACAAUAUCAUUUUAUUUAAAAUUAAAUUUAUAAUACUAACUGAAUCCCUAAAAACACAAUUAGACCAAUCAAGUUUUAGCAAGUUAAUUUUUUUUUUUAAUUUUUUCAUAUUUAACUUGAAAUUCAAUCCAAAUUAAAUUAUAAAUUAUGGGUUUCUUAAAUUAACACAUGUUGGGUCAGGUCUACCAAUUAUGAUUGGAAUCCAGGGUUAAUAUCUAGAAGAAUUUAUUAAAUUUCUGUAUAAUUAGUCAAUCGAUGAGGGAAUUUAGUUUUGAUUGAUGGAGAAAUUAAUUUAAAGAUACCAUGCAAGAUAUAUAUAUAUAUAUAAACAUUUAAAGGGAAACGGACCCACCAUCAAUUAUUGUUAUUCGUUUAAUUAUAAAUAGAAUGAAGAGAAUGAUGCUCGCUGCACUUUUAUCAGCGACUGAUAAACCCCAGAAGGAGAACACUCUACAGAAUUAUUCCAUACUUUUUCGUAAAUUAUAAAUUAAAAAGAAAUUGGUUAUAACAUGGUUAACGAACACAGCACAAAAAUAAACAGGUGUAUUUCUUACAUAAAUUCUUAUUGUUUUGUUUUUCCAUUGGUUUCAUGAAAUUCUCUCAACAAUUGAACAAAAAACACUACAUCAUAGCUCACAAACAUACAUUUUAUAAGUCAAUUAAACCUCUUGUUUUUCUUAUGUGUCUUUUUAUUGUAAUCUCUGCAAGGUGACACCUGACAGAGCAAUCUGUUGAUAGGUCCAAUUCUGCUUUAUGUUGUGUUUCUUGCUGAGCAAAUAAAGGUCAUGGGUUUUCUUUCUUUCUUUUUCCCUUAUAAAAAUGGUCAUGCGGCCACAGACAGUUGCGAAAAAAAAGAAGCACUUAAUUAUCACUUAUUUGGUAAGUAGCGUACUUAUCAGAUGACCCUCAACCAUCAGUACCCAUUAUAAAUUAAUGUCGACAAGAGUAAAAUUAGGAGUUACCGUGACUUUCCAACAUCUAUCAUUAUAAAUUAAGUAUCAACAACGAUUAAGACUAAUUGUUUUACCAAGAUUCUCAACCAUUGUAAAAAUAGAUUUGAAAAAAAAAUCAUAGCAAAAAUUCAAAAAAAUAAAAAUUGCAUUGCUUUCCAUAUAUAUUUUAGUUUUUCUUAUAAUAAUAAUAAUAAUUAUAGUCUCUCGUGUCUCACAACUGUAUGUGUUUUUUCUUGAAUAAGCGCUAAUGUUCUUUGAGGGGUCCAAGCACCAUAUACUGAAAGAAAGAACUAGUUCAAAUUGAAGCACCAUGAGUUUCUCUACGGCUUGGUUCACCACCUGCUGGUGCGGCAAGUUAUGAACUAGCUGGCUAGUUUUUUGCUUCCUUGGUUUUAGAAGCACCAUGUGUUCAAAGAAUAGUCAACAAAGAAAAAGAAAAAGAAAAAGAGAAGGGCAAAAGGUUAAUUAAAAUCAGCAGGACUGCCAUGAGGCAACCUCAAGUAGUGAACUUGAAGGAAUAAAAAGUGCUGGGAAGUAAUUUUUGCUGAAACUUCUUGUGUAACAUCUUCUUUUGAUGAUGACCUCUUGGAUGGCUGCAUGAAGCUUGUUCCGUUUUAAAUUUCAAGGUUAAUCUAUUUCUAUGAGCAUUGGUGUUUCAAUUUCAACCUUAAGUUGCAACUGAACUUAAAUGAAUAGUGUUGGAUUUGGGCCUUCUAUUUGCUUUAACUUCUACAGGAUUGAAAUGAUAGUGAUCUUAAAGUACAAAAGCAGCAGACAAAAAUCAAUUAGCCACAAUAUAUAGUGUAUGGUUUCCUAGUUUCUCAGUAUAAAGUUGAAUGUUUUGGUGAUAUCUCUACAUCCAAAAUCAUAUAGACAGCUACUGCUGGCACUUGCAGUGGUCAAUGAAUACUAUAGAGUACAUAUUGCAGUUUGAGAUAAGGUUAACUCGUUGCAUUUUCAUAUAUUGAAAGGAUUUCUCUUCUUUUCUUUGUCAGUUACAGAACAUGCAUAGAAGUGUUCUUAUUCAGAGUAAAUGCUAUUGUAAUGUUUUCACGGACUCCCUUGCUUUGCAACUAAGUCACUAAUUAUCUUGGAACAUAGCCAUAAAUAAAAGGUUCUUCCAGUUCAAGAAAAUUAACCAUGAAGCUAGUAGCUAGAAUUUUUAGACAGAAUGGUGGCCAAGUAAACUCCUAUACUCUGUACCUCUGGAAUAAUGCAGGGAAAGGAUGUCUAUGUAUUUUGAUGUCUUAUAUUACUUGACCAACUCUUGCUUAUCUCAUUAUUUGUUUUUACUUUUUGCUAAUGAUUCCACACAUUUUUGAUAUUGGUGUGGUUUAUGACUUCAGGGUUCUUACUCGCUACUGCAACUUCUCUAUACUUGCUUGGUCAUUAAAUAUGAAACGUGAUGAUUUGCAUAUGCAGAAUGGAGACAUUAAAGAGGCAUCUUCUGUUUUCUAGUUAGGAGGGAUUACCAGAACUCAAGAAAUUUGUCGUACAUUUUGAGGAAAAGAUUUAUACCACCGCUACCAAUCAGGUAUUUGCCUAAUGCGAGGUUCAAUAAUUACGAUAUUAUCUAGACAUGAAUAUACACACGCAUUUAUGCUUGUACAAAUGUGUGUGUAGUGUGCCUACAUUUCCACACCUUUCAUUCUGUAUGCAAGGCUGAUUAAGAGUUCGCAUCUUUUUGUUAAUUCUCUUGACAAGUGUUUUAUUUAGAGUGACCAAGUUCAAGUACAUGGGAAGUGUGCAAAAAGCAAAUAGCGAAUCAAUACAUAAAUAAGUAAAUAAAAAGAGAGGAAACAGAAGUCUAUCCUCACAAAAGAUGAAAUGAUAGAGCAUAUAUCCAUUUUCCUCCUCUUGUAACAUGGAUUGCUCUGAGAUCUAAUGUUUUGUUAUUAAUAUCUUAUUUUAGUCUGAUUAUCUGCAUAAAAUAUCUCUGGUGAUGCUUUUGAUGAAGAUCAGGUCUCAAAAUGCCAUGCCCACUGCCCCCAUGGAUCCAGCAGGUAAUAAUGCAUUCGAGCAUCGAAUUUCUAAACAUCUUACCUUUUGUUUUUCUUCUCGCAUUGUUAUCAAACUUUUUUACAUUUUAUUGUUCCAUAUUGCUAUGUAUAUCGCCUUGCUGGCAAAAUGUCAUGAUCACCUCCACAAUACUAAUUCUGUAAUGCGUGUGAAGUGUUUCAUCCUUAACUUGUUAAUGAACGAGGACUAUGAUGCAUGGCUAUUUUAUAUUUUAUGAUUGAGAUGGUAGAUUUUAAAGAUUUUCCUUUUUAGGAGAUAAGACGUCACUUUCUUGCUUUUCUUCCGAGAGUAUUCGAUCCUUUUUUCGUACAAAAUAAUGAUGCCAUGCAUUGAAUUCCCAAACAUAUUACCUUAUGUUUUGUUUGGUCGCAUUGUUAUCAAACUCUUUUACAUUUUAUUGCGGCAUAUUGCUAUGUGUAUGGCAUGCUUUAAUCAAAAAUUUGAUUAAUUGAUGAAUGUUAGGCAAGAAAAUUACAGAAUAUUUUUGUUUUUUGCCUCCUCCUUUUCUUUCCCCCACUCCGAAAAUUGUCAUAUUAUUUUUGUUUUCAACCGCCUCUUCUUCCCCCAACCCUGAAAAUUGUUUAUAUUUGCUUUGGAAGCAUGGCAAACUUCACUGCCUCUCAGCUUAAGGAGAUUGCAGCAGGUCUCGAAGCUUCUGGGCAUCAAUUUAUCCGGGUAGUUAGAAGAAACAAAAAGAGUCAAGAAGACAAGGAAGAUUGUUUACCCGAAGGAUUUGAGGAAAGAAUGGAAGGCAAAAGGAUGGAUACUCCAAGUUUUGAUUCUUGAUUAUAAAGCAAUAGGUGCAUUUGUGACUCAUUGAGGAUGGAACUCAACUCUUGAAGGCAUAAGGCCAAUAUUUGCUGAGCAAUUCUAUAAUGAAAAGUUGGUGACUGAUGUUUUAAAAGUUGGUGCUGUCGUUGAAUAUAUUAUAGCUGUCAAGGUUCUUGAGUUUUCCCAAAUGUGAUGAUAUGAUCUCAAAACCUGCAAGAGAGUUGUUUGUAAGAGUAAGUCAUGAUGAGCUCACGAUAUGCAAAACAGAUAGAAACAAAAGAUAAUUAGAAUUGAUGAGAUGCUGUUGUUCAAUUGAUGUAUGAUUCUCAAAUUAUACAUACAUAUAUAUAUAUAUAUAUAUAUAUAUAUAUAUAUAUAUAUAUAUAUAUAUAUAUAUAUAUAAUUGAUAUUUAUAAAAGCAUUAACUGUAGCUGAUAUAGUUUUAGAGGAAUAUUUGGUACUUUGUUUCCCAAAAAAAAAAAUAGAUUUUUCUGCGAAGUAGGAAAAAAAAAAAAAAAAACUGUUCAAAACUUAUUCAAGAAAUUAUACAGUUAGCGAGUCACAGAUGAUGAAUCUUAAAAAAAAUUGGCAAUAAUAACAGUACUCUAUUACUAUUAAUUAACUUAAAUAUUCAAAACUUAAAAAUAUUUUUUAAAUUUAUCCAUGCCAAUUUAUCUUAAGAGAGUCGCAAUCUGUGACUAGUUAAAUUAUAUUAUUUCUUUAAAUAAAUUUUGCAUUGUGUUAUUUUUUGUUCUAGGUGCUAUUUUGCAAAAAAAGAAAAGAAAAGAAAGAUUAACGUUUCAGUUAUUCAUUGUUCUUGGAUUUGUAGGUAUAACAACUGAAGAUAGCAAUCAAAAGCGAUGGUGACAUGGUAGAGCUUUGAGUUAUUGCUGUGUUCUAAUGAUGAAGAUGUAGGAAAACGAUCUCCCUUCUGCUGUCUGGAGCUGGGCUUCCUCUCCCUGUAAGAACAAGCAACAUCUUAUCUGCGUUGUUGUUAGUGGCCACUUCAUCGACCCAUUAGUGGGUGGAUUUUAAGCUUAAAAAGGAUUUUUUUUAAAAAAAAAAUAAAGGAAGAAAGAAAGGAGAGGGGGGGCAUCAUCACGUGAAAAGCAAGGAGGUUGCCACCCAUUAUAGAGUGUGGGGCACUCUUGCAUCUAAGAAUAUAUGAUCCUGAGGUUGUUCUGGUGAUGGGUAUUGGCCAUUACAUAAAGCUUCGACAAGCCCUUUUAGCUGCCUGUUAUUAGAAUUUGUAUAAUGAGCAUUCAAACUUAAACUUCUUUAAAUGGGAUGAAAACGAGUGAAAAUCAAGAAGUUGGAGGUGUUCAUCUCUAAUGCAUAGCUGAAGAUCCUUUGUAAGAAAAUACAGCUAAAGACAAAGUGUGUGUGUGUAACAGAGAAAUUGUCGAUAAUAGCAAUCAUGUUCUUUGUCUCUUGUGUCAUAUCUUCCAAAAAUCUUAAAGUAAUUGAUGAAAAAGUGGAUAUACCACUUUGUCUUCUUUAUAGCACUACUGGCCAAUAUGAGUUAAAAGCAUUAAAAGGUCGUGAACGCGGAUGCUUGACGAGCGAGUGUUUACUUGUUAAUUUUUUUAGAAGGAAUCUGGAAAAGAAUAAAGUCAUCUAUUUCACUUUGGGACAACAUUCCUCACCUCUCCCCGCCCGAGCUCUCUCCCUCCCUCCCUCCCUCCCUCGCUCGCUCCCUCUUCCGCCUCUCGGAAACCGCCGCAUCCAUUAAGGCUUCAGAUUUCUGCCAGGUGCUUCCUUUUCUAUCAUGCUUUUGUUUUUAAAAUUUAUGGGUGUUUUCAUUUAUUUUAUUGUAAUUAUUAUUCAGAGACAGAAAUCCAUUUUAAUAAGUAAAUUAAAAAAAAACAAAUAAUCGAUCCGAUGAAAUCUCUGCUAGUGAACGCAAUUCGAUUUUAAUAAGUAAAUUAAAAAAGUAUAUAAUCGGAUCCGAUGAAAUCGCUGCUCGUGAACGCAAUUCAAAGAAACGCACAAUCAGCCGAUUCUAAUAUUUUCUUUUGCAACCCCACCCUAAUUUACAUGAUAUUAUUCGAUUUUUCUCACAGUUAUUGUUGUAAUAAUCAAGCCCUGAAUUCUUGAACCCAAAUUUAUCUUAUUUUAUUUUAUUUUUUAGUUUUAUUUUUAAGUGGAGAAUAGAAAUCAAUUCAAAUCUUUUAGGCUCGAUCGAUAAUUUGUUAAUUAGUUUAUGCAGCAGCUGGAGUGGAAGGGAUAUUACUGCCGGAAUGGCCGAAAAAUGAGCUGUUUGGUUGAUUCUUCUUUUUUGGAAUUUACUGAAUUCUUCAAAAUUAUUGUGUUUUUAACAACAAUACGAUAUCCUUGGGUUUCAUGCUCGCUCACAAAUGGAAAAAAGAAAGAAAGAAAAGAACUUUAAAUUUUAUAAUUUGGUCAUGUUAAUGCUCGUCGUUUUCUUCUUCAUUUUCCUAGCUUAAAACAUCCUAGACAAUCUCUUUGGGAUGGGUUAUUGUUUUUGGCCUCUUCAUCUUCUAUUUGUGCUGUGGUAUUUAGUCUGCUGAUAUUCUUUGGGGAUUAAAAUGCCUCGUUUUAUGACUUUGUUUUGUUUUCUUCUUCUUUCUUUAUUCUUUUGGGGAUGUGGUAUUCUCCUCUUUCUAUUUACACUCUUUGCUCCCUACAACAUUUAUUCUUUCAGAAAAGUAAAUACAUACAUAAAUAACAACAGGAGAGGAGGGGGAGGGGGAGGGGGUUUGACGGUAUGUAUUUGGAUGCAUGAUAUCUAAAUUGGUAAGCACCUGAAAAAGGUCCUGAAUCUAAAUUGGUAAGAUGUGAUAUACUGAUAUCUAGAGAGAUAACUUAAUCUAUCUAUUGAAGUAAAGCAUUUAAAUGCGUAUACAAUGUUUUUGGAUCAUUAAAUAUCUAUUUGAUCAGAAUCUGUGAACCUAAAGCCACAAUGAAUACAAAUGCAAGUUUGUCAUUGUAAACAUUGCAUCGAUGAUGCAUCACAGGUGUUGCUAGAAAACAUCAAGUUAAAAUUGAAGCACCAUGAGUUUCUCUAUGGCUUGGUUUACCAACACUCACCAUCAGUUGGUGCGGCAAGUUAUGAACUAGCUGGCUAGUUUUUCGCUUCCUUGGUUUUAGAAGCACCAUGAAGAUUCAGGCCCAAAUCUUGCUUACAAUACUCAAAUACCCAAGAUCCUAGCACCUUGCCCUGAAUGGUCGUGUAUAUUUGUUAUGGCUGUUCAGAUUUUAUGCAUCCAUGUUUGGUAGAAUUCUUUAAUAAAGUACAUGCUAUUAGAUGGAAGUUCUCUUUAAAUCUAUUCAAGUCUGAAUAAACUGAUAUUCCAAUUUUCAUGACUUUGAUUAGGCGGAGAACUUGUGAUGGACACAGGUGAUUGGAGAACUCAAUUGCAGCCUGGCUCACGGCAAAGAAUAGUCAACAGAAUGUAAGUAUCUGUUUGCUAAUAUGUACAAGUGCUGCAAAAUAGUAAAUCUUGUAUUUAAAUGAAAGAAAAAGAGAAGGGCAAAAGGUUAAUUAAAAUCAGCAGGACUGCCAUGAGGCAACCUCAAGUAUCAUACACUGCUGUUUUUGUCUUUUUCAUUUUUCACGUGUUUCUCACAAGAAGUGAACUUGAGGGAAUAAAAAGUGCUGGGAAGGAAUUUUGGUGGAACUUCUUGUGUAACAUCUUCUUUCAAUGAUGACCUCUUGGAUGGCUGCAUGAAGCUUGUUCCGCUUUAAAUUUCAAGGUUAAUCUAUUGCUAUGAACAUUGGUGUUUCAAUUUCAACCUUGAGUUGCAACUGAACUUAAAUGAAUAGUGUUGGAUUUGGGCCUUCCAUUUGUUUUAACUUCUACAUGGUUGAAAUGAUAGUGAUCUUAAAAUAGAAAAGCAGUUGAAUGUUGAAUGGUGUAUGGUUUCCUAGUUUCUCAGCAUAAAGUUGAAUGUUUUGGUGAUAUCUCUACAUCCAAAAUCAUAUAGACAGCUACUGUUGGCACUUGCAGUAGCCAAUGAGCACUGUAGAGUAUAUAUUCCAGUGUGAGAUAAGGUUAACUCAUUGCAUUUUCAUAAAUUAAAGGGAUUUCUCUUCUUUUCUUUGUCAAUUACGGUGCAUGUAUAAAAGUUUUCUUACUUAGAGUAAAUGCUAUUGUAAUGUUUUCACAGAAUUCCCCUGGUUUGCAACUAAUUCACUUAUAUAUCUUGGAGCAUAGCCAUAGCCAUAGCCGUAAAUGGAAGGUUCUUCUGGUUCAAGAAAAUUAACCAUGAAGCUCGUAAUUAAAAUUUUAGACAGAAGGGUGGCCAAAUGAACUCCUAUACCCUGUACCUCUGGAAUAAUACGGGGAAAGGAAGUAAAAAUAGAUGUCUGUAUUCUGAUGCCAUAUAUUACUUGACCGACACUCGGCUAUAUCAUUAGUUGUUUUUAUUUUUUGCUAAUGAUUCCAUUGAAUACAUUUCUGAUAUUGGUGUGGUGUGUGAGUUCAUGGUUAUUUCUCACUGCUGCUAACUUCUCUAUACCUACCUUGUCAUUAAAAAUUAAACGUAAUGUUUUACAUGUGCAGAAUGGAGAUAUUAAAGAGGCAUCUUCCGUUUUCUGGUCAAGAGGGAUUACAAGAACUCAAGAAAAUUGCUGUACGGUUUGAGGAAAAGGUUUAUACUGCCGCCACCAGUCAGGUAUUCGGCUAAUGCUAGGUUCAAUAAUUUCGAUAUUCUCUAGACAUGAAUAUAAACAUGCAUAAGUUUGUGGAUUUAUGCAUGUACACGUGUGUGUAGUGUGUCCACACUCUCACUGGUCAUUCCGUAGAAGUUCUCAUCUGUUCAUUAAUUCUCUUGACAAGUGUUUUAUUUAGAGUGACCAAGGUUCUUUUCAAGUACAAGGGAAGUGUGCAAAAUGCAAAUAACGAAUCAAUACAUAAAUAAUUAAAUAAAAAGAUAGGAUACAGAAGUAUAUCCUAUAUCCUCACAGAAGACGCAAAUAUAGAAAGCCUAGCAUAUUAGAAAGAGCAUUUAUCCCUUUCCCCCCUUCUCUUGUAACAUGGACUGCUCAGAGAUCUAAUGUUUCCUUAUUGAUAUCUGAUUUCAGUCUGAUUAUCUGCGUAAAAUAUCUCUGAAGAUGCCUCAGAAUACCAUACCCACUGGCAAUGGUAACAAACCCCUGUAUCCAGGGGGGAAGUGUGCAAAAUCCAAGCUUUGAAUUUCUAAACAUCCUUACCUUUUGUUUUAUAUUUCGCAUUGUUAUCAGACCCUUUUACAUUUUAUUGCUGCAUUUUGCUAUGUAUAUACUAAUCCCUGUACUUUUACAUUAUGUUAAUAAACUGGUCCCUUCAUUAGUUUUUUGUUAGUCAAAUGUAGAGUUGUUAGCAAUAUUUCCUCAAUUUGUUCCACUAACUUGACGUUAAAAUGUGACCAAAGAAUCAAUUAAUUAUUUAAAAAACUUGAGGGAUUAAUUUGUUUGUUUCACAAAAAAAUACAGUGGUUAAAUAAAAUUUUACUCAAAUUUUUAUCAUCAUAUUCGUGAGUGUUUACUUGUAAAUAUUUUGGAAUGAACACAGUGGUUAAGUUUAUGUUUUGCGCAGCAUAAAAAAAAUCAUCUAGGCUUAAAUAAUUAUUUGGCAUCAUAAUUAAAACUCUAAUCCAAAUUUCUCUCAUCUGGCUUCUUAUCUAUAUCAAGUUUAAAAUUAACCAAUGUGAAAGUUGCUCUAACAUGAUAUAAUUAAUGUGAUGGGUUCCAAGUCAAUUCAUAUGACCAGUAAAAAAACAUAAUUUAGCUUUAAAAAAAAAAUUCAAGAUGAUACUUGUUUUGAACAUUGAUACGACAUCUUGGAUCGACUCUAGUUUUGUGACGUAACUCUUUAAACCCAUGACUUGAAUAAUGGAUUCUAUCUGGUUUAAUUUUUUAUAAAAAAAAUUAUUUUUUACUUAAUAAUAUGAUAAUAAAAAUAAAAACUCGUAAAAUUGAGCACUAAUCAAAUAUUAAGAUAUUUAUUUGAGACUGCAAUAACAUCAUUGAAAGCAAAUUGAAACAAAAUCAAUUCAAAAUCAAAUAAAUGUUAAACAAAUAUUAAAAGAUGAAACCAGACAAAAGCCAAAAAGGAUUUAAUUGAAAGAAAGAAAAUAUUGGAAUGUAGAGUUUAAAAACUAAGGAAUAAUAUUUAUUAAACUUGAUCCUAAUCUAUCGACUUGACUUCUUACCUAACAUAUAUUUAAAAUUAAUUUGUAAGGGAGUUGUCUGUACAUUACCUAGUUGACUUGACAUGUGCAAAUUAAAGCAACCUGAAUGACCAAUAAAAACAUGGUUUGGAUUUUAAGAAAAAAAAUCAAGAUAUCUUUUUUUUUUAAUAUUGAGACGAAAAUAUAUUAGAUCAACUCAAGCUCCGUGGCUAAACUCGUCAAAUACGCAACCCAGAUCAUGAACUCCACUAGAUUUAAAAACUAUUUUUUUAUAUAAUGAUACAAUAACUAAUAUAAACACUUAUAAAAUUGAGAACUAAACAAAUUUAGUGACGUUUAUUUGAUAUUGUGAUAACUACAUAUAAAGAAAAAAACAAAUUAUGACCAAUUCAAAAUUAACAAAAUAUUAAAGUGAAAUUGAAAGGAAAAAAAGGGCAAAAAUCAUUCAAUCAAAAGAAGAAAAAAUUAGAAGAUAGAAUUUUUUUUUUAAGGGAGGAUAUGAAUAGCAAAAUAGGAGGGAAAACCCUAACUUUUUUUAGUAUAAUAAAUGAUGUUUAAUUUAAUUAAAAUCUUUAUCUCAUACAAUUAGACCUAAAAAGAGAAGAAAAUUUCUAAAGAUUGAUUUGUAAAAAAACAGAAAAAAAAAUCAAAUCAAGAAGCGAAAAAAUACAAGGACCAAUAUACACACACAUAGUGAAAGAGUUAGAAAAGCAUAACUUUUUUAGUAUAGUAGUUUAUUUCUAAUUAAAUUGAAAACUUUAUCUCAUAUAAUUAGGCCAAAAAAGAAUUAAAUAAAAAAAAAAGGAUUAAUUUAUAAAAAGAAAAAGAAAAAUAAAGAAUACAGAACCAAAUCAACAAAGAAAAAAACUAAUUUUUAAAAAAUAAAGUGCUCCACUAUUCAUAUAAAAUAGAACAUCAUUAUAGUAUCCAAUUAGACAGUGACCCAUAUUACUGGCUAUUUUAAUUUUUUUAAAGAAAAAAAAGUUUCAGUAUUUUCAAAUGUGAUAAGUUUUUUUUUUAUAAAAAAAAACAUAUAUGUGUGCAAGGGAAUAGAGAUUUGGUUUGAGAAUACAUGCUAAAAAUCUAAACAUGAACUAAAACAAAGUGGAAUUAAAAAGAGUAAAAAAAAAAAACCUAAAAGAGAUCCAUGAUUCAUUAUAUAUAUAGACUAUGAGGUUACGAGGUAAAAUAUUAUGGAUUAGCAUAAUAUAAUUACUUUUUACCCUUCUCUACACAACAAUUACCUUGCUAAUAGGGGUAAAGUUGUCUUUUUCAAUGAUUUUAAAGGUUAUUUAUAAAUUCACUGGAGAUAAUUUAGUAGGUUUACUCCUUUUUUGCAUAUUAAAACUACAUCAUUGCCUUUGCAAGCCAAAAAAAGAAAAAACAAUUAACCUUUUGUUUAAGAUCUAUUUUGUAUUUUGUAUUUGAUUUAUACAGUAAAAUGACAUUAAUGCCUUAGAGAGUUAAAAAAUCAUCGACUUUAAGUUACUGGGCCUUAAACUUUGUUAUUUAUUUUGGUUUUUUUUUAUAGGGUUAUUUCUAUCUCAUAUCUCAAGUUGCAGAUAAGUUAGGUUGGAUGCAUACUUAAUUAAUUAAUAAAAGUCAUGUAUAUAUUUUUGCAAAUUGGAUGCACACUUAAUUAACAUACUUAUUGAAUAUUAAGUCAGGCAAAAAAUCUAUAAAAAGAAUAUACAAGUGAGCCAAACAACAAUAUUAAGAACGAAUAAGAGGUAGUAAAAGAAGAUGAUACCAAAGGACGCAAAAUCACAAAAAUUCAUGAAACUACAUUAGGCUCUCUACAAGUGAAUUGUUUAAAAAGUUAAAAGAAAAUAAAUGCACUUUUGUCCACAGCAACAACUAAAUGCACUUUUGUUCAAUACCAAGAAAUUAAACAUUUUUUAAAAAAAAAACUAAAUGAAUUGUUUAAAAAGUUAAAAGAAAAUAAAUGCACUUUUGUACACAGCAACAACAACUAUAGCAAAAUGCUGGGCUGUAGAAUCUAGAUGAUUGUCCACAGCAACAUGAAAAAAUCAUAUAUGCUUAAGUAACUAUUUGGCAUCUCAAUCUAGUAAAUUAAUCUUAAAUUUCUUAUAUCCGACUCUUUACCUAUAUUAAAUUUAAAAUUAACCAACAUAAAAAUUGUUUUAAUAUGACUUAAUCGAUAUAGUUGGUUCAAAGUCAAUCCAUAUGACCGAUAAAAAAUGUAAUUUGGCUUAAAAAAUUUCAAAAUAACAUCUUUUUUAUAACAUUGAUACGACAAUAUAUUAGAUUGACCCUGAUUUCAUGACUUAACUCUCUAAACCCACUACCUUAAUAACGGACUCCUUCUAGUUUAAAAACUUUUUUUUAAUUAUUUUUUACUUCAUGAUAUUAUAACAAAAAUAGAUGCUCAUAAAAUUAAGCACCAACCAAAUAUCAAGAUAUUUGUUUGAGAUUACAAUAAUAAAUAUCAUAAAAAGCGAAACCGAAACAAGACCAAAUCAAAAUAAAUCAAAUGUUAAAGGAUUAAACCAGGAAAAAGCCAAAGAGGAUUCAAUUAAAAGAAAGAAAAAAAAAAUAGAAGGUUGAGUUUAAAAACAAAGUAACAAUAUGACAUUGUUAUUAAACUUAAAGGAAAAAAAAACUAAUUUAAAAAAUUAAAGUGUUUCACUAUUCAUGUAAAAAUGAAAUACCAUUAUAGUAUCCAACUAUAUAGGUGACCUGCACUAUGGGUUAUUCUAUUUUUUUAAAAGCAAAAAAAUAAAGUUUCGACAUUGUUAGAUUGUGAGAAAAAAAAAGUUUUAAAAAAUAUCCGUGUACAAAAGAGGAGAGAGAUUUGGUUUGAGAAUGCAUGGUAAAAAUCUAAACAUGAACUAAAAAACAAAGUGGAAUUAUAAAAAUUAAAAAAAAAACUAAAAGAGGUAAAUGAUUCAAGUGAUUCAUUAUAGACUAUAAGGUAAAACACUAUGGAUUACACACAAUAUAUUUACUUUUUUCUCUUCUAUACACAAAAUAAUUGUCUUGCUAAUGGGGAUAAAGUUGUUUUUUUAAAGGGAUCUAAAGGUUAUUUGUAUAUUGAUCGGGGAUAAUUUAGUAGAUUUACUGCUUUUUUUGAACAUUAAAACUACAUCUUUGCCUUUGCAAGCAAAAAAAAAAAAUUGUCCUUUCGUUUAGGUUUAGGGUUUAUUUUAUCUUUCCUAUUUUUUUUCAUAGUAAAAUAACAUCAAUAUCCUUGAUAACAAUACAACAACAAAGGAAAAUACCAAUAUUUAAAAUACAACAACUCUUUUUUUCCCAUCUUCUGUUUUCUUUUUUUCAUAUCAAUACAACAACAAAGAAAAAUACAAAUAUUUAAAAUACAACAUAAAAUUUAUUUUCCUGUAGAAUCAAUGUAACAUUAAAGAGGCAUCUUCCGUUUUCUAGUCAGGAGGGAUUAUAAGAACUCAAGAAAAUUGCCAUAUGACUUGAGGAAAAGAUUUAUACUACCGCCACCAAUCAUGUGUUUGCCUAAUGCGAGGUUCGAUAAUUACGGUAUUCUUUAGACAUGAAUAUACACACGCAUUUAUGCAUGUACAAAUGUGUGUGUAGUGUGCCUACACUUCCUCACCGUUCAUUCUGUAUGCAAGGCUAAUUGGGAGUUCACAUCUUUUUGUUAAUUCUCUUGACAAGUGUUUUAUUGAGAGUGACCAGGUUCAAGUAUUGGGGAAGUGUGCAAAAAGAAAAUAGCAAAUCAAUACAUAAAUAAUUAAAUUAAAAGAGAGGAAACAGAACUAUAUCCUCACAGAAGAUGAAAUGAUAGAGCAUAUAUCCAUUUCCCCCCUUCUCUUGUAACAUGGAUUGCUCUGAGAGCUAAUGUUUUGUUAUUGAUAUCUGAUUUCGGUCUGAUUAUCUGCGUAAAAUAUCUCUGGAGAUUCUUUCGAUGGAAAUCAGGUCUCAAAACGCCAUGCCCACUGCCCCCAUGGACCCAUAAGGUAAUAAUGCAGCCAAGCAUUGAAUUUCUAAACAUCUUACCUUUUGUUUUUCUUUUCGCAUUGUUAUCGAACUCUUUUACAUUUUAUUGCUGCAUAUUGUUAUGUAUUUCGCCUUGCUGGAAAAAUCUCAUGAUCACCUCCACGAUGCUAAUUCUGUAAUGCAUGUGAAGUGUUUCUGAUAAGGUCCCAAUCAAGAGUGAUACACAAUUGCAGAAAUGCUAGGAUUCUCUUAGGGUGAGAAUUUACCACAAUAUUGUUUGGAUAAACAUAAUGCUAUUCUUUUUAUUCUUCUUCAUACAUAUAAAGAACUAAACCAUAACAACUUUCAGCAAAUCCAGCCGAAAUGGAAAUAACAGAUUACAAAACAGAAAUGCAAAUAAUGUGAAAGUGGCUGCUUUAUUUUCUCCCAUUGAAUCGGAAGCAUGAUUCCAAUUGACUUGCUUGUAACUCCCUUUAAUCACGAUAUCUUUUAAUCACGAUAUUUUAAAUUCUUCUUUAUGACACGUGGGGUCCUUCGUGGCAGCAGCUCUCCAAGCUGCGUAUCAUUACCCCCCACAUCAAGUGGAUGCUUGUCCCCAAGGUCCAAGCUUGGGUGGUUCGUUAGCAGUUCAGCCGUUGGUUCCCAGAUGGCAUCAUUUGUAGACAAAUGUUUCCACUUCACCAAACUCUCCUCAAUAAAUCUUGCCCCAUGUGGAAUCCAACGUGUGUCCAGAAUAGCUUCUGGUGUGACCACAAUGGUGCCUUCUUCAUCAAUAGGUGGAAGUUCCAUACUAGUGUCUGCUUUGUCACCCAACUUCCUUUUAAGCAACGACACAUGAAAAACUGAAUGUAAACGUGCCCCCUCCGGAAGCUUGAGUUUGUAGGCCACAUCACCGACUCGCUUUUCAAUUGGGAACGGACCAUAAAACUUGCAAGCAAGUUUUUGAUGAGCUCGUCGAAAAGCAGUCUGUUGGCGAUAAGGUUGUAAUUUGAGAUACACAAGGUCACCUUCUAUGAAUUCGACAUCCCUUCGCCCACGAUCAACCAACUGUUUCAUGCGAUUCCUAGCAUUCGCUAAAUUCUGCUUGAGAUUCCUAAGAAGUGUGUCCCGUACCUGAAGACUGUGAUCAACUUCAUUAACUGGUGAAGAGCCUGUAGCAUAAAGUGGAAAUGUAGGUGGUAAGCGUCCAUAAAGAGCUUGAAAAGGUGUCGUUCCUGUUGAUGAAUGGUAAGCUGUAUUAUACCACAGCUCUGCCCAAGGAAGAAAUUGGCUCAACUGUCGUGGUCUUUGGUGAACAAAACAGCGCAAAUAUUGUUCCACACAAUGAUUAACCACCUCUGAUUGACCAUCCGUUUGAGGAUGAUAUGCUGAGCUCAUCUUAAGCUGAGUACCAGACAUCUUAAAAAAUUCCUGCCAAAACUUACUAAUAAAGACUUUAUCUCUGUCGCUCAUAAUAGAACUAGGCAUGCCAUGUAGCUUCACCACACCAUCUACAAACUUUUCUGCCACCAUCUUUGUUGUGAAAGGAUGUGUUAAGGCCAAGAAGUGAGCAGAUUUGCUUAGAUGGUCCACUACCACUAAAAUGGUAUCGCGACCAUGUGAAGUAGGGAGACCUUCAAUAAAAUCUAUAGUAACGUCAUCCCAUACCUGACACGGAAUAGGAAGAGGUUGCAAGAGCCCAGCUGGUUUGAGAUUAUCAGCUUUAGUUUUCUAGCAUGUCACACAUGUGUGGACAUAUUCUUUGACAGAAUGAUACAUAGAUGGCCAAUAAAACUGCUGAGAUAGACGUUUGAAUGUACCCAAUAUACCAGAAUGGCCGCCCAUCUUUGUAUCAUGAAAUUCCUGUAGUAAUUGUUCUAUCACAGCUGUGUUAGGAGGCACCACAACACGUGUUUUGAAGAAAACUAACCCAUCUCGCCAGGUAUAAGGUUUUCCAGGACUAUUUUGAGCUUGCUGAAUAAUUUGUUCCAUAUAUGGGUGUCCAGUGGAGGCCUUUUUUAUGUCUUCCCAUAAAGUUACUUGUGGCACAGACAACGCAUUAAGAAUAGGGCUUCCAGACACUCUUGAUAAUGCAUCAGCAGCUGAGUUGUCGCGUCUUGGGCGAUAUAUGAUUUCAUAGUCAUAGCCAAGUAAUUUAGCCACCCAACGUUGUUGUUCUGGUGUCCCAAUUCUUUGCUCCAAUAGAUACUUUAGACUGUGCUGGUCCGUUUGAAUGAAGAACUUUUUGCCCAGUAGAUAUGGUCUCCAAGUGCGUAUUGCCUGAAGGAUGGCAAUCAUUUCUUUGGCAUAUGUUGACCAUGAAAGUUUGGCCACUCCGAGUUCUCGGCUGAGGAAAGCAAUGGGUUUACCUUGCUGUGUCAACACUGCACCAAUACCCUCUCCAGAAGCAUCAGUUUCAAUUGUAAAUGAUUCAUUGAAAUUUGGCAUAGCUAAAAUAGGUGUGGUUGUCAUAGCUUGUUUGAGCUGUAGGAAAGUUGCCUCCGCCUCUUGACUCCAUCUGAAUUGCCCUUUCUUCAAGAGAUUGGUUAAUGGCUUUGCCAGCAGACCAUAGUUGCGCACAAAUUUUCGAUAAUAACCUGUAAAGCCUAGAAAACCAGGUAAGUCUGAAAUAGUGCUUGGCCUUGGCCAAUUUACCAUAGCUGUAAUUUUGCUUGAAUUAACCUUGACCCCUUUAUUAGUCACAAUGUGACCGAGGUACUCGAGCUCUGACUGCCCAAAUGUAUAUUUGCCUUUACAAAAUAUGUAUGUUGCCGUAGAAUUUCAAAAACCUUUGUAACAUGUUCAAGAUGCAUGGUCCGGGCUAUAAAUCAAAAUAUCAUUAAAAAAAAAACUAAUAUGAAUUGACGGAGAUGAGGAUGAAAAAUAGAAUUCAUAAUAGCUUGGAAAGUGGAAGGAGCGUUGCAAAGACCAAAGGGCAUGACCAUAUAUUCGUAGUGGCCAUUAUGGGUACGGAACACAGUUUUGUGAGUGUCUUUUGGAUUUACUCGUACUUGAUGGUACCCUGCUCUUAAGUCUAAUUUUGUAAAGAAGGCAGCUCCAUGGAGCUCAUCAAGCAUGUCAUCAAUGGUAGGAAUAGGAAAUCGAUCCUUAAUGGUUACGCUAUUGAGAGCUCUAUAAUCAGUACAAAAACGCCAAGUGCCAUCUUUUUUUUUAACUAACAAAACAGGUGAAGAAAAGGGACUAGUACUUGGUUUUAUAAGUCCCAAUUUAAGCAUGUCUUGAACUUGUUUUUCAAUUUCAGUUUUUUGAAAAUAGGCAUACCUGUAGGGCCUCACAUUAAUAGGCUCAGUAUCUUCUUUAAGAGGAAUGCAAUGAUCAACUUCACGAGCUGGAGGUAACUGUGUGGGCUCAUAAAAAAUGUCCUCAAAGUUGUUGAUGAUUUCCUUCAUAUCUGUUUGCAUAUUGGGUCGUUCCAUCUUUUCUAUGGAUUGACAAUACACUGUAAAAGUGGAACAGCCAUGACGGACAUCUUUAGUAAUUGCUGAUAGUGAAGCAGGUUGUAUAGCUUGGCUAUUAGAACCAUUUAAUGUUUGAGCUUGAUUCUUCCACCAAAAGUCCAUUGUAAAUUUUUUCCAAUUACACACCACUGGUCCGAGUUGUUCAACCCAUUGUACACCAAGAACAAGAUCAAGGCCUGUGAUAGGUAUUGAAUAAAGGGUUAAUGAAAAUGGAAUGUUUUGGAGAAUAACCUGGACUUGUUCAAACCUUCCUUGGCACUUCAUUUGAUUGCCAUCUGCCACCCUUACAGUGAAGGGUCUCAUAGGAAUAACAGGUAAUUGAAGCUCCUCUGCUAUUUUAGAAUUGAUGAAAUUAUGGGUAGACCCACUGUCGAUGAGCACUGUUAGAGUGUGAUUCCCAACUCGUCCUUCAAUCCUCAUGGUUCGUGGUGUGGACCAACCCGUGAGUGCAUGGAGUGAAAUUUCUGGCUCAGUGUUCUCCUCAGCUAUGUCCUCUACUGGAAUGUCAUCAGUAACUUCUUCGCACAUGACUCUGACAGGUUCACUAAGGCUUUCUAGUAAUAACAGUUGCGGUCUUUGGCACUUAUGUCCAGCAGUGAAUUUGUCAUUGCAAUUGAAACAAAGCCCUUGUGCACGCCGUCUCUGCAUUUUAUCCCAUGUUAGUCUUUUUAUCGGAACUGGAAAACUGGAUUUUGGUGGGGGAAAAGUCAAUGGUGUGCGAGUUAAUUGUGUUGGCCGUGUAAAUUUCCCUUGCCGCAUUAUUUGUUCAUCCUUCAUUUUAUCUAAACUGAUAGCCUCUUUCAAAGUCCGUGGUUUGAACAUCCGAAUAGCAUCAGAAAUUUCUACUUUAAGUCCACCCAUGAAUGUUGUAACAACCCCGAUUUUUCUACAUUCUUUUUCGCGAUAUAUUGGAAAUUUUCAGGUAAAUUUUUUUUUUUGUGAUAUACAGGUUCCACCAAAAUUUCUACCAAAAUUUCGGCAGAGUCUCCCCUAUACUGGUAGGUCCCAGGUUAUCGACAUAUACCAUGUUUACACUUCUAAUAUCUCACAUCUCAUAACUCAAAAUCACGACCCAAUCAUCCUGGGUCUCAACCCAACUCAUUAUCAUCAACACAACACAUCUUAUUCAAUAACAUCAUAUAAUAUAGUUCAAAUGAAAGAUUCAAUUUCAACUAUAAAUAUGCAUGGUCAAAUAGGUACUAAGAGUUUAAACCAUUAGAGUAAAGACAUACAUUCAAAUUUACGGAUUAAUAUUACAUCUCAAGUUUUAUAAUUUACAUAGUCAAAAGCAAAAGAUAUCUAAACUAGCAUUACCCUUGACGCGACCCUGAUGGACCUGAAAAUAGAAAUUAACAUGUACACAUAAAUAUAAAAGAUAGUAACAAGCAAUAACAAUGGCAAACAAUAAUCUCUACGGAAUUUCUUUUGAUAUAUAAAAUUAGGCAUAAACCUCUUUUACAACAUAUAUUUUACAUUUAUUACCAAUAUCCAUCUAAUAUCCUAUCUCAUUUACCAAGAAUAAUUCCAUCUUGGAAAUCUCAACACAACUCAACGGUUUGCGAACACCAUCUCUUUAUAAAUCAAUUCUCACUUGAUACCAAGAUAUUCCUCUCUUGGUAUUAUUAGCUUAUCUCAUUCUUUUGGAAUAACUAAUUAAUAUUUUCCCUUUUCUGAAUCUGUUGCUAGAAGGUAAUCACUGAAACUAAUAAAUCUCAUUAGUAUCAUUAGUCUUCAAAUAUUGGGCUAGACUAAUCAAUUUAAGAAAUACUGGCACCGAUGAAACUUCAUCGAUACCAUUAGCAAUCCAAACUUGGAUGGCUAAUCAAUUCCAUUUGAUUCUUCCAUUCGUACCGAACCCCUUUUAUCUUUCUUAUUAACAUCAUAUGCAUUGUAACCACGGUUGCCAAGUAUCAUUUGCACACAAUCUUAGUUAUCGACACUACGGUCACUAAGCAUCCUUCACAAAACCUUGGUCACCUUCAUCACAGUGCCAAGUAUCAAUUUAUGCCCUUAGCCACCAUCAUUAUGGUGUUAAGUAUCAUUGUAAUGUAUCCUUAGCCACCGACACUAUGGUAACCAAUUAUCUAUCAAUUCACCUCCAAUCUCCAAGUCAUUGUGUCUACCCAAUAACCACAUUAAUUAAUUUACUCAAUAUGUUAGUCAUAUAUUAAUUAUUUUACUCAUAACAUUUAGAAUUUACUAUUUCUAACUUCAAUCAAUUAAUUCACAUAAUCUUUUCAAAACUUAACUAUCCGGCUAACUCAUCUCGAUUGCCAAUAAUUCUGGUAAUUUCAUAUAAUUACCCACACUUUUGGUUAACCUCCAUCGGUUACCAAUACAUCUGGUAAUUCCAUACGAAUUACUCAGCCUCCAGCUAACUUCUUUUGUUUGUCAAUUAAUCCUGUAAUUCCAUACGAAUUACCCCAUAUCCAGUUAACCUUCUUGUUAACCAAUAAACCCGGUAAUUCUCUUAAUUGUCCAAGAAAUCUGGCUAACCCAUCUUGGUUGCCAAGGUCAAUCCGGUAAUUCCAUACGAAUUACCCAUCAUCCAGCUAACCUCUCUUGUUAGCCAAUGAAUUCGGUAAUUCCAUACGAAUUACCCAUCAUCCAGCUAACCUCUUUUGUUAGCCAAUCAAUCCGGUAAUUCUAUACGAAUUACCCCAUAUCCAGUUAACCUUCUUGUUAACCAAUAAAGCCGGUAAUUCUCUUAAUUGUCCAAGAAAUCUGGCUAACCCAUCUUGGUUGCCAAGGUCAAUCCGGUAAUUCCAUACGUAUUACCCAGCAUCCGGCUAACCUCUUUUGUUAGCCAAUGAAUCCGGUAAUUCCAUACGAAUUACCCAUCAUCCAGCUAACCUCUUUUGUUAGCCAAUCAAUCCGGUAAUUCCAUACGAAUUACCCAAUAUCCCGGCUAACCUCUUUUGUUAGCCAAAUAAUUUCGGUAAUUUCUCUUAAAUUACCAAUAAUUCUCAUUUGUAAUAAUCACUCAACUUAUUCAUUUGUUUCAUUCUUUUAACAUCAAUUAAACACACAACACAAAUAUUUAAGAAAAACUAAUAAUUACAAAAUAAGGUGAUGAAUCACCUACCUAGAAUAGGUGCACGUGCUGCCACUCCAUGCAAUUGUCCAGUCCCCACAGCUUUCCCCUGUACCACCAGGGAUUCAAUUUUUAUCAACAAUACAACCAACAUCACAUCUUCAUUUAAUUCUCAUUCAACUAGUAUUCUCAAACUAAUCACAAGGAAUUUUCUUUAAGAUCUCAUACUCUUACUCAUUUUAAUGUUUAUAUUUAUUCUUAUAAUUUUGUUAUCAAAACCAUCACUCAACAGCAAUUCCAAGCAACGAUUAAAAAUUGUCUAAUUCCGAUCAAUUAAGCUUAACCAACCCAUAACACUAUCUAGUGUCUUAAUCAUAACUAAAGUUGUAAAACUCAGUUUUGGGCGUGAUUUAUAUCUCUAUGAAAGGCUAAACAUAGAGAUACAAAUUUUAUGAAGAAACCAACUCCAAAUUAUUUUGUUUUAAGGCUUAAAAUCAACAAUCACAAUAGCCCUUCUUUAUGGCUAAAAUUUUGGACAACGAGGAUUUUCAUUCCUUGGAAAUCCUUUUCAACUUCCAACUUAUUUUCAUGCAAAAUCAACAUCAUCCAAGGUCAUUUGGCAUCAUUAAAUCACAAGUUCAAACCAAUUCUAAAGCAAAACAUUCAAACAAUUUCCCUACCUCUACAAUAUAGCAAGAUUAGACCAAAAUAAGGAAACUCAUUCCUUUUGAGAUUUCUCCUAUUAUUAUUAUUAAUACAACAAAAUGAUGAACUAUUCAUUUUCUUUCGCUUUCUCCUCGUGCGAUUAAACAUAUACGGCAAACCUUAACAAUUAAUAUUCUCAGAUCAUUAUCACAACAAUAAUUUCACUCUACUAAUUGGGAUCCAUGACAACCUUCAUUAACUAACCAUUUGCUAAAAACACUUAUGGCUAGCUUUAAAUAUGUUUUAUUUUUUUCAAAUUUUUUUCAUUUCAAUUUCUUCAUGGUUCCACCCCAUUUAUAUCCACACAACCAACAAGUUAGCUUUCUAUUCAAUCAACAUGUUCUAUUCAAUCAACACGUUCAUAUAGCAAUAUUCUUUACUAUUCUUACACAACAAUCAUUCUUCCCCUCAUAUAAAGAAUACACAAUUAAUCUAUAAUAUUACUAAUAACAGGAACAUAUUUUAUCAUUACAUCUUCCAUAAAACCUACACCCACACAAUUCUAAUUUCAUCAAAACAUGUAUUUAAUCAAGCUUACUACAUUUUGCAAAAACUAGCAAUAGAUUCAAAAAGCAAUAAGUCAUCAACCUCUGAUUAUUGUUUCCCACCCAACGGUCAGACUACAUAUCAUAGCGUUGUGCAUAAUAUAUCUCAAAUUCAUAAUGAUCCAACGGUUAAAUCUCCCUAGAUCUGAAGAAAACCGAGCUUACCUGAAAAUGAACGAGCUACUGUUCAACAUGCACGCAACCUUGCCGGAGAAAUAUGUUCCGAUCUCCACUGUCCAGAAUGAAUUUAACAUCUACGCGCACCACAUAUCCAACAAUUAGCAUGAUCCAACGGUGGAAGAGAGAGAAAUCGGCCGGCGACCAAACUGCCCUGCAGGUGCAUUUCCUUUUUGUUUUCCAUGAAAUUCCAGAUGAUGAUUUCUGUCAAAUGGAUUGUGUUCCUUCCAAUCACUCCGGUCAGUUAGUAGAGGAGUGUAAUGAGAACAACACGUCCAAAACGCAGCUUGAUCCAACGGUUGAUUCCCGAGAUAUGACCACCGGAGCAUUAUUGGUUUUCUCCAAAAUUUGCAGCUCUCUCCCCUUAUCCGCUUUUCUCUAUUUUUUUUCUUUUUUUUCUUUCUUUUUUUCUUAACUGGUGGCCUCUUUGCAGAUUUAUAGGCACCUUUUUUUUUCAUAAUUACAAUUUUGUCCCUCUUUCAUGCUUUUAUGUAUUUUAUUUUAUUUUUCAUGUAAACUAUCUCGUUUAUUUCUGUUUAAAUCGCUAGUCUUUACCAAACUCUGAUUGGGAUGAGAUAUUUAACCAAGGUAGGAAAACAUAUUAAUAGGCUUCAUACAAAAUUUCAUCCCGAUCCGACGAUUGGAUUGAGAGCUCUGCUUCCUAAUGUAAAAUUGAUCAGUUCAUAACUUUUCGUAAACAAUCUAGAUUUUUUUUUUGUUCAAUCUUCACAAAAAAAAAAAACAUAUCAAUUAUCAUUCUAAACCUUUAAGGUCAUUUAAUUAUUUUGGAAUGUAUUCAUUUUAGGAUUUCCACCUUUAUUUAUUUAUCGGGCUUAUUAUCGUUUCAAAAUAACAUCACUGAUUUUUAAGCGGUGCUUGCACCUUCAGUCCUACCCUUUUCAUUGUACUAUCAUUUAUUAUAAUGUAUUCUUUAUUACCUCACUUAUUUCCUAAAAAUAUUUUGUCAUUUUUCUCAUUAUUUCAUCCAUCAAAACACGUUACCAGUUUCUCUAUCCUUAUGAAUUCUAAACCAAAAUUCAUUUUAUGAAGGUCAUCUCUUCUAUUAUAUAUCAUUAUUUAUCUAUUAUUUCUAAUCUUGGUUUCCAUCACUCAUUGAAAUAUUACCACUUUCAGUCUUAUGUUUACAUGAGGGUUUAUACAUCUACAUAUUUAAAUUAUAAAUUUCCAGGGUUUCACAAAUGUGCCCACCAGCGCCUUUUGAGUCCAACCAUGAACUCGAUUGCCCAACCUCUCAAAUUCCUUCUGAUAGUCCCUUAAGGAACCCACUUGUCUGACCUUUGAUAAUGCUUCAUCAAAAUCCUCAUAUUCUGUGGGCCCAAACCGUGCCCAAAGCUCUUCUUCAAAUAUCUCCCACGUGACAGUGCGCCCUUCUUCCUUGUGAGCUCGAUGCAACCAUUGCCACCAUUGGUUGGCUUCUCCUUCCAAAUGGAAUGAGGCCAAUGAUACUUUUUGAUUGUCCGCAGUCUCUUGAUAUUCAAAAAAUUGGUCCACCCAAUUGAACCAUUCGGUUGGAUCAUCCCCAGAAUAUCGUGGAAAGUCUAACUUGGCCAUUUUUUAUGAGAAGACGUGGCGUCCACACUCAUUAUCAGUUUUCUUCUUUCCCCCAUCAGUGUCAUCCCGAUAUGUGCGUGAGAAGCCAUCCCGGUCGUUGUUGUGGUAACUUGAAGACGCCUUGGAAGCGAUCAUGACCUCUGAAAGUUUGUUGAUGGUUUCCUCCAGGCUGUGCAAUCUAUUGAUCAUGUAAUCUUCCAGUCGCUGCAUGCCAUCUUGGACUCCACCAAGUCCUGUCUCCAAAAGCUCAAUUCGUUCUUUGUUUGUUGCCAUUGCGUAGGCUCUGAUACCAAUUGAUAAGGUCCCAGUCAAGAGUGAUACACAAUUGCAAAAAUGCUAGGAUUCUCUUAGGGUGAGAAUUUACCACAAUAUUGUUUGGAUAAAAAUAAUGCUAUUCUUUUUAUUCUUCUUCAUACAUAUAAAUAACUAAACCAUAACAACUUUCAGCAAAUCCCGCCGAAAUGGAAAUAACAGAUUACAAAACAGAAAUCCAAAUAAUGUGAAAGUGAUUUCUUUAUUUUCUCCCAUUGAAUCGGAAGCAUGAUUCCAAUUGACUUGCUUGUAACUCCCUUUAAUCACGAUAUCUUUUAAUCACGAUAUUUCAAAUUCUUUUUUAUGACACGUUGGGUCCUUCGUGGCAGCAGCUCUCCAAGCUGCGUAUCAGUUUCAUUCUUAACUUGUUAAGGAACAAGGACUGUGAUGCAUGGCUAUUUUAUAUUUUAUGAUUGAGAUGGUAGAUUUUAAAGAUUUUCCUGUUUAGGAGGUAAGACGUCACUUUCUUGCUUUUCUUCCGAGAGAAAGUAUUUGAUCCUUUCUUCAUAUAUAAUAAUGCUGCCAAGCAUUGAAUUUCUAAACAUCUUACCUUUUUGUUUUGUUUGUCGCAUUGUUAUCAAACUCUUUUGCAUUUAAUUGCAGUAUAUUGCUAUGUGUACGGCAUGCUUUAAUCAAAAAGUUGAGUACUCGAUGAAUGUUAGGCAAGAAAAUUACUGAUUAUUUUUGUUUUCUGCCUCCUCCUUUUCUUUCUCCCAACCUGAAAAUUGUCAUAUUAUUUUUGUUUUCAGCCGCCUCUUCUUCCCCCAACCCUGAAAAUUGUCUGAGGACACUUUUAUGCUUUGAAUCAAAUCCAUCCUAAUUCUUUCGCUCAUAACUUUAUGUGUGAACUGCCGAUGUUUGAUCAUUUGUCUUCCUUGUUCAGUGCCUUCUUUUUUUCUUUGACAUGGUUUCCUUUUUUCCUUUUAUCUUGAACAGCAUCCCAUAGUAUGCCCCCUCAAGUUCAGAAUCAUGGGCUAUUUCUCCCUAUCCUAUUGUCCACUGAUCAAUCUCAAGUACGCUAGCAGUUGUUAUCACAGAACAUGCAGAAUUGCAUGGCAUCUAAUGCAAUUCAAAGUUCUGCUGGUUUACUAGCGGCACUGCCUCUUGUCUCCGGUGUAACCCAGACUAUCCCCAACACUGUUGUCCAGAAUCCUAACAUGCAGAGUAUCCCCGGUGUUUCACAGAACUCAGUGGGGAAUUCAAUGAGACAAGGGAUUCCCUCCACUAUGUUUGCCAAUUCUCAUAAAGAAAUGCCAGGUAAUGCUCUUUUUGGUAGCUUUAUGUCUUCCACUUAUGGCAUUAGAAAUGCCACUGCUAUUGGAACUAUUGCAAUCACACAUGCAUUUGGCAUCACACGAUGCCCUUCAGUGCUCUGCACCAACUUUUCACCUCCCAUAAUGGUUCUAGUCAGUAAUGCUUUUUUAGGUAGCUUUAUGUGCUACUGCUGCCACUUAUGGCAUUAGUAAUGCCACUGCUAUUGAAACCAUUGCAAUCACACACACAUUUGUUACCCACAUCAUACCCUCCAGUGCAUUGCACCAGCUGUUCACCUCUCAUUCUGGAUUUAUAGGGUUUGUCCGUCUGUUUGAAUGAUUACAUAACGUUUAGAUGGAGUUCCUAGUACUCCUAGUUCAAAAAGACUUGUAUUCCUCUGUAGGAAAAUACUAAUAGUCCUAUCUAGAAUAGGAAAACCUAAUGAAGCUCGCUAUACUUUGGGAUAAUAAAAUACUAAAUGGAAAAUAAAAUGAGACUUGCAAUAUUCCAUAAUUUUCAGCAAGCGUGAAAAUUACAGAAAUACCCUUGUAUAUGGAAAACACACAAAAAUACAUGAAUUCUAAUCUUUGUUGCCCGCAUUGAAAUAUUUGUAGCAUCCCUAGAUUCUACAGCACAGACUGGACAUGCAAAAGGCGCUGAUUGACAAGAGUAGAUCUAUCAAAAGGUAAUUUCUGUGAUUUACUGUUCAUUAGAUGGAGUUCAUGUAUGCCAUAGUCUUAAAAAUAAAAGUGCACUAUUUCUGAAUGACUUACAGUUUAUCUUUUGUUAAGUGAAGAGUUAUUUGCACGAUUGCAAUCAACUUGUUGUGAAAAAUUUCCAGUAUUGAAUUUUAUAGAAAAUGAGGUUGAAAUUCUGAAUGUCUCAAGUCAUAACUGCAUAUUUGAUAAGGACAUUUUUCUUGUGCUUAAGUGAGUAUUAAAACGGGAAUAAGAAUGGUUGUUGUUAAGGAUCCAUGGGGUCAUGCAUAGGAUCUAAGGCUAAGAAGCGUCGCUAAAGUUGUGAAAUCCAUUGACUUGAGCUAGAACAGCAGAAAACAAUGAUGUGUAGUUUGCAGGGAGACAGUAACUGAACUUAACCAACCCCUGAAUCUUGUCUAAUGGUGUACUUACACAGUCCUUUGCAUCUUUCCAUUCCAUCAAUAUCGACAUCCUGUUGAGUUUCUAGCAUUAAUUCCACUCUAUUAUUUUUAUCUCAACUAAUUUAUGUUGUCCUCUGCCCUUUUUUUGUUAUUUUAUUUUUAUCAAUUCCCUUAAGUUUGUUUGUUUUACUUUCUUUCUGACUGGCACCUGAAGAGAUCAAGCAUAUGAGCGAUAAUGUUUUGCUGGUUAUUUGUACUUCCUAGAUCAAAGUUAUGAAGGAGACUUAUUUCCCUGAAAUAAAUGAAAUGUAUCAGAGAAUUGCUGCCAAGUUACAGCAGGUAAAUUGUCUCUGAAAUUUCUUCCGGAUUAUCUGUGCAUGCAUGAUUAUCUGCAAUUUCCCCAUGUUGAGUUUUGUAUUAGUUUGUUUUCCUCAUCAGCAUUGCCUGUCACUGUAUCAUCUGCACUAUUCACCUACCCCACCCCCAACCGCCCCCACAACCAUGCAUCGACACAGAAGAAGUGGAAUAGAAACAUUUUGUUUCACUAAUGUUUUGCUACAAAGGAUCAAUGCAAUUUUUAAUUCUCGUGUAUGUUAACUUUGCUUUCUAGCAUGACUCUCAUCCGCAACAACCGAAGUCGGAACAGCUUGAAAAGCUGGAGGUAUUCAAGGCCAUGUUGGAGCGCUUGAUAACAUUCUUACAGGUCUCUAAAAACAAAAUCACACCUAGUUUCAAGGAGAAAUUGGGUUCCAAUGAGAAGCAUAUUGUAAGUUUUCUAAACCCAGGCAGAUCAGGAAGCCAAUUCCUAAUCUACAGCGAGGACAACUUCCCCAGCCUCAUGUGCAACCUAUGCAGCAAUCCCAGUCUCCAGUUCCUCAAUUGCAGUCCCAUGAAAAUCAACUGAAUACCCAGUUGCAAUCAAUAAAUGUGCAAAAUUCUAUACCAACAAUGCAGCAGAACAAUAUGUCAAGCUUGCAGCAUGGUUCUCUUUCAUCUUUAUCUGGGUUUUCUAUGUCACAACCAAUCAUGAUGAUGUGGGACGAGAGAUUUUACGAGAAGAAAAGGGGGUAGAGAGAAUGAUAUUGUAGCAAAAAUAACUAAUCAAAUAGAAAGGCUGAGCUUAGAGACAGCACACUACAAAGGAAGCACCCAAUAGCUAGACAUACAAUCAUAACAAAUUCAUCUUCUAAAGUUGGAGAACUUGCGAAAACUAGCAACCAUAAAAUAGUAACAAGUAUCUAUGCAAUCUUCGAUGAAGUACAACCACCUACGUCGCCAAUAUGGAUUGAUGUAGAGAACUGCUGCAAUCGUCAUCACCACAACUGUGUAACAUACACUGAAACUGAUGUAGAAAAACUCCAUGUCUAUGAAACCAUCAUCUUCUUGUUCAUCAUGAGGCACUGGCUGGGACAACACUACUUCUUCACUACAAUUGUUUCGCAAUGGAGGUCCACACAAGAAAGGAUUUCCUUCGUAACAGCUUUCAUCGAAGGUCCCAAACUGAUAUUUUCUCUCGGGUGUCUUACCUGACAAGUUAUUGUGCUCCACACUAAAAACUUCUAGUGUGGUCAUUUCAGUAAGUUGUGGAGGGAUGUCACCAUUCAAGUUGUUGUAAGAAAGAUCCAAACUCUCAAUCCGCUUCAGGUUUGAGAAUGUUGCAGGGAUAGAUCCAGUGAGAUUGUUGUGUGAUAAGUUUAAUGACAGUAUCUCGCUUAAGUUUCCAAAUUCUGGUGGGAUUGCUCCUACAAAGUUGUUAUUGGAGAGAUCAAUACCAGACAUGUAGAUGAGAAUUUUCCCUUUGUAACCAUAAUACAUAUUUUUAGUUGUAAAUUCUAUCACUUCUUCUGUAAAGUUAGUCCAAUAACCCUUUAAUAAGGUGUAUAUGCUAUCCACUUGUGGUGGACCCAUUAUUUCAUAAUAAGCCUUUUCUAAGAACCCUGGUAGUAAAAGAACAUCGAGAUUCACUAAUGCUUUCUGGGAACUUUCUUUGAAAGUAAGAUUUUCCAAACAGGAGGGUAAUGGACCAGAAAGCUGGUUUUGUGAAACAUCCAAAAUGCUUAAUUGUUUUAAUAAGCAUAACUGAACAGGGAACUCACCAUCAAAGUGAUUAGCUCUCAGAAGAAGAACACUCAAUGAUGAAAGAUUGCCAGCCCAAUUUGGAAUUGAGCCGGUGAAGCUGUUAUCUCUAAGAUCCAUCGUAACCAGGGAAGAGCUAUUAUAAAAUCCAUAUUUUAAUGGACCGCUCAAUCUAUUUUUGGAUAGAUGCACAUGGGUUAUUUGUGGUGAAUUGAAACAAGAUGGAAUAUAUCCAAACAAAUUGUUCUCAGAAAGGUCCAAAUAUUCAAGCUGGUCAAACUUACAAAAAAAGUCUUUUGGGAUAGGACCCUUAAAAUGGUUUUUUGAAAAAUCAAUUGCUCUAAGGUUCGUCGAAUUGACGAACCACCUUGGAAGCAUGCCUGAAAAUUGAUUGUUACUCAAAUCCAAUACAAUCCACGUUUUCCACCCGUUUAAUGGAAAAUCUGAUAUUUGACCCCAAAAGUUGUUAUCACCUAGAUAGAGAUAUUCUGAGGUAGAAGAAUUGAACACGGAGGUUGGUAUUUGCCCACCCAAAUUGUUGUUUGACAGCUUGAGAAACAUUAAUGUUGUUAGUAGUUCUAGUUUUACCGUGGACAAUUGAUUGUUGGAUAAAUCUAAAACUCUCAAAGAGCUAAUAUUUCCUAAACAAGAAGGAAUACAACCCGUGAAUCCAUUCUUAGCCAUCCUUAAUCCCUUCAGAUUUGGAAAGAUCAAACAAAUAUCCUUUGGAAUUUGACCGCUCAUGUUGUUGUUGGAUAUAUCCAAUUCGGUCAUUUUCGGAUAUGGGUGAUCUUGCAACUGCAAAGUACCAACAAAGGAGUUCCCGCUCAGAUAUAGUUGCUCCAAUCGUGUAUUGUUCUUAAGCAACCACGAUGGAAACAUUCCGGUGAUGUUGUUGUGGGAGAGAUCAAGGAAUCUUAAGUGGUAUUGGUAAUAGAGGAAGUUGGGAAUUUCUAUAUUGAGUGCUUCCGUUGUUUUUGUCGAGCUAAAAAAGACUAGUUGGAACUUUGGAAUCAACUGAUCAAAUGCAGCAGGUUCUAUUACUAAUCUGUUGUUCUCAUUGCAGAAGAACUUGAGGCUUGAGUGGUUCAUAAAAGGUUUCAUUGAAGUGGGAACUUCAAAGAGGUUAUUUGAUAGUGAGAGGAAUUCAAGGGAUAUGAGGUUGGUAAGGGGACCGAAGGCAAUAUUUCCAGUAAAUUGGUUUUCAGAAACAUCUAAUAGUUGUAGAGAAGACAAGUUCCCCAAACAAUAUGGGAGUGAACCUCCUAAAUCAUUUUCAGAGAGAUCUAAUUGCUUCAGAUUCUUCAUUUCACACCAACCUGUACAAUUUAUGGAUAUAAAGUCGUUAAAGAUGAAGGCUAAGUCAAACAUGAUAAAAUACUAUCAUUAAAUUGAUCAUUGCAUAGAUAUAAAGUCCUUUUUUAUAUAUAUAUAUAUAUAAUGUAAUGAAUAUUAUUGAUUAUUCAACAUAGUUUUAAAUAAUAUAAUAUUUUUUAAAUUUAUAAUAUUAUAAAUUAUAAAAUUAUUGAUACUUGCAAUGAAGACCAAGUCUCAAAAUACCAUAUCCACUGGCAGUGGUAAUGCAGCGAAGCAUUGAAUUUCUAAACAUCCUUACCUUUUGUUUUAUAUUGCUAUGUAUAUACAAUGCUUUAAUCAAAACCUAUAAUGCAGGAAUAUCUGCAGAUGGCCAUUCCCAAAGGGAAAACUAAUCUUCCCUAGAAUAUUACAAAGUGCCAUUUCUACAGUGAGACACUGAAUAGUGAAAUUAGUGUUUCGUUUUUGUUGUUUUGUUGCUGAUAACUAGAUCUGUUAAAUCUUUUCCCUGUACUUUUACAUUAUGCAGUAAACUGGUCCCUUCAUUAGUUUUUCGUUAGUCAAAUAUUGUAGAGCUGUCAGCAAUAUUUCCUCUGUUUGUUCCACUAACUUGACGGUAAAAUGUGAUUAAAGAAUCAAUUAAUUAUUUAAAAAACGUCGAGGGAUUAAUUUGUUUGUUUCACAAAAAACAGACACUGGUUAUAUAAAAUUAUACUCAAAUUUUUUUCAUCAUAUGCGUGUGUUUACUUGUAAAUAUUUUGGAAGGAACUAGUUUAUGUUUUGCGCAACAUAAAAAAAAUCAUCUAGGCUUAAGAAACUAGCUCGAUCUAGUGGAUUAAUUUUUAAUUUUUUUUAUUUGACUUUUUAUCUAUAUCAAGUUUAACAUGAAAGUUAAUGUCUUUGUUUAAUUCGCAUGAUAACAAUUCUAUGUCUAAGAUCAUUUGGUUGGCAUACAUAUGUAAACCUAGGUGUUGUUAGUUCGAGGGAAGGAAGACACAAUAAAAAAUAAACAAACAUGGAUGAUAUGUCAUUUAUGUUUUACUUUUUUUAAUUAAAAAAACAGGCUUAAUAAAAAAUAUCAAGCGAGGUCAGAUGCGCGAGCCUUGUUUUAUAAUUUUUUAUUCAAAUUUUAAUAAUUGUUUUCAAUUAUUAUGCAUAUGACAUAAAAAUCUGUUCAUGAAAAUUAAAUUCAAAUCACUUUUUUAAUCUUAGAAUUUUUAGAUAUAUUUUUAGCAUAAUUUUAUCAUAUUUAUGAUUUUUUUUAACUUUCAAUCACAUGAAUAUAUUAUUUUGAUACAUUUUUAAUUUGUUGUGACAAUUAUAGAAUAUUCUUUUAAUAGAAACAAUGAUUCUAGUUAAGAAAAAAAUCUUGCAUUCAUCGAGAUAAACAAGAAAUAUGUUAAUAAGAAAAUUUAUCUUGAUGGAGAAAAAUUCAAAACGACUAAAUUUUCAAGUUUAAUAACAAUGCCAAGGAGUUUCCUUAGACUUGGAUAUUUUGUUCUACGUUUAAAGUUUUUUUUAUCUCCAUAACAUAGCAUUAGCAUACAAACUUGUAUAUUUUUAAGACAGCGUUUGGUUACUAUCCGGGACAAUAAAGACAAAGACAGAGGAGACAAGACAUAAAAGAAGAUGGAGAUAGAAUUGUGUUCAGUAGUGAUGUACAAGAUAAAAUAAUUGUCUUUGUAUCAUAUUUAGUUAUGUUGAAUAAGAAAGAAUAAAAUACAUAAAAAACUAUUUUACCUUUAAUAUGUAUUGUUGUCAAACUUCCAUAUUUAAAAAAUAAUUAUUUUUAUUUUUUUACUUUAGUUUAUAUUGAAUGUUGAAAUUAUUAAUAUUAUAAUAACCCUAAUUAUAAAACCAGGACUGAUUUGACAGGUUGGUUUAAGGCGUAGACUUGCCCGAGUUUUAGAAAAAUAGAUUAAUGAUUAACUAGACCUGACCUGGUAAAAAAUAUGAGUCAGGUUAAGAUAAAACACAAGUAAAAAACCCAUUGACUUUUUUGAAAAAGAAAAUUGGUCAAAACAAGGUUUCUUUGACUAUUUUUUUUAAAAAAAAAUUGGGUCAAUCAGGUUGACCUUCCCAACCCAUGACCUACACCUUUCCUUUGGUCAACUCCUAAGUUGAGUUUUAAAACUAUGAUAUUAAUAAUUUUUAUCCAUACUCAGGUCAACCUGUGUUGACCCUCUCGAUCCAUGACCUAGGCCUUACUUCUGUCGACUCCCGAGUCGGGUUUUAAAAUAUGAUAAUAACUAUUUUUAUCCUUACAUUAAUCCGGGUCGACUCUCUUGAUUCGUGACCCGAGUCUUACCCCAAAUUGACUAUCGAAUCAAAUUUUAAAACUAUGAUUAUAACCACCUUUAUUUUAUGUUGACCCGGGUCAAUCCGGGUUGACCCAUAUAACACGUGACUCAAGCCUUAUCCCGAGUCGAUCCCCGAUUUGGGUUUUAAAACUAUAAUAAUAACUAUUUUUAUCAUUACAUUUACCUAGGUCAAUAAUCAACCUCACUUGUGACCCCAAAAUUGCCCGGGUCGACCCUUAAAUCGAGUUUCAAAAUAUGAUAAUAACUAUUUUUAUUUUUAUACUAAUACAGGUCAACUCAACUCGUGACUCGGGCCUCAACCAGUGACCCAGAAUUUACCCCGGAUCGACCUCAAAGUUGGAUUUUAAAACUAUGAAAAUAAUUAUUUUUACCUUUAUAUGUCUUAAUUAGACAAUUUAGAAUUGAGAGUUUUUUAUAAGGAUAUUUUAGAAAUAAAAAAUAAUAAAUAUUGUCUCUAUAAACAUGUCCCUUCUAUACCUCAUAUUUUGAAAAUAUAAAAAUUCACUCUAAAAUUAUUCUAGAGACAAAUUUAUUUUUAUGUAUUUGUCUUUAUCUCUUUAACCAUAUAUAUUUAUAUCUUUAUUGUCUUCAUCCUUUUUAUCACACGACAAUGACCAAACAUUACCUAAAGGAUCUACAACUACUGAUGACAAACUUGGCUUUAUUUCAUCUUUGAUUUCUUCUCAAUGAUAUCUCACCUAUAUGUGUGGAGGCACUAGAUCGUUGAUUGAAAGGUUGACUUUGAAAAAAUAUAUUCAUAAAGUAAUGUUUGAAUCUUGGUGUUUUUUAUUGGCUCAAAAAAAUUACCAACCCACCAAAACCAACAUGUAUGAAACAUUUAGAUUUAAUAUUAUAUGUAUAAUUUAUUAUCAUAAUUGAUAUGCUAUUCAACUCACUAACUUAGUAGGAUGACCUAUAAUACCUGUUGAUCUAGGAUUUUAGCCGAAUCAAGCUUUAAGCCAGAUAUAAUAACUAUGAUUUUAUAAAAUUACUAUGAACUUCCCUUUUAUGUCUUCUUAUUUACUCAUUUGAUUUUAUGAAGUUAAGAUGUUUGCAUUUAUAUCAUGAUUAAACUCUAGGAUAACAUUUAGUUAUUACUUCAGGAUAACAAAAAUAAAGAUAGUAAAGACAAAAUUAUGUUUGGUUGAAAAGACAUAGAUAUAAAAAUAAUUUUUUUCAUGGGAUAAUUUUAGAGUGAAUUUAUGUACUUUCAAAAUAGAAAGUACAAAUAAGAUAUAUCUUCAUAAACAAUAUUUUUUAUUUUUAUUCCUAAAAUAUCAUUGAAAAAACUUUCAAUUCCAAAAUUGUCUAAUUAAAACAUGUAAGAACAAAAAUAGUUAUUAUCACAGUUGUAAAAUCUAACUCGAGGGUCGACCUGGGACAAGGCUUGGGUCAUUGUUUGGGUUGACCAUUGACCCGAGUCAACAAAAAAAUAAAAAUAGUUAUUAUUAUAAUUUUAAAACCUAACUUGGAGGUCGACUCAGGGCAAGACCCGGGUCAUAGGUCAGGAGGGUCAACUCUGGUUGAACUGAGUUAAUGUAAGGAUAAAAGUGGUUAUUGCAAUAGUUUUAAAACUUGACUCAGAGAUCGACCUGAUGUAAGCUCAGGUCUUGGGCUAGGAGGGUUAAUGCAUGGAUAAAAAUAAUUAUUAUCAUGAGUCGAUUUGAGACAAAGCCUAGGUUAUGGGUUGGGAGGGUCAACCCGAGUUGACCCAAUUUUUUUUUUUAAAAGAAUCAACACAACUUUGUUUUGACCAUUUUUUUUUAAAAAAAAAUAGCUGGUUUUGCCCUAUGUUUUAUCCCGAGUCGACCUGUGUUUUAUCCCGAAUCAACUCGGUUUUUUAAUUCACCUAUCUAUUCUUAAACUUAGAUUAAUACAGGCUUAGAGACGACUAGGUCCCGAAUAGAUUCACUAGGUCAGUCUAGGUUUUAUAACUAGGAUUAUUAUAAUAUUAUUAAAAUUAAACUAAAGUAAAAAAAAAUCUAAUUAUUUGUAUAAAUAUGUAAGUUUAACAAUAAUGCAUAUUAAAGGUAAAAUAAUUUUUUUAUUUUUUAUUUUUUUUAUUUAUCAUUAUCAAAUAAGAUAUAGAGACAGUUACUACCAAACACAAUUUUAUUUUCAUCUCCUUUUAUAUCUUGUUUUCAUGGUCUUCUUCCUUUUUAUUCAGGACAGUAACCAAAUAUUACCUAGUUAUAACAUAUAGAAACAUAUAAGUUGUCAAGUUCAAGCCUUUCUCUUAUCGAUUUAAAUAAAUUGAAACACAAUUGCAAGAAGAUUCGAGUGUGUUUGGUAUUGUGAUAGCUUUUGUGGUUGUGAUUUGAAAAAAAAUUGUUUUAUAAAAAAUACUUUUGGUUGAGGUUGGUUUGGUAUUUAUAUAUAUUUGGUUCAAACUGUGGUUGAAAUUGAGGUUGAACAAAAAGUAGUUUAAUGUGUUUGGUUAAGAAUGCUUUUCAAAUUGAGGUUAUAAAAUAAUUAAAAAAAGAUAUUAAUAUUAAUGGUUUUUAAUUUAAAUAUUGUAGAUUUAACUACUGUUAUUACAUCAUGAAAUAAAUAAUACUUUAUAUAAAAUAUUUUUAUUGUUCCAUUAAACUAUCUACAAUUCCAUCACGUACGAAAUCCAUCCGACAAGGACUACAGUUUCCUUGGUUUUUUAAGUGCGCAACAACAUCAUGUAAAAUAUCAUCAAGAACAAAAUUAGGAUUGCGAUCAAAUUCUGUAAAUGUUACGUCAUUAAGCGAUCUCCUUCUAAUUUAUGUAGUGUCAUUGAAUAAUGUUAAACAUUAGUUUUUUUGAAUAAAAUACAAUUAAAAAUAAAAAAAUUGAAUUUUAUUUUAUUUUACUGGGUCGGACCCGGUUCAAUGCAUUUAGCUUUGAACCGGACCCAAUUCGGCCGGAAUAAUAAAACAUUCUCCACUGUUCACGUGAACAGUGGAGAGUGAAGUAAUUCACUCUCACUAGGUGGAGACAACAGAAGAAAAGAAAAGGCAGCUUUGAGCUGCUUUCAAUGACACUGCAUUUUAAACAUAAAUUAUAAUGGAUCCUGUAAACAGUAAAUAAUAUUUUAUUAAUUAUCACAUGAUUGAUUUCUGUGGUUUGUUACAAAAACAGAAGCAACCACAGAAAUAAUCAGGUUCAAAGAAGAAAAGACAUAUGAUUAAAGUGCCACGCAACCUUUUGACAUUAUCAGUAUUUUGAUGUAUUUCCAUUAAUUUAUAAUAUACAAGUAUAUUUCCACGUUUCUUUUAUUUGGAUAGAACAUCUUUCCAAUAGAAUUUGUUUUUAUUAGAAUUCCAUAUUCAUGAUAUUUUUUUAAUAAUAAAAAUAGCAUUGGAUGAGUUUGUAUGUCAAUUGAAACUAAAAAUGUGUUAGAUACGAUCGAUGGAUUGAACAUGAUAAUAUAAAUAUCAAAUAAUGUUUAAUUAGAUUAAAUUGAACUAGAGAAUAUAUGUUUUUAUUCUAUGUUUGGUGCACACAAAAUAAGAUCAAAUAAUUUUAUUUUUAUCAUUGAGAUUUUUUCAAUCAUUUAUUUUAGUCUUUGCAUUUUAUUUUUAUGAUAUUUUAGUCCUUACUAGAAUUUCUUUAUCAUCUAGAACAAUCUAGUUCUUAAAUCAAAAAGGUUUUUGCAAUUAAACUCUUACAUGUAAAUAUUUAUUUUAAUAAAAUUGGUCAAAUUUUGGUUUUCCAAAUUAAAAAAUAAAUAAGUGAUAAAUAAAUAAUAGAUAAUAUAAAAAUUAAGAAAAAAUAAUUUUGUACAAAUUUUUUGUCCUGAGGAAAACUUUGGACAAGACAAUGACAAUGAUCAAUCCUUGUCAUGUCCAAAGUGUAUAUCAAACAUUUCAUAGCUUGCCAUGUGCAACAAAUAUAUCACAACUUGUUUUUAUUGUAUUCUAUUAUGAUCUCUUUUGUGUUUUAUAUUAUUUAAUAUAUUAAAAUAAAUUUAAUAAAUUAUACUGAAGCAAGAUCUAAUAUUAGAAAGUUAACGGAAAUAAUAAAUGUACCUUUGCCCGUCCCUUCAACAAAAUGCUGAGCUGUAUACUAAUUCUCAGAGGCAGUGAUAACUAGUUGUUCUAACUAAUCCCUAUACUUUUAAAUAUGUUUACAAUUCAGUCCCUUCAUUAAUUUUUCGUUAGUAAAAUGUUGAGCUGUCAGCAAUAUUUCCUUAGUUUGUGCCGCUAACUUGACGGUAAAAUGUGAUUAAAGGAUCAAUUAAUUAUUUAAAUCAACUUGAGGGAUUAAUCUGCAUUUGCUUAACAAAACGACAAACACUAGUUAACUCAAAUUUAAGGUAUGUUUGUUUUUAUAUUUCAAAAACGUUUUGAAAAAAUUUGAAAAUUUUUUAUUUUUUUCUUUGCUUCAAAUUAAUAUUUUUUGGUAUUUUUAGAUCAUUUUGAUAUGCUAAUAUUAAAAAUGAUUUUUUUCAAAAAACAUAUUUUAAUAUAUUUCUGAGUGAAAAACAUUUUAAAAAAUAUCUGUAACCACACUCUCAAACAAUCACAUUCCCAUACAGGUUAAUCAUCAUAUGCGUGCAUGCGUGCGUGCAAGUGGGGUUCAAUCCGGGUGCCCUAGCAUUAUAUUAUAAUACUUAUAUAUAUAAGAAACCCUGUAUGGAUUCGUACAACACUGGAAUGCAAUGAUUGAAUGAAAUAUUACAUGGACAUUGGACCUGCUGUGUAAACAUGUUUAGGAUGGAUGCGACGACAUUUCAGAGUUUUUGCUUUCAACUUGGAAACCAAUGUCAUAACCCAAUUCUGGGUUAUUCCCCAAAAAUCAUUUUUUUUUCAAAAUAAAAAUCAAAAUAAUAAUAAUAAAAGCUGGAAACGUGGAGAAGGCAAACCGGGGAAUCAAGUUGUAAUUUUGGAGGAAAUUCAAGGCCUAAUUGUACCCCAUUAUGCCAAAAAAUGGAGGAAAAAAAUGCAAAUUCAAGGUCAAAUUAAAUGACUAUUGGAUGAAUUUGCAUAAAAAUUAAGUCCAAGAACAUAAUUAAAUUUUUAAUAGGCCAAUUUGAUUUAAUCAUGGGCCAAAUUGAAUUUUAAUUAUGUUUAAGAAUUAAUUUGGGUCCAAUUGAAGGAUUUAGUUAAGUGCAAGGACUUAAUUAUACUUUAAAUGGGUAAAAUUAAUUUUAUUUGGGGCUUAAUUGGUGAAAAAUUAAGUUUGGGAGCCUAAUUUGGGCUUAAUUGAGAAGAUUGGAAUUUUAAGAGAUCAAAUUUAAUUUUUUCCAAGUUAAUUGCUUGAAAUCAGGGGCCAAAUUGCAAGAAAAUUGAAGUUUUGGGGUCAAUUAGGGGUUAAAUUGACAAAAUUUGCAGCCAAGGACCAAUAUGCAAAAAGUGCCAAACUAUAGGGCCUAUUGGCAAAAUCCAGGGUGAAAUUGAAGAAAUUGAAAGUUUAAUGGUUGAUUAGGGGUUAAAUUGCAUAAAUCCAAGACUAAAGACUUAUAUGCAAAAGGCGCGUAAAUUUGGGGUUCCAAUUGAAGUUCAGCAAGGGCGUAAUUGCAUUAAAUCAAAAGUUUAUGGUCAAUUAGGAGUUCAAUUAAAACAAAUUGAAAUCUGGAGGACUAAAUUAAAACUUAGUUAAAAUCCCUAAUUCAAACCUAAAACAACAUUGUUUUGAAUAAUAAUAAUAAAAAAAGAAUCAGACAACACGUCGUCUGGUCAUUAUUUAUUGUCUUCUUCUUUUACCCGGUUAAUCAUCAUAUGCGUGCGUGCAAGUCAGGGUUAUUGUGUUGUCUAUUCCGUGUGUAAUGUGGGGUUCAAUCCAUGUGAAUCGCACGACUUGUCCAUAUCUUUCUUAUUGAUUACAAAUAGCAUUGAGAAUUAAAGAAUAUUAUCUUAAUAAGUUCCAAUUUAUUCUACAAAAACUAUAUAUAAAGAUGUGACAAAAUCUUAAGUUCCAUUUUAUUCUACAAAAACUAUAAAGAUGUGACAAAAAGAUGCAGCUUACGGAUCAAGCCUGGUUCAGGUUUUGAUCCUGUUAAAAAUCUAUUUUGUUGAAUUGUUCAUCAACUCGUGAAUUAUUGGGUUAAAUAGAUUAAUUUUUUAAACAAAACAAUGCCAUUUUUUUUAUAUAUAAAAAAUUUGGUUCUGGCGUAUAAAUAUAAUAUUAGAAACUUAAACCUUAUUGAUUAGCAAAAACUCAAAGGGAAAUUUUGAAAUAGAUUUUUGUAAAAUCAAAUAUGAACCAAGUACUAGAAAGUUUGUUUGAAAUAACAAUUACUUUAUAGAAAGCAAAUAUAAAUAUAUUUAUUAAAUUUAAUAAAGUUUAAAAUCAGCAAGUUAAGCUACGAAACCCUGAUCAAUUUAAUAUAAUGCCGUUCAAUACAAAAAAAAAAUACAUCUUAAAAAAAAUUUAAGUUAAAUCAUGUUUCUACCUAUUAUUUAGGUUGUCUUCAGACUUAUAAAGUCGACUAGGUUAUAUUAGAAAAACUUUUAUAUAAUUAAAUUUAAAACUCGAGUUAGGAAAUUUUAAUAUUGAUUUGUUGAAUCGGAUUUAAUAACAAUACCAAAAAUCUAAAAUUUACUUUUUUAAUCAAUUUUUUUUAAUUCAACUCGUAUCAUAACACAGUAUAGUAAAAUAAAUAGAUAUAAAAUAUUUUGAUGGAUCCUCGGGAUAAGAGAUUGUUUUAGGACAUUUUGCUAAUUUCUUUUGUUAUCUAAUCAACAAGCUCAUAGUGAAUAAGUAUAUAAAUAUAUACAAUUAAAUUAAAUAACAUAUAAGAGAAAAAUGGUCGAAAGGUAAAGCUAAAGUGAUGCGACGUUGAGCCACUAGUCGAUAGUUGUAACGUCAGUUUGUUGGUUCGUCGUUCGUUUCUCGGAUUUAUUGAUCUUUAGAUUGUCUGUUUCUAGAAAAGAAAGAAAGAAAUAUUUAUAUUAUCAAUGCAAUGCAAUGCAAUGACUAAUAAGAGCUUGAAAUUAAGAGGUUUGCUUUCUCUAUAGUUUCAGGUUCGAACCCUGUGGUUGCUCAUAUGAUGGCCACUGAAGAUUUACAUGGUCGUUAACUUUAGGGCCCGUGGAAUUAGUCGAGGUGCGCAAAUUAUUAUCAUUUUAUCAAUGUAUACUACAUCUUUUUCUCAAUUGUUUGAGUUUGAAAUUAUAUCUGUGAACCCAUUAAUUUAUCUAGAAAAAAAAAAUUUAGGUAAUUGGAUCAAUCCUUGAUAUCAUAUAGAGAUAAAUUAAUUGUUUUGAUUAAAACAAUAUCAUUUUAUUUAAAAAUAAAUUUAUAAUAUUAAUUGAAUCACUAAAAACACAACUAGACCAAUCAUGUUUUAAAUAUUUUUAAAUAUUUUUAUAUUUAAUUUGAAAUUGAUUUAAAUUAAACUUUAAAUUAUGGGUUUUUCAAACUAACAUGUGUUGGGUUACGUCGAUUGAGUUAGGUAUAACAUAUCUAGAAGAAUUUAUUAAAUUUCUCUAUAAUUAGUCAAUCGAUGAGGGAAUUUAGUUUUAAUUGAUGGAGAAAUUAAUUUAAAGAUACCAUGCAAGAUAUAAAAAAAAACAUUUAAAGAUAUCAAUUAUUGUUUUCCGUUUAAUUAUAAAUAGAAUGAAGAGAGCGAUGCUCGCUGCACUUUUAUAAGCGACUAAAGUAGUUUCCAUCUUAGAUACAGUUAGAAUCUCCCAUAUCUGUCAAAAUGCCAAAAAAGCUAUUCGCAAAGAAACUCUCAAAAACUGACAUUAAUUAAAUAUAGAAUGGCAGUUCCAAUGGAAAGCCUCUACGCUUUCCAAAUCCCAGAAGGAGAACACUCUAAAGAAUUUGGUGUCACUGGCAUCCAUGGCAAGAGGUGGAGGUUCCGAUGUUGUACAAGAAAAACUGAGUUGAUCACCUUAAACCAGUCAUGUUUUCAGUUUGGAUUGAGUUCGCCAAAAAAAAGGGUUCUCAAAAAAGGUGAUGAAGUCACCUUCUCUGUGCUGGACAUGAAGGGAGCUGAGGAUCUGGAAUUGGGAAUUCAAGCUCGGAAAAGAAUCAAGCUAUUCGGCCAAGAUUUUUGGAGUAAUCCUUUGUGAAGAAGAAGAAGAAGAAGAAGAAGAAGCUACUCCUCGCAUAAGUAUAGAUUUUGUGCACCGAAGAUUGUGUCUGUGAGUAAUAGAGCUGGUUGCCUAUGUACAAUUAGUAUGCUUUGGCAGGAACUUCGUGACUGGUCCUUGGAUAGCUGAGAAAGCCAAGUCUAUGGCAACUUCAGGGGAAUCCAGGAGCAGGAAAAAAAUCAAGGUGAAAGGAUAUGAAUUUGCUAGUGCAACUGCUGCAAAGGAUCUAGGAGACAUAAAUUUGCGAACUAGAGAAGAGUUAAUUUUGAGCUCUGCAUUCUUCUUGCAUGUUCAUCUGUUUCCCGUUGUGGUUGAUCUUAGCAGUUCUCAGUAUAGUAAUUUGCAUUUCCUUCUAGAUCAGAUGAUUAAUGGAUUAUCAGGCAUGGACUGCGAUGUAGUCGGUGCUAGGGAAUCAACAAAGUUAACUCAUUGUAUUUUCAUAAAUUAAAGGGAUUUCUCUUCUUUUCUUUGUCAAUUACAGUGCAUGAUGUAUAAAAGUUUUCUUACUCAGAGUAAAUGCUAUUGUAAUGUUUUCACAGAGACUCCUCUAUUUUGCAACUAAUUCACUUAUAUAUCUUGGAAACAGAAAGGCAAUCAACGAAGAGUAAGGCAUCUUCUGAAGAAACAAAGAAAUUUAAUGCCCUAAACUAAGCAGCAGGUAGAAGGCAAAAACUGAGCUCAAAUUUUCAGUAAGGGACAAACGAAAAAAACCAAAAAGAAAGCAGAGAAAAAUACAGACUCAAAUUCACAACACCCAUUUUCUUUCCAUUGGAACACUUUAAAUAGUUUAUUAAAUUUAUAAUGAUCUGAUUUCUACGCAUAUUACAAAAUCAACUUCAUGAUCAAUUCUCUAUAAUUUCGGCAUUACUAAAAACAUCCAAACUAAUAAACUAUUAGUUAUUUUAGCCAUUUUAAUAAACAUUUUAGUUAUGAAUUCACCAAACAUUUUGAACAAUUCAUAUGGAUGAAUUAACAUGUUAAUUUUAGAUUUUUUAACUUAUUAAUUCCUUCAUGAAUUACUUCUAAAGCAUGUUAUAUAUAUCUAAGCACUUUUAUAUAAUAUAAUUCUAUCAAAUUCACUUUUACCCAAUGUAUAAUAUAAACAUCCAUAAAAAAUAACUUAUAUUGUCAAUGCAAUGAAAUGACUAAAUAACAUUUAAUUAUUAUAAUAGCUUUGUCCUCAUACCUAAGGAAGUAUACUACGUCUUUUUCUCGAUUCUUUGAGUUUGAAAUUAUAUCUUUGAACCCAUUAAUUUAUCUAAAAAAAAAUUUAGGUAAUUGGAUCAAUCCUUGAGGUCAUCAUAUCAUAGGGAUAUAAAUCAAUUAUUUUUAUUAAAAAUAAUUUUUUUUUUAAUAUUUUCAUAUUUAACUUGAAAUCGAUUCAAAUUAAAUUUUAAAUUACAGGUUUUUCAAAUUAACAUGUGUUGGGUUAGGUCUAAUAUAUCUAGAAGAAUUUAUUAAAUUUCUCUAUAAUUAGUCAAUCGAUGAGGGAAUUUAGUUUUAACUAGUUACAUGACCCGCGCGAUGCCACGGGUCAAUUUUGUUUUGCAUAAAAAAUAUCAAAAAAAGCUAAGAUCUAAAAGUGUUAGGUCUUUCUAUAAAGUUAUACCCAAAAGUCUUGGGUUUGGCUACAACGCCUGAUCCAAAAAUAAUAUUUAUAAUAUUAAUAAUAACAUUAAACUUGCAUAUAUCCACGAAUAUGUACAAUAUUUGAAACCUAUAAUGCAAGAAUAGCUGCAGAUGUACAAUAUUUUUAAUUUAAAGAAUCAAUUAAUUAUUUAAAAAACUUGAGGGAUUAAUUUGUUUGUUUUACUCAAAUUUUUAUUGUUUACUUGUAAAUAUUUUGAAAGGCACAACAUGAAAAAAUCAUAUAUGCUUAAGCAACUAUUUGGCAUCUUAAACUUAAUCUCGUAAAUUAAUCUUAAAUCCUUUUUAUUUAACUCUUUCCCAGUAUCAAGUUUAAAAUUAAUCAACAUAAAAGUUGUUUUAAUAUAACUUAGUUAAUUUAAUGGGUUCAAAAUUAAUACAUAUGACAUGAGAUCUACCAGCCAUCAUCUGGCCGGAAACGGGCCGCGAUCGUCGACUGCCACCGAAGCUUCAAGUCGUCGAUUCUCGCUCAUCAGCCAUCAACGGCCGUCAAGACCACCACCAUAAGAAUCCUCGACAUCAGAUCUACCAGGAUCGACCAUCGGUUGGCCAGAAAUCGCGCCGGAAAAUCUCCCCGCCGCCAACAGUAGCCGCGCGUGUGCCACACGCGCCGCCAGUGGCAUUUUUGUAAAUUUUGGAGAAACCCGAGGGUAUUUCAGUCUUUUACCUAUACAGUGGCACUCAGGUAAUUUUUCGGGGUUUCUACUGGUAUUUUUGAUAUUUUUUAUAUAUAAAUGCUUGUAAAUUUUCUUGCAUGUUGUAAAAAAUACAAAAACCAAAGUCGACACGUCUCUUUUUUUAAAAGGACCGAUGUCAAAAAUGUAAAUACCAAAUAUGGCAUAUGUCCAUUAUUUUUUUUUGGUGACCCAGACGUAAUUCUCCUUUUUAGGGUUGAAACGUCAUAUUUUAGACAAGUCUCCUAAUUUUUAGGGACUGAUGUCAUUUUUAACGUGUCUCCUAUUUUUAGGGACCGACGUUAACCAUUUAAAAAAACAAAUUACCAAUAAACCCAAAAUAUAAUGGAUUAUAUCCAUUAUUUCUUUUGGUAACUCAGACGAGUCUCCAAUUUUUAGGGACUGAUGUCAUUUUUAACGUGUCUCCUAUUUUUAGGGACCGACGUUAAUCAUUUACAAAAAUUUACAAAUAAGCCCAAAAUAUAAUAGCAUUUGAAUCAAAUAAAAACACACAAGUAAGGGUAACCUUUCUUUUGAAAGGAUGUUUUAAGGGUGGUGUCUACCUUCCCUUAAUCAUAACUAACCCCGUACCCGAAUCUCUGGGACCAGUGUCUAAUUUGGGAUUUCUAGUUCCCUCAAAUUACUAGAUGGCGACUCCAAUAAAAUCUUUGUUUCCCCCAAUCGAGAAAAAAACCCUUUUUGUUAAACAAACAAAAAAAGCGGGAGCCGUCGCCCGACGUCGUGUAUCGACAAAUGUCUGCAAAUCUUGUGGUCAUAUACAGGGUGCCGGUUUUCUUUCCACGAGCCAAAACCAUUGCUCCCUUUGAUACCUUCCACAUACCUCCAGAAAAAAGGAUUGAAUGACCACUAUCAUCAAGUUGUCCGACCGAGAUCAGCUUCUUCUUUAGAUCAGGAACAUGCCUUACAUUUUGCAAGGUCUAUAUAGAUCCAUUCAUUGUCUUGAUUUGUACAUCUCCUAAACCCACAAUAUCCAAUGGUUGUCCAUCGGCCAGAUAGACUACACCGUGAUCUCCAGCAAUAUAGUUUUGCAUCAUUUCAUGGUGUGGUGUACAGUGAAAUGAAGCACCAGAAUCAAGAACCCAAUCAUCAACAGGACUAUGCACAGCAAGAAUCAAAGCAUCUUGCACCUCAUUUGUGGUAGCGUUUGCAGAGUCAGCUUCAGGUUUUUUCGGUUUUGUGCAAUUCCUCAUGAAAUGACCGGGUUUGCCACAAUUCCAACAUUCAACCUGUUUUCUGGGUCCAAACUUGCUUUUACUUCUAUAUCUUGAUUUUGAUCUGCCUCUGGAUAAGCCUCUAUCAUGUCUCCUCCCUCGAGUGUUGAUGUUGAGAGCUGAUCCUGAGCUUGAACUUUCACCCGAGUCUUUCCUUCGCACUUCUUCAGCCAAAAUCAAGUCUCGAAUGUCAUCAUACUUCAGUUUGGAUUUUCCAGCUGAAUUGCUCACGGCUGUCCUCAUGCCUUCCCAACUGCUUGGAAGUGAAGCUAGCAAGAUGAGUGCACGAAUCUCAUCAUCAAACUCAAUCUCAACAGAUGAUAAUUGAUUUGUGAUGGUAUUAAAGUUAUUGAGGUGUUGUGUCACAGAAGUGUUUUCGACCAUCUUCAAGUUGAACAACUUUUUCAUCAGGUGCACUUUAUUAUUUGCUGAUGGCUUCUCAUACAUCCCAGACAAGGCUUCCAUCAAUCUUGCAGUGGAUCUUUCUUUCGUAACAUUGUGAGCAACUCUUCUUGAUAAGGAUAACCGGACAAUGCCCAGAACUUGUCUAUCAAGAAGUAGCCAAUCUUCUUCUUGCAUAUUUUCUGGUUUGCUCCCCAACAAGGGAAGAUGAAGUUUCUUCCCAUAUAGAUAAUCCUCAAUUUGCAUUUUCCAGUAUCCAAAAUCUGUCCCGUCAAAUUUUUCAAUUCCAGCUGCUUUUAUUUCAUCUGCCAUUUUUACUGCUUCUCCGAUUCGAAUUUCCCAAAUCUGACCUUACAGAUGUGUCCGGAACAGCCGAAAACCUUGGAAAUGACACUGAGAUAACCCCAAUCGGACUUCGGAUGGCUCAGAUUUUAGCAAUCAAAGUUUUGGAUUAACGGACGGUGCAGAUGCAGCCGCGUGUCAACCAGAGUACCGCCUGCGUCGCACCGGAUCAAAACCUCAGUAGCGGUUCUGAUGAAGCCACGUGUCAGCAGAUUAGGUCCUGCGUCACACCGUAUCAAAACUCAGUAACGGUUAUGAUGAAGCCACGUGUCAGCAGAUGAUGGCCUGAGUCACACUGGAUCAAUACUCAAUAGUGGUCCUGAUUUAACCACGUGUCAACUGAUUGGAUCUUGCGUCGUACUGGAUCAAAACCCCUCAACGGUUGUGAUGUAGCCACGUGUCAGAAUAUCAGCUUCUGCGACACAUCGGAACAAAACUCAGAGAUGACGUGGCAGGUGACGUGGCAGGUGACGCGGACGGUGACCGUACGGCUGUGCUGACGUGGCGGGUCAGCCCGACCCGUUUUGCAGAAGUCGGGCGAAGAUGGAGCGUGGCGCGCGUACGGCGCGUUGGUGCGCGUGGGCAGUCUGGGCGUCGGCGCGUGUUGGCGCGUGCGGGCAUGCAGGACGUCGGUUCUUCGCCGGGUUUUCAACAGUGGAUUCGUCCGGUUGUCCUCUACACGAUGGUAUGUUCAAAAACACGUUUUGAGAACUUUGAUUUUUGAGUUUGGAUCAAACACCCUCUUUGUCAAGAACAAGCUCUGAUACCAGUUGUUGGGUAAUUCCAGAACUCAAACACACAUCAAUUUACGUGGUUCGGCAACUUGCCUACUCCACGGAGCUACUGGUUUGUAUUAAUCAAGCUUAGAAACAAUACAAACAACAAAACAAGGAGGAGGAGAAAAUCUUCUCUACUCAACUCAAGCUCUCUCUCUCUCACGUUUUUCUCUCUGUGUUUUCACUCUUCUCUGUGUUCUUCACGCUUCAACCCUCCAGCUCUUCACUGAGCAUACAUAUAUAUUAAGCUAGGAGUGAAGGGCAUAAAUCAUGCCAUGAUUUAUGCCCACCGUUUGCCUCCACUUGUGCUAAGUGGAGAUUAGGUAUUCCCACUAAGCACAUAGUGGAGGUGGGACAUUGCUUGUCUCCAAAUAGCUAACAUAACUGAGGUGGGGUCGCCCUUGAAACAUUGGUAGAUGUAAGUGUUGCUCACAUGCAUAGAAUAUUUUUUUUCUACUUAGUAGUGGUUUUGGCAAUUUUUUUCAGACAAGUCUUGAGAGUUGAAAGAGUAAUCACACCCGAGUCAACCAACAAUCCAAAUCAGCUCCCUUCCUAAUGGUUCAGGAAUGAGAAGUCCAGCUUAUAUAUUUGAUAUAGAGACGGUACACUACAAAUUAAGCACCCAAUAACUAGACAAACAAUCAUGAUAAACUAGGAACAAUUGUCUUCCCAGUAACAAAUUCACCUUCUCACGUUGGAGAACUUGCGAAAACUAGCCACCACAAAAUAGUAGCAAGUAUUUAUGCAGUCUUCGAUGAAGUACGACCACCUGCGUCGCCAAUAUGGAUUGAUGUAAAGAACUGCUGCAAUCGUCAUUACCACAACUGUGUAACAUACACCGAAGCUGAUGUAGAAAAACUCCAUGUCUAUGAAACCAUCAUCUCCUUGUUCAUCAUUAGGCACUGGCUGUAACGGCACUGCUUCCUCACUACAAUUGUUUCGCAAUGGAGGUCCACACAAGAAAGGAUUUCCUUCGUAACAGUUUUCAUCAUCAAAGGUCCCAAAUUGAUAUUUUCUCUCGGGUGUCCUACCUGACAAGUUAUUGUACGCCACACUAAAAACUUCCAGUGUGGUAAUUUCAGUAAGUUGUGGAGGGAUGGCACCAUUCAAGUUGUUGUAAGAAAGAUCCAAACUCUCAAUCUGCUUUAGGUUUGAGAAUGUUGCAGGGAUAGAUCCAGUGAGAUUGUUGUGUGAUAAGUUUAAUGACAGUAUCUUACUCAAGUUUCCAAAUUCUGGUGGGAUUGCUCCUACAAAGUUGUUAUUGGAGAGAUCAAUACCAUACAUGUAGCUCAGAACUUUCCCCUUGUAACCAUAAUACAUAUUUUUAGUUGUAAAUUCUAUCACUUCUUCUGUAAAGUUAACCCAAAAAUCCUUUCCCAAGUUGUACAUACUAUCCCCUAGUGGUGGACCCAUUGUUUCAUAAUAAGCUUUUUCUAUGGACCAUGACGGAAAACCAUAUCCGAGAUCCGCGAGCGUUUUCUGGGAACUUUCCUUGAGAGUUAGAUUGCCCAAACAUGAGGGUAGUGGACCAGAGAGCUGGUUUUGUGAAACAUCCAAAAUACUUAAUUGUUCUAACAAGCAUAACUGAACAGCGAGCUCACCAUCAAAGUUAUUAGCCCUCAGAAGAAGAACACUCAAUGAUGAAAGAUUGCCAAUCCAAUUUGGAAUAGAGCCAAUGAAGCUGUUGUCUCGAAGAUCCAUCGUAACUAGGGAAGAGCUGUUAUAAAAACCAUAUGUUAAUGGACCGCUCAAUCUAUUUUUGGAUAGAUGAAUAUGGGUUAUUUGUGGUGGAUUGAAACAAGAUGGCAUAUAUCCAGACAAGUAGUUAUCAGAAAGGUCCAAAAAUUCAAGCCGGUCAAGCUUACAAAAGUCUCUUGGGAUUGGACCCUUAAAAAGGUUUUUGGACAAAUCAAGUACUUCAUCGUACGUAAAAUUAAAAAAGCUUCUUGGAAGCAUGCCUGAAAAUUGAUUGUUACUCAAAUCCAAUACACUCCAUACUUUCCACCCAUAUAAUGGAAAAUCUGAUAUCUGACCCCAAAAGUAGUUACCACCUAGGUAGAGAUAUUGUGAGAUAGAAGAAUUGAACACCGAGGUCGGUAUUUGCCCACCCAAACUAUUGUUUGACAGCUUGAGAACCUGUAUUGUUGUUAAUUGUUCUAGUUUUACUGUAGACAAUUGAUUGUUGGAUAAAUCUAAAAAUGAAAGAGAGCUAAAAUUUCCUAAACAAGAAGGAAUAUAACCUGUGAAUCCAUUGUCAGCCAUCCUUAAGAUCCACAGAUUUGGAAAGAUCAAACAAAUAUCUUUUGGAAUUUGACCAUUUAUGUUGUUGUUGGAUAUAUCUAAUUCGGUCAUAUUCGGAUAUGGGUGAUCUAGCAAUUGCAAAGUACCAACAAAGGAGUUCUCGCUCAGAUAUAGUUGCUCCAUUCGUGUAUUGUUCUUAAGCAACCAUGAUGGAAACAUUCCGAAGAUGUUGUUGUGGGAGAGAUCAAGGGUUCUUAAGUCGUAUUGGUAAUAGAGGAAGUCGAGAAUUUCUACAUUGAGUGCUUCCGAUGUUGGACUACUUGACAAGCGGAAAAAGACUAGUUGGAACUUUGGAAUCAAAUUAUCAAAGGCAGCAGAUUCCGUUACUAGUCUGUUGUUCUCACUGGAGAAGAACUUGAGGCUUGAGUGGUUCAUAAAAGGCUUCAUUGAAAUGGGAACUUCAAAGAGGUUAUUUGAUAGUGAGAGGAAUUCAAGGGAUAUGAGCUUGGUAAGAGGACCAAAUGCAAUAUUUCCAGUAAACUGGUUAUCAGAAACAUCUAAUAGUUGUAGAGAUGACAAGUUCCCCAAACAAUCUGGGAGUGCACCUCCAAAAUUAUUUCUAGCGAGAUCUAACUGCUUCAGAUUCUUCAAUUCACACCAACCUAUACAAUUUAUCUUGAAACAAUCAAAACAAUGUUGAAAGAAUCUUUUAUUGAUGAUGUAAUUAUAGGCGGAUGGAGAGUUGUUAAUUUACCUUGAGCGGGUAGGGUGCCAUGGAGGUCACAUUCAGCAACAGACAAAACUUUAAGAGCAGGCAAUGCUCCAGUGUUCUGGAGAAAGUUUAUUGGGAGAGAAGUAUUAUCUAGAUGCAAUUCUUCAAGGGUGCUAGAAUUGAAGAAAGUCCCUGUGAAAAAGAAAGAAGAAGAGAUAUGAUGAAAAUAGUGGUGGUACAGAAUAGCCAUUCCAUUCAAUAUUAUUAAUUAAGAUUUUAAGAAACUAAACUAUGAUUAACCUUGACUUAAAUUAGUAUCCUUGAGAGAAAGGGUCUUCAGCGAUGGCCAUGAACGCAAUGACUGCAGGAUGUCCAGAUUCCUUAAACCUAUGAUAUUUGGAUAGAAACAACAAAUUGCUUGAAGAAUCUAGAGAUUUCAAAAGGUAUUGUUAAGAAAUGAAGUAAAUAAUAGAAGAUGCCAAGAGAUAUUCAUAACUUUACCAUUGAUAGUCGUCGAUCCUAGCAACAUAUUGCCUGAUAAAUUUAAAGACUUGAGAUGAGAAAGUCCACGCAGAUGUGAUAAAAUGCUGUCAUUGAAUAUAUUAUUAUGGCUCAGGUCCAGGUUCUCGAGUUUCCCCAAAUGUGAUGAUAUGAUCUCAAAACCUGCAAGAGUAAGUCGUUAAAGUCGUUAUAUAAAAUAUAAUUCUAAUUUUGAUCUUAUUGGAAAUAUUACGAAACAAUUUUUAAAUAUCAUUCUAGUUUCGAUCUUAUUGGAGAAAAAAAAACAAUUUAUGGAUAUAAAGUCGAUAAAGAUGGAAGCUAAGUUAUGGAUAGACUUACAAAACAAGAUAAAGAAACUUAUAAUUAAGAUCUCAUCGGUAAUUAAAACAAGAAUAAUAAUCGAUCCUAGAUAGCAACAUAUUGUCCAAAUAUUUCACCAUAAAAUCACCCAUCACCAUUCACCACGACCAUAAGGCAAAAUCCUCCACCACAUAAUAAUAUUUUGAUUAAAAAAAGGUCCAAAAUAAUAUAAAACCAUGAUUAAAAAGGAGAGGAAAUAAUAAAUGGCUACAAACAAGAAUUAAAUAUCAUAUAUGUGGGUUUUAUGUUGUUCUCUUUAUUGAUAAAACAGUCGAGAGUUUUUCUAAUAGAGAAAUUGGCUGUCGAGAGUGAUUUGUAUUGGAUAGUUUUUUUGAUAGUUUUUAUUAAAUAGAUAUAAAGUCCUCAUUUUUGUUGAUAAAGAAACAAUAUAAUUAAGAGAAUGUCAUGUGAAGCAUUUAGGUAGGUAGAAACUGUGUAUUAUACCUGAUCCUGUCAGCUGAUUGCCUGACAGAUACAAAGAUUUUAGGGAUGAAAACCCAGUUAGAGAUGGAAAAAUGCUAUCGUUGCAUUGAAUCUCACUUAGAUGAAGGUUCUCCAGCUUUUUCAACCUUGAUGACAAGUCUUUGAGACCUGCAUGAUGUUCCUCAAUAGCAUAUUGGAAGGAAAUAAACGCAUAGAAAAAAAAUGAUAUGAGAAGGAGAAAAGAAAAGGUUUCAAAGCUAAAUAAUUAAAAGGUUACCAUAGAAGCUACCUCCUAAUCCAGCUGUCAACCCAUCGGUAAUUAAAACAAGAAUAAUAAUCGUUAAAUAUCAUUCUAAUAAUAAUCCAUGGCAAGUUCAAAUCCGUUGGUAACUGAAUUCCUCUAUCUAUUUAGUUAGUAAGAUGCUUAGUUGUCACUAAUUUAGUAAUUAUAAUUUGUUCCUCUGUUUUCUAGCAACUACUUUCCCAAUUUUAUCCAUUCACCACGACCGUAAGGCAAUAUCCUCCACCACAGAAUAAUAUUUUGAUUAAAAAAAGGUACAAAACCCAUUAUUAAAAAGAGAGGAAAUAAUAAAUGGCUACAAACCGAAAACCGGUCCAAUAUGUGGGUUUUAUUUAAAAAGAUAAAUAUAAAAUAUAUAUUUAUAGGAGAGUUUUGAAGUGAACUUCUGAUUACUAAUUUAAUCUAAAUAUUACAACACUUUUGGCAUAAAAGGGCUAAAAUAAGAAUAAAAUAUAUGCCUCUUGGACCUAAUUCCAAGUGCCUCUUUUCUUGAUAUAAAGUCCUCAUUUUUGUUGAUAAAGAAACAAUAUAAUUAAGAGAAUGUCAUGUUAAGCAUUUAGGUAGAAACUGUGUAUUAUACCUGAUCCUGUCAGCUGAUUGCCUGACAGAUACAAAGACUUGAGGGAUGAAAAUCCAGUUAGAGAUGGAAAAAUGCUAUCGUUGUAUUGAUUCUCUCUUAGAAGAAGGUUCUCCAGCUUUUUCAACCUUGAUGACAAGACUUUGAGACCUGCAUGAUGUUCCUCAAUAGCAUAGAAAUGAUAUGAGAAGGAGAAAAGAAAAGGUUUCGAAGCUAAAUAAUUAAAAGGUUACCACAGAAGCUACCUCCUGAUCCAGCUGUCAACCCAUUGAAUGAUAGAUCCAAAGACUUGAGAGUGGAAAGGUUACCAUUGAAACAUGACAAAAUGCUUUUAUCAUUAGUAAAUUUGUUAACACGUAGGUCAAGAUUGCUCAGUUUUGAUGAUAGGACUUCGAAGCCUGGGAAGAGAAUCAUCAAAGCAAGAUAAUUGACAUUAAACACCAACCAACCAACCUUCAUUUAUUUUAUGAUUAUAAUUAAGUGCAGAAACAUUGAACUAACCUUCAUUCUCCAUGCAACCAACCAAUCCAGUACCUCCCAAAUCAAGACCUCGCAAUUCUUUGAAAGGCUGAAACAAAGAUGCGUUGAGAACCCAAUCGCCCAAGUGGAAAUCCCUUGCCCCCCAAAGAGAGAGUUGGAUCACUCGCCUUGUAGUGUUAUCACACUCGAUCCCACGCCACUCACAACAAUUACUAUUGGUGUCCACCCAAUGAUCUCUCCAGGAAACGCCAUGUGGGUUGAUCAAAGAUUGGAUCUCCAAGAGACCAAUCCUCUCCUCCUCCAAACACCCAUAACAACGACCAUGCCAUUCGCCAACCAAAGUGAAUAAUGCUAGCAACAUCCAAGCCCCAAUUCUUUUCAUCAUCAUCUUAGAUAAUUCUAUGAACUGCUACGUAGAAUAUUGUUGUUUGUUAUGUGCCUUUGGGCAACCAUAGAGGUCCUAUUUAUACUACACUCUGGCCAUUUCCAUGACUUUGAGAUGUUUUCUUUAUUUCAUUUCUUUUUGGAAUAUUUUUGGAUUUGAAUAUUAUUCUAUUUUAUUGUCUAGCACUUAGUCUAUUUGCCAGGUUGGGAAAAAUAUUCAAAUUAGUUUUGUUGGCAUGUAAACCUCACCAAAUAAUUUGCGUAGACCGUAUUGACUGGGAGUCAAUUAUUGUCGUAGUGCUUUUAUGCACGAUCUGUGUGCGUGAACGGAAAGAAAAGCAGGGUGUGAAAAGCAUUAAAGGUUGUGAACGCGGAUGCUUGACUUGCUGUGUACCAUUUUGAUUUUUAAACACGGCCAUGCAGUCAUUUCCUGGCGAUUUCCUUAUGCAUACUGGUGGUCUUUCAUAAUCUUUUUCCAAACAAUCCUCGUUAGGCCGGCUCGGGGGUUAACUUAGAGUAAGGCAUCGUUUGACAUUGCGUUUGUAACUGCGUUUUAUUAAAUUUUGAAUUUUUUAUUUUUGCUAAAAUUAAGUGUAGCUUGUACUUUUUGGAUCUUUUUGAUGUGCUGAUGUUAAAAAUAAUUUUUAAAAAAUAAAAAAAUAUCAUUAGCAUGUAUUUCGGCACGAAAAGCUAUUUGAAAAGUACCCGCAACCACACUGCCAAACACGCUCUAAGAUUUGUAUCAUCGUUUUUUAUCAGAUUCAAGAUCAACUUGGAUCAAUCUUAAUUUUAUGCUAUUGUUUUUUAUAUAUAAACAUAAAUAAAAAUCCAGAUCUCUUUUAUAAUCUUAAAGGUAGUAUAUUAAUAGUAGAACCAUUAUCUAUCCAGAUACAAUUCAUCAUCUUUUCAUCGACAUAUCUUUUAAUUAAGAAAAGCUGUUUAUAGAGUUUUAAUCUAAGCAAUAGGUUUUCAUCGUUAAAGGAUACCUAUGUGGUGCUAAGUUCUUCUAAAGUUGGAGAACUUAUGAAAAUUAAUGCAAGGCUUCAACACUCCGAAGCCUGCAAGAGAAAUAUCAAAGCAAAAUAAGUAGCGUUAAACAGCAGCCAUUUCUUCAUUUUUAAUUUUAGUAUAACACAAUAAUAUGAACCAACCUUGAUUCUCAAAGGCACCCAACUAAUUCAUUAGCCUUCAAAUCAAGACUUUGCAAUUCCUUAAAAGGCAGAAACAAAGAUGCGUUGAGAACCCAAUCGCCCAAGCGGAAAUCCCCAGUACCCCUAAGAGAGAGCCGGAUCACUCGUCUUUCGGUGGUAUCACACACGAUCCUAGACCACACACAACAAUUACUGCCCAGGUAUUUCGACAGUUAUGGCUUGUGUGGGUUUUGGUUCACGAUGGAGAUGAUGGAUACAAUGAUGUAUUUCGACAACAAAAUUUUCAGUUCUUGUGAAUGGCUCUCCAACUAAAGAGUUCUUUAUGGAAAAGCGAUUGCGACAAGGGGACUCUUUAUCAACAUCUCUAUUCAACAUAGCAACUGAGGGUCUUGGUAGAAUGCUAAAAUUAAAAGGAGAUGUGAUUUGGGACUUAUAAAAGGUAUUUGUUUUGAUCACUUUCAAGUUUGUAGAUGAUACACUCAUCUUCAGUUCAUAUGAUUAUCCAUCUCUUCAAAAGAUCAAAAGAACUAUGUGAUGUUUUGAGUUGAUUCCUAGGCUGAAGGUUAAUUUCCACAAGAGCUCAAUCACUAGAACUAGAACUAGAAUUGAUGAUGUUGUUAUUUCUUCAACUGCUAGCAAUCUAAUAUGUAGGAUGGAGGGGAUGCCAUUUAAGUAUUUGGGUCUGCCUAUUUAUGCAUCUUCAUCUCAUACAUCCGUUUGGAAAACUAUUGCUUGAUUAACUCAAUUAUAAAUAACCUUUCUUUAUUUCCUAUCCCAUCCACUGUUGCUACCAAAAUUGAGAAACAUAUCAUAUCUUUCUUUGGUUCUCAGGAGGAAGGAGGGAAAAAACUAUGCAAUGUUAAAUGGGCAUCAGUGGUUCCUCCAAAAAAACAAAAAAGGUGGGUAUAGACUGCAUUAUUGAUAAAAAUAAAGCCUUGUUUUUCAAAUGGCUAUGGAGGUUUGGGAGGUCUAAUACAAGACUAUGAAAAGAUGUUAUCUACAACAUCCACAACCAAAAAGCGUAUUUGAACAUGCCUUUAGUUUGUGUUAAUUUAAAGGGUAGUACAUGGUCCAGGAAUGUCGUUACUUUUUAUAAGAACGAGGGACUUCAAAAUAUUGCCAAGAAAGAAGUUUGUGGUUUGGUUGGCAAUGGUAGAGAUAUUAACUUAUGGAAUGAUGUCUGGCUGAUAGAUUCUUGUCUUGCAGUUCAAUUUCCUAGACUUUAUAGUCCACCUGAAGAUCAUGUCUCCCCUGUAGCUACUGCAGCAGUAAAAGCUUCUAUCCAACCAGCCAGUGUGAGGCCUUCCCCUGUUGCUAGCAAUGUAGCUUCUUCAAGUAGCUAAAGUUCUGCUUCAAUAAAUGCCACGACAUCAGCAAUAACUGGUGCUACAACAAUGAGCUUCAACUACCCAAACUUCCCUGGCAAAAUUGCAGAAUGGUGCGUACGAGAUUCUAAUCCCUGAACAUGUUGGGGGCCACGAUAGCCUACAGAGGAACCCAUCCUCAGGCUAUGCCUUUCUUCAAUGGAUCAAUUCUAUUCUUCUUGAAUGUUUCAUCCUUCAUAGCUUCAGCGACAGCAACAACCAUUCAUACAGACACAACAAAGCCAACAGGGUCAUCAAAAUCCAAGUAUUUCUAGUGGCUCCUCGUCAUCCCAGAAGCAUUUGCUGAAUUAGGUGGAAUCAGCAGCGGUCAUCAAGAUCCAACCAUUUACAGAAUCAUCAGCAGAAUCAUUCCCUGCCGAACUAGCAGCGGCAGCUGAUGCAAAAUCAGAAUGUUACUCACAAACACCUCCUCCUUUUGCAAUGUCAUUUGCUCCAUCAACGGAACCACAACUUCCCCAGGUCUUGAUGUUUCAUUGCUGGUACAGAAUCAUGCUCUUCUCCAAAGCCCUCCAGAGGCAGCAAGUCAUGGCUAUCACUUCAUCACUGCGGCCCAAGCAACACAGCAGACGAAUUACCGUGUGCCUGAAGAAGGGAAAAAUGGAGGAAAUGACACUUCAAAUAUGGAAGGAGAGAGAAAGGCCGAUAUGGUUGGAGGACAGACCCCAUUAACUGGUGGGCAGUCAAUUGUGUUCUCUCGGCUAGAUUUUGUGUUCUCUCGGCUAGAUUUAACAGACUCCUCUGUUUCAACAAUGCCUGUGAACAAUGUUGUUGAUAGCUCAGCCCGAACUCUUAACCUUGGGUCCACUCUUGCUCGGACCUCAAGCCCUGUUAUGUCAGCUACUAUUGGCAGUGUAAAUGCACCAAGUAUACAACAACAGAUGCAGUGGAAUCAGCAGCAGCAGCAACGAAGUCAGCAAAUCCUUCAACUUCAGAAGCGUCAACAAUUUGCAGCUGCAGCUUCCACUCGAAGUGAAACACCAACAACUAGUAAUGGAAGUGUUUAUUCGGACCACAUCUCAUCAUCAUCAUCUAUGGGCACCAAGUUACCUAAUGCACUUUUGCAUUUCCUCAAAAUCUUGUUCAAAGCGGCAGUAGCAGCAGCAGUUAACAAAGCAUGCACUGCAACAGGCUCAACUAAUCUACGCUAAUGCUUUUAUGCAAGCUCAAGCUCAAGCUCAAGCUCAACAUGUGGCAAAUUCAACAAGCUUUGCAUCAACAGCUAGUGGGUUUCAUCUGCAAAGACAUCGCAAUGAGCAGCAACCGCAAUGCAUCGGCAACCUCUUCUACAAGGAUGUUGUUGUUAUGUCAUCCGAUCAUGUAAAUUUUUGUGACUCCCAACCUCCUAGCAACCACGAGAGGAUGUUUCCAGUUUUUUUUUUCAACAGCUAAUGCUUAGAUAACAAAAAUAGAGGAAUAACUGAUAGAGCUCCAGCAUUCGAGCAGAGUUUAAUAAAAAAAUAUAAAGUAAGGUUAGAUGCGUGAGCCUUGUUUUGUAAAUUUUUAUUUGAAUUUUAAUAAUUGUUUUUAAUUGUUAUGUAUAUGAAUAAAAAUUUGUUCAUGAAAUUUCAAUUUAAAUCACUUUUUUAAUCUUAGAAUUUUAAAAUAUAUUUUGAGCAUGAUUUUAUUAUAUUUAUGAUUUAUUUUAACUUUCAAUCACACAUAAAAAUAUAAACAUACUAUUUUGAUUUUUUUUUAAUUUGUUCUGACAAUUAUAGAAUAUUCUUUUAAUAUAAAAAAUGAUUCUAGUUAAGAAAAAAACUUGUAUAUUCACCAAGAUAAAACAAGAAAUAUGCUAAUAAAAUUUUUUAUCUUGAUAGAGAAAAAUUCAAAACGACUGUAUUUUCAAGUUUAAUAACAAUGUCAAGGAGUCCCUUAGACUGGGAUAUUUUGUUUUACAUUUAAAGUUUUUUUGAUCUCCAUAGCAUAGCACUAGCAUACAAACUUGUAUAUUUUUAAGGCAGCGUUUAGUUACUAUCCGAGACAGUAGAGACAGAGACAAUGGAGACAGAGGAGACAAUACAUAAAAGAAGAUGGAGAUAGAAUUGUGUUCACUAAUAAUAUAUAAGACAAAGUGAUUGUUUUUGUAUCAUAUUUGAUUAUGAUAGACAAGAAAGAAUAAAAUAUAAAAAAAAUAUUUUACCUUUAAUAUGUAUUGUUGUCAAACUUACAUGUUUUAAAAAAUAAUUAGUUUUAUUUUUUUACUUUAGUUUUAUAUUGAGUAUUGAAAUUAUUAAUAUUAUAAUAACCCUAGUAUUAAAACCAGGAUUAACUUGACAGGUUGACCCGAGGCCUAUACUGGUCUAAGUUUCAGAAAAAUAGAAGAAUGAUUAACUCGACCUAACCUAGUAAAAAACAUGAGUCAACUUAAGAUAAAACACGGGUCAAAACCCAUUAAAUAUUUUGAAAAAGAAAAUUGUUCAAAACAAGGUUUCUUUGACUAUUUGUUUUUAAAAAAAAUUAGGUCGAUCGGGUUAACCUUCUCUUGGAUUAACUCCUGAGUUGAGUUUUAAAACUAUGAUAAUAAUCAUUUUUAUCCAUACAUUAACUCAGGUCAAUCUGUGUUGACCCUCUCGACCCAUGACCUAGGCCUUGCUUCUGUCGACUCCCGAGUCGGAUUUUAAAAUUAUAAUAAUAAUAAUUUUUAUCCUUACAUUAAUUUGGGUCAACUCUCUUAAUUCGUAACCCAAGCAUUGCCCCAAGUUGACUAUCGAAUUAAAUUUUAAAACUAUGAUAAUAACCAUCUUUAUUUUAUGUUGACUCGGGUCAAUCUAGAUUAACUCAUCUAACACAUGACCCAAGUUUUAUCCCGAGUCGAUCCCUGAUUUGGGUUUUAAAACUAUGAUACUAAUUAUUUUUAUCAUUACAUUAACCUAAGUCAAUGAUCAACCCCACUCGUUACCCAAGAAUUGCCCAGGUCGACCCCCAAAUCGAGUUUUAAAAUAUGAUAAUAACUAUUUUUAUUCUUCUACUGACACAGGUCAACUCGACUCAUGACUCAAGCCUCAACCAGUGACCCAGAAUUUGCCCCGGAUCGACCCCCAAGUUGAAUUUUAAAACCAUGAAAAUAAUCAUUUUUACAUUUAUAUGUCUUAGUUGGACAAUUUGAAAUUGAGAGUUUUUUUAUAAAAAUAUUUUAGGAAUAAAAAAUAAUAAAUAUUAUCUCUAGAGACAUGUCUCCUCUAUACCUUACGUUUUGGAAGCACAAAAAUUCACUCCAAAAUUAUUCUAGAAACAAAUUUAUUUUUAUGUAUUUGUCUUUGUCUCUUCAACCAAAUAUAUUUAUAUCUUUAUUGUUUUUAUCCUUUCUAUUAUAGGACAAUGACCAAACAUUACCUAAAGGAUAUACAACUGACAAGGAUGAACUUGGCUUUAUUUCAUCUUUGAUAAUUUCUUCUCGAUGAUAUCUCACCGAUUUGUGGAGGCAAUUGAUCAAAACCUAGUUGAUUCAAAGGUUGACUUUGAAAAAAUAUAUUCAUAGAGUAAUGUUUGAAUCUUGGUGUUUUUUAUUGGCUCAAAAAAAUUACCAACUCACCAAAACCUGUAUGAAACAUUUAGAUUUAAUAUUAUAUGUAUAAUUUAUUAUAAUAAUUGAUAUACUAUUCAACUCAGUAACUUAGUAGGAUGACCUAUAACCUGCUGAUCUAAGAUUUUAGCCGAAUCAAGCUUUAAGCUAGAUAUAAUGACUAUGAUUUUAUAAAAUUACUAUGAACUUCCCUUUUAUGUCUUCUUAUUUACUCAUUUGAUAUUUUUUUUUAUGAAGUUAAGAUGUUCACAUUUAUAUCAUGAUUAAACUCUAGGGUAACAUUUAGUUAUUAUCUUGGGAUAAAAAGAAUAAAGAUAGUAAAGACAAAAAUAUGUUUGGUUGAAAAGAUAUAGAUAUAAAAAUAAUUUUUUUCAUGGGAUAAUUUUAGAGUGAAUUUAUAUAUUUUCAUAACAGAAAAUACAAAUAAGACAUAUCUUCAUAAACAAUAUUAUUUUUUAUUCCUAAAAUAUCAUUGUAAAAAACUUUCAAUUCCAAAAUUGUCCAAUUAAGAUAUGUAAAAAUAAAAAUAGUUAUUAUCGUAGUCUUAAAACCCAACUUGGGGGUUGACUUGUAGAAAGAUAUGUGAUCUUUGUUGACCCAAGUCAAGGUAAAAAUAAAAAUAGCUAUUAUCAUAGUUGUAAAAUCUAACUUGAGGGUCGACCUGGGACAAGGCACGGGUCAUUGUUUGGGUUGACCAUUGACCCAAGUCAACAAAAAAAUAAAAGUGGUUAUUAUUGUAAUUUUAAAACUUAACUUGGAGGUCGACUCAAGGCAAGGCCCGGGUCAUGGGUCAGGAGGGUUAACUCUGGUGGAACCGGGUUAAUGUAAGGAUAAAAGUGGUUAUUACAAUAGUUUUAAAACUCGACUUAGAGAUCGACCUGAGGUAAGCUCAGGUCUUGGGCUAGGAGGGUUAAUGCAUGGAUAAAAAUAAUUAUUAUCAUAAUUUGAAAACUUGAUUCAAGAGUCGACCCGAGACAAAGCCUAGGUUAUGGGUUGGGAGGGUCAACCCGAGUUGACCCAAUUUUUUUUUAAAAAAAAAGAAUCAACACAACCUUGUUUUGACCAAUUUUUUUUAAAAAUAACAGGUUUUGCCCCGUGUUUUAUCCCGAGUCGACCCGUGUUUUAUCCCGAAUCAACUCGGUUUUUUAACUCACCUAUCUUUUCUUAAACUUAAAAUUAAUCCGGGCUUAGAGACAACUAGAUCCCGAAUAGAUUCACUAGGUCAGUCUAGGUUAUAUAACUAGGAUUAUUAUAAUAUUAUUAAUUUCAACACUUAAUAUAAACUAAAGUAAAAAAAAGUUCUAAUUAUUUGUAUAAAUAUGUAAGUUUACCAAUAAUACAUAUUAAAGGUAAAAUAAUUUUUUUAUAUAUUUUUUUUAUCAUUAUCAAAUAAGAUAUAGAGACAGUUACCGCCAAACAUAAUUUUAUUUUCAUCUCCUUUUCUAUCUUUUUUUUCUUUAUUUUCAUGGUCUUCUUUUUUAUUCAUAACAGUAACCAAAUAUUGGCUAGUUAUAACAUAUAGAAACAUACAAGUUGUCAUGUUCAAGCCGUUCUCUUAUCAUUUUAAAUAAAUUGAAACACAAUUGCGAGGAGAAGAGUGUGUUUUGUAUUGUGUUAGCUUUUGUGGUUGUGGUUUGAAAAUUGUUGUUUUAUAAAAAAUACUUUUAGUUGAGGUUGGUUUGAUAUUUAUAUAUGUUUAGUUAAAAUUGUGGUUGAAAUUGAGGUUGAACAAAAAGUAAUUUAAUGUGUUUGGUUAAGAAUGCUUUUCAAAUCGAGGUUAUAAAAUAAUUAAAAAAGAUAUAUAUUAAUAUUGAUAGUUUUUAAUUUAAAUAUUGUAGAUUUAACUACUGCUAUUACAUCAUGAAAUAAAUAAUACUUUAUAUAAAAUAUUUUUUUAUUGUUCCAUUAAACUAUCUACAAUUCCAUCACAUACGAAAUUCAUUCGACAAGGACUACAGUUUUCUUGGUUUCUUAAGCGCACAACAAUAUCAAGUAAAAUAUAAUCAGGAACAAAAUUAGGAUUGCGAUCAAAUUCUGCAAAUGCUAUGUCAUCAAGCAAUCUCCUUAUAAUUUAUGUAGUGUUAUUGAAUAAUGCUAAACACUAGUUUUUCAAAUAAAACAUAAUUAAAAAUAAAAAAAAAUUGAUUUUUUUUUAUUUUACUGGGUCAGACCCGGUUCAAUGCAUUUAGCUUUGAAUCGGACCCAGUCCGGCCAGAAUAGUAGAGACAUUCUAAGCAACUUCAAGUGAGUCUCGUAAACAGUAAAUAACGUACCAAACAAUUAUUUUUAGUAAAGCAGAAGCAACCGAAGAAGAAGAAGAAGACAUGUGAUUACGGUGCCAUGCAGCAUUUUGACAUUAUGAGUAUUUUGAUGUAUAUCCAUUAAUUUAUAAUAUACAAGUAUAUUUCCAUGUUUCUUUUAUUUUGAUAGAACAUUUUUCCAAUAGAAUUUGUUUUUAUUGGAAUUCCAUAUUGAAUGGAUGUCAAUUGAAACUAAAAAUGUGUUAGAUAAGAGCAUACUAAUAUAAAUACCAAAUAAUGUUUAAUUAGAUUGAAUUGAACUAGACACCAUAUGUUUUUAUUCUAUGUUUGGUGCACUAAAGAUAAGAUCAAAUAAUUUUGUUUUUAUCAUUGAGAUAUUUUCAAUCAUUUAUUUUAGUCUUUGCAUUUUAUUUUUAUGAUAUUUUAGUCCUUACUAGAAUUUCUUUGUCAUCUAGAACAAUCUAGUUCUUAAAUCAAAAAGUUUUUGCAAUUAAACUCUUACAUGUACAUAUUUAUUUUAAUAAAAUUGGUCAAAUUUUGGUUUUCCAAAUUAAAAAAUAAAUAAGUGAUAAAUAAAUAAUAGAUAAUAUAAAAAUUAAGAAAAAAUAAUUUUUGUACAAAUUUUUUGUCCAAUCCUUGUCAUGUCCAAAGUGUAUAUCAAACAUUUUAUAGCUUGCCAUGUGCAACAAAUAUAUCACAACUUGUUUUUAUUGUAUUCUAUUAUGAUCUGUUUUGUGCCUUAUAUUAUUUAAUAUAUUAAAAUAAAUUUAAUAAAUUAUACUGAAGCAAGAUCUAAUAUUAGAAAGUUAACGGAAAUAAAUGUACCUUUGCCCGUCCCUUCAACAAAAUGCUGAGCUGUAUACUAAUUCUCAGAGGCAGUGAUAACUAGUUGUUCUAACUAAUCCCUAUACUUUUAAAUAUGUUUACAAUUCAGUCCCUUCAUUAAUUUUUCGUUAGUAAAAUGUUGAGCUGUCAGCAAUAUUUCCUUAGUUUGUGCCGCUAACUUAACGGUAAAAUGUGAUUCAAGGAUCAAUUAAUUAUUUAAAUGAACUUGAGGGAUUAAUCUGUUUGUUUAACAAAAAUACAGACACUAGUUAAAUAGAAUUUAACUCCAAUUUUAAUCAUCAUAUGCGUGCGUGCGAGCGAGCGAGCGAGUGUUUACUCGUUAAUGUUUUUUUAGAAGGAAUCUGGAAAAGAAUAAAGUCAUCCAUUUCACUUUGGUCCAGCAUUCCUCACCUCUCCCCGCCAGAGCUCUCCCUCCCUCCCUCCCUCCCUCCCUCCUCCGCCUCUCGGAAACCGCCGCCGCCAAGAAGGCUUCAGAUUUCUGCCAGGUGCUUCUAUUUCUAUCAUGUUUUUGUUUUUAAAAUUUAUGGGUGUUUUCAUUUAUUCUAUUGGAAUUAUUAUUCAGAGACAGAAAUUCUAUUUUAAUGAGAAAAUUAAAAAAAAUAAUCGAUCCGAUGAAAUCUCUGCUAGUGAACGCAAUUCGAUUUUAAUAAGUAAAUUAAAAAAAUAUAUAAUCGGAUCCGUUGAAAUCGCUGCUCGUGAACGCAAUUCAAAGAAACGCACAAUCAGCCGAUUCUAAUAUUUUCUUUUUCAAUUUUUCCCCUUAAUUUACAUGAUAUUAUCCGAUUUUUCUCACAGUUAUUGUUGUAAUAAUCAAGCCCUGAAUUCUUGAACCCAAAUUUAUUUUAUUUUAUUUUAUUUUAUUUUUUAGUGGAGAAUAGAAAUCAAUUCAAAUCUUUUAGGCUCGAUCGAUAAUUUGUUAAUUAGUUUAUGCAGCAGCUGGAGUGGAAGAGAUUUUUCUGCCGGAAUGGCCGAAAAAUGAGCUGUUUGGUUGAUUCUUCUUUUUUGGAAUUUACUGAAUUCUUCAAAAUUAUUGUGUUCUUAACAACAAUACGAUAUCCUUGGGUUUUAUGCUCGCUCACACAUGGAAAAAAGAAAGAAAGAAAAGGACUUUACAUUUUAUAAUUUGGUCAUGUUAACGCAAAAAAAAUAAAAAUAAUAGUUUAUGAUGACUCAUUGUUUGGUUGAUAACCCUACAUGAUAUAUCUUUCUUUUUAGGACUUCCUAGCUGGUCUUGAGUAUGAGGUGAAAGCUUGAGGAGGGCAGUUGGUCCUAACCAAGGACUGUAUUGUGAUUGAUUGAGUUGAAAGUUAAGAGCAUGUGGAAGUGUAAAACAAAUGACUUUGUUCACUUCACCCCAAAGGCGCACCUGUGCAUCUAGUUAGGAAGAACAUUUUAUAACUUACCUCAAGGUCGAGCAUGGUCAGGGUUAUUGUGUUGUCUAUUCCGAGAAAGAUGUGCCUGCAAAUUUAAUCUUAUUUCAACAAGAGUUGUUAAGUUAAUUCUUAUCAGUCCUCUUUAGAGUUGAUGAUGACAUGAAAUAUUCAUGGUUAAUGCUUGUCGUUUUCUUCUUCAUUUUCCUAGCUUAAAACAUCCUAGAAAUCUAUCUAUUGAAGUAAAGCAUUUAAAUGCGUAUACAAUGUUUUUGGAACUUUAAAUAUCUAUUUGAUCAGAAUCUGUGAACCUAAAACCACAAUGAAUACAAAUGCAAGUUUGUCAUUGUAAACAUUGCAUCAAUGAUGUAUCACGAGUGUUGCUAGAAAACAUCAAGUUAAAAUUGAAGCACCAUGAGUUUCUCCAUGGCUUGGUUUACCAACACUCACCAUCUGAUGGUGUGGCAAGUUAUGAACUAGCUGGCUAGUUUUUUGCUUCCUUGGUUUUAGAAGGACCAUGAAGAUUCAGGCCCAAAUCUUGCUUAUAAUACCUAAAUACCCAAGAUCCUAGCACCUUGCCCUGAAUGGUCGUGUAUAUUUGUUAUGGCUGUUCAGAUUUUAUGCAUCCAUAUUUGGUAGAAUUCUUUAAUAAAGUACAUGCUAUUGGAUGGAAGUUCUUUUUAAAUCUAUUCAAGUCUGAAUAAACUGACAUUCCAAUUUUCAUGACUUUGAUAUGCUCUUACUCUUCUGUUGUUCCUGACUUUCUUUUUAGGGUCUAUUCUAACAUGCAAUAUAAUUAUUAUUUUUUUUUUUGGUGAUUGAAGUGAUUUUUUUGGUUGGCCAAAACCCCAUGGAUGCCAAUAAUUGGAGGCCCACUGCCCCAGGCGGAGAACCUGUUAUGGACACAGGUGAUUGGAGAACUCAAUUGCAGCCUGACUCACGGCAAAGAAUAGUCAACAAAAUGUAAGUCUCUGUUUCCUAAUAUGUGCAAGUGCUGCAAAAUAGUAAAUCUUGUAUUUAAAUGAAAGAAAAAGAGAAGGGAAAAAGGUUAAUUAAAAUCAGCAGGACUGCCAUGAGGCAACCUCAAGUAUCAUACACCUCUGUUUUUGUCUUUUUCAUUUUUCACGUGUUUCUCACAAGAAGUGAACUUGAGGGAAUAAAAAGUGCUGGGAAGUAAUUUUUGUUGGAACUUCUUGUGUAACAUCUUUCGAUGAUGACCUCUAGGAUGGCUGCAUGAAGCUUCUUCCGCUUUAAAUUUCAAGGUUAAUCUAUUGCUAUGAGCAUUGGUGUUUCAAUUUCAACCUUGAGUUGCAACUGAACUUAAAUGAACAGUGUUGGAUUUGAGCCUUCCAUUUGCUUUAACUUCUACAGGGUUGAAAUGAUAGUUAUCUUAAAGUACAAAAGCAGCAGACAAAAAUCAAUUAGUCACAAUAGUGCAUGGUUUCCUAGUUUCUCAGUAUAAAGUGGAAUGUUUUGGUGAUAUCUCUACAUCCAAAUUCAUAUAGACAGCUACUGUUGGCAUUUGCAGUAGCCAAUGAGCACUGUAGAGUAUAUAUUGCAGCGUGAGAUAAGGUUAACUCAUUGCAUUUUCAUAAAUUAAAAGGAUUUCUCUUCUUUUCUUUGUUAAUUGCAGUGCAUGUAUAAAGGUUUUCUUAUUUAGAGUAAAUGCUGUUGUAAUGUUUUCACAGAGUUCCCUUGGUUUGCAGCUAAUUCAUUUAUAUAUCUUGGAGCAUAGCCAUAGCCAUAAAUGGAAGGUUCUUCCAGUUCAAGAAAAUUAACCAUGAAGCUCAUAGCUAGAAUUUUAAACAUAAGGGUGGCCAAGUGAACUCCUAUACCCUGUACCUGUGGAAUAAUACGGGGAAAGGAAGUAAAAAUAGAUGUGUAUUUUGAUGCCAUAUAUUACUUGACCGACACUUGGCUAUAUCAUUAUUUGUUUUUACUUUUUCCUAAUGAUUCCGUUGUAUACAUUUCUGAUAUUGGUGUGGUGUAUGAGUUCACGGUUCUUUCUCACUGCUGCUAACUUCUCUAUACCUGCCUUGUCAUUAAAAAUUAAAUGUAAUGUUUUACAUGUGCAGAAUGGAGACAUUAAAGAGGCAUCUUCCGUUUUCUGGUCAAGAGGGAUUACAAGAACUCAAGAAAAUUGCCGUACGGUUUGAGGAAAAGAUUUAUACUGCCGCCACCAAUCAGGUAUUCGGCUAAUGCUAGGUUCAAUGAUUUCGAUAUUCUCUAGACAUGAAUAUACACAUGCAUAAGUUUGUGGAUUAAUGCAUGUACACGUGUGUGUAGUGUGUCCACACUUCCUUACUGGUCAUUCUGUAGAAGUUCUCAUCUUUUCGUUAUUUCUCUUGACAAGUGUUUUAUUUAGAGUGACCAAGGUCCUUUUCAAGUACAAGGGAAGUGUGCAAAAUGCAAAUAACGAAUCAAUACAUAAAUAAUUAAAUAAAAAGAAAGGACACAGAAGUAUAUCCUCACAGAAGAUGCAAAUACAGAAAGCCUAGCAUAUUAGAAAGAGCAUAUAUCCCUUUUCCCCCUUCUCUUGUAACAUGGACUGCGCAGAGAUCUAAUGUUUUGUUAUUGAUAUCUGAUUUCAGUCUGAUUAUCUGCGUAAAAUAUCUCUGAAGAUGCUUACAAUGGAGACCAAGUCUCAAAAUACCAUACCCACUGGCAAUGGUAACAAAACCCUGGAUCCAGGAGGUAAUAAUGCAGCCAAGCAUUGGAUUUCUAAACAUCCUUACCUUUUGUUUUGUAUUUUGCGUUGUUAUCAAACUCUUUUACAUUUUAUUGCUGCAUUUUGCUAUGUAUAUACCAUGCUUUAAUAAAAGAGUCGAGUAAUUGAUGAAUGUUCAAAAAAAAAUUACAGAUUAUUUUUGUUUUCUGCUCCCCACCCCCCCACAACAAAAAAAAAAAAAAAAGUCAAAUGACACUUAUGCUUUGAGGUAAAACCAUCUUAAUUAUUUCCCUCAUAACUUUACGUGUGAACUGUCAUUGUUUCAUUUGUUUUUCUUGUUCAAUGCCUUCUUUUUUUUUCCUUUGACAUGGUUUUCCUUUUUGCCUUUUAUCUUGAACAGCAUCUCAUAGUAUGCCGCCUCAAGUUCACAACCAAGGGCAGUCGCUCCCUAACUCAUUGUCCUCUAAUCAGUCUCAAGCACGUCAGCAGUUAUCACAGAACAUGCAGAAUAGUAUGUCAUCUAAUGGAGUUCAAAGUUCUGCUGGUUUACAAUCAGCAAUGCCUUCUGUCUCCGGUUUAACCCAGACUAUCCCAAACACUGUUGGACAGAAUGCUAACAUGCAGAGUAUCUCUGGUGUUUCACAGAACCCAGUGGGGAAUUCAAUGGGACAAGGGAUUCCCCCCAAUAUGUUUGUCAAUUCUCAGAGACAAAUGCCAGGCAGGCAACAGGUUGUUCCUCCACAGCAACAGCAGCAGUCCCAAAAUCCUCAGCAGUAUCUUUAUCAGCAGCAGAUGCAACAUCAGCUUUUAAAGCAGAAGCUUCAACAGGGAAAUCAUCCACACUCACUUGUGCAAUCUCACAUCCACCAGCAGCAGCAGCAAAAUUUGUUACAGCCAAAUCAGUUGCAAUCUUCUCAGCAAUCUGGUUUGCAAACAUCAACUGUUAUGCAGCCUUCAAUGAUGCAAACUGUCUCUGGCCUUCAACAGAACCAACCAUCUUCUGUUCAACAGUCAACACAACCAAUGCACCAGCAACAUCCACAAUCAGUCCUUAGGCAGCAGCAGCAACAACCUCAACAGUCUGCUGGUAUUCAUCAGCAGCAAACACCAAUGAUGCAGCAGCCACUAUUGCCUCCACAACAGCAGCUAAUGGGGCAACAAUCAUNNNNNNNNNNNNNNNNNNNNNNNNNNNNNNNNNNNNNNNNNNNNNNNNNNNNNNNNNNNNNNNNNNNNNNNNNNNNNNNNNNNNNNNNNNNNNNNNNNNNACAGCAGCUAAUGGAGCACAUCAAGUACACUAACAUGUCGCAAAAUCAGUUAAUUGGACAACAAAACAUUGUUGGGGACUUGCAGCAGCAGCAGCAGCAGAGAUUGCUAGGGCAGCAGAAUAACCUUCAAAAUCUGCAGCAGCAGCAGCAGUUAAUGGCUCAACAAAAUAACCUCUCAAGCAUGCAUCAGCAACAGUUGGCCCCUCAAAGUAAUGUCACUGGUUUACAGCAACAGCAGUUGCAUGGAGCUCAGCCUGGUAACUCAAGCAUGCAAUCUAAUCAGCACUCUCUACACAUGCUGCAACAGCCCAAGGUUACGCUGCAGCAGCAAGCACAACAAAGUGGAAGUGGUUUGUUGCCGAAUCAAGGGCAGCAGUCACACUCACAGCUGCCACAGCAGCAAUUGAUGGCACAGAUUCAAUCACAGCCUGGACAGCUGCAACAGCAAUCAAAUCCAUUACAACGUGAUCUGCAGCAAAGGCUUCAAGCAUCAGGCUCCUUGCUUCAACAGCCGAAUGUGAUUGAUCAGCAAAAGCAGUUAUAUCAACCUCAAAGAGCCCUUCCAGAAACGUCCUCAAGUAAGUUUUUCUCAUCCUUGCAGCUUUCUAGCCUUGCUCCAACUUUAAUUUUGCAGCUUUGUGCUUUCAUGUUAGAUUAUAACAUAUUUAUUUAAAUUUUUUGAAAAUACAAUAAUGGUUCAAGUCAGUAAUGCUCUUUUAGGUAGCUUUAUGAGCUAUGGCUGCCACUUAUUGCAUCAGAAAUGCCACUGCUAUUGGAACCAUUGCAAUCACACAUACAUUUAUUUGAAUGAUUACAUAUCGUUGAGAUGGAGUUCCUAGUACUCCAAGUCCAAAAAGGACUUGUAUUCCUAUGUAAGAAAAUACUAAUGGUGCUAUCUAGGAUAGGGAAAACCUAUUAAAGCUCCUUAUUCUUUAGGAACAAUAAAAUACUAAAUAGAAAUAAAACCAAGACCUACAAUAUUCCAUAAUUUUCAGCAAGUGUGAAAAUUACAGAAAUACCCUUGUGUGCGGAAAACAUUCAAAAAAUACAUGAAUUCUAAUCUUUUGUUGGCUGCAUCAAAAUUUUUGUAGCAUCCCUAGAUUCUACAGCAGAGACUGGACAUGCAAAUGGUGCUGAUUGGCAAGAGGAGAUCUACCAAAAGGUAAUUUCUAUGGUUUACUGUUCAUUAGAUGAAAUUCAUGUAUGUCAUAGUCUUGCAAGAUUUCAAUGGAAAAGGUCUCCUGGAAUAUGGUACAAGGGAGUUUUAUUCAGCUAUGGUUGUGAUUAGUUAGGAAGCAUUGUAAGUUCCAUGAUUGCAGCAACUAAGAAACGAUAAAUUACUGAUAAGAUGAUUAAAGGUAAAAUAUUCAGAUUUCUAGGUCAAGAGGGUUAUUUUCUUGGUAUUGACACGACAAUUUUUUCUAUUGCAAAUCUCUCCCUUUCAAUUUUUUCCCUGUAUUUCCAUACAUUUAGUGUGGUGAAUUAUUAUUUUAUUAUUUCCAACAAGUCCAAUUGACAAUACUUCUUACUGUAAUAGACCGACUUGAAAACAAGAGUGAACUGUUUCUGAAUAGUCAUCGUUAUAUUUGGUUAAGUGAACAGUUAUUUUCAGGAUUACAAUCAAAUUUGUUCUGAAACAUGUGACAAUGGAAGAAAGGAAAAUAAGUGGACCUAAUCCAUUGAAUCAUGACCAUGUCCAGUAUUGUUGAAUUUUAUAGAAAACGAGGUUGAAAUUCUGAAUCAUUUAAUGGCUGUAGUUGCAAUUCAUAACUGCAUAUUUGAUGAGGUCAAUUUUUUUGUGCCUGGGAGGGUACUAAAACGGGAAUAGGAGUGGUUGUUGAUAAUUAGGAUAUAAGGGUUGUAAAUCCAAAGUUAUAAAGCUAGGAAGUGUUUACCAAAGUCGUGACAUCCAUUGACUUGAGUUAGAACAAUAGAAAACAAUGGUGAGUAGUUUGCUGUGAGACAAAGUAACUGAACUUGACCAACCCCUGAAUCUUGUCUGAAGAGGUAACUACACAAUCCUUUGCAUCUUUGCAUGCAAUCAAUAACGAUAUUCUCUUUUGAGUUUUCGGCAUUGAUUCCACUGCUAUUUUUAUCUCAAACAAUAUAUGCUGUCGUCUGCCAUUUUAUUUAUUUAUUUAUCAGUUCUCUCAAGUUUGCUUAUGUUUCUUUCUGACUCUGGCACCUGAAAGAAUCAAGCAUAUGAUUGAUAAUGUGCUUGCUGGUUAUAUGUACUUCCUAGAUCAAAGUUAUGAAGGAAACGUAUUUGCCUGAAAUAAAUGAAAUGGACCAGAGAAUUGCUACCAAGUUACAGCAGGGAAAUUGUCUGUAAUUUUUUCCGAUUUAUUUUCCCACACAUGAUUCAUAAACCCCCACAGUUGAGCUUUUGUAUUAAUUUGUUUUCCCCAUCGGCAUUGCUUGUCACUGUAUCAUCUGCACUAAUUACCUCCCCCACCCCCAACCACCCCACAACCAUGCAUUGACACAGAAGAAUUGGAAUAGAAACAUUUUUUUCACUAAUGUUUUACUAGUUUUGCUACAAAGGGUCAAUGCAAUUUUUAAUUCUCGUGUAUGUUAACUUUGCUUUCCAGCAUGACCCUCUUCCGCAACAACCGAAGUCAGAACAGCUUGAAAAGCUGAAGUUAUUCAAGGUCAUGUUGGAGCGCUUGAUAGGAUUCUUACAGGUCCCUAAAAACAACAUCACACCUAAUUUCAAGGAGAAAUUGGGUUCCUAUGAGAAGCAGAUUCUAGGUUUUCUAAACCCAAGCAGAUACAGGAAGCCUAUUCCUAAUCUUCAGCAAGGACAACUUCCCCAACCUCAUAUUCAACCUAUGCAGCAACCCCAAUCUCAAGUUCCUCAAUUGCAGUCCCAUGAAAAUCAACUGAAUUCCCAGUUGCAAUCAAUAAAUAUGCAAGGUUCUGUACCAAAGAUGCAGCAGAACAAUAUGUCAAGCUUGCUGCAUAAUUCUCUUUCAACUUUAUCUGGGGAUUCGACGUCACAAUCAAACAUGAUGAAUCCAAUACAACCAGGCUCCAAUUUAGAUUCUGGACAAGGAAAUGCACUGAGCUCAUUGCAGCAGACACCUGUAGGAUCUGUACAACAGAAUCUCGUGAGCAUUUCCCAACCAACCAAUGUUAACACAAUGUCAACACAAAGUGGGGUGAGUAUGAUGCAGCCAAAUAUGCCCCUUCAGUCGAAUUCCAAUAUGAUUCAACACCAGCAUCUAAAACAGCAGCAGCAGCAUGAACAACAUAUGCUACAAACACAACAGCUUAAACGAAUGCAGCAACGCCAGAAUUUAAUGCAGAAUCAACAGAUGCUGCAGCAGCAGCAGCAAUUACACCAGCAAGCCAAGCAGCAGUUGCCUGCACAGAUGCAGACACACCAAAUUCCACAGCCGCAACAGAUGAAUGAUGUAAAUGAGAUGAGACAGGGGAUUGGAAUUAAGCCAGCAGUCUUCCAACAACAUCUCCCAACAGCUCAACGCACAGCUUUCCCACGUCAACACAUGAAACCUGCACCUUCAUUUCCUAUUUCUUCACCUCAACUACCUCAGCAUGCUUCCCCUCAAUUACAACAUUCAUCUCCUCAGAUUGACCAGCAAAAUCUACCGUCUUCUGUAACCAAAACUGGAACACCUCUGCAAUCUGCGAACUCGCCUUUUGUUGUCCCAUCUCCUUCAACUCCUUUAGCUCCAUCUCCUAUGCCAGGAGAUUCUGACAAACCAGUUUCUGGUAUUUCCUCACUCUUAAAUACUGGAAAUAUUGUACACCAACCAUCUGUUGCACAAGCACCGGCUCCAUCCCUUGCAAUUGGCACUCCUGGGAUAUCUGCAUCAC
rnacentral:lncRNA from 1 species